rnacentral:lncRNA from 1 species
CACGGCUGCAACGUAUCAUGUUGCAGGAUUAUUUUGCAAGUGAGUUACGUUGUUGGGUUACGGUCUACACUCAACCUGCCGAUGGCGUUGAUGGGACUCCACACCCGUUUGUUUGUAUCCACUGAGACUUAUGAGGUAUAUAUCAGUUUUACAUUAUUUACAUAUGUAAUUGCACUUUGAUAUAUACAUUGAUGUAUUAUGUGUGCCAACAUACUGAUCCAAGGAUGACACAGAUACACAGAGGCUUGACCGUUUGACGUCGGAUCGCUACAUAUAAACUAAACAUUCUUAUAUUACUUUACGGAGGGAGUACAUAUUACGUGUACAUACUCUCCGAUGCGAUAGAUACUACCUAGAACAUACCAAACAAAAGUAGGAGUAACUACACCCGGUCAUAGGAAAUAUUUGUCCUAUAUAUAUGGUAAUUAUAAAAUGGUGUAUAAAAUAUAGUAAUUAUAAAAUUAUUUUUUAUUAUACAAGUUAGUAAUUUACUACUUUUUAGAUAAAUUACUAUAUUUUCAAUACAUAACUAUAUUUUGUAUAGAGCACUAUUGAGGUGUAGAAUAAGCUAUUCUAUACUCUCUUUUUUUUUAGCCGAGACGGUAUUUUCAUUUAUAUAAAAGUAUAUUUUAAAAAAGAACAGUACAUAAGGAAAACUACCCAAUACCAGCUCUAGGUAUCAUUAGAUCAAAUUAUAGGUUCAGUUCAAUCCAAUUAUCAAUCUGUACUGCUUUGUGUUGCUUUGCUCUGGGCUUGACAUUCUGCAGCCCAUCCUUGAGAUAGUAUUUCCAUGAGAUUACAUGAGGUGGUGCCGAUCUGAAGAUUUUAUCAUUUCUGACCAUCCAAGUGCUCCAGCAGCCCAUAAUUAUGAUCUCCAUUGCAAUGUCUUUAGAUAGCUUGAUCGUGGUUAGAACAAUUUCAUCAAAUGCAGAAAUCCCUCUUUGCUUAGUAGGGAUUAGGUUUGUCCAAUAGCUGAGUGAGAAAGGGCAAUUCUAAAAGAGGUGAAUAAGAGUCUUCUCUGUGGAACGCGAGGACACCUUCCAUGCACUCUGCAGGUGUCCAAGAGCGCGAGCUCUCUGGAAAGCAAUGGCGGAAGACUGGUGCAUCCCGGACGUGGAUCUAUGGCAGAACACUGGUCCAGAAUGGCUCCUUCACCUACUGAACAAGUGCGAGGAGCACGUCCGGCUUCCCAUGCUCAUGACAAUGUGGAGGUGCUGGCACGUCAGAAACGAAAUCACGCACCACAAGCCGGCUCCCCCAAUUGAAGUAUCCAAGAGAUUUUUAUCAAGCUACAUCGACACUAUCUUGUGCCUCCAGCAACAUCCCAAGGCCGACAUGUCAAAGGGCAAGAUGGUAGUCUCCAAGUUUCAGCAACGCCAGGAGAAGCUCAGACCAGCAAGGGCGGCCAGUACCAGACCUCCAGAGCGAUGGCACAAGCCUCCACCAGGCUGGACUAAGUUAAACGUUGAUGGUGCAUAUAUUCAGGCGGAUGGAACAGGUGGCUCGGGCAUGAUCUUGCGCGACGAACAUGGCGUCGUCAUUUUUGCUUCUUGCAGAUUCUUGAGGACGUGUUCAAGUGCACUGGAGGCGGAGAUCGAAGCUAUACGUGAAGGGAUUGCAUUGACUCUGGAGUGGUGUACGCUACCUUUCAUACUUGAAUCUGACUGCUCCACGGCGAUUGAUAUGAUCAAAAGUUCAUAUAUGAACAGAUCUCCAGCGGCGAUGACAGUGGGUGUAAUAAAAAACUUGUUAGUGGAGGGAGGUAGAGAGCAUGUGUUAAUGCAUGUGAGUAGAAACCAAAAUAAUGUCAGCCAUGUUCUUGGGUAGAUGGGUCACGCUGGCCCUAGGACUGCCGUAUGGCUGAGGCAGGGGCCUGACGAGAUAGUUGAACUCGUGGCAAAGGACUGUAUUGUUCCUAAUUGAUUGAUUGAAAAUUUUUACCCCGCAAAAAAAAAAGAAUCAGCACAUAAAGCAUAAUUAUAAUUAGGUAAAAGCAUACUCCAGUGUUGUAGUAAAUUCCUUGUGCUAACUCUAUCAUGUAGUAGGAGCCAGAAGAUCUUGUGUCUGAGUCUGCUGGCAGCUUUCCAUAGAUGUUUAAAUAUGAUGUGAGCUUCAGUCUUUCCACAAAACUAUUCUGUACUCAUGCUUAGUUUAGCAUUACUAUAUAUAUAACAUUCUAUACUCAUGCUUAGUUUAGCAUUGCUAUAUAUAUAACGCUAAAUAAGAGUUUUGUUUAGUGUGAACUAGGGUCUACACGAAGAAACUUCUCAAGCAGAGAUUCUGUCAUUAGUGUAGCUGGUUUCUACAGUCGAAGCCCAAGCAGGAGUAACUGCCAUCGUAAAAGAAUCUCUUCUGCCCAAAGCAUCUGCAACUUUGUUUUCUUUUUUUUAUUCAAUCUUGUAAUUGAAUUAAAGCAAAUUUAUAUAUAUAACGCUGGAUAAGAGUUCUGUUUGGUGUGAACUAGGGUCUACACGAAGAAACUUCACACGUAGAAUGGUCGGCCAAGUUUUAUUUUCCAAAACUGCAGAAUAUUUAAAUUCAUUUAGCAUGCGACCUUUAUAUUUUCGCUGGCAAGCCCGAUAAAGCAAGACCAUUUUUGCAUUUGAGCAGCUUUCCAUCAGUGCCUCGCAUUGACCCAAAAAAUGAUGGAUGAGAAUUUAUUGACUGUUAUUUCAUUGUAGGACAGAGAUGGUAAACAAAAUGGGGUAGCGGUAUUGUAGAGUUGCAAAACUCCAUAAACUAAUCAGAAAUGGCGGCGAAGGUACACACACACUUAAUGGUGGUAAUACGGAGGUGGUUGGCCAGUUCCAGGGGCACCACUUGCCGGUCUCUGCUGAUUUCCAUGAUGAGCAGGUGGCAUCUGGUGUGAAGGAUGCAUCUCAUUUCCAUGAUGAGCAGGUGGCAUCUGGUGUGAAGGAUGCAUCUCAUUUCCAUGAUGAGCAGGUGGCAUCUGGUGUGAAGGAUGCAUCUCAUGAGGCGGCGGUGGCGGAGGGGCGGAGAAGCCCCCUGAUGUCGCCGUGUACUGCUGUGGUGGAGCUGAGUACAUAUGGCCUGGAUACUGGCCUGGAGCUGGUGGGUACCCUGAGUUGCCGGGAUUCCAAUUCGGCACUUGUCCGUUGGCGUUCUGGUUUUGAGCAGCGACACCUGGUGGUCCGUAUGGUCCAGCUGCUUGAGAAUUACCUUGCCAUCCUGCAGUUGUAGGAGGUACACCGGCUGGCUGUGGUGCUGCUUGGUGUGCUCCUUCUGGGAUUGUGUAAUCCUUGCUCUUGUCACUAUGAGCCUGAAUGACAGAGAGAGACAGAGAGUGAUGUUUUCAUAUGGCAAGGCAAAUCAAAGUGAGUUUGCGUUACAAGUGACGAGGCAAACCAAAGUGGGUUCUACAAAUGAAGCAAAUCAUAUCCUCCAAAUCGUUUCCAUGUCCAAAACACACGAAACAAAAUGAACCCAUUAUACCUUUACAUUGAGAUCAGUAUGACGAGAGUAUGACAGGUGAAUCUUACAGUAGCCACCAUCGUAGAUGCAAUGCCCUUCCAAUGCUUCCUUCGCAAUUGUAGCAGUACUUGCAUCUGAAUGGUAAAGUGACCAAGAAUCAGGUAACUAGAUACCCCGCACUUGCUGUGAGAAUUGGUUGAUGAAAAUCUGGGUUGGUAACAUGAGAACCAAAAUUAAAAAUACAUGACUUAUUAUAUUUGAUUAUGUAUAGUUGUAACAAUAUUUAUUGAAUAAAUAGAAUAAUAAAAUGGAAAACAUUUUCCCAUGCAUGGUUGAAUGUUGUGGUGGGCCUUAUCCAAUUCAUAGUUGUAUGGUUAGGUGGCAUGCUUGCAUGGUAUGGUUAGUUGGCCGUCCUGAUACGCGCGGAGGGGGGGGGGCACUGCUAUCCCGCAGUAUCCCAUCUUUUUCAAAUUAAAAAAGAAAGAAAAUUAUAUAAAGGACAUGGUGGGGACUCGGGAGCAAGCCACCAGCGACCACGCAACUCUCCUCCCGACGGCAACCACGUUAGAGCAGGUAACCUCGAUGGUCGCUAGCAAGGAAGAACAUCCCGAAGGAGUAAGAUGGCAAUGUGGCCGGCGACAAGGAAGAAGCUCCGGGCAGGGAGAAAGAUGGGGACUGCAGCUGCCAGCAAGGAAGAAAAUUUGGGUGGAUUUAAAGAUGGUGAUGGAAGCUGCAGAUGAGCAAGAAGGUAUAUGCGGCGGCAUGGUCGUUUCUUCUCCUCUCUGCAGGCGGCUGGAGAAAAGGAGUACAAGAAUGGGAAACUGGAAACGGCUGGAGAGCUACUAGUCUAGGGUUUUCUGGAAUCAGGCCUUACAUGGGCUCUGAAUGGACCACUCAAAGUCUUCCAUAAAAAGAAUAGAGAAAACAUAUAUUCAGUGCUAACUAAAAAAAUCUCAUCUAAAAUUAUCACUAAAUCUUUAUUGCAUGAUGUUUAUCCGUAUCCCAUGUCCACAUAGUCGUAUCCCCGUGUACGUAUCUGUGUAGCAAGGAGCAUGAAAAGAAUGGUGGCCAAUCUCUACCGCCAAUAUACACCAUCACUUGACAUAACAUAAUUCAGAACAAAUUAAAUUACUGAAUAAAAAUCAAAAGGCUAAAGGAUGUUGCCGACUAUUUAAUGCCAAAAAUGAUAUAUUCUCUGGCCCAUACCAGGGUACUGAAUUAGAGCUUGUGUUCCACCAUUCUUCUCAAAAAUAGCAAUUUUCUGGACUGUACCGAAUGCAGAGAACACCUGAAAUUUAAUUAAUCGUAACCAGCACACAAUAAGCAAAGCAGAAUCAAAGUCUUGAAGCCUAUUUGAAUAAGUAUUUUCCCAAUUUUACUUACAGUAUGGAGAACAUCCACUGAUACAGCAUACUGCAUAUUCUCAAUUGAUGCAAGAAGAACAUUACCCUCAGCCUCCACCCUCCUUCCAUCAGCACCAACAGCAGGCUGCCAAGUCAUAUCAAAGGGAAAUCCAUGCAAAAACAGCAGAGUUAGAUAAAAUGGUGAAACAGAUGAAACUAAAUUGUUAGAAUGUUUCUGAUCCCUAGCAGAAGAAAUACCUGCAAUGUACUAUCUAUAGCAGAGGAGUUGACUGGAAGGUAAGGGUUAGUGUAAUCCCUGGAAAAUAAAAACAAAAGGGAACAUUUAACAGCGGCGGACUGGAAAAAAAAGGUAACCUGAUUGAUAGAAAAAGAACUACUCCUAACAAGGGUAAGGAGCAGGGAUGAAAAACGCUAGUCCAGUGACAGGUGUAGACUUGUAGCAGUAUCCUCAUACAAUAGGUUCAAACAUAUACUCCCUCUGUAAAGAAAUAUAAGAGCGUUUAGAUGACUACUUUAGUGAUCUAAACGCUCUUAUAUUUCUUUACGGAGGGAGUACAACAUAAGUUCCAAGCAAAUAGCCCCGGCAACCAUAAAAACUGAAAGCCAAAUGUUAUUAUAAUGUAAGCCACACAAUCUAGUUAUCCAUGGAAUGUGAAUCGCACCCACAAAAAGUAUGGUGGCUGGGCUCCAGGGAGCUCGGUGUUUUUAUUCCAGCAAAAAUACAUUUUCUACAUAUUUAAAAAAAUCUGAAAAAAAUAUUCACAUAAAAAAACAUAUAUGUGUAGUAUAAACGUACGAAAUUUCAUCUCUACUCCUAAAAGGGGAGUUGGUAGCCUGGUACACCGUGUUUUUUUCGUCCGGUUUUUUUCAUCCCACCUGCCACCACCCCCUCCCACUGGUUUUUAUCUCUUUACAAAAGAUUACAGAAGGAAAAAAAACAUCUGCCAUUCCUCUCCCGGACGAGAUCAUUUCUCUAGGAUUAUAUACGUCGACGCUGUCGCGCCACCGUCGAUUCCAAGGGACGCCGUCGUUCAUCACCAGGACGCGGCCGUUGCAGAUCCCGAGGACGUCGCCGCCGCCAUCGCCGUGGAUCCCCACACGCUGCCGACACCAUGGAUCCCCACGGACAAUGCAUAAGGCGGCGAACAGUGCAGGACGUCAUCACUGGAGAAGACCGUUCCAGCCUCUAAGGUAUUUCUCUGUUUGAGUUUGCUCUGUUAGAGGUACGUAGUUUGUGACAUCAACAGCCAAAUCACGUUUCGUCCAUUCUCCCGGAACCUCACCAUGCCAUCUCCCAAUCAAUCCAACACCCUGCUCGGCGCCGCUGCUACUUGCUCCUUUGGUGGCUGCCUCCCAUCCCUGGUCUCCCUUCCCCUUGCAGCUAGAGUCCUCAGGUGCCUCACCGGCGCCCCACCGGCGACCUCCCGGCGCCCCAUCACAACCCUCCCAACCGACGCAUCCCCCCGAGCCCUUGCACCACCUCCUUCCCCAGCGCCCACAUCGCUGCCCCUCCUCACCACAUCGCGGCCGUGAAUGCCCUCAAGAAGCUGGCCUGGAGGACUGCUCCAAGGGGGUCAUCUGCUUCAACACACUGAACUCGCCGUGCUUGCUGCUGCCGUGCGACCAGGCGCCCAAGAUUUUCGACAUUGACGGACACUUCACUAGGCAGGCAGCGCCGACGACCUGCCCAGGUGUCGCGUCCUAUGCAAGCCCAACGUCGCCGCCAUGGAGGCGGCCCUCAGGAUCGCCAACAUCAACCCUUACAAGGCGGUAAGUCUUGACGGUUUCAAUUACCAGAAGUUGCAACAUUCGUAUACUUACUUUCCAGCAUUUCAGUUUUGUGUCUGACCAUCAACUAACAAAAAUUCGCUUACUUACCGCAGAUUUUUUUCGACGACAGCGUCCACAACAUUCAGGUAGGCAAGCGAUUGGCCUCCACACAGUGCUGGUAAGUCAUCGCUUGACAUGUAAACCCUUCACACAGUAAUGGAUGCAACAGGUGUUGCCAUUGCGAUAUUCAUUAGCUUAAAAUCCUAGCCUGAGAAAGCUAACUUAGCACAACGAUUAUGAAUUAUGUUCCUUACUCUGUUACAAUUCAAAGGGAAGAAUGUGUUGAUUAAGAUCCCUCACUGCCUUUUACAUCUUUCAUUUGUGAAGAAUUUUGUCUUCUUGCUUUCUUUCGAUUUAGGUGGGAAUCUGCUCAGCGAACAGAUCUUCCUUUUGGUGACUGCAGACAAGGAGGUAGAACAAACAAUAUGCAGGCAAGUAUGUUUUCUACACUGGACCUCCUAUUUUGUGUUUGACUAAAUUUGCAAAACAUCGUCGGUCAACUUAUACUUUCUUUUUCUUGGUGAUUUCCUUGCUCGGUUAAACUGAUUGCGCAUACGAGAAUAAUUGCAUGUAUUUCUUAGUUUUUUCCGGUUUAGUACAAUAUUUCAGUUGUGCAUAUUGUUCUUCACUAUAUUAGUGACAGUGUGUGACUACCUCUCUCGAAGUAAUCUUAAUUUACAGACAUAUAAUUCGAUGCAUAGGUUCACUUGGACUCUAGCCUAAUUAACAUAUAUAUAAUCGUAUUAGGUGACCCUUAGAUUUGAGACAAUAUACAAGAUGUUCUGUGUAAAGUAGAUGUCAUGUACUUUCUGUUAAGCAAAGUAGAUGUUUAUUAAUACCCUCCCAAUAGUAGCUUUGUUCACUUGCAGGUUUUUUACUUGAGUUUUGUCAUUGCACAUAAUGAUAGAAAUAGUGGGUUCUCGGUAAGAAAAGAAGGUAGGGACAGAGGGUAGAUGAAAUAGUGGCACAGAAAUGCCAAUUAUCAUUGUUUUCUUUCAGUAGGAUUGCUUUCGAGGUAAUAUAUGAGACCACGAAGUGCCGUCUCAAAUGAAUUUGCAUAGUUAUGGAUCUUGUAUGCAUAAUCUACUCAGGAAUAAGUGAAUGAGAUUACAAGGAUGAAUUAUUUUUGUACAGACUUGUUCAUGUGAAAGUACCUUUCACUACGAAAAUGCAUGUCCACUAUUAUGUGCAUCUUUUUACUUUUCUUGUACGGGUAUAUGUUAAGGUGACUACUUUUGGACAACGAAAACGAUUAAGCUUUUUAGAUCUUUUGAUUGAUGUUAAAAUCCAUAUUUCUGAAGAUUUUGUAGUAGCUUGCAUCUGAGUUCUGCAUGAAAGAGCAUAACAAGCCAUUCUUUGAUACGUGCGAAAGCCAUUCUUUGAUACGUGUGAUGACAUAUUUGCCAAUUAUAGCAGGAAGGUAACCCAGUUCAUUUAACUGAAUACCUGAAAAUAUUUGGGUGGUUUCGGUAGAAAAAUAUGGACGAGGUUCAGGUAGAACUCUAGGAAUUGAAAAUAUGAUGUGUGCAUGGGUAUUGGUGUCUUCGGCCGAAAUACUUUCUGUGGUGGGCAAUGGGUAUUACCUUGCCAUACAUUAAUAAAACAUGAUGGCUCUACUUGUACAACAUUGCAUGAAUACCACAGUAAUCCAGUACACCAUCUCUUCUAAUUCUUUUUGUCUGAAUGGAAAUGAAUUAAUUCUAUAAGCCGUCUACAUUGCCAGGCAAAUGUUGCCCUUGAUCCACCUUAAAAAGAUGAUGCUCGCCUGCCAUAUUUGGUCCUGAAUGGAUGUAUGACACUAAGCAUCCACCUGAUCUUUAGAGUGCGGAAAAAUUGUAAUGUCUUCGCUAACACUCUCUUGAGUUCUGCCGUACUUUAUUUUAAGUAUUCACCCACAAAUAGUGUAGAUGGCGGGGACUUGUUGGCAAAUAAUGGGGUGUUCUUCAAAACUAUCCGAAAUGGUUACCAUUCUACUCAGAUUUGGAUCAGUUACAUUGUUGUACUCCCUCCAUAAAGAAAUAUAAGGGCGUUUAGAUCACUACUUUUAUUUGUUAUACUGGGAGCAGAAGUCGUACAUGCAAGUACUUGAAAUAUAAAUAAUGAUAGAAUAUGCAUCUUAUGCAUGUCAGAUGAUGAUGAAGCUGUAGCUGAUGGUUCCACCGAGGGAACUAACACGAGCAACUGAUGCAGUUGCAACACAAGGUGGUGCUUACGGAAGCAGCAUGGUGACGGCAGGAUAUCCAGCAGGCCAAGGUCGCUGUGAGAAGCAUGAAAUCACUAUCUUGACUGGGACGAUUGAGCCUCACCAAUUCAAUGAAAGUAUUUCCCUCGGGUUAUGUUGGCCAAAUAUAAUGCAUAUGAUCCAUUAGACUGUAGGCUCGUUGCCCGUGACAGAUGUCAAAUAUGAGGCAUUGUCAAAGCACAAAAUAGUGAAUUCCACAUGUACUUAUGUGUAUUUUCCCCUAAAAUCAUUUUGUGUGUAUAGAGAAGUCGGUCACACAAGGAGGGGGGGAGAGGGAGAGGUAGAGAGAAACGAAGCGAGGGAUGGUGAAGAAGAGUUUGUGUUGUUAAAAAGUCGACAAGGGAGGGGGGGGUGUUGUUGAAAAGUCGUCAAGGGGGCCAGGAAGGAGAAGAGUAGUGGUUAAAAAGUUGUCCGCAUCAUAAGUUAUAUAAUAGACAUGAUUGAUGUUUAAUCACUAGAAUAUGCAUGCCACCGUUGCAAUGCACGAGCAAUUAACUAAUGAGGGUAGUCUUCUUUUUCUUUUCUUUUUUUUGCUCUUCUCCAACGGAUAUAUAAAUUUGAACCACAAAUCAGGCAUGUGCACGCGAGAGAGGGAAGAGGAGAGAAACAUUGAAAUUUUUCAUUCUUUGGAUGAACAUUUCUAUUCAUAGCUUUCUUUUUACGUGGCAACGCAUGUGCGUAGCACCGUCGUGGUAGAGCGUGGGAUGAAAGGUGGGUCCAGUAUAAAACCAGGAGGUACUGGCACUAAGAUAGGAAGACGGUUGACGUCCUUGUCCCUUGCUGCUGGCCUGUCACGCACGGCGCCCGGCUCGUCCCCUUAAUGGCCGUGGCGGAUCGACACGAACAGGGCCGGGNNNNNNNNNNNNNNNNNNNNNNNNNNNNNNNNNNNNNNNNNNNNNNNNNNNNNNNNNNNNNNNNNNNNNNNNNNNNNNNNNNNNNNNNNNNNNNNNNNNNNNNNNNNNNNNNNNNNNNNNNNNNNNNNNNNNNNNNNNNNNNNNNNNNNNNNNNNNNNNNNNNNNNNNNNNNNNNNNNNNNNNNNNNNNNNNNNNNNNNNNNNNNNAGGGUGGAGAGCGGGGUGGUUGGCAGGAGACUCCUUGACGGUCCGUGAGCAAGAACGGUGUGAAGAAGAAAAGGUGUCAUGGCGAAGGUGAGGUGGGCGUCAAAGGGCAUAGCCAUGCCCGGCGCAACAGGCUGAUCCUUCAUUCUCUGUAGCCACAAUACAACUAUUUGGCACUGUUCUGACUGUAGCAAAGCUAUUGGCCUGGGGCGUGGCUUCAGCCUGGCUAUGACACUGGUGGGCGUCAUCCGGUUUUAAAGGAGAAUUAUCCAGCGAGAAAUGUCCCGCUAUGGCGAAAACCUAGCGGGAAGGGGAGGAUCCGGCGGGAAAAUGGAAAGGUGUAUCAUGGGGCAGAUAGCCCGUAGCAACGCAUGGACGUUCUACUAGUAAACAUAUAUGUUCAUAUGUGAUGUACACAAACAAGACAAAUACAUAGAUUAAAAUGGGCUUUUCCUUUUGUUAUAUAUUUGGGCCAGAUUUUUGUCUUUUUUGUGUAGCAUGCAAACAAACGUAAUGUUUAACAAAACUUUACACAUACUUAGAGAACAUCUUUCACUAAUCUCUCCCUAAUAAUAAACCACGGAUUGACUUUGUCGGGUUCACCGUCACAAUACGCUUUCUUCUCAUGUCGUGAUACGCUUUUACAAUUCGUGUAGACAAAAUCAAAAUCCAAGGUGGUACUAUUCCCCGAGAGCUCUAACAGUCGAGCUUUGGAUGAAACCUCGUGUACGUAAUCGGGCCGGCCCAGUCGAGCUUUGGCUGAAACCUCGCGUAUGUAAUCGGGCCGGCCCAUAACCAGGAAACAAGAACGUAAAAAUAGCACAAAAACAAAACCACACAUGAUGGGUUCGAUCUCGCGACCUCACGCUAGGUAGCAGGGACGCCAACCACAUGAGCUAGCUGUUGAUUAUGCUCAAAUUGCAGCGCCCCAGUUAAAAGUAGUUUAGCGAUAGGUCUAUUUAUUUUUCUUAAAUAUUUUCAACAAUUCUUGGAAACAAGUGUGGACGAUUUUCCUUAAAAUAUUUGAAUAUGAAUACGUUUUUAAAAUCGUCAAUAAAUAUCGAAAAUUCGAACAAAAUUUCAAAACCUGAACAAAUUUUGCAAUUCCAAACGUUUAUUUAUUUUUGAUAUACGUUGUAUUUUUAGAAGAAUAUACAUUGAACUUUUUUUUACAUAAAUUUAACAAUUUUACAUACAAAUUGAACAUUUUUCUCCCGUUGCAACACAUGGGUCUGUCGGGUUCACCGUCACAAUACGCUUCUUCCCGUGAUUUUACGCUUUCAGUUUGAAUUUAAAAUAUAUUCGAGGUGGUACUAAAUUUUAUAAUUUCCGUCCGUCUUGACUUGUCCGUACGUCAGCUUUCAUCUCGCGUCCUCAAAUAUUAGAUUCAACCUAGGCAGCCCAUUAUUCUGGUCCAUGACCCAUUAUUCUGGUCCACCUAGCCCAACAAACAAAUAGAAAUCAGAGAGCUAAGACGAGGGCGGACUCUCGAUCAGUUUGGAGUUUUCCCUUGACCCUCCCAUAAAUAUGGGCUCAAGAUUCAGGAAAGAGAGAAGGGGAGGAGGUGGAUCCCCUGGAGGCGGAAGGAGCCGGUUGACGGCCGAUCUGACGGGGCACUUCAUCUCGACCAUGAGACCGCGGUAGUGUACGGUCGCACACAUCAGCCAUCUCAUCAAGCGAGGACGCGGGGGCGCUGCCAUCGCUGCUUUUGAGAACCCACCGGUCCAGCGGACAGCCAUGGUCGAUUGGAGCUGCUAAGACAGCGGCGGCGCAGGCGCGCAACCCCACUUUGAGGUGUGGUGGCUCGUGUCAAGGAGCCAACCAUGAUUGAGAAGGAACGAUUUGAUUAUCUUCUCAUGUACGUGAAUAAUACAGUCUGAUCAGCACACAAUUGAGACUUUGAUAUCGAUCAAACGCCAUUGGCCGAAGUUGCUCGUUCAGCUGGUUCGUCAAUUGGUCCUUCUGACCGCCAACAAUACGGCCAUAUGGGAACUAGAAAACCAAUGCAUACAACCACGAGAUCAUGAUCCAGAAAAACCUGAUCCACCACUGAUCCGCUGCUCUGGCUACCGUUCGUCGUCGAGCGCCUGCACCGUUCCCGCGCCGCCCUCUGCCCAUACUGUACUCACAAAUCACCAUGUCGUCUUCCUUGACUGGAAACUCCAGGAAAGAUGGCUUUAUCACAUUGAAGCACCGCGGCCGCCGCCGCUAUAACCAAUGCCACAAGUAAUAUCUGGGUGAUCAGGGCACCGGAUGACGAUUAGCUGGAUGCAUGCUUAUCAACUGAGGGCAAGCAGCUAGAUGCAUGUACGGAUGAUUACUGCAGGCGGACCGAGAUAAAAGUACUAACAACUUCGAGCACGUCACGUCCUCAGGUGUGUUCCUAUGCAUAUGUCAUUAUGUGCAUGAAGCAAAUAGCUAGAUGCAGUAUUGACAUUAACUAAACUGAAUUAGACUUCAAGAUACUUUUUAUUUUCUAUUAGUGCCACAUCUGUCACAAUUUAUAUCCACAAUUACUCACGCUUGUCGUCGUCUCCAUAAAAAACUCAAGGUCUAUCCGAAGUAAAUAUAUUUGUCGCUGCAUUACUUAGAGCCAAUAAUAUAUGUACAUGUGUUUUUCAACUAUUUAGAGAUCUAGAUAGAGAUACUAUGUGAUAGUAUAUCAUUAUUGCUAAAAGGUUUGCUUCCACUGAGCAUGUAUGAGUAUGCGCAGAUAAUUUCACACUUUGAAGGAAGUUUGUUUAGUUUUCAGACCUAAGUUAAGUUUAUUUCGAUCCAAAUCCAACAAUAAAAUUUGGAUAAUUUCUCAAUGUUAUCUACAAUGAGUGGCAUGUAUUUAUACCAUGACUAAUCAGCUUGAUCAAUAAUGUAUUUUUGUAUUUUUGCAGUUCCUUUUUUUUGCGAAAGAAGGAACUUUCAUUAAUCAAACGAGAUGAUUACAUUUAGACUUAACUAUGCUACUAUCUCUUCGGGGAAGUUUCAAAGCCAACACACGGUUCGCUAUUGUGCCCGUCCUAUACAAGCAAGGGUGUGGCUAGCAGCAUUAGCAUGUCGAGUGAUCUUAAGUAGACUAAUGUUCCUCCUGCAUAUGUAUUUUUGUGGUUCGUAUAUGGUGAAAAUUUUAUAUGUCAACUUUCACAUACACAUAUCUGAGUAAUACCACCUCCGAUCCAUAAUAAGUAUCGUAGUCUUGAACUAAACCCAGUUUAAAACUGCGACACUUACUUUAUUUUAGAUAGGAGGGGGUAUCAUUUUUAUUUGUUUUUCAAGGAUGAGUGUUGCAUCUCAAUAGUAGCAUGGCUGCCGAAUGCCCGGCAAUUUUACACCAAACGAAAGAUAAGUCGAGGCAGAAGCCGACUGAUUGGGUGCUAUAGUUCACCACGGGAGGUAAACAGUCAAAUACCAUAUGAAUUGUCAAAUUCAUUUUGUACCCGUUGCAACGCACGGGCUUUUUUGUUAGUCUCUCCCUAAUAAUAAAGCAUGGAUUGACUUUGUCGGGUUCACCGUCACAAUACGCUUCUCCUCGUAAGUUUACGCUUUCACUUUGUAUUUCGUAAGAAGGAAGUUGCAAACCAAAACUGUUGGUUUUUUUUUUAGAUUCUGAACUUCAGGGGUGGGGGUGUCUUUAGCCAUGCUUAUUGGAUAAGGUUAGGACCAUGGGCUAUUUUUUAAAACUCCCGCUGCAACGCACGGGCAUGUUUUCUAUGCUAUAAAAAACACUAACCUGCUUAACCUUAUUAUCGAUGUUUAUUAAAAUUGGAUAUAUAAAAUGGUGCAUAAUGGAACAUGAAGCCAGUUGUGCCCCUUUUUCGCCCGGUGCAACGCACGGGCAUUUGUGCUAGUAAUAAUAAAGCACGGAUUGACUCUGUCAGGUUCACCGUCGCGGUAUUUUUGUUAGAAAGUCCCUCUAAUUUUGUCUAUUCAACCCGCGGUCCACCAGGUAAAAGAAGAUUGGCUAGAGACCUAGGGUAAUCCACCCCGAUUUUCCUUCUGCGCCGCCACGCGCGAGAGACACACACUCCCGACCACCGGAUUCCGCGCCACCCGACGGAGAUCGUCCGCCACCGACGAGGGCCACGCCGACGAUCUCCCUCAGCACACCUGACUCCUCUUUCCUCUCCGCCCCCUGUUCAGCAGCGACCGCCCCGAGCUCGCCCAGAUCCAUGGCCCUCUCCUGCCGCCCAGCUCUGGUACGUCACUGCUCGCCCGUGGUGCGAGNNNNNNNNNNNNNNNNNNNNNNNNNNNNNNNNNNNNNNNNNNNNNNNNNNNNNNNNNNNNNNNNNNNNNNNNNNNNNNNNNNNNNNNNNNNNNNNNNNNNNNNNNNNNNNNNNNNNNNNNNNNNNNNNNNNNNNNNNNNNNNNNNNNNNNNNNNNNNNNNNNNNNNNNNNNNNNNNNNNNNNNNNNNNNNNNNNNNNNNNNNNNNNNNNNCAACCGCCUGCACGUCAUGGGCAGCGACCAUGGAGGCCGUACCUCCGGUCGCUCGCUCGCCAGCCAGUCUCUCUGCCAACAUCUCAUCCACCUAGAUCAGGGAUGUGUGUAUGUGUUUAACUUUUGCUCACUCUUUUGUUUUUGAAGAAGUGAGUUUCUCUUGCUGGUGCGUUUCAGUGAAAAGGAAUUUGGUUCUGAAGCUUACGAUCUGAAAAACACAGGGGAAUUAUUUUGCUCUAUGUUGUGUUGCGGUCCUGCCCAACAAGUGUUUAUUUUUGUUCCUAAAAGGAAGUGUGCGUCGAGCUUAGUCAGUUUCAACAUUAUUUAUCCCGUGAAGAAUGCAUAGUGUAUUUCUUUCUUUCCUGCUACGUCUCAGAGGAAGAAGAAAAUCUCUGAAUUAUGUGUCUGAGCUAUGAGGGACGCCUUUUAUAUCAUUUAGUCUCUUACAGGACAUCUUUAGUAGCUUAGCUUCUUGAAGAUAUAUAAUAUAUUAAAAAUAGGUAACUAGCUUCAUUUCGUGUAGGACAUUCAAGAGUGAGUUGUUUUCUGGGCUGGAAGGGAAUGAAACAAUUCCAGUGAGAUACUUAUGUAAUUCAUUUCACCGCUCUUCUUUUACUCAGGUUCUUAUUGAUGUCUUCUUUGCAUGAGCUUCUGAACAUACAUCUGAAGCUUCUAAGAAGCGAAUUCCAUGCUCCACUACUGACUUGCUUUCUGGUGUUUUGGUGGGAGAAAAAUUUCAGAAGCAAAGUUGUGCGAUAGGAAACCUGCGGAUCUCAUUUAACUUAUGUUCUUGUGAACUAUCCUAAUAUCCUUCUGAUGCUUCCUAUUAUGUUUACACAUACUACUCCAUGGCAACCUGAAGAUAUACUACGCCAAGGAGCUAAAAAAGACUCUUGUUUUAUGAGUUCUUAGGCUCUGGUCUGAUUUGUGCGGGCAAAGUUGAAGAAUGGUCGCAUGAGCCGAGUCAGAGCAAGGAACAGAGGUGGUCUUCAGUGAACUGAGGUAGCAUUUGACAUGUAUUAUGUGUGUGUGUACACGCACAUUUAGAUGGAAUGUGCUUAUGUUCUAGGGCAACAUUGUUUGUGCUUUAUUUGAUAUCAGUGAAAUCAUUGGCAGGUUUGUACGCUUCUUUCAUUAGGUUUAAGCCAUAUUUACUUAACUUUUUCUAGAGCUAUAGCCCUGACAAUGAAUUCUAGAAGCUAUGGAGUGAAAGUUAAUAAUAAGGUAUUUUUUCCUUUAAAUUGAUUCAGAACUUUAAUUAUGCUAUGGGACUCCAAGCACAAAAUAUAAAACAACUACGAAUCUGUUCUCACCAAAUUAGCCAAGCUAUUUUUUGAGUUGUGCACAUCAGAAUCUGCAAUCCACUACAAUGUACAGUCUACUUAGUUCAACGAUACUUUCCAAUCUGCACUAGAAGCUCAAAAAAAAAAUCAACGAGCAAACUUGAGUAAUGACAUAAUAUUUGUAUUCAGAUUGCAAAUAAUAUUUAUAAUAUUUAUCUUAUAAUAAAUGAAUGGUUUUAGCUGCUGCAAAAUUCAGUAGUUGACACAUAUUGAUGGCACCACAAAUACUUCUCCUAUUGCAGGCUUGACUUGAGACACCACUACUGAAGGUAUUUAACUGGUUUGUGCCUCUUGAUAGCUUUGUAGCUCUAUGAAUUGUUUUCCAAAUAAACAUAUGAAUUUCCUGGGAAAAUCAGUGAACUCCAUGGUUUGUUUGUCAUUGCAGCCUCUCGCUUCCUACAGAGGUGGCCGAUUUGAAGGAAAAUAGCUGAGCACUGAGUUGAUGGUGUUUGCUAUAUAUUGUGUUAUUCUGCAGUUCAAGGAGCUCAAGAUAAUCUGCUUGAAGAUCCAGAUGUGGGUCUCCACACCACGCAUGUCCUUGGAGUAUCAACAGUGGCAAAGUGACAUCACAAUGAUCUAAAAUAUGUUGUGUCCGCCUAUGAUAUGAUACUGAUAGUGAAGGUAAAUAGUUGGUCUUCUCAGCUUUCAUUAUCUCCUUUCACAGUAUAAUUUCCCUCAACUAUUGUCGGAUGCAGCUCAUGUGAUAACUUCUUACUUUUUUUGCGAGAGAGAAACUUCUUACGGAAUUACGUGUUGUUAUUCGCACUCUGGCACCUAGAGACCUACUCACGCACAUUGGGUUCACGAUGAUCUUGGAGAAACACUUUAGAUGGAUGACAAGCAGAUGUAGUUACAAGAUGGUGGAGAAAUAAGCUAUUGGGUGUUGGUACUUGCCUUUUUUAUUUGUGAUAGAAUGCUGGUACUUGCCUUUUUUAUUUGUGAUAGGAUGUUGGUACCUGCCUUCGAGUGUGUUAUUGUGGCGAUACGUUCUUUUUCUUUAUUAAUUCCCAGAGGCAAAGAUAGUUCAACUUUCUUUGAUUCUAUAUAUGAUGAGUUUGUCCAGCAAUCCUAAAUCAUGUAAGUAUUUUAUUUGCUUGCCACUGGUUCCAUGUACAAUUAGUGCACAAUGAGCUUAUAUUGAAAGGGAAAGGAAUUUGGGUAUGUGAGGCUGUUUGAAUGCACCUGUUUGUUUCUGUAUAAACAGUGCAUCCCUCUAAAGGCUCUCCAAGAGUUGAUCUGCUUCGGAAUCUAGCCGGCUCGAUGGCGCCGGGCUCAAGACGUCAACAUGCGUUUCAAAAAAAUUACGUCAACAUAAAGGAGAGGAGCAGGACGAGCAGGGCGUGUGCUGGAUGAGCCCAGUGUCUUAGGAUUGACCAUGUUAUAACGCUUUGUGAUCAGGUGGACACGACAGCCACCGUCGGUUGGUAAGGAGGGCUAAGAAAUACUCCCUCCGUCCCAUAAAUACGUAUAUGUUAUAUGGCUAUAUAAAACAAUGAGAGACUAAUCAUUUGAAAUGGCAUGGAGCAGAGGCACCAUCAUGGAGCAUGAUGAGGUGUUGCAGUGAAGCUACAGAGCGCGUUGUUCCGCCGGUGAGCUCCCAAAUUCACACAUAGUGAAUUCUAGAUUAUUGGAGCUAUACAAGACAGUCAUGUGACAACAGAGUAAACUGGAGCGGUAUAAAGAGAUGGAGCCAAAGCAAGAGUGGAGGAGAGUCAUGUGGCGAUGAUACACAAGGUGAAAGUUCUGCAUAAGGACUGACAGAGACGUGGGAAAAUCACAAGGAUGUUCCAUUCAACACAAACAUUUACACAUUACAAAAUUGAUGUUUUGCACCGUAAUUUGGUUUAGCAUUUAGCAGUAUGGAGAAUAUGAAACAAUAUGCGUGUGAACUCAAAGUUUUGUUUGAGCUCAUACUAAAUGAGAAAAUGAUUCAAAUUUAUGAGGUUGCGUGGCAAAGCUCGUGAAGCUCAUGAAGCUAAGUGAGAAAAUGCUUCAUAUUUUUGUUUGAGAUUUCUUGGAGUUCUUUUAUCUCUGCCACAUAUCUAUGGUCUUGGACCAUCAACAAUGAAUUUAUUUAGAAUUUGAAUAUUUUUUUUCUCCCGUUGCAACGCACGGGCAUGUUUACUAGUGUAUAUCUAUUUGUGGAGAAAAAAUUGAUAUUUUAUGAAACUUCUAAAUAUAUUUUGAUUUCAAAAAAAAAGGCUCCCUGGAGCCCGUACUAUAAAACACCCGUCUCGUCUCACCCAUCGUUAUAAGACUAUUUUCCCACAAGCAAAUAAAGCCGAGGUCUUAUUAUUUCUAUGUAAGGGUACAUGACUAAUAUGAUCUCCUUAAAAAAAGCAACUUGAUGCCAUUGGCCUAAAAUGCUUAGAAGUAAUUGUUUACAGCAUUGAGCACAUCCUAUCCACCCACGCAAUUUGAUACCCCUCUGAUUUUCCCAAUUAGUAUGUUCCCACAAGUAAUGCUUAGUCAUUAACAGUACGAAUCUACUAAUUUAGCAACACCACAAACCAGUGAAUGAUCACGACUUAGAGGAAAUGACAUAUAUAGAUAGAUCCUUUAUCGGAAGAUAAAGUAUCACAUGGAAAUCUGUACUAAGUGGAAACAUGGCAAUCAACGUCAGAUUCGGACCAGAGAUGUGUGGUCCUGAUGAAUAUCUUUCGCCCCAGCAUCGUUUCAUUAUCUAUACCAAUAUAAAAAGACCCAAAGGGGCAGAUCCAACAAAUCCCGGCCGCCAAAUCAGGUCAAUCCAACGACUCGGGCUGCUCCAAUGUUGAGCGCUCAACACGUUUAGUGUGCAGUUAAUAUCAUAUCAAAUAUUAAUGCCAAUGCUAAUCACAUAAUUAAUACGCAAAUAAUAUCCUACCUAAUAUUUACAUGUAAUUAAUAUAUUACCUAAUAUUAACGUGCAUUGCACGUACACAUUUACUAGUGUUUGCAAAAGCCACCUUGAUCUUCCGUUCUUUCUCUCUCCUAACACUCACCAGUCCCCAAAUCUCUUCCAACCAACCCCAACAUAGUGCCACUAAAACAUGCACGAGCUUAGGUCAGACCUCGGAUUCAAUUCUUGCAUGGCCCUGCAACAUCCUCAUGAAGAGUGCUGCCAUUUCAUGUGGGUGCUCCACAGCUCCCAAAAUUGCGCAAUAACAUUGAAAGCCUAGCCCGUAAUACAAAAUGUGCGGUGGCACAUUUCAGGGGCUCGGCUAGUAGAGGGGAGAAGCACGAUGGGAUUUGUGCGAAAAAACAACCGUGAAGGCAAGUGCACUUUACAAAAAUGUGUGGAAUAAACAGAGGGAUGAUCCAGCUCGCAUAUUUCAGAUCGAAUAGCUCAUGUUCUGGUUUUCAUCGGAUACUUUAUCUUGUCAGAAAUAGCAAUAACCAAAGGAAACCAAAAAAUAAACUAUACCUGCUGCGGUGUGAUUGGAACUUGAUGUUCAAAUCCUUAUGCGCAGAGAAAGAAAUCCGCAAGUGGCAGGAUACUACAUGAUCCGGAAGCAAGUAUCUACAUUGUAUUCAAGUCUCAUACAAUUCAGUUUAUAAUGGGCACAAGACAGUAUAAGCAUUACCGACAAUGAGUUAUACAAGCUAAGAUUAAGAGAUAUCACCUUGGGAUGCUUCUUCCAUCUAAGGCUUCUCUUGCUGCUGAUGCAGUGGGUGCAUCAGUAUACUGGAUCAGUGCCUGUUGGGAAAUUUAAGAUGGGGGUUUUGCCUUUUUGCAAUGAUCAAGUACUUGAAACAAAAUGAAAUAUGGAAUUACCUGAAAACCUGCAGCCUUCUCAAAAGUGGCUAUUUUGUGAACAAAUCCAAAAGCAGAGAAAACCUGAAACGCGAUAGGAGAUGAGGGUCAUGUAUAGGAGUAAAAAAUAAGUCUAGGAGACCAAUCUACCGUAAACAAUGGUACAUAUAAACAAUCGAUAAUUAAAUGUUCCAUUUGCCAUGAUAAAUGAUGCAUAAACCAUUUCUCCGAAACAAAUUAACUCUUGUGUUCCACCAAAAAAAUCAAGGGGGAAAGGUCUUAAAGAAACACACUCUACAGCCAAAGAGUGAGACUGAACUGUCAAACAACCAGCUGGAAAUGAUCCCUAACAAAAUAAUCUCAAAAGAAGCAUCAAAUAAUAUACUAAUCUUCUAAAGGUUUGGGAAUUUAACCUUUCGUCAAUAACUUGGAUAAACAAUGAAGUGACCUACACUGGAGAUAAGCGUGAUGAUGAAGGAUGAUUAGAAAAUGGCAUCCUCAAGAUGAGAGUUCAUAAAAAUUUCAAAUGCAACAGUUAGAAGACAGAGGAAGCAAACAAACAUGGUAUCUCUCCAAGUGCAGGUGGUGAUAACGACAUUUUCUCCAAGUUAACAUGGGCCUGCUGAUUCAUGCAGAAUGCGUUACUACGAGAUGAACAGCUAUGUAAAAUCUUGGAUUUACAAGGAUCAGGUCAGGUAGACUCCCUUGGAUGUCUUCAGCCAAUGACAGGCAUCAGGAGAACUUAAAUUUAUUGUUGCCUAAUAAACCCAGGCAUCAAAGUUUUUAUUAAGACAGGGUAAAUAAAUAAAUUUAGAACUCACCAAAUGGAUUACAUCGAUGGUGACGUCACUAGCUUGAACACCCUCUAUGGUAACAAGCAAGACAUUUCCAGCAGUCUCACCAGGGCUCUUAUUGUUAAUUAUUUCUUGUCUAUUUGAAUACUGAAUGUAAACAGUUUUGCCUCGAAUUUGUGCUGGUUCUGAAGAUGAUGCAAAAUAAGAAACCAUUGAAAUGGCUUGAUUAACAUCGGUCUGCAAACAAAUAAAUCUUCGCAUAAGUGAUCCUGGCAUUAUCAAUUUUAACAUAUAAAUCAGUUGUACAGAAUUAACCAGACAAAAGCAAAUGUACAAACCUUUUAUUUCUAACUAUAGAAAGUUUUCAAAUUAUGUAUGCGGUUACAAGCUAACCAAUGAUAUAAAUCAUUAUGCUCCCUCCGUCCCGAUACAUCCGUAUCUAGACAAAUCUAAGACAAAUAAUUCGGGACAAAGGUAAUACUUGAGAACCAUUAAUGCCCACAAAACUGCAAUCUACUCCAGUAAUUCUGCAAUCCCCACUUACUAACACAACCAAAUUGAACACAUGCAGAGCAUCCUAUAUCCGUAGCAUAAAACCAAAUGAAUAGUGUCAUAUGGAAUCUUACAACCACAAAAGAUCUUAGCUGCACAUGCUUGGAUACAAGUUAGCUACAGAUCAAUUCAACAUAUUGAUGCAAUAAGCUUUCCAUUAUUACAGAACUGAAGUCCAUUAGCUCAGAAAAUCCAAUCAUUCAGCUCCGAACCAUCCUACACCAGCGUUUGCACAUAUUCCACAGCCCCCAACCUUAUCAAUCCAUACAAGGCAGAGAUGCAGGAGCGGCAGAUGGCCUCAGAAGGCCCCGCAUAAAGUUUGUAGGGGAUAAAUCCCAACUGCUCUUCACAAAUCCCACAGCGAACCGUUCUAAAAUAAGUAGAUACGGGAAUAGUGUACAAGCCACUAAAGCUCUCAUUAUGACUGAUCCAUAAAACUGAAGAAACCAUUACCCCACGUGUUGACAAUUGAUGUGCAGGCCAAAUAAACCAACCAGGGCCAACCUACCAACAGUGCGUGAAUAUUAGGCAUGAGGCCUUGCUACCCGUACAAGAUCGCUAACAAAUUCCACUAUUGCGCGACUAGAUCCAAGAUUGACCUGCAACUACAUGGAUGAUCGUGCAAAAUAAACUCGAAGGAGUACCCGGAAACCAACGGCGAUCCGGAAUUUCCCACCGGAUCGCGCGUAUCGACGGGGGCAAGGGGGGCCGGUGUGAGGGGGUGGUAGGAUGUCUUACAAACUCGACGAAGGCCUGGUUGCGGUUGGCGCCGACGCCGGAUUUGGUGUUGACGAUGCGGCCGAAGGGCUUGCAGAGCUCAACGAGCUCCUCCUCCGUGCACUCCCAGGGCAGGUUCCGCAGGUGCAGCACCUUCGACGGCGUCUGCGUGUACCGGAACUGCUGCCCAGCCCCACCCCCGCCGGACGACGACAUCACAAUAGGUCUUGCGCGUGAAUGGCAAGGUUGAGGGUCCAAGAGGCGAAGCUAGGGUUCGGUCUGCCCGUGGGGACUUGCGUUUUUGUUUCCCAAACCCAACCCGAAAACUAUACUUUUUUUCUACUACCCCUAUAAGAAAAGAGAAAAAAGAAGGGGCAGAUCCAAGCAAUUAUAUUCGUCCGUCUACAAUAUCUAAUGGCUCUUAAUCCUUCCGUGGUUAACACAACAAGCCACGCAAUUAAGCCACUAAUCUGCCCACCCGUUCGAAAAAAACACCGCACGCACGAACCCCACACCACGACCUUUCCCACGCCCGCACUUCCUCCUCCCAACGACCAGAUCACGCCCGGGCCUCUGCCGCCUGCCCAUCCUCGCCCUUCUCGGUCGCUCACCGCCCGUCGGUUCUCUUCUCCGCCGCCGCCUUGCCAGUCCUCUUCUCCGCCGCGACGUGAACAGCCCCCCGCUGGCCCUCUUCUCUGUCGUCGGUCCUCUUGUCUGCCGUCGCCCCGCCGGUCCUCUUCUCUGCCGGCGCGAUCGUGAGUAGCCCCCCGCCGGCCCUCUCCUCCGCCUCCACUCCGCUUCUAACACGUCAUUCGUCAUUGGCUCCGAUGCCAUGCGCUGCUGUCGAAGCCCAUCGCCAAGCGUCCUCUGGUGGUCCGACCCCCAAACUUGGCUCCCAGUGGCAUCCCCGCUCGAGGUCAUCCUCAACCUCAUCCCCUCGAUUGGAUUCAUGUGCUUGCUGCUGGUGAUUCCAGGCUGACGUGUGUGUUUUUUGUGAUAUCUUGUUACACUUUUGGGGGCAAAGUUUCAGUUUCACGCGAAUUGGGUGAACAAACUGAAAUUCGGGAAUACUACUAUAACACCCAUGAUGCGGCUAUAUCUCCCACGUGUCGAGGCACGACUUGGAGGCAUAACCGCAUGAUGGUUUUGUCGCAAGAAGGGUCAUCUUCACACAAUCCCAUGUAAUGAACAAGCAUGGGAUAAAGAGUUGGCUUACAAUCGCCAUUUCACACAAUACAUUAAUUAAACAUACAUCAUUCAGAGUACACACAUAGUCCGACUAUAGACAAAUACAAAUGAAAGGAAGACAACCCCAAAUGCUAGAUCCCCGAUCGUCCCAACUGGGCUCCACUACUGAUCAUCAGGAAACGAAACAUAGUAACGACCAAGGUCCUCGUCGAACUCCCACUUGAGUUCGGUAGCAUCACCUGCACUGAUAUCAUCGGCACCUGCAACUGUUGUUGUAGUAAUCUGUGAGCCACGAGGACUCAGCAAUCCCAUUACCAUGGGUAUCAAGACUAGCAAAGCUUAAUGGGUAAGGAAGGGGUAAAGUGAUAAGGUUGCAGCAGCGACUAAGCAUGUAUGGUGGCUAACUUACGAAUACAAGAGUAAGAUGAGAAACUACGCAAACGGUCGCAAACUAGAAAUGACCAAAAAGUGAUCCUGAAACUACUUACGUUCAAACAUAACCCAACCGUGUUCUCCUCUCGAACUUCCCUGAAAAAAGACAAUCACGGUUACGCAACGUGGUUGGUGUAUUUUAAUUAAGUCAAGUGUCAAGUUCUCUACAACCGGACAUUAACAAAUUCCCAUCUGCCACAUAACCGCGGGCACGGCUUUCGAAAGUUUAAACCAUGCAGGGGUAUCCCAACUUAGCCCAUGACAAGCUCACGAUCAGCGGAGACAAUCCUCCAUCGGGGACAUCCGAUCAGACUCGGGGUCCCGGUGCACAAGACAUUUCGACAAUGGUAAAACAAAGCCAGCAAGACCGCCCGAAUGUGCCGACAAAUCCCGAUAGGAGCUGCACAUAUCUCGUUCUCAGGGCACAACGGAUGAUUCAAGCUACGAGUAAAACCAGCCCUCGAGUUUCCCCGAGGUGGCCUCGCAGGCUGCUCGGUUCGGACCAACACUCAGAGGAGCACUGGCCCGGGGGGGCUAAAAUAAAGAUGACCCUUGGGAUGGCGACUCCCUAGGGAAAAGUAUAGGUGGUGGUUAGGCAAAUGGAAAACCAAUGUUGGGCCUUGCUGGAAGAGUUUUAUUCAAAGCGAACUGUCAAGAGGGUCCCUGAAAGGACAUGCGGUGCCCCCAUGUGUGGUUUUGGUAAUUGAUGACAUUCUCUAUGAACUAAUGGUUGCAUUGAGUUAUAUUUGAAAGAUUUUUCCAUAGGCACUUCUUGAAGUCCAUGUGUUGGUUUCAAGGAGUUUAUGGGUUGACCAAGGUGCUAUUAAGGAAUUAUCCAAAGAUUGGUCAUGUGAGUGUUGAGCUUAUUGCAAGCAUGUCUUGAAGAAGAAGAUUGUGUGAUCAUUCAUGUUUACCUUCAAGACAUCAUCCAAAUGAAGAGAGUUAGAAAGAUUCAAGGUUGAUCAAGACUAAGUCAAGAGUGAAUCAAGUUGAUCAACUCACAAAGCGUAGAAGAUGUACCGAGAGGGAUCAAGUGAUCCCAUGGUAUGGUAAGCAUUGUCCAUUGCACUUUAUGUACUAACCCAUGGUCUAUGUGAGAGUCUAUGUGGGGUUAGGUACGUGUCCAUGGGCUUGCGUCAAGAGGAAGAUAUCAUACAACCCAUGGAAAGGAUGACAUCAAGUGGUGAUCGUCAUCAAGAUUGCCGUGUGCAAGUUCAAGUGGAGCAUCACAAAGAGAUCAAGUGCUUGAAGCUUGCCAUCCAUUGUGGUGUCAAUGGAUUUGUGAAGAUGUGCCGAAGAAUGGCUCACCCAUAGUGGAGUAUGGGGGAGCAAUCAUCUAGUCUCCAUCCACCCAACGCAAUCAAGAAAGGUGGUCCAUCUUGAGGAGGACAAGAUCGUCAUCAUCUAGCUCAAGUGGAUCAUGUGCAAGGCAAAGGUUUGCCCUUGAUAGGUUUUCUAUUUUACCGGUCUCAUGGUGGUAGUUGGGAGACCGGGUUAUAGGAUCGAUAGCCGUACUAUCAAGGAGGGCUCUCAAGUGAGUAGCUUGAUCGUAUCGUUCGUCGAGAGCUCAAACCAUUGCAUCAUUGCAUCAUGUUUCUUGGUUCUUGUUUGGUUUUCUUUGUGAUUCUUAGAGCUUAUGGUCAUCUUGAUGACAAGCUUGAGUUCAUCGAAAACGGAGUUCGCAUGUGUCUUCUAUGAUGUUUUCGGUGUUGGAGGUUUUACCGGUCUUAUCCGAGGAAGGGUUCAUAUCAUUUUCUUUUGGGCAUUUUCUCAUUUGCUUCUUAUUGGUAUUUCUAUCAAGAUUGUGUUAGCCCUUGUCGCUAGCUUUCCAACAAACUUGGUUUCGUCGAAUUCGGAGUCCGUUUGCAGAAGUUGUGUCAGUUUUGGUGUCCUUAAAAGGGGUUGCUGCGGAUGUAAUUUUUUAGUACCGCUCUUCGGAGCGGUACUACCGCUUGGAGCGGUACUACCGCGACUACUUCCGUGGCUACUUCCGCUCAGGACCAAAAACUCGUCACAAGUCCAGCGGUGGUAGGCACGGAUGUAAUUUUUUAGUACCGCUCGCAAGCAGUAGUACCGCUACCCUUAGCAGUAGUACCGCUACCCUUAGCAGUAGUACCGCUACCCCUAGCGGUAGUACCGUGAGGUCAAGCGGUACUACCGCUCCGACGGUUCUUCUGGCUUUUUUGCCUCCUCGCUGUUGUGUUUCAAAGGGCUACUACCGCCCUAGCGGUAGUACCGCUCCUUAGAGCGGUAGUACCGCUCGAUGCGGGCUGUGAGCAUAACGGUUGGAUUUUUCCCCACUUAUAAAAGGGGGUCUUCUUCCCCAAUGAACCUUAUUCUUUGAGCUCGUGUUCUUCCCCCAUUGUUGACCUUCUUCGAGCUUGCUAACUCUCAAUCCCUCCAAUGAUUCUUGCUAGUUCUUGAGGGAAAAGAGAGAGGAGAUCUAGAUCCACGUUUCCACCAAUCACUUUCUCCUCUAAGUGAGGGGAACCCCUUGGAUCUAGAUCUUGGAGUUCUUCGUGUUCUUCUUUCGUUCUUCCUCUCAUUUUCCUCCCUAGCAUUAGUUGCUUUGGUGGGAUUUGGGAGAGAAGGACUUGGGCACUCCGUGUGCCCUUGCCAUUGCAUUUGGUGCAUCGGUUUGAGUUCUCCAUGGUGAUACGUGGAAGUGAAGUUUGAGAAGCUUAUUACUCUUGUGUGUUUGGGCACCAUAGAGCUUAUUCCUCUUGGGUGCCUUGGUGCCCUAGACGGUUGGUGGUGUUCGGAGCUCAAUCAUGGUGGUGUAAAGCUCCGGGCAAGCGUCGGGGUCUCCAAUUAGGUUGUGGAGAUCGCCCCGAGCAAUUUGACGGGUUCCGGUGACCGCCCCCAAGGGUUGUCAACGUGUACGGGUUCGGUUACCGCCCUCAAGGGUUGCCAUUUGUACAGGUUCGGUGACCGCCCUCAAGGGUCCCUUAGUGGAAUCACGGCAUCUUGCAUUGUGCGAGGGCGCAAGGAGAUUACGGUGGCCCUAGUGGUUUCUUGGGGAGCAUUGUGCCUCCACACCGCUCCAAACGGAGAUUAGCAUCCGCAAGGGUGUGAACUUCGGGAUACAUCGUCGUCUCCGCGUGCCUCGGUUAUCUCUUUCCCGAGCUCUUUACUUAUGCACCUUACUUUGUGAUAGCCAUAUUGUUUCUUGUCAUAUAUCUUGCUAUCACCUAGUAGUUUAUCUUGCUUGGCAUAAGUUGUUGGUGCACAUAGGUGAGCCUAGUUGGUGUACGUUUUGUGCUUGACAAAUUAACCGCUAGAUUUAUUCCGCAUUUGUUCAAGCCUAAACCGUAAUUAUUUUAAAGCGCCUAUUCACCCCCCCUCUAGGUGACAUCCACGAUCUUUCAAUUGGUAUUAGAGCCUCGUCUCUCUUUGUUAGGCUUAACCACCUAGAGAGUAAAGAUGUCGACUAGGGGAUUAGGAUUCUCUCACACUCUUAGUUUCGAUGGCACAAAUUUUGAUGUUUGGGUAAUUCGCAUGCUUAAUCUCUUUAGGGUCAUGGACCCAAAUUUAGAGCGAAUUGUAGAUAUGGGUUUUUCCCCUCCAAAGGAUCCCCAAAGAUUAUCUUUAGAGGAUGAGAAAAACUCUUAUCUCAAUGCUCAAGCUUCUAAUGUGCUUUUCGAAGGUUUGAGCAAUGUAGUUAUAUUUCAACUCAUGCCUUUCUGGGAUGCUCAUGAGUUAUGGACAAAGCUUCAAGAUAAAUAUGGUGUGUCCAAGAUUUGUGGGGAUGAUUGUUCUCCCUCCACCUCCGGCCGUGUUGCCUUCUCAACUUCUUCUACUUCACCUAUAUGUGAAUUGCCACAAGGUAAUGCUAGGGUGAGUAGUGUGGUCAUUGCAAUGAUGAUAGUGUGCUUGUUCUUGGUGAUUAUUCAUCACUAUCUUAUUGCAAUGGUCCUUCUUUGGACUUUAACACUUCGAGCACCUUACAUGUUUCACAUGCUCGUGUUGGUAGUCCUUGCAUAUCAUGUAGAAAUUGCUUGCUCAAAUCUCAUGAUGAUAUGCUUGCUAUGUCUUGUUGCCAUGAUGAAAAUGUAUCUAUUUCCUCGAGUUGUUGUGCUAACAAUGUAGAGGAAACCCAACACUCCAUGGAACAAGAUGUGGUCUUGAACGGUGCUUCAAGGGAUCCUACAUCAUCAUCGAUUGCUUUUUGCCUUAUGGCUAAGGCUUCAAAGGUAUCUCCCACUUUGAACCCCAAUAUAUCUUGUGAUGAUAUUGAUGAUGGCAAGAAUGAUGAUGAUGUUGAUUAUGAUGAAGAGAAUGAUAAUGUUGCCUCCUUAAAAAUUAAGGGGGAAAUGGUUUUUAAAGCUCUUCAUAAAAAUAAAAUUGCUCGUUCCAACUUCAUGGAAAUUAUGUCCAUUGCCAUUGAGGGCAAGAAAUAUAUUGAGGAGUUGGAAUCUCAUCUCGAGGAGCAUGGGGUCACAAUUGAGAAAAUGGAAGGUCAUGAGCGUGAUUACGCUAAUGAGAUUGCGGACCUCUCUCAAGCUCUUGAACUUGAACAAACCACCAAGGAAUCUCUUGAGGAGACUUUUGCUCUAGAAUUAUCUAGAGUGGAGGAAUCUCGUGAUAGAGCUUUUGAGGUGGCCAAUGAUUUUGAAACUAAAAAUGAGGAGCUUGAAGUUGCGCAUGCUAAACUCCUUGAGGACUUUGAGCACCUCGAAAAUGGCUCAAGGGUCAUUAAGAGUGAGCUCAUCAAACUCACCGAGUCUCAUGCUCAACUUAAAGCUUCAUAUUCAAAAGAGCUUGCCAAGUUGUCUUCCCCUCUUGUUGCUAAUGAUGAUGUUUGUGCUACUAACUCUAUCUCUUGUGAAGCAUCCAUAUUGAAGGAGAAUGUUGAGCUAAGGGCUCAACUUGAGUUGCUAUCUAACAAUUAUGGGAUGUUGGAAGAAAAUCAUGUAAAGCUCAAAAGCUCUCAUGAUGAUCUUCUAGUAUCCCAUAAUGUGCUAAAGUUAGCUCAUGAGGCCAUGCUUGCUAAGGUAACAUCUAGUGAACCUCUCGUGGAUACUAGCACUACCUUUAUUCAAAAUGCUAUAUUGCCUUGUGCUAGUCCUCGCAAUUCAUCCAUGCAUAACAUUGGUACAUCUUGUGAUGAAUUGCUUUCCUUGCCUUGUUGCUCUAACGAUGAAGCUUAUACCUCCUCUAGUGCUUGUGUUGAGACUAACCAUGUAGAGGAAAUCAAAGAACUCAAGGCCCAAGUCACUUCUUUGAAGAAAGACUUGGAAAAGUGUCAUGAAGGGAAGGCCACGCUCAACAAUAUCUUGAAUGUGCAAAAAUUCCCCAAUGACAAAGGUGGACUUGGAUUCAACUCCAAUAAGAAGAAGAAGUCCAAGAGCAACAAGAAGAAGGGCCAAAAACAAGUCAAGAAUUCGGCCAAGAUUAUUUGCUUCAAGUGCAAAAUUGAAGGGCAUCAUGUUAGAUCUUGCCCAUUGAAGAAGAAGGCCAUUAGUGACAAGCAACAAGGGAAGCGGCUACAAGUGCAUUCCCAUGCUCAACCUCAAGUUGAAGAAAGGCCUCUUCCCAAGAAGACUCAAGCUAAUGCUUCUCAAGUUGAGAAAUCAAGUGAGAAGAAAGUGAAGAGUAGACGUUGCUAUCUAUGUCGUGAGAAGGGUCACCUCGCUUCUUCAUGCACUAGUGGUAACUUAUCCAACCCAAUUGUUAUUGAUGAUGUCUAUUCUCUUGGGAAGGAUAAGGUUGGCAAUGUGUUUGCCAAGUUUGUUGGUACUCAAAGUGGUUUGAAGCAAAGAACCAUUUGGGUAGCCAAGCCUAUUGUGACUAACCUCUUAGGACCCAACUUGGUUGGGGACCAACUAGCUCAAACUUGAUCAAUAGGUGUUGUUGGAGGGCAUUGGAUACUUGGCUACAUUAUGAAGAAUUAAGGGGACUUCAUCACUCUUAUUGUCUCAAGCCAAGUCAAUUGAAUCGUCAAGUUUAUAUCUUAUAUCCAAUGUGCCUCCUUGUGGUAACUUGUACUUAAAAUUGCUUACAUUGAAAGUUACUUGCCCCCUUGUAUGUUUUGGUUUUGUUCCUUGCAUGUGUUUGUAUAUGAUGUGUCUCCAAAUUGCCUUUGUGUAUGUUGGUUUGCACAUCAUGUACUUGUGGGUUGUUCGUUGAGCCUUAGUGCAUCUUGGUUGUAUCUUAGUUGGCUCGUGUGAGAGAUUAAUGGAAUAUCCCAUUAUGGGGGAGUGAUGUGCUUUGUGCACUUCGCAAUCCUAUAAAGGUGGGUACAUGGGGAAUACCACUUAGUAUUGAUAUUACAAGAUUAUCUAGUCGCUAUGUGGUAUGUCUUCUCAUGAGAAAUUCAAAUUCUAAAUAGUCCAUUAAUUAUCUCUUGUUGGAUCCUUUUUAUUGCCUCUUGUUAAGUUUUUAUUGGUAUCACAAUAUGGGGGAGUAAUAUGCUAUGUGCGUAUUACAAGCCUAGAAAAUGUGUACAUUUGAGAUAUUGUCACCUAGAAUUGAUAUUGUAAAUUAUCUUGUUUCUAGGUGGCAUGUUAGCUCUACAAGUUGCAAUUUGCUUUUUGUUUGGUGUGAAGAUGAUGUCGGAUAUCCUUGCUAUCUACCACCGGGAAUUAUCUCCGAACACUUCUUGUCUUUUGACAAUUGGUACUCACUUAUGUGUGGUAGAAAUUAUUGAUCAUCUCCACGUUGGUGUUUGCUUCUUAUUUCCUUUUCUCUUGCCAAGGAAUGUUUCAACUCCCUUUGUCUUCCAUACCACCUGUGGAUCUUGUUAAUUUCUUGACCUUGUCUAGUGUUUUCUAGAUAUAGUGAAAGUGGUGAUCCCACCUUGUGCAUUUUGUAUUCAAAUGCAAAUUCUCUAUAAUGCACUAGUCUUGGGGGAGCUAUCCUAUUUUCUAUAAAACACUCAUCUUGUGGUCCUUAUCAAGUGUGUGUUGGUGGAACGCAAACCGUUUCUUUUUGGUACUUUGUGCCAUCAUGAAACUUUGUAGAGAGCUUGGUUUGUUUGGAACCAUUCUCUCUUUUGGGAGUUUGACAUCUUUCUUUUUGCGUGUAUCUUUGGAUAUCUCGUUCCUUGAUGUAUCUUUCAGUUGAUAUCCUCCAAGUGUUGAUUCAUUCUUUUGGUAUUUUUUUCUUCACUUGGUUUUUUCUUUGUCAAUUGGUAUCGGUUCUUGAAUGUCUUGAGCAUGCAUGUUAACUUCAUGUAGUUUCCUUGGCAUGCUUUCUUUCUUUGACCCAAUAUAUAGGGAAAACUCCACCAAGUCUCAAAUUGGAUGAGAUGUGCAUGAAUUUCAUUUCCAUAUAUAUAUGCACAUAUUUAUGUGGAGUUUGUCCUAUGUAUUGUUGAUGUUUCUAACUCUUUUGUCCCAAUGAGUUUGGGUACCAUUUUGUUUGUGUUGUUGUUCUAGGAACAAUUGGAGAUGCAUUGGAUGCUCGGCUCACUCACAAGGAAGGUGGUGUCACCAUGUGCUUAUUGGAGUCAAGCUAGGAUGCCCAAUGAACUACUAUCUAUUACCUUCAAUUGGUUUCUUCUACAUCCUUCCAAUGAUAUCUCGGUAACAAGUAUCUAUUCAUGCAUUCUUUUCUUGCAUUCAACCUUGUGUAGGUUGCAUCUUGGCAUGAUAUUCAUUCCAUCUUGUGAUAAUUGUUUCCUUUCUCAAAGCAUCUCAACGAUGAUCUCAUGUUGCUAGUUGUGAUGUAUUUGAUGGGUGUGUGGUAGGGAUUCAUUUAUAUACUGUAAGACCAUAUCUAGCCAUGUGCUAUGCUUCCAAGCAAAUAUCUUAUUGGUAUAUGUAUGACUUCCUUUUGGACAUCUUGUUCCUUCGUGUUGUAACUAUUUCGGGUGUACAUCCUUCUUUGUAGAUAUAUAUAUCAUCAUGAUUUUGUCUACCUAGAAUCUUAUACACUUGAGAGAAGUUGCAUAUCUAGAUGAUAUCCUUUCUUUCACGUCCACCUUGUCUUUCUUAUGUUAUUUCUUUGGUGGCUCCGUGAAAGCUUUGCCUUGAGUGUGUGUCUUCUAUCGUAGCAUCUUGAUGCGCUCUUGUGUGGUGAAGAUUAUUUUCCUCAUGCUUAUCUUUACGAGGUUUUUGCCAUCUUAAUUGGUAUCCCUCGUCUUGAUGAGCCUUUCAUCUUCUAUCUUCACCGCGGGUUGUCACAAGCAUAGGUUCUCUAUAUGCUUAUUAGUAAGCUUGUGAACCCAUUUGCUAGUUGUGUGUGGGAAUGAUAGGUCUUGCACCGUGUGCCUCAUUCUUUCAAGACUUUAUUGAUGCUUAAUGCUCUUCUGUACAUUAGUCUUCUCAAGUGCAUUGCCUUGACACACACAUCUUUUUGGUUGAGCCCACUCUUAAGUUGCCUCUCUUACUUGUUGCUUAACCAUGUGUUUGUUGCAAAUAUUAGGCUUAGUUUCCUAUAUGCUCUCUUGCACUUGUUGUAAGUUUCUAUUGAUUUUGGGGGAGCUAUGAUCCUAUUUUGUGCACUUUGUAUCCAAAUACAAAAAUUCUUGAUGUGCACAAAUCAUGGGGAGCUUCUCUAGUUUCUUUAGAACACUGCUCUGCUCUUAUCAUAAUAUCCUUUAUUCAUGUGGCUCGUAGGAUCAUUGGCCUAGUUGGUUCAAUUGGUAUCUUUUGAUAGCUUGCUUCAAUUGGUAUCUUUUGAUUGCUUGAUUGCUUGUUUCUCUCUUUGUUAUGUCUUUGUGGCAUAUCUUCCUUUUGCAAUCUUUGGGCCCCAAUAUAGUUUGUCUUCCUCCAAGUAUUUACCGUUGGAUAUGUGUAUUGCAUUCCACUCUCUUGUUGAGAAAUACACAAUUUAUGGAGGAACACAUUUUAUAUUGGCCUUCUAAGCUUUUAGCCCAUUUUGGCAAUCGAUGCCAAUGGGGGAGAAGUUUCAGAGAGUUUUGUGGAGAAGUUUAGAGAGUUGUCUCUUAUGGCUUUGGUUUGUUCCUAAGCAUACGCGUCUCCUACGCAUGCAUUAUUGGUUGUUGUAUUGCAUGGUGAUGCAUAAUUCCUUAUAUAAACUCUCUUGAAAGUGAUUGUCAUCAAUUACCAAAAUGGGGGAGAUUGAAAGGACAUGCGGUGCCCCCAUGUGUGGUUUUGGUAAUUGAUGACAUUCUCUAUGAACUAAUGGUUGCAUUGAGUUAUAUUUGAAGGAUUUUUCCAUAGGCAUUUCUUGAAGUCCAUGUGUUGGUUUCAAGGAGUUUAUGGGUUGACCAAGGUGUUAUUAAGGAAUUAUCCAAAGAUUGGUCAUGUGAGUGUUGAGCUUAUUGCAAGCAUGUCUUGAAGAAGAAGAUUGUGUGAUCAUUCAUGUUUACCUUCAAGACAUCAUCCAAACGAAGAGAGUUGGAAAUAUUCAAGGUUAAUCAAGACUAAGUCAAGAGUGAAUCAAGUUGAUCAACUCACAAAGCAUAGAAGAUGUACCGAGAGGGAUCAAGUGAUCUCAUGGUAUGGUAAGCAUUGUCCAUUGCACUUUGUGUACUAACCCAUGGUCUAUGUGAGAGUCUAUGUGGGGUUAGGUACGUGUCCAUGGGCUUGCGUCAAGAGGAAGAUAUCAUACAACCCAUGAAAAUGAUGACAUCAAGUGGUGAUCGUCAUCAAGAUUGCCGUGUGCAAGUUCAAGUGGAGCAUCACAAAGAGAUCAAGUGCUUGAAGCUUGCCAUCCAUUGUGGUGCCAAUGGACUUGUGAAGAUGUGCCAAGAGUGGCUCACCCAUAGUGGAGUAUGGGGGAGCAAUCAUCUAGUCUCCAUCCACCCAACGCAAUCAAGAAAGGUGGUCCAUCUUGAGGAGGACAAGAUCGUCAUCAUCUAGCUCAAGUGGAUCAUGUGCAAGGCAAAGGUUUGCCCUUGAUAGGUUUUCUAUUUUACCGGUCUCAUGGUGGUAGUUGGGAGACCGGGUUAUAGGAUCGAUAGUCGUACUAUCAAGGGGGAUCUCAAGUGAGUAGCUUGAUCGUAUCAUUCAUCGAGAGCUCAAACCAUUGAAUCCUUGAAUCAUGUUUCUUGGUUAUUGUUUGGUUCUCUUUUUGAGUCUUAGAGCUUAUGGUCAUCUUGAUGACAAGCUUGAGUUCAUCGAAAAUGGAGUUCGCAUGCGUCUUCUAUGAUGUUUUCGGUGUUGGAGGUUUUACCGGUCUUAUCCGAGGAAGGGUUCAUAUCAUUUUCUUUUGGGCCUUUUCUCAUUUGCUUCUUAUUGGUAUUUCUAUCAAGAUUGUGUUAGCCCUUGUCGCUAGCUUUCCAACAAACUUGGUUUCGUCGAAUUCGGAGUCCGUUUGCAGAAGUUGUGUCAGUUUUGGUGUCCUUAAAAGGGGCUGCUGCGGAUGUAAUUUUUUAGUACCGCUCUUGGGAGCGGUACUACCGCGACUACUUCCGCUCGGGACCAAAAACUCGUCACAAGUCCAGUGGUGGUAGGCACAGAUGUAAUUUUUUAGUACCGCUACCCUUAGCAGUAGUACCGCUACCCCUAGCGGUAGUACCGUGAGGUCAAGCGGUACUACCGCUCCGACGGUUCUUCUGGCUUUUUUGCCUCCUCGCUGUUGUGUUUCAAAGGGCUACUACCGCCCUAGCGGUAGUACCGCUCCUUGGAGCAGUAGUACCGCUCGGUGCAGGCUGUGAGCAUAAUGGUUGGAUUUUUCCCCACCUAUAAAAGGGGGUCUUCUUCCCCAAUGAACCUUAUCCUUUGAGCUCGUGUUCUUCCUCCAUUGUUGACCUUCUUUGAGCUUGCUAACUCUCAAUCCCUCCAAUGAUUCUUGCUAGUUCUUGAGGGAAAAGAGAGAGGAGAUCUAGAUCCACGUUUCCACCAAUCACUUUCUCCUCUAAGUGAGGGGAACCCCUUGGAUCUAGAUCUUGGAGUUCUUCGUGUUCUUCUUUCGUUCUUCCUCUCAUUUUCCUCCCUAGCAUUAGUUGCUUUGGUGGGAUUUGGGAGAGAAGGACUUGGGCACUCCGUGUGCCCUUGUCAUUGCAUUUGGUGCAUCGGUUUGAGUUCUCCAUGGUGAUACGUGGAAGUGAAGUUUGAGAAGCUUAUUACUCUUGGGUGUUUGGGCACCCUAGAGCUUGUUCCUCUUGGGUGCCUUGGUGCCCUAGACGGUUGGUGGUGUUCGGAGCUCAAUCAUUGCGGUGUAAAGCUCCGGGCAAGCGUCGGGGUCUCCAAUUAGGUUGUGGAGAUCGCCCCGAGCAAUUUGACGGGUUCCGGUGACCGCCCCCAAGGGUUGCCAACGUGUAUGGGUUCGGUGACCGCCCCCAAAGGUUGCCAUUUGUACGGGUUCGGUGACCGCCCUCAAGGGUCCCUUAGUGGAAUCACGGCAUCUUGCAUUGUGCGAGGGCGUGAGGAGAUUACGGUGGCCCUAGUGGCUUCUUGGGGAGCACUGUGCCUCCACACCGCUCCAAACGGAGAUUAGCAUCCGCAAGGGUGUGAACUUCGGGAUACAUCAUCGUCUCCGCGUGCCUCGGUUAUCUCUUACCCGAGCUCUUUACUUAUGCACCUUACUUUGUGAUAGCCAUAUUGUUUCUUGUCAUAUAUCUUGCUAUCACCUAGUAGUUUAUCUUGCUUAGCAUAAGUUGUUGGUGCACAUAGGUGAGCCUAGUUGGUGUACGUUUUGUGCUUGACAAAUUAACCGCUAGAUUUAUUCCGCAUUUGUUCAAGCCUAAACCGUAAUUAUUUUAAAGCGCCUAUUCACCCCCCCUCUAGGCUACAUCCACGAUCUUUCAGUGAAGGGGAACGUAGCAGAAAUUCAAAAUUUUCUACGCAUCACCAAGAUCAAUCUAUGGAAUAACUAGCAACGAGAGAGAGGGGAGUGCAUCUUCAUACCCUUGAAGAUCGCGAUGCGGAAGUGUUGCAAGAACGCGGUCGGUGGAGUCGUACAAGAAGCGAUUCAGAUCGCGGCCGAAUCCGAUCUAAGCACCGAACAACGAUGCCUCCGCGUUCAACACACAUGCAGCCCGGUGACGUCUCCCGUGCCUUGAUCCAGCAAGGAGAGAGGGAGAGGUUGGGGAAGACUCCGUCCACCAGCAGCACAACGGCAUGGUGGUGAUGGAGGAGCGUGGCACUCCAGCAGGGCUUCGCCAAGCACUGCGAGAGACGAGGAGGGAGAGGGGUAGGGCUGCGCCAAGAGAGAGGGAGACUCAUGUCUUUGGCAGCCCCAAAAACCCCACUAUAUAUAGGGGAAGGGGAGGAGGGUGCGCCCCCUCUAGGGUUCCCACCCCUAGGAGGGGCGGCAGCCCUAGAUGGGAUGGAGGGGGCGGCCAAGAGGGGGAGAGAGGGGGGCGCGCCCUAUGGUGGGCCUUAGGCCCAUCUGCGCCUAGGGUUUCCCCCUUUCCCCUCCAAGCUGCGCCUUAGGCCCUGGUGGGAGGCGCACCAGCCCACUCAGGGACUGGUCCCUUCCCACUAUUGGUCCAUGCAAGCCUCCGGGGCUGGUGGCCCCUCCCGGUGGACCCCCGGAACCCUCCGGUGGUCCCGGUACAUUACCGGUGACGCCCGAAACUCUUCCGGUGGCCAAAACCUCACUUCCUAUAUAUUAUUCUUUACCUCCGGACCAUUCCGGAACUCCUCGUGACGUCCGGGAUCUCAUCCGGGACUCCGAACAACAUUCGGUAACCACGUAUAGCUAUUCCCUAUAACCCUAGCGUCAUCGAACCUUAAGUGUGUAGACCUUACGGGUUCGGGAACCAUGCAGACAUGACCGAGACAUUCUCCGGCCAAUAACCAACAGCGGGAUCUGGAUACCCAUGUUGGCUCCCACAUGUUCCACGAUGAUCUCAUCGGAUGAACCACGAUGUCGGGGAUUCAAUCAAUCCCGUAUACAAUUCCCUUUGUCAAUCGGUAUGUUACUUGCCCGAGAUUCGAUCGCCGGUAUCCCAAUACCUCGUUCAACCUCAUUACCGGCAAGUCACUUUACUUGUUCCGUAACGCAUGAUCCCGUGGCUAACUCAUUAUUCACAUUGAGCUCAUUAUGAUGAUGCACUACCGAGUGGGCCCAGAGAUACCUCUCCUUCAUACGGAGUGACAAAUCCCAGUCUCGAUUCGUGCCAACCCAACAGACACUUUCGGAGAUACCUGUAGUGCACCUUUAUAGUCACCCAGUUACAUUGUGACGUUUGGUACACCCAAAGCAUUCCUACGGUAUCCGGGAGUUGCACAAUCUCAUGGUCUAAGGAAAUGAUACUUGACAUUAGAAAAGCUCUUAGCAAACGAACUACACGAUCUUGUGCUAUGCUUAGGUUUGGGUCUUGUCCAUCACAUCAUUCUCCUAAUGAUGUGAUCCCGUUAUCAAUGACAUCCAAGUCCAUGGUCAGGAAACCAUAACCAUCUAUUGAUCAACGAGCUAGUCAACUAGAGGCUUACUAAGGACAUGUUGUGGUCUAUGUAUUCACACAUGUAUUACGGUUUCCAGUUAAUACAAUUAUAGCAUGAACAAUAGACAAUUAUCAUGAACAAGGAAAUACAAUAAUAACCAUUUUAUUAUUGCCUCUAGGGCAUAUUUCCAACAUUCAGUCCCAUACCCCUCAUCGUGUUAGGGACGCAAAAUCAAGGAACAUAACACCGGUAUGACGGAAACUAGGGCGGCAAGAGUGGAACAAAACACCAGGCAUAAGGCCGAGCCUUCCACCCUUUACCAAGUGUAUAGAUGCAUUAAUUAAAUAAGAGAUAUUGUGAUAUCCCAUGAUAUCCAUGAAAUCCAUGUCCCAACAUGGAACAACGUGCAACUAGCAACGAUAUAAGAGGGGCUGAGCAAAGCGGUAACAUAGCCAAAAAACGGUUUGCUAGGGCGGGUGAAAAAGGUUAGGGGCUAUCAUGGCAAUUUGGGAGGCUUGAUAACAAGUGAUAGGUAGCGCGACAUAGCGAUAGCAUCGAGACAAACUAGCAUAGCAUUGAUAGUAGUGAGAUCCAAGGUGACGGUCAUCUUGCCUGAAAUCCUGCUAGGAAGAAGAACGAGUCCAUAAAGAAGACAAACGGACGUAGACGAACGAAUCCUCACAACUCCGAAACGAAACCGAAGCUAACGAGAGAAGCAAACCGGAAAGAAGCAAACAACAUGGUAAACAACCAUCACAUCAACAUGGCAUGAUGCACAAUCAAGUAUUGCAUGUCCGGUUUAAUGAGGCAUGGCAUGACAAAGUGCAACAAACAACACUACAAAUUAAGUGGAGCUCAAUAUGCAACGAGUUGCAUAUUGACGAAACACCACAUUCAAGUUAUUUAGUUCGCUCUCGUUUAUGUACCCAACAAUAUUAACUGUUAUUAAACAUGGCAAGAGGGCGAAGCAUAAAUAAACUAACUAUUUAGGCAAGUUUAAAAGAGGCCGGAACAAUAAACAACAAUUCCGGUAAAUCCCCACAUGUCAUUUAGCAAUUUAAUGCAAGCAACAAUUUUAAACAUUUUAUAUGUUGUUAUCAUGAUGCGGAUGCCAUAUACAAGUUUGUGCAUUUUUAUGAAGACGUUGACAUGAGCAUGUUAUGAAGCAUUUGGCCAACAUGGCGGAACGAAAGGGGUGCCACGACAACGACAACGGAAAUGGUGCCAUGGCAACGUAUCAGUUCCGGUAGGUCAUGGAGGUACCGGUUCAAAAGGAAGUGUGGAGCGAGUCAUGUAAUGAUGGUGGGGUGAUCCCGGAUACCGGGUUCCCACGGGUCGAUGGCAUGGCAAACUAGGAGGAACGUGCAAUGACAACUCGGACACAGUGUAACCACGGGCAUCUCAUACAACACAUGCAUUCGUCCACGGGCGUCGUCUCGGGGUUAUACCUUCGAAGCGUGCAUUUUCGGAGCGGAUCAAGUUCGUUGAGGGAAGUAGACGUUCUCGCAACGGUAGUGGAAGUAGUGGUACACGUUUCGUAGAGGAACUUGACGUCCACGGAGUCGACGGUAGUGGUACACACGUUGUUGGGGUACUUGACGAAUCCGAGUCCCUUCGGGCGUAGUGGCACUUGGCGAAAUCCAAGAUGGUUUGACGAUUCCAAGAUGGUUUGAUGAUUCCGGGCAAGGCGGCAGAGGUACUUGGCGUCAAUGUGGCCUCCAGGGUACUUGACGAAAUCCACAUUGGAUGUAGUCGUUCAUAUUUGACGGGGAACUUGGCACGUCCAAAAUCUUCGAGGUUCGUUGUGUACUUGACAUCUCGGUGCUGUAGUCGAACUAGCCAGUCUUGCUGAACUGAAGGGGCAUCAAGGGACUAGCAAAUGCCUUGCCUCAGGAAGUCACAGGAGGUGCGUGGAGGUAGCUCGAGCUGCUGGUCAUCGGGGCAUGGCCGAGCAGCGGCUGGAAGAAGUGGCCGGUGUUGCCCUUGGCAUGAAGCAGGGGAGGCGGAGCUCCUGCUAGGGCGAUGGCGGCGAGCAGGCAACGGAACUUGGCGUCGACGUACAGGCACAACAAGGAGAAGCAACGACUGGACCGUGCAGCGGUGGGCGAGGGACUCCGGGACGGCACGGAGGUCGAGGAACUUGGCCGGUGGCGCGGCUUGGAGCAGAUCGGGCGCGAGGAAGGUCGGAGGCGCCCGAGGCGAACGACGGAGGGGCGCGAAGGGGCGGCGCUCGGCGCGAGGGUGCAGCAGCAGCUGCUGCUGCCGGCGGCGAGGUCGAGGCAGGUUGGUGGCGACGAGGAGAAGGAGGAGGAUAGGCGGCGCGGGAGGAGUCUUGGUCGUCACCGGCGGCGAGAACGAAGCCGUGCGCGGGGCACCACUCCUUUGUGCGCGGGGCGACCCAGAGGCACGGAGGGGUGAGGAGAUCGGGCGCGGGCGCGUGGUUUUUGGGGGUAGCGACGCGAGGGAGAAGGUGAGGGAGAGAUACGAGGGGAUCGAGCAAGCUAGGGUUAUAGGGAUCGCUGGGCCUUGUGGCUGGGCUGGUGGAGACCAACGGCUGGGCCUUGCAUAGGUUGCAGCUAGGCUAGACUCUCUCUCAUAUUCUUUAGCAGAAAAGAAUUAGAGAGAAGAAAAGAAAGAUAGGGUUAGGGAAAGGAUCUGAGCACGAGGACAAUUUUCCUGGACUCAAAAAAUACAAGGAAUUUGACAAAAAUGACCUGAGGAUAUUUAGUGGAAGUAAAAUCCACCCGCGUUGGAUUAAACUCGGCAAGUUUGAAUUUUGAAACCCAUUCAAAUGAGCUCCAAGUGGGUUGAAACUAUAGGAGGUGACCCUACACACCAGAUGUGAUUUAUGGGCAGAUUUGGAACAUUUAUGGAGAAGUAAAAUUGCAACUCAAUUUUACUAAAAGGUCGAAAAGGAAGGAUAGGAAGUUGAGUCGGAUAAAAGAAGAGUUGAAGAAUAAUGCAAAUGGGUUAUGGGUGAUUCCAAGUUAAUGGAUAUUUAUUAUAGCCCCCUAAUAUAUUGGGAGGAUAUGUUAUAAAGAGAAAUCACCAUGCGAAUUCCCUCGAUUUAAAUAGAUCAACGAUCUAUGCAAUUUGUUUAGCUGAGUUUUUAAAAAGGUUUGUAUGAUGACAUGAUGCAAGGCAAAUGAUGCAAUGAUGAAUGCAACAAACCAAUAACUCACACGACGAAUCUUGGAAUCCAUGGAAAGGCAUCUGGAGCGCCGGUCUUGGGGCGUCACAACUCUCCUCCACUUACAAGAGAUCUCGCCCCGAGAUCUAGGGAUGGCAUCGGAGGGAAACGGAAGACGGGAGAGGUAAAACUAAGUUGCUUCUUGGACAAAAGAGUGAAACCAAUGAACCUUGAGAGGUUGAACAACUUGAAAGAAAGAAUACAACGGAGACAAACAAGAUUUCAAACACUCCAUUAGAAAAGGGAAACAAGGAACAUUGCGAAAGCCUUGUAGGUUGAAAGACAUGAAACAAGAGCUUAGGGGACAAGAUAGAUUUUAAAGCCACUCCGGUUAAACGGAUAAGCAAGGAAAAGAACAUGAUCUUGACAAAACGAGACGAUGGGUCGCAGAGAGCAAUAUCACAAUGCCUCCGGUAGAAAUGAAAGAAUGCAAUGAAAAGAACGGAGCCUCAAGUGAAUUUGAGAGAGCAUCCUUAAAAAGAAGGAUAGAACGGAGUUGUUGAAAAAUCAACAAUGAAGUGAUAUACUCCUUGUGGACUUAUGAAAACAUCUCAAAACUAGAGGUGAAAUUCUGCCACUAACAAAAACAAUUGAUUGAUUGAGAUCAACGAAGAGAAGCAAAACUUCUUUCGCCGAGAGGAUAGGAGAAAACUUGGAUCAUUGACAAGCACCACAAUAGCAGCAUUCCUAAUGGAAGGCUUUAGGUGAAACCUAUACCAAGAUAACUCCAAGGAAGAAAGUGAUGGGUUUAAAUAUCUCAUUCUUGACGACUUGUCAAUCAUGAAACAUGAAGGAAACUGUCAAAAUGACAUAACACCACCUCAAAAGAUACGAUAGAAAGAAUUGCACUUCUGAAUGCAAGAUGAAGAAUGCUUGAACUCCUCAAAACAAGACAUGUGUUGAACACCAUGUUUAUUUUUGAGUAUGGCUUGGCGGAUCAUAACUUCGAGAGAAAUCUUGAAGAACAAUUGAAGAAUGCAAAGAAUCCUUGACGAACCACCAUGUAGAGCCUCCAUGAAGAACUCCUUUAAUAAAAGGAUGAUAAAAAGAAAGAGAAGUUGAAAACACAAGGUGAAGCCUUGCGAUGAUUUAGAUGGAGCUUCGCGACGAGAUAAUGUGGAAAACUUGGAACUCCGGAAAAGAAAAGAUGAAGCAUCUCGAACUAAGAAAAAUGACAUGAUGAACAAACUCCGGAAAGAAAAGAUGAACAACUUAGAACUGAGAAAUUGAUACCAUUACGAACUCCGGAAGAAGGAAUUAAUCACUUGGAUGAAACAAGAACAAUAAUUAUGUUAUGCGUAUCCUUCACCAAUAUAAAUUGAUGACAAGCAGCGGAUUUGGCAUACUACUUAUUCUCGUAGAAAGGAUUAAGAGAGAUAUAGCGUAAACUUGAGAAAGGUCUUCAACGAUCCACCGGUAGGACUGAAACAACGAAUAAAUUAAUAUGAGAACACAGACAAAGGAAUCUUGAACAAACCGCCGUAAGAAUUGAAAAUGAAAGUAGCAAAGGCACAAUUCACCUGGAAGAAUUGGAAAACGAAUGAAGAUACUUGAGGGGAUUUAGAUACAUGAGAACGAAGAGAUCAAGAGCUGACUAGAGGAUACUUGAACGCUGCACCGAUAAGAUUUGGAGAAUGAUAGUUACACGCUGAGAAUGAAGAAUUAUGACAUGAUGGCCUUCGGAGGAAAGAAAUGGAAACAACUCAUGAAAUGCUCCGGAUGGUAGGAAAAGAAUUGUCACAAUCAAAAACAAUUAUGAGAGGAUGGCAUAAAUCUAGAACCACACGUCUUCGGAAGAACGAGUAAGGAUUUAAGAGGAACUCCUCUUCAGUCUUCAAAAUCCGAGAAUGACGACGAGAAAACACCACCAUGAAUUGUUGAGGCACUCCGGAAUGGAGAAUAGAAAGGUUGAACCAACGAUGAAAAUAAUUUGAAAGUGAUCUUGGAGAAGGCAAUUGACUGAUGAAAAUUCAUUCUUACGUGAAACUUUGAAAAGAAUUUGGGAAUAGCUUCGGGAAAAUUAGAAGAGUCAGGUAAGAUCCUGGGAAAAAAACCUGUGCAUUAGGGCCCACUCAAAGAUACACCGUUGAACGAUUUACAAGAGAGAUUGCACCGGUUGAAUUAAAUGGCUCAAAAGAGAUAACAACCUUGAGAUAACUUGAACGGAUUAGGAAUGAAAACGCGAAUCUCCUGAGAUAUCUUCAACACUCCGGAACAAAUGAAUAACGAGAGGUGAAUGAUUAAUUGGUGCACCGGAAUGAGAAAACAUUUGAAACGAGGAAAAGGAUAUGAUCGACAAAGCUUGAAUUAAUCCACCGGAGAAGAAAAAGAACGAAGAAUAAUAAACUUGAAACUGUUGAGCAUCUUCAUGGGAAAUCACCGGAUAAGAACAUUGAUGGAAAAGAAUGGAGAGACUUCACAUCCAUAAGAUGGAUACUUGAUUAAGAAAUCUGAGUCCUUGAAGAAAAAUGGUGGGAGGGCGGGAAAACAAAGGCAACUUGGGGCAGAUGGAAUGGAUACCGCUGAGAAAACAUAGAAUUGAUCUCGCGAAUGGGAAAAUGAUAGGAUUCACUUGAAGAGAAACACGCCAGUUGAAAAAGAAUUGGCAUGACAACCUCAGUGACCAAGAAGGAUUAAUAUUCACAUAGAAAUAUGAGAACACCAUUUAGGGAAGGUAUGGAUCAACACUUGACAUUGAAGCAACUCGAAUACCACAACUGAAAACAAAACAAAGAUUUGGCUUGCAGAAUAAGCCGGAACAAAUACAUAUGAUAGAGAUUUACCCAAUCCCAUAUCAUGCAUCUGUCGGAAAGAUAUUCUAGGAGCUAUUUGAAUACCCACCUAUAAACUCCCGAAACUUUCUGGUUAUGCAAUCUGGUGUUGGGGAUACAGGGGAAGCAUAAUAUCUCACCCAAACUAACAAUCCCUACAUCCAGCUGUAUCCAUCCGUCAACACAUAACCAAGAAAACUCCGGAAAUCGUGUACCUCAACCUUCGAAAAGCAUCCGUUAUACGAGCUAUGGCAAUACUCCCGAACUCCCGCCCCUAGUACUGGGUGGCGUCGAGGUUAUCUCACCAACAACUGCAUAAAAGAGAUUUUCGAUGUCGGCGGAACUCAGGUAUUCCAGAACUGAAACGAUAAAAUUGUGACGACAACACCUCGGAGCUCAACUCCCCGGGACACUGCCACAACCCCUAAAUGUCAGGAGGCACCAAGAACAAUGUUCUCGUCACAAGAAUAUCGGAACGAUCCCAAGAUACCCGCGUGAUCCUAAUUUUUUUUUAGUGAAAUUUAAGGAGAGGAAAGACAAAACAUCUACAUCAGGAGACCUCACCAGAGCGACGAAGGGGCCGAGGAGUAACAAGAAUCCUACUCUCCGAUAUAUAUAAUCCUAAGACUCAAAACAUUUUGGUUCUAGACUCGACAACGUCAGCGAUUCGAUCAAGCAGGAGGCUCCUAAGUCGGGGAUGGCUCUGAUUACCAACUUGUAACACCCACGAUGCGGCUAUAUCUCCCACGUUUCGAGGCACGACUUGGAGGCAUAACCGCAUGGUGGUUUUGUCGCAAGAAGGGUCAUCUUCACACAAUACCAUGUAAUGAACAAGAAUGGGAUAAAGAGUUGGCUUACAAUCACCACUUCACACAAUACAUUAAUUAAACAUACAUCAUUCAGAGUACACACAUAGUCCGACUACGGACAAAUACAAAUGAAAGGAAGACAACCCCAAAUGCUAGAUCCCCGAUCGUCCCAACUGGGCUCCAUUACUGAUCAUCAGGAAACGAAACAUAGUAACGACCAAGGUCCUCGUCGAACUCCCACUUGAGUUCGGUAGCAUCACCUGCACUGAUAUCAUCGGCACCUGCAACUGUUGUUGUAGUAAUCUGUGAGCCACGAGGACUCAGCAAGGGUAAAGUGGUGAGGUUGCAGCAACGACUAAGCAUGUAUGGUGGCUAACUUACGAAUACGAGAGUAAGAUGAGAAACUACGCAAACGGUCGCAAAUUAGAAAUGACCAAGAAGUGUUCCUGAAACUACUUACGUUCAAACAUAACCCAACCGUGUUCUCCUCUCAAACUUCCCCGAAAAAAGACAAUCACAGUUACGCAAUGCGGUUGGUGUAUUUUAAUUAAGUCAAGUGUAAAGUUCUCUACAACCAGACAUUAACAAAUUCCCAUCUGCCACAUAACCGCGGGCACGACUUUCGAAAGUUUAAACCCUGCAGGGGUGUCCCAACUUAGCCCAUGACAAGCUCAAGAUCCGCGGAGACAAUCCUCCAUCGGGGACAUCCGAUCAGACUCGGGGUCCCGGUGCACAAGACAUUUCGACAAUGAUAAAACAAAACAAGCAAGACCGCCCGAAUGUGCCGACAAAUCCUGAUAGGAGUUGCACAUAUCUCGUUCUCAUGGCACAACAGAUGAGUCAAGCUACGAGUAAAACCAGCCCUCGAGUUUCCCUAAGGUGGCCCCGCAGGCUGCUCGGUUCGGACCAACACUCAGAGGAGCACUGGCCGGGGGGGCUAAAAUAAAGAUGACCCUCGGGAUGGCGACACCCUAGGGAAAAGUAUAGGUGGUGGUUAGGCAAAUGGAAAACCAAUGUUGGGCCUUGCUGGAAGAGUUUUAUUCAAGGCGAACUGUCAAGAGGGUCCCAUACCCCUCAUCGUGUUAGGGACGCAAAAUCAAGGAACAUAACACUGGUAUGACGGAAACUAGGGCGACAAGAGUGGAACAAAACACCAGGCAUAAGGCCGAGCCUUCCACCCUUUACCAAGUGUAUAGAUGCAUUAAUUAAAUAAGAGAAUUGUGAUAUCCCAUGAUAUCCAUGAAAUCCAUGUCCCAACAUGGAACAACCUGCAACUAGCAACGCUAUAAGAGGGGCUAAGCAAAGUGGUAACAAAGCCAAACAACGGUUUGCUAAGAAGGGUGAAAAAGGUUAGGGGCUAUCAUGGCAAUUUGGGAGGCUUGAUAACAAAUGAUAGGUAGCGCGACAUAGCGAUAGCAUCGAGACAAACUAGCAUAGCAAUAAUAGUAGUGAGAUCCAAGGUGACGGUCAUCUUGCCUGAAAUCCCGCUAGGAAGAAGAACGAGUCCAUAAAGAAAACAAACGGACGUAGACGAACGAAUUCUCACAACUCCGAAACGAAACUAAAGCUAACGAGAGAAGCAAACCGGAAAGAAGCAAACAUGGUAAACAACCAUCACAUCAACAUGGCAUGAUGCACAAUCAAGUAUUGCAUGUCCGGUUUAAUGAGGCAUGGCAUGGCAUGACAAAGUACAACAAACAACACUACAAAUUAAGUGGAGCUCAAUAUGCAUCGAGUUGCAUAUUGACGAAAUACCACAUUCAAGUUAUUUAGUUCGCUCUCGUUUAUGUACCCAACAAUAUUAACUGUUAUUAAACAUGGCAAGAGGGUGAAGCAUAAAUAAACUUACUAUUUAGGCAAGUUUAAAAGAGGCCGGAACAAUAAACAACAAUUCCGGUAAAUCCCCACAUGUCAUUUAGCAAUUUAAUUCAAGCAACAAUUUUAAACAUUUUAUAUGUUGUUAUCAUGAUGUGGAUGCCAUAUAGAAGUUUAUGCAUUUUUAUGAAGACGUUGACAUGAGCAUUUGGCCAACAUGGCGGAACGAAAGGGGUGCCACGGUAACGACAACAGAAAUGGUGCCACAGGAACAUAUCAGUUCCGGUAGGUCAUGGAGGUGCCGGUGCAAAAGGAAGUGUGGAGCGAGUCAUGCAAUGAUGGUGGGGUGAUCCCGGAUACCGGGUUCCCACGGGUCGAUGGCAUGGCAAACUAGGAGGAACGUGCAAUGACAACUCGGACACAGUGCAACCACGGGCAUCUCAUACAACACAUGCAUUCAUCCACGGGCAUCGUCUCGGGGUUAUACCUUCGAAGCGUGCAUUUUCGGAGCAGAUCAAGUUCGUUGAGGGAAGUAGACGUUCUCGCAACGGUAGUGGAAGUAGUGGUACAUGUCUCGUAGAGGAACUUGACGUCCACGGAGUCGACAGUAGUGGUACACAUGUUGUCGGGGUACUUGACGAAUCUGAGUCCCUUCGGGCGUAGUGGCACUUGGCGAAAUCCAAGAUGGUUUGACGAGUCCAAGAUGGUUUGACGAUUCCGGACACGGCGGUAGAGGUACUUGGCGUCAAUGUGGCCUCCAGGGUACUUGACGAAAUCCACAUUGGAUGUAGUCGUUCAUAUUUGAAGGGGAACUUGGCACGUACAAAAUCUUCGAGGUUCGUCGUGUACUUGACAUCUCGGUGCUGUAGUCAAACUUGCCGGUCUUGCUGAACUGAAGGGGCAUCGAGGGACUAGCAAAGGCCCUGCCUCGGGAGGUCACAGGAGGUGCGUGGAGGUAGCUCGAGCUACUGGUCGUCGGGGCAUGGCCGAGCAGCGGCUGGAAGAAGUGGCCGGUGUUGGCCUUGGCAUGAAGCAGGGGAGGUGGAGCUCCUGCUAGGGCGAUGGCGGCGAGCACGACGCAGCUGGGAGAAGCAACGACUGGACCGUGCAGCAGUGGGCGAGGGACUCCGGGACGGCGCGGAGGUCGAGGAACUUGGCCGGUGGCGCGGCUUGGAGCAGAUCGGGCGCGAGGAAGGUCGGAGGCGCCCGAGGCGAACGAUGGAGGGGCGCGAAGGGGCGGCGCUCGGCGCGAGGGUGCAGCAGCUGCUGCUGUCGGCGGCGAGGUCGAGGUGGGUUGGUGGCGACGAGGAGAAGCAGGAGGAUAGGCGGCGCGGGAGGAGUCUUGGUCGUCACCGGCGGCGAGAACGAAGCCGUGCGCGGGGCGCCACUCCUUUGCGCGCGGGGCGACGCAAAGGCACAGAGGGGGUGAGGAGAUCGGGCGCGGGCGCGUGGUUUCUAGGGGUAGCGGCGUGAGGGAGAAGUGAGGGAGAGAGACGAGGGGAUCGAGCGAGCUAGGGUUAUAGGGAUUGCUGGGCCUUGUGGCUGGGAUGGUGGAGACCAACGGUUGGGCCUUGCAUAGGUUGCAGCUAGGCUAGGCUCUCUCUCAUAUUCUUUAGCAGAAAAGAAUUAGAGAGAAGAAAAGAAAGAUAGGGUUAGGGAAAGGAUCUGAGCACGAGGACAAUUUUCCUGGACUCAAAAAAAUACGAGGAAUUUGACAAAAAUGACCUGAGGAUUUUUAGAGGAAGUAAAAUCCACCCGCGUUGGAUUAAACUCGGCAAGUUUGAAUUUUGAAACCCAUUCAAAUGAGCUCCAAGUGGGUUGAAACUAUAGGAGGUGACCCUACACACCAGAUGUGAUUUAUGGGCAGAUUUGGUACAUUUAUGGAGAAGUAAAAUUGCAACUCAAUUUUACUAAAAGGUCGAAAAGGAAGGAUAGGAAGUUGAGUCGGAUAAAAGAAGAGUUGAAGAAUAAUGCAAAUGGGUUAUGGGUGAUUCCAAGUUAAUGGAAUAUUUAUUAUAGCCCCCUAAUAUAUUGGGAGGAUAUGUUAUAAAGAGAAAUCACCAUGCGAAUUCCCUCGAUUUAAAUAGAUCAACGAUCUAUGCAAUUUAUUUAGCUGAGUUUUUAAAAAGGUUUGUAUGAUGACAUGAUGCAAUGCAAAUGAUGCAAUGAUGAAUGCAACAAACCAACAACUCACACGACGAAUCUUGGAAUCCAUGGAAAGGCAUCUGGAGCGCUCUAGGGGCGUCACAACUACAUUGGUUUGGAGCGUUUCUAAUUGUGGUUACAACAGCGAGGUAAAUCAAUACUGAUAGUCUGACGUGUUUAACUAAUUUUAUUUCUGCCAAUAGCAGUAUGAUUUAUGAUCACUAAUCUGCUUGUUCUCACGUAAAUCAAUAGUUCGUCAAUAACUUACGUAUUCUUGCAGCAUAUGAGUUUAAACAGAGGUAGAAUCAAAACUGCACAAGUACUCUCAUCCCAUUUGUCAUGUAUAGUGAUGUCAAGAACAAUUUCAAGGCAAUGCCUUAUUUACAGUUUACUCACGCAAGCUUCUUUCACUAGAAAUAUAAAUGAGUAAUCAAGAAGACACAAUUGCUUUAAGAGUCUAUUGUUCAUAACACAUAUAUUUGUAGGUUAUAGCCAAGUCCAAUGGUUAUUUUGGUCUUGAAUGACAGGCUUGCAACCCUUUUUACAAGUUUUAAGUUUUAUGGUAAAAUAUGCUUUUGUAUGACCAAACCAUUCAGAUUUAGUGAAGUACAAAUCUCAAUGAGGAGUCGAAUGUGCAGUCCAACAACGACGUGACAAACCCUGCGCCUGCUGGUACCAUCAACAAUAAAUUUGGUGUGUAUUCCUCAUUUUUGAAGUCAUCAUGAUUUUACCUAUUACGUGAUUGCCUCGACCCCUUCCCUUCUGCAAGGGACAUCCGUCUUUCAUUUUGAGUAGUAUAUUUCAUCUAUGAACCUGCAAGCUCAUCCUUGCCAGUUUUAAUGUUGGAACAUUAAGAAAAGUUGUUUUACACCUCCUAUGUACUCGCAAGCCCAUUCUUGUUAUUUUGAUAACAUACCAACUUGUUGUUCUAUUGAUGGGCAUUUUCAUUUUGGAGGUUCAACACACUUGAUUAUCUCAGCUACUUGAUAAUAUACUUGCAGGUACAAGAUCUUCACACAUCUAUUAACUCAUUGUAUGUGUUUUGUGAAGUGGUAAUUACAUUCAGCAGUUAAGCUUAAAGAAUAUCUAUGCUAAACACAUGAGGAAUGUUGUUAGUUUAUACUUGUUAGGCAAGAUAACUUAUUUAUCCUACUAAACCAUGUUAAUACAUUCAUUUUUUCUACAUCAACGUAAUUUUGGAACGUAUAGCUCCUUAGUUUCGAAGACAUGAGGUUGAAUUUGGUUAUCCACAACAUGAUUUGGUCUUCUUAUUGAUAGCAACGUGAACCUUCAGAAAAAUUAUUUUAGUUCAUUUGCCUUUUUCGGUAGUGGACGUGAAAUCUUUUUGUGGCCUUUUUCCUGGUGACUUUUGGGUUAUGUAGAGAUUUGUAGAUAUAUAUUUUCCUGGGUCAGAUUUUGUGUUAGAUGCUUUUGAACUAAUGUGUACUUUUAAUUUUAUCUUACUUUGUUUGUGAGACGCUAAUUUUGUGUAAUAGUUUUUGACAGCAAGAUCUCCAUAAUGAGGCAUUUAUACAGAUUUCAUUUGUGUUUUUCCGCACAAGUGUACAAUUUAACUUUUCAUAGUAAGUAUUCCGCAUCAUUGGUACCUUAGCAUGCUUCUGGAGUUGAAAUUUUAUUUCCUGGUGUGGUUUUGGCAGUGUUGAUGGUACAGGGCCAGCGGUGGGUGCUAUGUGAAGUGCAACUCUAUCAACAGAGAAAAACUACUCUUGAACUAGCAUGUGCAUGUGCAUGUGAUUCGGUCAACUAUGUAAUUUUGAACUUGAUAGAUCCUUAAUUCCUGAACUUUGAACGUGAUGGAUCCUUUGUCAUUUUUGUUGAAGAUUGAAACUGUAUCCAUCCCUCUUGCUGGCAGUACAUGAAUUGGACUGACAAGGCAACAAAGCUGAUGCAUGCUUGUACAUUGGGUCUGAUGUUAUUACCAAGGUAUGAGCUGGAUAAUACAUGUAUAAAACCAUGUCGACUGAAACUGCAAUUAGUCUUGCUUGCAUCUAUACUAUUAUAUGUUGUAGUCCAGUGAUAACAUAUCUAAUUAGCUGUCUUUUGUUGACUCAUCACUGAAAAUCUGAAUUCCAGUACCAAACCGCAGACUCAUGCCGAUGUAUAUUGCGAAAUGUUGUGAAGGCAUUUGGCUUCAAACCAAAUGGAAGUCUAUGAUUUUGCCAACAAACAAUGGCAGGUGACAUAGCUACAAACCAAACAACGGAGACUUUCCAACAUCUUGGCCAUGCCCUUUUGGUUUGGCAAUGCCAAUUUUCGGCAGGGCUAGAUGGGGUUCAUACAAAAUAUACCCAAUAUUAUUCCAUGUAUUAGAUGUAAACUAAGUUUUUGAUGUCUUUAUUUUUGGGUUCUGAUUGUUAUCCUAAAAAAACAAGACGAGAAUUAUGUAGGCUAAUGAAUUUGAAAGCAUCUUAUCAUAGCUGCAGUAUUUAUCAAUGUCUUUGAAAGUUGAUUACACACUUUCCGAAAUGGCCAAGAUAUAAUUAGUUGUCCCAGUCUACAGUACACACCAACUACGGAAGGCGGUGUUUAAGAGAUAUCAUCACAGGAAAAGCACCAAGACCAUUGUCUUAUCAAGAUGUCACACUUUGAGUAAUUGCGUAGGUUAUUUUAGUGUGAGAGUUUAUAAUUUUUUAGUUGCGGCUUAGCUACUGUUUGAUCUAGUUUAUUGUGGCAAACUUUUGGACCAGUCCCACUUUACACCUAUGUCUUGUUUUAUGAUUAUUGGAUUUCCUUUAGCCCUUCUACAUUUCAGUAAGUCACUGUAAAGUAUCUUCUGUUUCUGCAGAUACACAAGUCGGUGUAGUUACAUGUCAUCUUCAAUUUAUGUCAUCCAUAUUGCUGCUCUUGGCCAUUGUGGGCAUCAUCAACACCGAGCACCAACGACAAGAGCCCAGUGGUGAACAAGGCCAAGAGAAUCCUAGGAAGCUGCAGCUGAAAGUAGCACUGGAGGUGGUGCCCGGGAGCAGCAAUGCAGGCAGAAGUGGCCUAGAGGAGCGGAAGCGGUGGCUGAGACGAGCACAGGAGGCAGCGGCGCAACAGUUGGGUGCAGCGGGUCCGCGAGAAGUGGAGGAGCUGGUGGACGGGAGCAGAAUUGUUGACAGCGAGAUCAGAGGAGGCAACAAUGGCCGGAGUAGUGCGGGCGGCAAGAAAGGAAACGUGUAGUGAGUUGGCCUAAGGGGCAAUUUUAUCCAUGUACAAAAUACGAAGAGAAAUGUGUACAUGUACUGUUUUAAUUGCUGAUAUAGCUGCACACUUUCUCCUGGAAAUUUCUUUCACUUGACAUGAUUGUCAUGAUAUUUCUUUGUUACAUACUCCCUCUCUCCCGAAUUACUUGUCUUAAAUUUAUUUAGAUAUGGAUUUAUUUAGACACGUGUUAGAUCCGUAUCUAGAUAAAUGUAAAACAAGUAAUUGGGAUGGAGGUAAUAGAAAUUUCAUUCUUAUAUGUGAAGGAACAAAUUAUUGUAUUUCUCUUUAAAUUACAUAGUGCAAAUUUGAUCAGGCUUCUCCUCAUAUUUCCUUCUAUAGCAUGAUGGCAGACAUUUAUAGAUUUUUCUUUUCUAUUAUGUUUAAGCCAGCUGAUUCAAUAACUUGUAGAUAGUAAAUCAAAAUAAACAUAUUCGCAAAUGUAAACUCAUUGUCCUGUUAUUUUUUGUUACAUUAUAUUCUUCCAUUGGUUGAAGGCGAGAUCGCUACAAUUAUAUUGGACGGUCUACAAAAGAAAGCCUUUGUUGAAGGCGAGAAUCCGUUAUUUUUUUUAUUAUUGCAUAUAAAAAUUUAUAAUUUUAUAUCCUAACAGAGACGUGCGUUGCACGGCAUGCUUACUAGUUUAAGAUAAAAAAGCGUGUCGCCCGACUUUAAAUUAAUAAAGCCACCAAGCAUCCAGAACAAGUCACAGAACAAUGUAAGGCAAAAGAACCAAGUAGUUUAGACGGUCAAACCGGCAAAAGAAAUACGACACGGCAGAAUACUAGCAAAAGAUAAAACAGGGACGACACUAGCCCUUCUAGGGAUGGUGAGCUUGAUCCACGUUCAGGAUGGAAUUUGUCGUAGCCAGAACCCACAAGAUCAAAAGCUCCACCACAUCCUUGUCGCUCGAUAUUAAAUUUGUUCCAUGUUGUCCAUAAGGCCCAGCAGAAGGCGGAGAACCCAAACCAAAACAACCUCUUAGUCUGGCCACCCAAGGCGCUGGCAAGAGGCAAGAGGUCACCAAAGGAGUUUGGUGCCCAAGUAACAUCGAGACAAUCCCUCAUGCGGUUCCAGAAGAACCGAGCCAAGGGGCAAGAAAAAAGAAUAUGAUUUGUAUUUUCAGCGAGCCCACAAAACGCACAACACUCUGACCCUGGGACGUUUCUUUUCUUGAUUUGGUCUAUGGCCGGCAGCCAACCACGCAUGGCUUGCCACAUGAAGAUCUUAACCUUAAGGGGCACUCUGUCACGCCAAAUUCCCGAGAAACGCAAAGAAGCCAGCCCAGACGAGAGUUUAACGUAAAGGGAUUUGACAGUAAACCUACUGGAUGCCGACAGGGGCCACGAAACCGAGUCAGCCGACUCCGAGAGCACCGGGAAGACAACAGCGAGGCGGUGCCACUCUUCCAACUCUAACAUCCUCCUAAAACCUAAGUCUCAAUUCUUGACCGAAAGCUCCGUGAUGGAGAUCGAAGGAAACGAACAGUAAGAAAACAGGGUAGGAAGGUAAGAAGAGAGAGGGCCAUCUCCCAUCCAGCAAUCUAACCAAAAACGAACAGAGUGCCAUCUCCAACCGAGAACUUAACCAGGGACUUGAACUCAUCUUUAACAUCAAGGAGUUGACGCCAAAACUAGACCCACUAGUCCUAGGGGUGCACAGGGGGCUGCAGUCAAGGAAAUUUUUAGCCUUGAGGAUUUGAAGCCACAAAGCCCCAGGAUCCAUAGUAAGAAUGUGCCACCACCACUUAAUAAUAAGUCAUAUGUUCAUGAGAGAGGUGUUAAUAAUGCCUAAGUUCCCAAGCCUUUUCGGCCGGCACAUGAUCUUCCACUUGACCAACCUAUAUUUCUUUUUGUUUUUUGCGGUGUUCCAACAGAAACCAUUCAUAUGUUUGUCAAAACCGCAUGACUGCUCCCAGGCAAGUGAUAGAAGCCCAUCAGGAAAGUGGGGAGGGAGGAGAGGCGAGCAUUGAUCGGGCACACUUUUGUAGGGUGGAACCCUAAGUUGAGAUCUUUUCACACUUGGAGGGGGGAAAGGAUGAACAACAAGAACACAAGAGAUGAAUUAACUCGAAACAAAACCCAAUCACACAUCCACUAGAAUAGCAUAGUUGAGAUCCACAAGAAUACAAGAACAAUCCAAGGAAACAAGCACAAAGGUAAGGUUCUUCCCACUCCUAAGGAGGUGGGGUCUUGAUGAUAGCCUUCUCCAAAAGGAGGUCUUGAUAUCCACUUGGGAUCUUCUCCUAGGAGGUCUUGAUCUCCAAGAGGAGUGGUAGAUGAGCAAAUCUUUCUCAAUGUCUCACAUAUACUUUGCUAACCCUAAAUAAUGUCCUAGGCACGGAAUAUAUAUCUAUAGGGAGGUAAGGGGCGACUUGGAGGGCGAAACAGGAAACCCUCAGCCGAAACCUGGGAGGACCAUGCGCACGGGGUAAGUGAGGCCCAUGCGCACGGGGGUCCCGUGGGCACAGUACACGCCUGUGCACACGGGGUGAUAUAGUGGUGAGGCCCGUGCGCACGGGGUUGUGCAUCUUCACUUCCAAUAGCUUUCUGGGAGGCCCAUGGGCACGGGGUUGGGGGAGGCCGUACGCACGGGGUUGCCUAGGACUUGUUGUUUCCGACUUGAUGAGCUCCUUCUUCUUCCUUGUGGCCUUGGGGUCCUUCUCCUUGCCUCCGGGAUGCUCCCUAGCUACUUGGUGGCGGUCAUCCUCGAACGUAAUGACACAUGGCACAUUUUGGUGAGGUAGCAUCCAAGUUCCAUUCGUAUCCAUGUCAAUCUCGAAGAGGAGAGAGUUCACCUCGGUUUCAAUGGCACGUGCGCGAGCUCUUACCAUAGGCCCAUGUGGUGCUUGAUGUGUUGGUGUAGAGUCCAUGGGGAUGAUCGAAGGAUAUUUUUUGAUAAAAUAUGCAAUGGGUCGCUUUUCUUGCAUUAAAACUCCACCAAUACCAUUGCCACUAGUGUCACAAUGCACUUCAAAAGUUUUGUCCAAAUUAGGCAAUGCAAGAAUUGGAGCAUGUGUAAGCAAAGAUUUAAGCUUGUCAAAUGUGGUAGCUUGUGAAUGUCCCCAUAUGAAGGGUGCAUUUUUCUUACUCAAGGCAUGCAGUGGUGAUGCAAUAGUGCUAAAGUCCAUAACAAAUCGACGAUAGAAACCGGCUAAACCAGGGAAACUACACACUUUUUGCAAAUUAGUUGGUUGUGGCCAAGUUUUAAUUGCUUCAAUUUUAGACUCAUCAACAUGAACACCCUUAGAAGACACAACAAAGCCCAAGAAAACAAGCUUGUCAACACCAAAAGUGCAUUUCUCCACGUUAGCAUAAAGGCGCUCGUUUCUAAGAACUUGCAAAACAUCCCUAAGAUGGGUGACAUGAUCUUCUAGAGAUUCGCUAAACACAAGUAUAUCAUCAAGGUAGACCACAACACAUAUGUCAAUGUAUUUGCGAAGAACAUAGUGCAUCACACGCAUGAAAGUGUCGGGUGCUUCGGAUAAGCCCAUAGGCAUAACUAACCAUUUGUAGAAGCCAGAUUUAUUUUUAAAAGUUGUUUCCAUUCAUCACCUUGUUGAAUGCAAAUAUGAUAAUAGGCAGUUUUAAGACCAAUUUUUGAGAAAAUGGUGGAUCCGCUAAGCUCAUCUAGCAUAUCGUUAAGGUGUGGAAUGGGAUGCCUAUAGCGAAUGGUGAUAGCAUUUAUGGGACGGGAAUUGGAACACAUGCGAAAACUACCAUCUUUCUUAGGCACAAGAAUAACCGGAACGACACGAGGACUUAAGCUUUCACGUACAUGCCCAUUGUCAAUGAGGUGUUGUACUUGCCUUUGGAUUUCCUUAGUUUCUUCGGGGUUGACGUGGUAGGGUGCCUUGUUUGGUAGAGGCAUGCCGGGGAUGAGGUCGAUGCGGUGUUCGAUGCCACAAAGAGGAGGCAGGCCGGGAGGUAGCUCAUCAAAAAAUACGUCUGCGAACUCCUGCAAUAGAUUAGACAACACUAGAGGUAGAUGAUAAGAGGUGUUAGUUCUUACCGCUUCGUCUUUGCACACUAGGACAUAGUGUAUAACACUCGAUGGGUUCUCACACCCUUCUUCAUCUAUCUUUUGGUGGCUAAGAGCACUAGAUUUUUCUUGUCGCUCAUCGUGGAGGCACUCAAUUUGGGCUUGUGGUGCUCAUUCUCUUUGUGGUGGUUCAUUCUCUCACUAUUCUUGGCGAUCACUUGACUUGGUGACAUAGGUCGUAGCACGUACUCCUUUCCCUUCAUCUUGAAGCUAUAGUGGUUGGUACGCCCGUUGUGGAUGACGCCGCGGUCGAAUUGCCAAGAUCUUCCUAAGAGGAGAUGGCACACGAACAUAGGAACCACAUCACACUCCAAGGUGUCUUCGUAUGCGUCGAUCUUGAAGGAAGCUUGCACAGUGUGCUCCACUUGAAUGGUGCCAGAGUCCCUAAUCCAUUGGACCUUGUAGGGGAGAGGAUGCUUCAUCUUGACCAAUUGUAGCUUGGAAAGGAAUGUCACUUUAUAUUGCACCUUAUGAUAGUAACCUUUAUUAUGCAGUCUGUCACUUUUAUUUCUUUACCAUCACAAGUUCGUACAAAGCUUAUUUUCCCUUACAAUAGAAUAGCAUACAUAUUUAGGAGCAAUUUUUAUUGCUUUUUGCACCAAUGACAACUUACUUGAAGGAUCUUAUUCAAUCCAUAGGUAGAUAUGGUGGACUCUUAUGACAAGAAACUGGGUUCAAGGGUUUUGGAUGCACAAAUAGUAUUUCUACUUAGUACGAAAUUUUGGCUAGCAAAAGAUUAUGAGCAAGCACCACAUGUUGGAGGGUCCAUGACAAUAUAACUUCUGUGUGAAUAUAAGCAAAUAUAACUCCUUGUGUUGUCUUCCUUCCCAACAUGUCUUCCUUUCCAACAUCAACUACUUGAUCAAGCAGAGAAUAUUUGACGGGGGCUCACAAUGAUAAAGGAUGUCCAACAUAGUAUAAUUAUAUGUGAGACCUCUCUUCCUUUAUUACAUUUUCAUGAAAAAUUGCAUCAAUGACCAAUACUAUGUUUGCUACCCUUCAACAAAUUUUAUCAAUUAUACUUCUUUUAUGUGAUGUAAUUACUCCCCAUGGGAUUAGCAUAUGAUCUUUUUAUUCUUUUAGUAUUUUUAUUGCUAAGAUUGAAACAAGAAAGUAAAGUACCGUAGAUUAAACUACUCUUUAUUAUAUAACUCUCACACUCGAUUACAUAGAUAGAUAGAUCAUGAAACAAGCACUCCGAACUAGUUUAUACUAAAACUUUAUUCUUCUAAAUCAAAAAAUAACUAAGGAUCGAACUAAGAUUAAUAAUCAUGAUAAAAAUGAUGGUGAUACGAUGCCGGGGCACCUCCCCCAAGCUUGGAACAAGCUAAGGAUGGUGCCCAUACCCAUGUACUCAAGUUUCCUUCUUCGGUGAUGAUGGUGCAGUGUUCUUGGCGAUGAUCCCCUAAGUGUAUGAUUUUCCUCUUUGAGCUCAUUGACUUGGUGUUUAAGGUCCAUGAUCUCCUUGCGGACCUUGCUUUUAGCGGUCUGUGCUCCAUCAAGUAGUGGAGGUAAUUUGGUAGUAGGAGAGGGAAUAAUGUCUGCCUGCAUACGAUGGUAAGGGGUAAAUCGAGUAUUGGAAGGUUUAACCGUGUUAGGCAGACUUGAUUUCUUGAACUCCAUGUGCAUGUCUCCUGGUUGAGGUAAGAGGGUUUCUUCUUCUUCCUUGCUAGAGUCAUCCAUUCUCUUCAAAUCAGCGUCCAACUCCUCAUCCGUGGGCCACCCAUAAGGAUCAAUAUCGCCAUCACUACUGCAGGAUGCUGCUAACGCGGCACUACGAUCAGAGACCCUUUGACGAAACUGUGUGUGAUGCAUUAAUCGUGAACGAUGAUGUAAAAUAAUCGUCAAAAAAGAUGCAAAAAAAUUUGCAAUGAAGGAUACAUCAAACACGGUAGAUUUUAGUUGCGUGUGCAAUGAGGGGCAUACAGUUAAGUUCAAUGAGCUAUUUGCGAUGAGGUAGAACAAAAGAAACAGGCAGCCAGAUGAAGGCGUAUGUGAUAUACGACAUACAGUUCACUUGGAUAAACUGUUUGUGAUGAGGCGGAACAACAGAAACGGGCAGCCAGAUGAAGGUGUGUGUGAUAUACGGCAUACAAUUCACUCGGAUGAACUGUUUGCGUUGAGCCAAGAGAACAGAAACGGUUCAACUUAACAAGAUGUGUGUGAUACACGGCAAACAGGUCAGUAAUCGGAAAUGCGUGGGAAGACCGAUAACAACACAUACGAUUCCUAUUAACAAGCCUUGUGUGUUGUGAGCAAAUGAUUGCUGGUAUACAAUUGUUAGUGAUUGAUGAAAUCAUCACUGACGGAUUCCAUUAUUUAGUCCGUGUGUGAUGUGAUUUGCUCUGUCUACAGAGCAUCAACAUAUAUACUUAAAAACACAUCAUUGCAAAACCAAAUUAAGCAUACAAUUACACAAGUGACUACACACAUAACAUUUCCACACACCAAAGUAAGCAAUUACAUGCAUACUAAACUAGGAGAAACGAGGAUCUAAUCAUCUACUUAUUGUUGCGGCGACGCUUGCCAUUGCUCUGCUUCCGGCUGGAUCCCUGGCCGUUUUGGGGAAGGAGGCACUUCCUCAUGUCAAUCAUCCACCUAUACAUGUCGUGGCUCGUGUACGCCUCCUUGGCCGUGUACACGACGUGAGCUUUGUCGAGUUUCUCCAUCCAGGCCAAGUGCCAGGCACGCUUGUCCUUGUUGCAGGAAUCCUUCAUGUCUCUGUAGUAGGGGUCGAUGAUGGCCUCGAUGAGGUGAACCAGUGAGUCCUUCUCAUGCUUCUUGAUGCCCCAGAUCUUGUAUUGGCCCUAUAUGUCGACAAGAUUCUGGCAGGCGAUGCCCGAAUUCUUGAGCACCUUUACAUCGUUGGUGAUGUCCACCGUAGCGAACAUGUAGUGGGGGCUGUUGACAAACCUGGCGAAACGCUCGCAAGGCCUUGUGGCUAGGCAGUAGUGGUAGAUGAGGACGUGGUUGCGCACGCACAUCUGGGCGACGACGACCUUGGGACGAGACCCGACACGAGCGCGGGUGUACUCGAGGUCGAACCCGACCACCUUGUACUUCUCCUCGGCAUGCAACAGCUCCAUGAUGGGGAUGGAGUGCUCCACCCAGACCGGGUUGUUGGUGUACACCACCGAGAGCUCCGUGAACCUUCUGUGGGUGUCCACCAUGGCAUGCAUGGUGAACAACUGCUCGUCGUCAGCAGCCACUUGGAGCGCCAUUGGAGCCACGCAGGAUACCCUCUAAGAAUUUGUCGUGGUGGGUGUGCUUCUUGCAGUGGUGGGGCGUGAUCGAAAGGUUGAAGAGACACAAGGGUUAAAUGGCCGAUGUAAUAAAUGGGGGCCUGCCGGCCUGUAAUCAUCACAUCUUGUCAUGACAUUCAUAGCGGAGUAUUCCAAUGCACGCUUGACAACACCGCACCGCACGCGUUUCGUUUGACCACGCGUGGGCUCGAAGAGGCGUCAAAUGUAUCUUCAGUGAGCCUGUUCCCGUGCUACCGCACAGUUUACCGCGCAAGCUUCUCGCCCGACUAGUUUGGCCAUGCGUCGGCUAGAAGAGGGACAAAUCGUGGGCGUUUAUUGGCAAAAAGCUUUGUAAAAACAAAGUGUGUGGAAUGACUUCGGUCAUAAGUUUACCCGUGGGUGAUGAGGUCAAAGUUACACAGAAGGGUGAUGAUGGACACUCGAAUGCGAUAAUUAAUUCUGCGCUCUACAGGGCACACGGUUGAAGAAACCAACUAUGUGCAAUAAUGUCGAAGAUCGCAGUCGAGUUAGCUAUACAGAUCAUGUGCUAUGAGAUCGACAAGGUAAAUAGAUUCGAGAAUGGUUAAUAAAGUCUAAGUCCAUUGCAUAUUAAGGUCAAAAUAGUGCUACCAAUAUACGAGUCUCAUACAAUGCCAUUUCAAUGAUUGUACCACAAAAGCUUGAAAUAUUACAAGGUUCAAAUUCCAGAGUUAUAUGGCUCAAAUUCGAAGAUUACAAGGUUCAAACUGAUACUAUAAAUGAAAUUCAGCUCAUCAGCUGCAAACGCUUGCGCUGAUCCACUGAACAUGGAUAUCAGAGAGGUUCAAACUAAUAUUACCACUUCUAAGUCUGGUUUUAAAACCUCAUAAUUUUUGCAAAGGGGUCAGCCACUGAGAAGUCAUGUAUGGGGUUGACAUGAUGACUUCUGAUUAUUCUGUCAUUUGAAGUUCCAAAAUGAAAUUCAGCAUUUUCGGAGCCUAUUCCAUUCUGCUGCAACCGCCGACGCUGAUCAACAAACCAUUCAUUUUUGCGAAAUAAAUGUAGGGCAAACCUCAUUACCUUCAGCACCCUUGCUCUGACAACAAAGAACCUGGCGAAUAUAAUCUCCGGUAAGGUCCCUCGGUAGGAGUUCAAAGUAAUUUCCAAGACAUACAGAUCUAGGCAUUCGACAUGAUUGUUAUAUUGUAUCACAGUAUCCACCACCGGGCCUAAUCUUAUCUGCAAAAGAAGAAAACGUGUUAGUGCCUACAUGCAGUUUUGAACACUACUACAAGCCUAUUUGGUAUGCAGGAUUUGUAAAAUGCACUAACAUGCCAUCUUCGAUCCGACAUGAUUAACAGGAAAGUUCCCUAAGAAUCCUAGAAAAAUGUAGCCUUCUUCACAAGAGGUUGGAGUGGAUGAAAAGUUCCCUAAGAGAACUAGUACAGAUGAAUCCAAAGGAGAAAUGCUUAUGGAUUGUAACCAUAUGGAUCAAGCAACCAAUAUGGGGGGGGGGCAUGUAUGUACUGAAAUCCUCCAAAAAAUCCUUCAGAAAUCGCAGUACAUUGUCAUUGUAAACUUGGAAAAAGGUGUCACAAAUUGAACUCCCUUAUGGUUACUCCCUCCGUCCCAUAAUAUAAGAGCAUUUUUACACUAGUGUAGUGUAAAAAACGCUCUUAUAUUAUGGGACAGAGGGAGUAACAUUUAACAGGAAAGGAAAAUCACCUCGAUAUAUAGCUUCUUGAGGCACAAAAAGCAUCUAAGGAAAUUGACAACUUGCUCCGGGUUGGGGCCGAUAGAUUCUAGUGCCAAGACCUUCACUGUGCGCAGUUUCGGGGUCAAGCUUGUCGGAAUCAUUUUCUGGAUGACAGACGAACAUACAUCUUCAAAAUUAGAAAUAAUGUUAAUAUCUAGAAGGAGAGGUAGAAGGCGGCUGUUGUACCUGAACGGGUGUGGAUCCAAUAACAAGUUCAGAGUAUUUGUCAGACAAGUAGCCCACCACUAUCAAUUUCGGCGCAGAAAUGACAUUGAUUCUUGUUGGACCUUCUUGAUCAACUACAAGUAAUCUCUCAAGUGAAGGUGUGUCCUCAAUGACCAUACCGUGGUACACAUCUUGUGAUGUCUUCUUGCCGCACCAGCAACACACAUAAAUAGUCCGGAGAGUCAUGGAGUUGAUGUGAAAGCUACUCAACCCAUUGAUCGUCUGAAGACGAAGGUACUCGAGUGCAGUACAACCACGGAGCAGGCGCUCCAUGUCACCGUUUGGGAGGCAAAUGGCGACGAGCUCGAGGUGCUUCAGUCAUGGUAGAAUAAGAGCGGGCACAUCAUUAAGGGGGGAUGGCAGUUCCUGAACUUGGUGACGCGCAGCGUGAGCGCCAGGCGAAGCGCGGACGUUGGCAGCAAGCGCAUAUGCCCAUCAUCAAAAGUGAGCUCGUCGAGGUGAUCUAGGGCGGGGAUCGAAACCAGUCGUCAAGCUUGGCUUGGUCCUUGCCGUUGGAACGGAACUUGCCCAUUCUAAGGCCUCUGGUUGGGCCAGGGUGAUUGCCGAGGAUCUUGGAGAAUGCAUCCAAGCUUUUGCAAUAGCCAUGGUAGAGCUCGUGGGUGUCGAUGAGGUCGAGAGGGGUGGAGUUCCAUAGGGGGCGCCACCAUCGGGAAAGGAUGGUUAUCCGCACCCCAUAUUUGAUUAGGAGGAGGGAGAUGAUGACUAUCAACAUAUCAUCGGGGAGGCUGCUGAUGAAGUCUAGGCCUGCUGGAGUCGCUUGUGUUUCUUGCUCGCCCCGCCUCCGCUUGUUGGCAGCCCUGUUCUCCACCUCCGGAGUCCCCUUGUCAGCGACACUUUCUGAUAGAAGUGGGAGUACAGGGAAUAUUUAGUUAAAACGGGGCAAUAGAAAAGUGUAUUGGUAACUAGAAGUUAGUAGGUAGGAAUAUAGUAAGAAAAUGGAAUAACAAUUGGUUGCUUAAAUACUACACAAUUCAUUUGAUAUUGCUGGGUAAGUCAACAUGCAGAUACUUGAAAAGAAAACUUACUUCAAACAAAGUCUGGACGGAUGAUAUCGUCGGGGAAGUUAGCAUAUAUCUCAUGAAGAGGCUCUUUUAUGUGCAGUGCAAUUUUAGUGCCAGCUUUGAGUACAUAAAACUUAGAAAUUUCUUUCCAAAGGCCAGUGCCAAAAUAGGAGUCACCACGUUCAUCAAGUCUUACUGUAGCAACGAUUGUAAAUCCAUGGUUUGUGUUCAGUAUGACAUGCCUGCAGUCUUGAUUUAUAUAAAGAGAAAGAUUGUGCACUACAAAUUUUCUUGCAUAGCAAGGGACGCCCUGCAGAAAAUGGUAGGAUUGUUAAAGAAAAUAUGGUAACAUGAAAAUAUGGGCCAAAAUUGAAAGAAAUGUACAACAAUUGAAAUCGAAGGACAAAAAUCUAUAAUUAAAUAGAUAGGGUAAACAUGAUGUCAUGGAAAUAUGAGAGUAAUCGAAAGAACAAUACAUCAUUAAUUUGCCUAAUACAGAAAGAAGAGGAAAAAACAUCCCUUUUGACGUAUAUGGUGCAUGUGGCACCUUUUAUCCAAAUGUAGCAAUAUUUAGUAUAUGUUCAGGAAAGUAGGCCAUGCCAACCGAUUUAGGGUGAGAUUGAACAUAUCGCGCGCAUCCUCAAGUCAUCUGGUAUGGUGAGAUGGAACUCCAUGGAUGUCUGGAGGAGGCCGCAAAGUCCUGAUGUGUCCGCGCACUGUACACUCUAUGAAUGAAAGAAAACCCUCAAGUCAGCUCGAAUAAAAAUGAAUUCACGGCGAUUCCGGUCGGGUGAUUAAAGGAGGCAGAUGAACUGGGAUAAGAGAUGAGAUAAUAUCUCAUUAAAUUAGUUACCUUGUUGUCCAUGAGAAAAAACCCUCAGUACGGCGGAUUCCCCAACCUGGCGUAGCUAGGUCGACCGCGAGCAGCGUUGAGAAAGUCGAUGGCGAUAGGCGGCGGCAAGCAGAAGUGGUGAAAUGCGGUGGGGUUUGCCGGCAGCCUGGUGGCGGCGGGCGUCGAGCUAAGUGGUUGCCGCCACGAUAGGCGGUGCCAUGCAUAGACGCGGAGGAGCUUAUGCAGGUGUGAAUGGGGACCGGAGGGGGUGGCGGGCGGGGUGAGGGUUUUUGCGACGUGGGGAUGGUGAGGGUUUUCUUUUUUCUUUUUUGAAUUGGGUAGUGAGGGUUUUCUAUCCCACAAAGAGUUUCGGAGGCAACGGUUUGCUAGAGCCAACCGUGUGUGAUUGACGUAACAGGCAAAAUGAAAGUCAUUGCACACUGUUCCAAUUUUGGAAACCGUGUGUGAUUGACGUACUACCUCCGUCCUGGUUUAUUGGUCCCCAAAUAUUUAACUAACAAAUGUUUAUGCAUGUCACCAAAAAUUGUACCAUUGAACACAUCCAACGAUGUAAUUUUUGCUGACCCGCACUAACAUUUUGUCAGUUAAAUCUUUGGUUAAAAUUUAACACAAAUUACAAAGGGGACCAAUAAACCAGGACGAAGGUAGAUUCCAUCAACCGAACUGAUUGCAUCCAUAUCCCACAUUUAGACAUAAGUAAAUAUAGAUUAAACAUAUUCGGACAUAGAUAAUAAGCGUACACAAGCAUAGUUCAACCAUAAGUACAUUGUUCAACCGUCAUUAAGACACUACAUAGCCAUACAUAGUUCGAUCCCACAUCUCAUCUCAUCUGCCGGCACGAUCCUGAAGCUUCUCCAGGUACUCGGCAUACGUGCCAUGUGCCACCCUGCGAGAAUACUUUUGCUUGAAGGAGCCAAUGGCCUGUCCUCUUACAUGCGCCAGAACGCUUUGAUACGCAUCAUGAAGCUUGUGCUUGCAAAAUGGGCAUCGAUAGCCGCCGUCCCAGGUCCUAAUAUGCCUGUUAUGCAUUCCCGCAUAAAGCUCCCUCAGGAUUUGCCUCUUGUACCUCCUCUGGCCAUCUUCAUCCUCGCUGUCCACAUCGUCACACAACACCUAUACAAAUAGUAAUUUUUUUUGGCAUCAAAUCAAUGUUUACAUGCCGUGAAGUAGGAUUAGGAAUUUAUGGCUAUUGUUUUAUACAUAUCCAGAGAUUAUGGUUUAAUUUUUAAGCACAGUCGUCUAUGUACAGACCAAUCUUGAAGAAAAUAAUGGCACAAACAUAUAUGUAGGUCAUUCAAAUUCAAUGGUCAAGUUCUGGCUAGGAAUUAUUAGCACGAACACUAACCCUAGUCGGAUUACUAGCAGAAUUCAUUUGCACAGAUGAAACAACUAAUCACUUAUCACUUGUACUAUUCAAACAAUCAAUACACUACACGGAUCUAACAAAACUUACUCAGAUUUCAUGGAUUGGAAGAACAUAACCAUAGGAUUUCUAUUCCAAAAGGGGGAGGUGUCGGUGUCAAAACCGACCGAUCUCGGGUAGGGGGUCGCGAACUGUGCGUCUAAGGAUCGAAGGUACCAGGAGACAGGGGACACGAUGUUUACCCAGGUUCGGGCCCUCUUAAUGGAGGUAAUGCCCUACUUCCUGCUUGAUUGACUUUGAUGAGUAUAGGGGUUACAAGAGUUGAUCUACCUCGAGAUCGUAAUGGCUAAACCUAGAUGUCUAGCCUAUGUGAUUUAUGAUAUCCUCUACGGACUAAACCCUCCGGUUUAUAUAGACACCGGAGGGGCCUAGGGUUAAACAAAGUCGGUUUACAGAGAAAGGAAACUAUACAUCCGGAUGUCUGGCUUGCCAUCCACACAAAGGAGAGUCUCAUCCGGACACGGGGGAAGGCCUUCUAUCUUGUAUCUUCACAGCCCAUCAGUUUGGCCCAUGUUACAUAGCCCGGAUGCCCAAGGACCCCAUAAUCCAGGACUCCCUCAGUCUCCCCUGAACUUGCCUUCAAUGACGAUGUAGUAUUCGGCUCAUGUCUUCGGCUUUGCAAGGCGGGCUCUUCUAUAGUCUGGGCCGAUGACAAUCUGGUAAUAAUCUUGAUGCCUUUUAUGAUUCCCCCUGCCGACGCUUUGAUUUCUGUGCGUUGAGUGAAUAUGAAUGGUCCAUGCACUUUUGCAAAUAAGUACUUCGCCAUGCCCAGAUGGCAUCUAUAUAAGGAGAUACAGAUCUCCAAAUGGCAUCUCACGUCGCGCAGAAGGAAACCCGCCAAUUUUAGCCACGAACAAAGCCCGCCAUCAUGACGAGCGCCCCAGGCUCUUCUUCGUGCCCUCACGGCCCUCAAGAGGGUGAUUGGCAGAGUUGCUCCGUGCCUCAUCUUCAGUUAAGCCAGCUCCAAACGCAAGGCUAACUCCCCCCCGCGGAUCUAGUCUCCAUCCGAGAGGGAUUGUAUUCAGUAGGCGACGAUGCAAUGGCUGAGAAUUUCCCCAAUCCCAUUAAGGAGGUGAGGGUGUGCUUUGUCCCAUUCCUGUUGCGGGGCCUAGGAUUUCCAAUCCAUCCCUUCCUCAGGGGUUUAUUGGAAUUUUAUGGCAUCCAACUACACAACCUCACCCCAGGUUCGAUUUUGCACAUCUCAGGCUUUGUUGCCCUGUGCGAGCUAUUUCUGGGCAUUGAGGCCCAUUUUGAAUUAUGGAGGAAGUUCUUCUGUCUUGUUCCCGCCACCGAGGAGGUUCCAUAUUUGAGGUGGGCGGCGCCGAAGUAUGGCGCAUAGCCGGAUCCGGAUACCUGGUAGGAACACCUAAAGAGGUUUACCCGCAGUGGUCUUCGGAAUGGUUCUAUGUGGAUGACAUCCCACUGCCGGACCCAGUUCGGAGCGGCCUCCCUGAAUUUUCCAGUGCUCCCUUAAGGAAGCACCUCAACUGGCGUCCCCGCGGUCCCAAAGAAGAGGACAGUGCAGAAAUACAUAGGUUGGUCAGUAAGGUCAGGCUGCUGGCCCACUCCGAACUCUCAAUAGUCGAAGUCAUGGCGAUUGCAAUAAAGAGGUGCGUGCAACCCCUUCAAUCUAGAGUAACUCCUUUAUGGUGUAACAAUUGAGAAGACGACGCGUCUCGUUACAGACAGCAGGGUCCGGAUACCCCAGCCGAACUGGCCUCCUUCUUGGCCGAUCUGUACAAGGGCGAAAAAGAAGAUUUUCUCCGGUUAAACUGUCGAGAGGCCUAUUCCAUGUACACCCCUAUUGAAUGGGCAAGAUCUCGAUCCAUUUGUGCUUAUUUUACUGUAUUGCAGAUACUAAUCAAAUGUACUUUUUAGUGCCACCAACUUAGUCAUGGAGGAGGAUGAUCGAGGACGUCCACUGUCCCGCUCCUCAGCCGGAGGAUCACAAUCGAGACAAAGAUCCUGGCUUUUGCGAGGAUCCGGAUAUAUAUAUAUAUAUAUAUAUAUAUAUAUAUAUAUAUAUAUAUAUAUAUAUAUAAUUCGACGAUGGGGUAUUCGAUCAAGCGAGCCUUGACGGUUCAGAAGUGGCCAUCAUCGCCGACUACCCUCGCCUUUACCCAUUCUGCAUCAUGAGUAUCCAGAGGUUUCCUAAGAAGAGAUCCUCAUUUGUAUCCUUUCCUGUUGUACUAAUCCGGAUUUUAUCAGGAUCGGCGCUCCAGGGACCUUAACUCCUCAAGGGCGGCCCCCACGCAAGGCCGUCGUUCAAAAAGAAAAGGGACCGGGAGUACUAUGGGCACCUCACAGUCCUCCAAGAGGUAUGUAUACUUAAUGCAUGCUCAAGCAUGAGUCUGGAUUGUUUAGGAGUCUCCCCUUUUUUAUUUUUAGGAGGAGUACGCGACAAACGGUGGGAAAACGCCCAAUUAGCCAAAUGUCCGCUAAUCCGGUGCCAGGCUCAUCAGCUAGGACGCCAGAAAAUCCCGCGCCUAGUCCGACUCCUCAAGAGGAUUCAGAUGAAGUGUCGGUCACGAAUUCUGAAGUGGAAAGCGUGAUGAACCAUCGUCACUUGUAGGAAGCUAUACGUGCUCCGGCCUUGUCCGAAUAAGAAUUCACUGCACUGAGUUCGACAGAUGCCUAUAUCCGAGCCGCUCGAGACAGCCUUGCCGGAGUUAUUUAGCCAUUCUCAAAGAAAAUACAGGUAAAAUUUGACACAAUUUGUAUGGUCAUAUGCUAGUAGCCCCCGAGACUUGAAGCAGUUGGCCCAACUGAUUUAAGGGUCGUUAUAUCUUCAGGUACUGAAGGAGAAAAAUAACAUAUUAUCCAGGGAGCUUGAAGAAUGUCGGACCGAGCUAUCUAUUGUCACCGCUGAACUGGAAGAUUUGAAGAAAUCCAAGAAGGCAUCUGAUGGUAAGUACAACAGUGUCCGCAAAAUAUGAUACCGUGCCAACAAUGAUUGCUAAAUAUGCUUUGUUCAGCGGCAGGAUCGACAGAUCAGUUGGAGGAGCGACUAAAGGCUGCUCAGGCGGACAAACAACAUGCCGAAGGGCAAGAAGCCGCUGGUCAACGUAUAUUAACACGAACCAUUGAUGAGAAGAACAAACUACAGGAUGUAAACAUCAAGCAAGCCGAAGAGCUAAAGGACGUACGAGCCCAACUGUCGGAUGCCUUGAAAGAGAAUAGAAAGCUAAAAGGCAUCAUAUUCAGUAUGUCCUUUAAUCUGUCUUUCAUAUGGUCCUCUGAUGGAAAGUUUUAUGAAAUUAUUCCUAUAGGUUUGUUAACUGGGCGGUCCGAGGGAGAAGUGUUCGGAUUUCAAGGCGACUUGCUGCAAGAGCUAUCCGAAGUUCACGAGCGAGCUUGGAAAGCCAUGAGGAACAUGGCGAAGGCUUUGUGGCCAUCUGAUUCUCCUUUAGAAAUCAUGUAGGAGCUCGUGAAUUUAUUCAAGGGAGCUCGGUGCCGCUUUGAACUAUGGAAGGCAUAAACAUGUCGAGAAGAUGCACGAGAAGCCUGGGCCAUGGUGAAAAUGCAGUAUACCGGACUUGAUCCGAUUCAUAUGGCCCGAGUCGGACCUCGGGGACCAGACGGACAAGAAAUUCCUGUUAGCUUGGUGUAUGACCAAGUAAAGACAACCGCCAAAUUUUCACAACAGGACUGUAAACUAGACAACCUUAUAGAUGGCAUAGAUUAAGAGUAGGCGUUUGAUUCCACGUAACAAUAUACUUUAUCAUCAAACUCAUUUCCGGCCGAAUUUUAAAAGAUUGUCAUGGCAGAACUUCUGCUUCGACCUCCGAAACCCAAGGGUUGGAGUGUUUCCGAAUACCAUACCUGUGAUAAACACCAAGUAUGUUCAGAAACCAGGCAAUCCGGUCAUAGUUGCUUGAAUAGACAAGCUGUAUUCGGGGAGUUAUGUUAUAUUUUUUUAACGUAAGAAACAUCUUCUAGAGAGAAUAGUUCUGUUAAGGGUUCCUUUCCCUGGGUCAGCAUGCUAAUUUGUGCAUGUCUAAGCUUUGACUCAAAAAAGGCACAGGAAACUUUGUCCUUUGGGAGUUUAUAUUGUCACGAAGGCAGUUCGUCGUCUGUUUGCCGACCAAUUAUUCUCUUAAGAACGCUAGGUUUCGGCUUCACCCGUCUAAGGUACAUGCCCGGAUAACCCGGUUGUAGCAAUCGCAGAGGCGCUCCCUUUAUGCCCUAGCCGAACAAUCGGGAACGUAGGGCAUAAGCACAGGAGCCAGACAACCUAGCUUGGCAAAAACUUAAGUCAUAGAGGUGCAUAUAAUGGCAAAGAAAGAUGUAUACUAGCAAAUGAGACAUAUAUAUGGUGAGAUCUAGGCUUAGUAAAAUAAUAAGCUUCUAUUUAGAGAAGCCCCUAGUCAUAGUGGGGUGUAUACAUUUAAAGAUGUGUACCCCUCAAGUGUUCGGCUGACCCGAACAUAUAUCGGAGAUCAUGUAAAAAAGCAGAAAAAAUUGAAAAGGAGAAAAAGGUAUGAAAAAAGGGGUAUGUCCAGACUUAUGCGUAGAAUCUUCGGAGCUGAGCAGCGUUCCAAGGAUUCGGCUCAAGGCAAUUAUCCGAUGCAUUACGAAGGCAGUAGGCUCCUCCAGUGAGAACUUCAUCUAUAAUGAAGGGACCUUCCCAUUUAGGUUUGAGCUUGUCCUUUUUCUUCUCUAGGAGGCGUAAAACGAGCUCACCGACAUUUUACGUCUUUGCCCGCACUUCUCUGCUUUGGUAUCUCCGUGCCUGUUGUUGGUAGAAUGCGGAACGGACUUGUGCGACAUCGCGCUCCUCCUCCAGGCCGUCUAGAUCAUCCUGCCAAUCGAGGUCGACUUCUCUCUCUUCAUACAUGCGCACGCGAGGUGAGUCAUGAAUAAUGUCACAGGGCAAGACAGCCUCUGUGCCGUACACCAUGAAGAAUGGUGUAUAUCCGGUCGUGCGGUUGGGCAUGGUCCGCAGCCCCUAGAGUACGGAGUCGAGCUCCUCGACCCAUUGAUUAUUCGACUCCUUGAGGGAUCGCACUAGUCUGGGUUUGAUGCCACUCAUUAUCAGGCCAUUGGCCCGUUCAACCUGACCGUUUGUUUGAGGGUGAUAUACGGAGGCAUAAUCGAGCUUGAUACCCAGAUUAGCACACCAAUUUUUUACCUCAUCGGCUGUGAAGUUAGAGCUGUUGUCAGUAAUAAUGCUAUGUGGGACACCAUAACGGUGCACAACACCGGAGAUAAAAUCUAUCACCGAUCCGACUUCAGUCGUUUUUACUGGUUUGGCCUCUAUCCACUUAGUGAAUUUGUCCAUCAUAACCAGUAAAUAUUUCUUCUUAUGGCUUCCCCCUUUAAGGGGUCCGACCAUGUCUAGCCCCUGGACCGCGAAGGGCCAGGUAAUGGGGAUUGUUCUUAGGGUUGUGGGCGGCAUAUGGCUUUGAUUAGCAAAAGCUGGCAUCCGACACAGCGCUGUACAAGGGCCUGUGCAUCUACUCGAGCCGUGGGCUAGAAGAAACCUGUACAGAAGGCCUUGCUUACAAGGGCCCGAGCUGCAGCGUGAUGGCCGCCGAGGCCAGCAUGUAUUUUGGCCAAGAGCUGCCGCCCCUCCUCUUCGGAGAUACAUCUUUGAAGAACUCGAGUAGUGCUUUUCUUGUAGAGUUCUCCUUCAUGAACUUUGUAGGCCUUAGAACGUCGAACUACGCGACGGGCCUCGUUCUGGUCAUCAGGGAGCUCCUGCCUAUUAAGGUAGGCUAAGAAGGGUUCGGUCCAUGGAGUAAUUACCGCCAUGAUUACAUGGGCGGAAGGCAUUGGUUCGGUGCCCGAGCCCCCGAUGAUAUCCGAGUCGUGUUCGGCAUCCGGGGAUGUGAUCGGCGCCGGACUGGAAUUUCCACUCUCGUCUUGCCAUACCACAGAUGGCUUGAAAAGCCUUUUCACAAAGGUGUUAGGCGGGACGGGGUCGUGCUUAGCGCCCAUUCGAGCAAGGAUGUCCGCUGCCUGAUUACUCUCUCGAGCCACAUGAUGAAACUCGAGCCCCUCAAACUAAGCUGAUAUUUUGAGUACGUCAUUGCGGUAGGCCGCCAUCUUUGGAUCUUUUGCAUCAAAUUCUCCAUUUAUUUGAGAUAUCGCGAGGGUCGAAUCCCCACGCACCUCAAGGCGUUGUAUGCCCAUAGAAACGGCCAUCCGGAGACCAUGCAAUAGUGCCUCAUAUUCGGCCGUGUUAUUGGGGUCCGUAUACAUGAUUUGUAAUACAUAAUGGACCGUGUCCCCUGUAGGGGAUGUUAGGAUGACGCCAGCCCCCAAUCCGGCUAACAUUUUGGAGCCGUCGAAGUACAUCACCCAGUUUGAGUAUGUGUUGUACUCUUUAGGGAGUUCGGCUUCUGUCCAUUCGGCGACAAAGUCGCCCAACACCUGAGAUUUAAUAGCUCGGCGUGGUUUGUAUGUUAUUUCAAAUGGUAAGAUCUUGAUAGCCCAUUUGGCAAUGCGGCCGGUGGCGUCUCGAUUGUUUAUGAUGUCAUUGAGUGGUACGUCGGAGGCCACCGUGAUCGUGAUCGAGCACUCCUGAAAGUAGUGCCACAGCUUCGGAGAUGCCAUGAAAACCGCAUAAGCUAUCUUUUGAUUGUGCGGGUAUUGAGAUUUGCAUGGUGUGAGGACCACCGAUACAUAGUAUACUGGUUUUUGGGGUGGGAAUUUGUGUCCCUCUUCCUCUCGUUCAACGACGAGCACGACACUCACCACCUGGUGAGUUGCAGAUAUGUACAACAGCAUAGGUUCGCCGAUGUUGGGUGUGGGAAGGAUUGGGUUGUUUGCUAACAAAGUUUUUAUUUCUUCCAACCCGGCUGUCGCCGCGUCCGUCCACUCAAAGUGGUCAGUACGUCUCCUAAUCUGGGGAUGAAGCCGCUCAAGGCUGCCACGCACCCAACUAGUUUUUGGACCUACUUUAGGUUUGUUGGCGUUGCCAAUUGUGACAUGGCUCGGAUUUUGGCCUGGUUUGCUUCGAUUCCUCUAUUGGAAACAAUGAACCCGAGCAGCUUUCCGACCGGAACACCGAAAAUGCAUUUUUCCGGAUUGAGCCGUAUGUGAUAUGUUCGGAGGUUGUCGAUUGUAAGAUGUAAGUUGUCCACCAAUAAUUCGACAUGUUUGGUUUUGAUGACUACAUCAUCUACAUAUGCCUCCACCGUCUUGCCCAUUUUGUUUUUUCCAGGCAUGUUUGAAUCAUGCAUUGGUAAGUGGCGCCGGCUUUUUUGAGUCCGGAAGGCAUUGUGUUGAAGCAGAAAGGCCCAUACAGAGUAAUGAAUGCCGUUGCGGCCUGAUCGGAUUCCUUCAUCUUAAUUUGAUGGUAUCCGGAGUAUGCGUCGAGGAAGCAUAGUGAAUCAUGUCCUGCAGUUGCAUCAAUGAUUUGGUCAAUGCGGGGCAGUGGGAAGGGGUCCUUGGGGCAGGCCUUGUUGAGGUCUUUGAAAUCGACACGAAGGCGCCAGGAUUUGUCCUUCUUUGGCACCAUGACUAGGUUUGCUAGCCAGUCCAGGUGUUUGAUCUCUCUGAUGAACUCGGCUUCAAGUAGUUUGGCUAGCUCCUCCCCAAUAGCUUGUCGCUUGGGUUCGUAAAAUCACCGCAACGUUUGCUUGACUGGCUUGAGCCCCUUUAUUAUGUCGAGGCUGUGUUCGGCCAGUCUACGUGGGAUUCCUGGCAUGUCUGAAGGAUGCCAGGCAAGGAUGGCCCAAUUCUCGCGCAAAAAUGCUCUUAGAGCGGCGUCGACCAUUGGAUCCAGCUGUGCUCCAAUAGCUGCUGUUUUAUUAGGAUCCGUUGGGUGAACUUGAAAUUUGACUAUUUCGUCUGCUGGCUUGAAUGAAGUGGACUUAUGCCUCUUAUCGAGGAUUACGUCGUCUCUAUCCACUAUGGAGCAUACAACGGUGAGCUCCUUGGCCGCAAGGGCCUCGGAUAAUGCCUUGAGGGCCAAGGAUGCGGUUUUGUUUUUGGCACGGAGUGCUAUGUCCAGAUCACUGGUGAUAGUGAUAACUCUGUUGGGCCCGGGCAUUUUGAGCUUCAUGUACCCGUAAUGGGGUAUGGCUUGAAAGCGUGUGAAUGCGUCUCGCCCCAACAGGGCGUGAUAUCCACUGUUGAAAGGUGCCACGUGGAAGAGCAACUCUUCGGACCUGUAGUUCUCCGGCGUGCCGAAUACCACAUCGAGUUUAAUUUUCCCCGAGCAUCGCGCUUCUUGACUGGGGAUAAUGCCUCGAAAGGUUGCACUGCUUUGCUUGAUGCGGCUCUUAUCCAUUUCCAUUUUGUCGAGGGUGUCCUUGUAGAUGAGGUUCAGUCUGCCGCCGCCGUCCAUGAGCACUUUAGAGAACCAAAAGCCGUCCACGAUUGGGUUUAAGACCAAAGUGGCUGGUGCGCGGACUGAUUGAGCCCUUGGUUCGUCGUUGGUGGUGAAAGUUAUCACCGUAUCGUUCCAAGGAUUUACUGGGGCCACUUGGUUGACUUCGGUGAGGUCGCGGAGCGCCCUUUUACACCAAUUAUUUGAAGAAAAGGUCUAAAAGACCGCAAAGACAUUGAGAUCGUUGUCCUCCGAAGAGUAUUUCUCAGAGUUCGUAUUGGUGAGGAUAGCCUCACCGCUCUUAGGCACCUGCCGGAGUACCCAACAUGCCCGAAGGCUGUGUGUUGGUUCAGAAUUCGGCAUCGUGUGUAUUUGACAGGGCUUGUCAAGCCAUUCAUCAAGGACAGUUCUAUGUCCCAUUAAGGGCUUUAUUUUCUUGUCCGUGGGAUGAUGAUCAGGUGCCCCAUUAGGGUGCAUCCUAUUUGCCUGUCCGGUGGGUGGCUUAAAGGCAGGCGGUUCCCACCGGGCUGUCUGGGCCUUCCAGGCGCUUUCCAUUGUGCAAUACUUCUGUACUAUGUGUGCCAAAUCUGCAAAGUGCAGUAUGUAGCGUCGGUUGAGGGCAUUGAGGAUCCCCUCGUCUGUACAGUUGUGGCAAAAUAGUGAAACCGCGUCGUCGUCGCAGAAAUCUUUAAUCUUGUUUUUAACAAGGAGGAAUCUGGCCCAAAAGUGAUGGACCGUUUCCUAGGGUUGCUGCCGCACAUACAUUAGGUCGCAUAUGUCCGAGGGACCGGAAUUGCUUGGGGAGUAUUGCUUGUGGUGGGUGGGCGGGCUUAAAUCCGAACCCUGACCCACUGUGGGAUUCAGAGUUUGAAGAAUUUCUGAGGUCACUGGCCCAGGAUCCGGUGUGUCCUGGGAGUUUUCAGGUUCAACACCUGGUUCUAUGUUUGGAGGACAGAGAGUUUGUUCCCGAAGAUGGGUAUCCAGCUCGCAAGGCUCGGAGAUCCGAACAUAGCUUGUUCUCAGCAUAGGGGGAGAGGUAUCAUCGGCUUGUUCCUCCACAACCGUUACAAGAUGGGUGAUCGGCGGGGACCUAAUUUCCCUCUGAUCGGGUUUAAGCCCAAUCCGAUCAUAGUCUGUUGCAACCCCUAGGGCGACGAUGCGAUCUAGCAGUUCGUUCAAAGAUGAGACAUCUGCCGGAUCCAUCUUAUCGGAGUUUUCGAGGCCGAUGCGGAGAUGAUUUUUGGCAAUUUGGGGGACCACCUUUGGCUUAAUGGCCGAGCGGGCACCCAUGGUAAAACUGCCGAGCUGGAGGAUCUGCCCAGGAACUAGGGCUCUUCCAGAGGUGAUUUGCUAUUGACGACAAGGCGAGCCAUCGAUCCUUCUAUCGACGACAUAGAGGAACUCUCAAUGAAAGCACCAAUGUCGGUGUCAAAACCAGCCGAUCUCGGGUAGGGGGUCCCGAACUGUGCGUCUGAGGAUCGAAGGUAACAGGAGACAGGGGACACGAUGUUUACCCAGGUUCAGGCCCUCUUAACGGAGGUAAUACCCUACUUCCUGCUUGAUUGACUUUGAUGAGUAUAGGGGUUACAAGAGUUGAUCUACCUUGAGAUCGUAAUGGCUAAACCCUAGAUGUCUAGCCUAUGUGAUUUAUGAUAGCCUCUACGGACUAAACCCUUCGGUUUAUAUAGACACCGGAGGGGCCUAGGGUUAAACAAAGUCGGUUUACAGAGAAAGGAAAGUAUACAUCCGGACGUCUGGCUUGCCAUCCACACAAACGAGAGUCCCAUCCGGACACAGGGGAAGGCCUUCUAUCUUGUAUCUUCACAGCCCAUCAGUCCGGCCCAUGUUACAUAGCCCGGACGCCCGAGGACCCCAUAAUCCAGGACUCCCUUAGGAGGCCGGAGUAACCAGAGAAAUCCUAGGAUCUAUUUGACACAUAAAUGGGUAUAGAUGACUAACUAGUUGUCCGUCAUCGUCGGAGUUGUUGCCGGAGUCGUCGCCGGAGUCGUUACCGGAGUAGGUGUGGAACUUCGCCUCUGGCUGUGGAAGCUCGACGCCUUCGAGGACGUCAGGGUGCAGCGAUUCCUCGCCAGCGGUGACGACAACCUCUGUCUCCAUAUCCACACCAUGCUCCGGUGCUUCAGCAGCCCCGGCGUCGCCCUCCCUCCGAUGGGGUGCUUCGGCGGCAUCCUCAUACACUGACGGCUUUGAGGACUGAGAGCGGCGUUGAGGAUGCAAGCGGAGAGAGAGGAUUGUGUGUGUGGCGAGGAUGGGGGGUGCGCCCGCUCGGGCACGCCAUUAAUAUGGAGUAGUGGGAGAGAGCCGGGUGGCGGUCAAACCGCUGGCUCGCCUCCCGGUGAGCCUGCGCACUGGACUACUGGCAUGCCUACCGUCAUUUCACGCAGCUACUCGCACGCCUCCCAAUGACACUGCACAGCGAGCACGCCUCCCGUCAAUUCACACACCUGCACGCACACCUCUCGGUCUGCCUGCGCAGCGAACUGUUCGCAUGCGUCCCGUCAACUCACGCCUGCUUGCACGACACACGGGUCGCGUGGCGACAUGCAUAUUGUUUUUCUAUUUGUAUGAUUAAUGAUGCUGCUAUAUUGCUUUACCGAAGCAUGGCACAUAUCCUUUGUUGGUCUAACACUCAUGGUUCGAAUAAAUAAUCCAUUUGGGAUAUUGGUUCCCAAUUAUUAAUAAUCUCCUGUUUGUAAGAAGAUAAAGAUUAUAUCCAAACCGGUCUCAAAUUUGACAAAAAAGUACAAUGGCACUUUGUAUUGGUGUCCAUAUGACAACACGAUAAGUUUUAUGAAUUUUAAAUAAGUUUUGGAUGUACUAGAAUUUAAAAAUCAAGAUUCUCAAUGUUUGAAAUUUCUUGCACGGGGAGUAAACAUGCACCCAGUGAGACACAUGUGUUUUUGCAAUCCAUUUAGGUGCACUGUCACGUGUGCAUGUAGCUCAAAUUAGAUUUUUGCACAUUAUACCCCUAGAAAAUCAAUCAAUGUACUAAAACGUCUUAAUGAUCUCUGUUUUUUUUCAAAUUUAAAACGUCGCUCCUUUGGUAACAUAUGUUCACCGCAGGAUAAUUUAACAUGCAUCGUAGUUGCGGUGGAUUCGUGGUGUGUGUGUGUGUGCGCGUGUGUGUGUGCGUCUGGGGGUGGCGGGUGGCUCGUAGUACACUACGAGUCGUGAGCCACCGUGUGGGUUGGCCGUUUUGUGAGGCAGGUGCCACAUCAGAGUCGUGAAUUCUUUAUUUAAAACAUUACACAACCCUUUCAUACAUACAUGUUUGGCCACAUGUAGUCGAUGGUUGUCCUACACGACACUCGAUACUCGCGUGUGACGCUUUCUAUGGGCCCGCGAGGUCGUCGUCCAUCACUUUGACGAACAGCCGGCAGUGAGGUUAAUUUGACCAGCAAGGUAGAAUCUUUUUUGUUUGUGUUAUGGUGGGAGUAUAUAUAUAGUACGCGUCGAAGAGGUGGGAGGGGACUAGCAUAUAUACUAUACGUACGCGUACGUGAACAAGUACACCUCACUUAGUGUCGGGACUUUUCGGUUUCUGAGGGCACGUGCCACAUCAAAGUUGUGAAAUUGGCUAUUCAAACAUCACACAACACCUCUUUGGGCCACAUGCAUGUAGGCGGUGGUUAUCCUAGGACACUCACGUGUGACACUUCCAUCUGUGGGCCCACGAGGCCAUCAUCGAUGCAUGCAUCACUUUGACCUACAUCGGGAGAGGUUAAUUAAUUUCACCAUCAAGGAGGAUUCUUUUGUUGGGGAACGUAGCAAUAAUUCAAAAUUUUCCUACGUGUCACCAAGAUCAAUCUAGGAGAUGCUAGCAACGAGAGAGAGGGAGUGCAUCUUCAUACCCUUGAAGAUCGCUAAGCGGAAGCGUUACAAGAACGCGGUUGAUGGAGUCGUACUCGCGGCGAUUCAAAUCGCGAAAGAUCCGAUCUAGCGCCGAACGGACGGCGCCUCGGCGUUCAACACACAUACAGCCCGGGGACGUCUCCUCCUUCUUGAUCCAGCAAGGGGAGAGGAGAAGUUGAGGGAGAACUCCAGCAGCACGACGGCGUGGUGGCGAUGGAGCUCGUGGUUCUCCGGCAGAGCUUCGCUAAGCACUACGGAGGAGGAGGAGUUGGAGGAGGAGAGGGCUGCGCCAAGCAAGGGGUGCGGCUGCCCUCUCUCCCUCACUAUAUAUAGGGGGAAGGGGGGUGGAGGAGGCGCCCUAGGGUUCCCUAGGGGAGGGGCGGCGGCCACAGGGGAAACCCUAGAUGGGUUUGGGCGCCCCCACCCCUGGGAAACUUGCCCCCCAAGCCGGGAGGGGUGGCUGCCCUAGGGGAGGCGCCCCCACCUCUCCAUGUUACGUGAGAGGGGUUGGGAGGGGCGCACAGCCCCUUAGUGGGCUGGUGUGCCCCCUCCCCUUGGCCCAUAAGGCCCCCCAACGCUUGUCGGGGCCUCCGAAACACCUUUCGGUCACGCUGGUCGUCACCCGGUACUCCCAGAACAAUUCCGGACUCCAAUACCCUUCGUCCAAUAUAUCGAUCUUCACCUCCGGACCACUCCGGAGUUCCUCGUCACGUCCGGGAUCUCAUCCGGGACUCCGAACAACCUUCGGUAACCACAUACUAUUUCCCAUAACAACUCUAGCGUCACCGAACCUUAAGUGUGUAGACCCUACGGGUUCGGGAACCAUGCAGACAUGAUCGAGACACCUCUCCGGCCAAUAACCAAUAGCGGGAUCUGGAUACCCAUAUUGGCUCCCACAUGUUCCAUGAUGAUCUCAUCGGAUGAACCACGAUGUCGGGGAUUCAAUCAAUCCCGUAUACAAUUCCCUUUGUCUAUCGGUAUGUUACUUGCCCGAGAUUCGAUCGUCAGUAUCCCAAUACCUUGUUCAAUCUCGUUACCGGCAAGUCUCUUUACUCGUUCCGUAAUGCAUGAUCCCGUGACUAACUCCUUAGUCUCAUUGAGCUCAUUAUGAUGAUGCAUUACCGAGUGGGCCCAGAGAUACCUCUCCGUCAUACGGAGUGACAAAUCCCAGUCUCGAUUCGUGCCAACCCAACAGACACUUUCGGAGAUACCUGUAGUACACCUUUAUAGCCACCCGGUUACAUUGUGACGUUUGGUACACCCAAAGCAUUCCUACGGUAUCCGGGAGUUGCACAAUCUCAUGGUCUAAGGAAACGAUACUUGACACUAGAAAAGCUCUUAGCAAACGAACUACACGAUCUUGUGCUAUGCUUAGGAUUGGGUCUUGUCCAUCACAUCAUUCUCCUAAUGAUGUGAUCCCGUUAUCAAUGACAUCCAAUGUCCAUGGUCAGGAAACCAUGACCAUCUAUUGAUCAACGAGCUAGUCAACUAGAGGCUUACUAGGGACAUGUUGUGGUCUAUGUAUUCGCACAUGUAUUACGGUUUCCAGUUAAUACAAUUAUAGCAUGAACAAUAGACAAUUAUCAUGAACAAGAAAAUACAAUAAUAACCAUUUUAUUAUUGCCUCUAGGGCAUAUUUCCAACAGUCUCGCACUUGCACUAGAGUCAAUAAUCUAGUUCACAUCACUAUGUGAUUGUAAUGAAUCCAACACCCAUGGGGUUUGUUCAUAUAUAGCUUGUGAGAGAGGUUAUUAGUCAACGGGUCUGAACCUUUCAGAUCCGUGUGUGCUUUAUAAAUCUCUAUGUCAUCUUGUAGAUGCAGCUACCACGCGCUACUUGGAGCUAUUCCAAAUAACUGCUCUACUAUACGAAUCCAGUUUACUACUCAGAGUCAUCCGGAUCAGUGUCAAAGUUUGCAUCGACGUAACCCUUUACGACGAACUCUUUUACCACCUCCAUAAUCGAGCAAAUUCCUUAGUCCACUAGUUAUUAAGGAUAAGUUCGACCGCUGUCAUGUGAUCCAUUCCUGGAUCACUCUUGUACCCCUUGACUGACUCAUGGCAAGGCACACUUCAGGUGCAGUACACAGCAUAACAUACUGUAGAGCCUACGUCUAAAGCAUAAGGGACGACCUUCGUCCUUUCUAUCUCUUCUGCCAUGGUCAGAUCUUGAGUCUUACUCAAUGCUCACACCUUAUAACACAGCCAAGAACUCCUUCUUUGCUGAUCUAUUUGAACUCCUUCAAAAUCUUGUCACGGUAUGUAUUCAUUUGAAAGUACUAUUAAGCGUUUUUGAUCUAUCCUUAUAGAUCUUGAUGCUCAAUGUUCAAGUAGCUUAAUCCAGGUUUUCCAUUGAAAACACUUUUCAAAUAACCCUAUAUGCUUUCCAAAAAUUCUACAUCAUUUCUGAUCAAGAAUAUGUCAACAACAUAUACUCAUCAGAAAUUCUAUAGUGCUCCCGCUCACUUCUUUGGAAAUACAAGUUUCUCAUAAACUUUGUAUAAACCCAAAAUCUUUGAUCAUUUCAUCAAAGCGUAUAUUCCAACUCCAAGAUGCUUACUCCAGUCCUUAGAAGGAUUGCUGGAGCUUUGCAUACUUGUUAGCAUCUUUUAGGAUUGACAAAAACCUUCUGGUUGUAUCACAUACAAUCUUUCCUCAAGAAAACUGUCGAGGAAACAAUUUUUUUUUGACAUCCUAUCUGCAAGAUUUCAUAAAUAAUGCAGUAACUGCUAGUAUAAUUCCAACAGACCCUUAGCAUCGCUACAAGUGAGAAAAUCUCAUCGUAAUCAACUCCUUGAACUUGUCAGAAAACAUCUUAACGACAAGCCAUGAUUUCUUAAUGGUGACACUUACCAUCAUUGUCCGUCUUCCUUUUAAAAUCCAUCUGCACCCAACAGCCUUACGACCAUCAAGUAGUUCUUCCAAAGUCUAUACUUUGUUUUUAUACAUGGAUCCUCUCUCGGAUUUAUGGCCUCGAGCCAUUCGUCUGAAUCUGGGCCCACCAUCGUUUCUCCAUAGCUCGUAGGUUCAUUGUUGUCUAGCAACAUGACUUCCAAGACAGGAUUACGUACCACUCUGAAGUAGUACGCAUCCUUGUCGUCCUACGAGGUUUGGUAGUGACUUGAUACGAAGUUUCAUGAUCACUAUCAUAAGCUUCCACUUCAAUUGGUGUAGGUGCCACAGGAACAACUUCUUGUGCCCUGCUACACACUAGUUGAAGUGACGGUUCAAUAGCCCCAUCAAGUCUCCACCAUCCUCCCACUCAAUUCUUUCGAGAGAAACUUUUCCUCGAGAAAGGACCUAUUUCUAGAAACAAUUACUUUUGCUUCCAGAUCUGAAAUAGGAGGUAUACCCAACUGUUUUGGGUAUUCUAUGAAUAUGCAUUUAUCCGCUUUGGGUUCGAGCUUAUCAGCCUGAAACUUUUCCACAUAAGCGUCGCAGCCCCAAACUUUUAAGAAACGACAGCUUAGGUUUCUCUAAAGCAUAGUUCGUACGGUGUCGUCUCAACGGAAUUGCGUGGUGCCCUAUUUAAAGUGAAUGCGGUUGUCUCUAAUGCCUAACCCAUAAACGAUAGUGGUAAUUCGAUAAGAGACAUCAUGGUAUGCACCAUAUCCAAUAGGGUGCAGUUAUGAUGUUCGGACACACCAUCACACUAUGGUGUUCCAGGCGGUAUUUGUUGUGAAACAAUUUCCACAUUGUCUUAAUUGUGUGCCAAACUCGUAACUCAGAUAUUCAUCUCUAUGAUCAUAUCAUAGACAUUUUAUCCUCUUGUCACGACGAUCUUCAACUUCACUUUGAAAUUACUUAAACCUUUCAAUAAUUCAGACUUGUGUUUCAUCAAGUAAGUAUACUCAGCAUCUACUCAAAUCAUAUGUGAAGUAAGAACAUAACGAUAUCCAGUGCGUGCCUCAGCACUCAUUGGACUGCACACAUCAAAAUGUAUUACUUCCAACAAGUUGCUUUCUUGUUCCAUCUUACUGAAAACAGGGCCUUUCAGUCAUCUUGCCCAUGUGGUAUGAUUUGCAUGUCCCAAGUGAUUCAAAAUCAAGUGAGUCCAAACGAUCCAUCUGUAUGGAGUUUCUUCAUGCAUAUCUACCAAUAGACAUGGUUCGCAUGUCUCAAUCUUUUUAAAAACGAGUGAGUCCAAAGAUCCAUCAACAUGGAGCUUCUUCAUGCAUUUUAUACCAAUAUGACUCAAAUGGCAGUGCCACAAGUAUGUGGUACUAUCAUUACUAUUUUAUAUCUUUUGGCAUGAACAUGUGUAUCACUACGAUCGAGAUUCAAUAAACCAUUCAUUUUAGGUGCAAGACCAUUGAAGGUAUUAUUCAAAUAAACAGAGUAACCAUUAUUCUCCUUAAAUGAAUAACCAUAUUGCGAUAAACAUAACCCAAUCAUGUCUAUGCUCAGCGCAAACACCAAACAACAAUUAUUUAGGUUUAAUACCAAUCCCGAUGGUAGAGGGAGCGUACGUUGUUUGAUUACAUCAACCUUGGAAACACUUCCAACACAUAUCGUCAUCUCACCUUUAGCUAGUCUCCGUUUAUUCCGUAGCCUUUUAUUUCGAGUUACCAACACUUAGCAACCGAACCGGUAUCUAAUACCCUGGUGCUACUAGGAGUACUAGUAAAGUACACAUUAAUAUAAUGAAUAUCCAAUAUACUUCUGUCGACCUUGCCUGCCUUCUCAUCUACCAAGUAUCUAGGGUAGUUCUGCUUCAAUGACCAUUCCCCUCAUUACAGAAGCACUUAGUCUCGGGUUUGGGUUCAACCUUGGGUUUCUUCACUAGAGCAGCAACUGAUUUGCCGUUUCAUGAAGUAUCCCUUCUUUCCCUUGCCCUUCUUGAAACUAGUGGUUUUACUAACCAUCAACAAUUGAUGCUCCUACUUGAUUUCUACUUUCGUGGUGUCAAACAUCGCGAGUUGCUCAAGGAUCAUCAUGUCUAUCCCUGAUAUGUUAUAGUUCAUCACGAAGCUCUAAUAGCUUGGUGGUAGUGACUAUGGAGAACCAUCACUAUGUCAUCUGGAAGAUUAACUCCCACUCGAUUCAAGCGAUUGUAGUACUCAGACAAUCUGAGCACAUGCUCAACGAUUGAGCUUUUCUCCCUUAGUUUGCAGGCUUAAGAAACUUGUCAGAGGUCACAUACCUCUUGACGUGGGCACUAGUCUGAAAUCCCAAUUUCAGUCUUUGGAACAUCUCUUAUGUUCUGCGACAUUUCAAAAACAUCUUUGGCACCUCAAUUCUAAACCGUUAGCAUUACGCACUGAAUUAUCACGUAGUCAUCAAAACGUGUAUGUCAGAUGUUCACAACAUCCAUAGACGACGCUCGAGGUUCAGCACACCGAGCGUUGCAUUAAGGACAUAAGCCUUCCACGUAGCAAUGAGGAUAAUCCUCAGUUUACGGACCCAGUCCGCAUAAUUUCUACUAUCAACUUUCAACUAAAUUUUCUCUAGGAACAUAUCUUAAACAGUAGAACCAAAGCGUAAGCUAUGACAUAAUUUGCAAAGACCUUUUGACUAUGUUCAUGAUAAUUAGGUUCAUCUGAUUAUUUAAUGAACUCCCACUUAGAUAGACAUCCCUCUAGUCAUCUAAGUGAUACAUGAUCCGAAUCGACUAGACCGUGUCCGAUCAUCACGUGAGAUGGACUAGUCAUCAACGGUGAACAUCUCCAUGUUGAUCGUAUCUAUUAUACGACUCAUGUUUGACCUUUCGGUCUCUUGUGUUCCGAGGCCAUGUCUGUACAUGCUAGGCUCGUCAAGUCAACCUAAGUGUUUCGCAUGUGUAAAUCUGGCUUACACCCGUUGUAUGCGAACGUUAGAAUCUAUCACACCCGAUCAUCACGUGUUGCUUCGAAACAACGAAGCUUCGCAACGGUGCACAGUUAGGGGGAACACAUCUCUUGAAAUUUUAGUGAGGGAUCAUCUUAUUUAUCCUAUCGUCGUUCUAAGCAAAUAAGAUGUAAACAUGACAAACAUCACAUGCAAAUCAUAAAGUGACAUGAUAUGGCCAAUAUCAUCUUGCGCCUUUUGAUCUCCAUCUUCGAGGCGCGGCAUGAUCACCUUCGUCACCGGCAUGACACCAUGAUCUCCAUCAUCGUGUCUUCAUGAAGUUGUCUCGCCAACUAUUACUUCUACUACUAUGGCUAACGGUUAGCAAUAAAGUAAAGUAAUUACAUGGCGUUUUUCAUUGACACGCAGGUCAUACAAUAAAUUAAGACAACUCCUAUGGGUCCUGCCGGUUGUCAUACUCAUCGACAUGCAAGUCGUGAUUCCUAUUACAAGAACAUGAUCAAUCUCAUACAUCACAUAUAUAUAAUUCAUCACAUCCUUUUGGCCAUAUCACAUCACAUAGCAUACCCUGCAAAAACAAGUUAGACGUCCUCUAAUUGUUGUUGCAUGUUUUAUGUGGCUGCUAUGGGUUUCUAGCAAGAACGUUUCUUACCUACGCAAAAGCCACAACGGUGAUAUGCCAAUUGCUAUUUACCCUUCAUAAGGACCCUCUUCAUCGAAUCCGAUCCGACUAAAGUGGGAGAGACAGACACCCGCUAGCCACCUUAUGCAUCAAGUGCAUGUCAGUCGGUGGAACCUGUCUCACGUAAGAGUACGUGUAAGGUCGGUCCGGGCUGCUUCAUCCCACAAUGCCGCCGAAUCAAGAUAAGACUAGUAACGGUAAGCAAAUUGAACAAAUCAUCGCCCACAACCACUUUGUGUUCUACUCGUGCAUAGAAUCUACGCAUAGACCUAGCUCAUGAUGCCACUGUUGGGGAACGUAACAAUAAUUCAAAAUUUUCCUACAUGUCACCAAGAUCAAUCUAGGAGAUGCUAGCAACGAGAGAGAGGGAGUGCAUCUUCAUACCCUUGAAGAUCGCUAAGCGGAAGCGUUACAAGAACGCGGUUGAUGGAGUCGUACUCGCGGCGAUUCAAAUCGCGGAAGAUCCGAUCUAGUGCCGAACGGACGGCACCUCGGCGUUCAACACACAUACAGCCCGGGGACGUCUCCUCCUUCUUGAUCCAGCAAGGGGAGAGGAGAAGUUGAGGGAGAACUCCAGCAGCACGACGACGUGGUGGCGAUGGAGCUCGUGGUUCUCCGGCAGAGCUUCGCUAAGCACUACGGAGGAGGAGGAGUUGGAGGAGGAGAGGGCUGCGCCAAGCAAGGGGUGCGGCUGCCCUCUCUCUCCCUCACUAUAUAUAGGGGGAAGGGGGGUGGAGGAGGCGCCCUAGGGUUCCCUAGGGGAGGGGCGGCGGCCACAGGGGAAACCCUAGAUGGGUUUGGGCGCCCCCACCCCUGGGAAACUUGCCCCCCAAGCCGGGAGGGGUGGCUGCCCUAGGGGAGGUGCCCCCACCUCUCCACGUUACGUGAGAGGGGUUGGGAGGGGCGCACAGCCCCUUAGUGGGCUGGUGUGCCCCCUCCCCUUGGCCCAUAAGGCCCCCCAACGCUUGUCGGGGCCUCCGAAACACCUUUCGGUCACGCUGGUCGUCACCCGGUACUCCCAGAACAAUUCCGGACUCCAAUACCCUUCGUCCAAUAUAUCGAUCUUCACCUCCGGACCACUCCGGAGUUCCUCGUCACGUCCGGGAUCUCAUCCGGGACUCCGAACAACCUUCGGUAACCACAUACUAUUUCCCAUAACAACUCUAGCGUCACCGAACCUUAAGUAUGUAGACCCUACGGGUUCGGGAACCAUGCAGACAUGACCGAGACACCUCUCCGGCCAAUAACCAAUAGCGGGAUCUGGAUACCCGUAUUGGCUCCCACAUGUUCCACGAUGAUCUCAUCGGAUGAACCACGAUGUUGGGGAUUCAAUCAAUCCCGUAUACAAUUCCCUUUGUCUAUCGGUAUGUUACUUGCCCGAGAUUCGAUCGUCGGUAUCCCAAUACCUUGUUCAAUCUCGUUACCGGCAAGUCUCUUUACUCGUUUUGUAAUGCAUGAUCCCGUGACUAACUCCUUAGUCACAUUGAGCUCAUUAUGAUGAUGCAUUACCAAGUGGGCCCAGAGAUACCUCUCCGUCAUACGGAGUGACAAAUCCCAGUCUCGAUUCGUGCCAACCCAACAGACACUUUCGGAGAUACCUGUAGUGCACCUUUAUAGCCACCCAGUUACAUUGUGACGUUUGGUACACCCAAAGCAUUCCUACAGUAUCCAGGAGUUGCAAAAUCUCAUGGUCUAAGGAAACGAUACUUGACAUUAGAAAAGCUCUUAGCAAACGAACUACACGAUCUUGUGCUAUGCUUAGGAUUGGGUCUUGUCCAUCACAUCAUUCUCCUAAUGAUGUGAUCCCGUUAUCAAUGACAUCCAAUGUCCAUGGUCAGGAAACCAUGACCAUCUAUUGAUCAAUGAGCUAGUCAACUAGAGGCUUACUAGGGACAUGUUGUGGUCUAUGUAUUCGCACAUGUAUUACGGUUUCCAGUUAAUACAAUUAUAGCAUGAACAAUAGACAAUUAUCAUGAACAAGGAAAUACAACAAUAACCAUUUUAUUAUUGCCUCUAGGGCAUAUUUCCAACAUCUUUUUGGGUUGUAUUACGGUAGGAGCAUAUAGUAUGAGUCGAAGAGGGGGAGGGGACCAUCAUAUGUAGUAUGCUUCAUGAACCUCACUUUGUGUGGGGACUUUAUGGUUUUCGAGGCAUGUGCCACAUCAAAGUUGUGCAUUUUGGGUAUCGAUCAACAUAGGUUUGUCCCACAUGCAAAGCGAUGGUGGUUGUCCUCUCGCACCCACUUAAGUGGUUAUCAGCGAUAUCGAUGCUUUCCAUCUGUGGGCCCGCUUGGUCCAUCACUACUUUGCCUGACAACGGAGAGAGGUUAAUUUGACUUAGGAGGGGAUUAUUUUUUUGUUUGUAAUACGAUGUAUAUAUAUGUCAUGCUCUGUGAUGACAUAAUAUAGUUUGAGCACACACAUGCAUGUGUAUGCAUGAAUCCCUCCCAUCGUGUCGAAGUGGCUAGUACGACGACACGUCAUGAACCGAUCCCGCUCUGUGUGGGGACUGUACGAUUUUCGACGCACGCGCCACAUCAAUGUUGUGAAAUGGUAUUCAAACAUGCAUGCACAAAUCACCUCCAUACAUAUGCAUGUAGUGGUUGUCUUCGAACGGUACACUCCCUGGCGUGGUUAUCGGCGACAAGCCUAUAUAUUUGUGGGCCCAUGUGGACAUCCAUGAUCACCUUGACCGACAACAAGAUAGGUUACCAUGGCGGAUUCUUCCUUUGGUUCGUGUUAUCAUAUUAUAGGUCAUGGUCAGAUUCAGACCUAAUUAAGUUUGAGUGCAUACUAUGCACGCAUGCAUGCAUGAAUCCCCGUCAUCGGCUUGAAGUGUAGUGUGAUAUACAUAUGCAUCGUCAACCUAACCCUCACUCAGUGUGGGGAUUUCUGGUUCGAAAGCACGAUGACACAUCGAAGUUGUUCCAUUGUGUAUUCAAAACACACCUUUCCAUACAUAUGUUUGGGCCACACGCAGGCAGUGGUUGUCUUCGGGAACUAGCGACUUGCGUGAUUAUUAGCGAGCUAGCCCAUCUUCGGGGUCGCAUGGAUGGCCAUCACUUUGACCAAUGAUGUCGGCUAGGACUAUGUCGGUAUUUCCCCAAAGAGGAAGGGAUGAUGCAGCACAACGAUGGGAGGUAUUUCCCUCAGUGAUGAAACCAAGGUUAUCGAACCAGUAGGAGAACCAAGCAACACAACAUAAACAGCCCCUGCACACAAAUAACAACUACUCGCAACCUGACGUGUAAAAGGGGUUGUCAAUCCCUUCCGGGUAACGGCGCCUGAAGAUAGGCAAACAAACGUGAGAUAAAUUGUAGUAGAUUGAAAGAUCGAACGCCAAAUAAAAUAAAGUGCAGCAAAGUAUUUUUGUAUUUUUAGUUUAACAGAUCUGAAAAUAAAUGCAAAGGAAAAGUAGAUCGCAAAGGCAAAUAUAUGAGAAAGAGACCCGGGGGCCGUAGGUUUCACUAGUGGCUUCUCUCGAGAAAAAUAGCAAAAAGGUGGGUGAACAAAUUACUGUUGGGGAAUUGAUAGAACUUCAAAUAAUCGUGACGAUAUCCAGGCAAUGAUCAUUAUAUAGGCAUCACGUCCAAGAUUAGUAGACCGACUCCUGCCUGCAUCUACUACUAUUAGUCCACACAUCGACCGCUAUCCAGCAUGCAUCUAGUGUAUUAAGUUCAUGGAAAAACGGAGUAAUGCAAUAAGAGCGAUGACAUGAUGUAGACAAGAUCUAUCUAUGUAGAGAUAGGCCCCAUCGUUUUAUCCUUAGUAGCAACGAUACAUACGUGUCGGUUCCCCUUCUGUCACUGGGAUCAAGCACCGUAAGACCGAACCCACUACAAAGCACCUCUUCCCAUUGCAAGAUAAAUAUAUCAAGUUGGCCAAACCCAACCCAAAUAUCGGAGAAGAAAUACGAGGCUGUAAGAGAUCAUGCAUAAAAGAGAUCAAAGAAACUCAAAUACUUUCAUGGAUAUAGAAAGAUAAAUCUGAUCAUAAACUCAAAGUUCAUCCGAUCCCAACAAACACACCACAAAAAGAGCUACAUCAUAUGGAUCUCCAAGAGACCAUUGUAUUGAAAAUCAGCGAGAGAGAGGAAGCCAUCUAGCUACUAGCUACGGACCCGAAGGUCUACAAAGAACUACUCACUCAUCAUCGGAGAGGCACCAAUGGAGGUGGUGAACCCCAUCUAAGAUGAUGUCUAGAUUGGAUCUGGUGGUUCUGGACUCUGUGGCGGCUGGAUCAAUAUUUCGUCGACUCCCCUAGGAUUUUGGGGUAUUUAUAGAGCAAAGAGGCGGUCCGGGGGGCACCCGAGGUGGGCACAACCCACCAGGGCGCGCUUGGGCCUUGAUACGUCCAUUUUGCAUCAUGUUUUCUUACUGUUAUUUAUAAUGUUUUUAUCGAUAAUAAUGCUUUUUGGAGUAAUUCUAAUGCCUUUUCUCCCAUAAUUUGCAAGGAACACACCAAGAGGUAGAAUUCCGGCAGCUGGAAAUCUGGACCUGGAAAAGCUACGUCAAGUCACCUAUUCUGCACAACUCCAAAUAAGUUGAAACUUCACGAAGAUUUUUUUUGGAUUAUUUAAGAAAUACUGGAGCCAAUAACCAUCAGAGGGGGGCCACCAGGUGGGCACAACCCACUUGGGCGCGCCUGGUGGGUUGUGGCCUCCUUGGCCCACCUCCGGUGCCCAUCUUCUGGUAUAUAAGUCAUUUUGACCUAGAAAAAAAAUAAGAAGACGACUUUCGGGAUGGAGCGCCGCUGUCUCGAGGCGGAACUUGGGCAGGAGCACUUUUGCCCUCCAGCGGAGCGAUUUCGCCAGGGGAACUUCCCUCCCGGAGGGGGAAAUCAUCGUCAUCAUCAUCACCAACAACUCUCCCAUCUUGGGGAGGGCAAUCUCCAUCAACAUCUUCAACAGCACCAUCUCAUCUCAAACCCUAGUUCAUCUCUUGUAUUCAAUCUUGUUACCAGAACUAUAGAUUGGUGCCUGCGGGUGAAUAGUAGUGUUGAUUACAUCUUGUAGUUGAUUACUAUAUGGUUUAUUUGGUGGAAUAUUAUAUGUUCAGAUCCAUUAUGCUAUUUAAUACUCCUCUGAUCAUGAGCAUGUUUAUCAUUUGUGAGUAGUUACUUUUGUUCUUGAGGUCACGGGAGAAAUCAUGUUGCAAGUAAUCAUGUGAACUUGAUAUGUGUUCGAUAUUUUGAUAGUAUGUAUGUUGUUAUUCCCUUAAUGGUGUCAUGUGAACGUCGACUACAUGACACUUCACCAUAUUUGGGCCUAAGGGAAUGCAUUGUGGAGUAGCAAUUAGAUGAUGGGUUGCGAGAGUGAUAGAAGCUUAAACCCCAGUUUAUGCGCUAUUCCGUAAGCGACCGAUUGGAUCCUAGAGUUUAAUGAUAUGCUCAGAAUUUAUUCUUAAUACUUUUCUCGUAGUUGCGGAUGCUUGCGGGAGGGUUAAUCAUAAGUAGGAGGUUUGUUCAAGUAAGAACAACACCUAAGCACCGGUCCACCCACAUAUCAAAUUAUCAAAGUAGCGAACACAAAUCAAACCAACAUGAUGAAAGUGACUAGAUGAAAUUCCCGUGUACCCUCAAGAACGCUUUGCUUAUCAUAAGCGACCGUUUUGGCCUGUCCUUUGCCUCAAAAGGAUUGGGCUACCUUGCUUCAUACUUGUUACUAUUAUCGUUACUUGCUCGUUACAAAAUACCUUGCUAUCAAACUACUCGCUACUUACAAUUUCAGCACUUGCAGACAUUACCUUACUGAAAACUAAUUGUCAUUCCUUCUGCUCCUCGUUGGGUUCGACACUCUUACUUACCGAAAAGAGCUACAAUUGAUCCCAUAUACUUGUGGGUCAUCAAGGCUAUUUUCUGGCACCGUUACCGGGGAGUGAAGUGCCUUUGGUAAGGAAACAUUUAUAUAGUGUGGUGAAAUUUAAUGUCACUUGUUACUAUGGAAAACAAUCCUUUGAGGGGUUUGAUUCGGGGUAUCUUCACCUCAUCCGGAACCACAAUUAGAUACCCCUCAACCUACUGCACCUACUGAAAAUAUUGAAUAUGAAAUCCCUUCGGGUAUGAUACAACAGCUGCUAGCUAAUCCUUAUGCAGGAGAUGGAACAGAACAUCCCGAUAUGCACUUGAUAUAUGUAGAAAAAAUUUGUGGAUUGUUUAAGCUUGCAGGUUUACCCGAAGAUGAGGUGAUGAAAAAGGUUUUCCCUUUAUCUUUGAAGGGAAAAGCAUUGGCAUGGUAUAGGCUAUGCGAUGAUAUUGGAUCAUGGAAUUGGAAUCGUUUGAAAUUGGAAUUCCACCAAAUUUUUUAUCCUAUGCAUCUAGUUCAUCGUGAUUGGAAUUAUAUAUAUAAUUUUUGGCCUCGUGAAGGAGAAAAUAUCGCUCUAGCUUGGGAGAGGCUGAAGUCAAUGUUAUAUUCAUGCCCCAAUCAUGAGCUCUCAAGAGAAAUUAUUAUCCAGAAUUUUUAUGCUCAGCUUUCUCGUAAUGAUCAAACCAUGCUUGAUACUUUUUGUGCUGGUUCAUUCAUGAAGAAGACUAUUGAAUUUCGGUGGGAUCUUUUUGAAAGAAUUAAACAUAACUCUGAAGAUUGGUAACUCGACAAAGGUAAAAGUCAGGUAUUAAACUUAAGUAUGAUUGUGUUAAGUCUUUUAUGGAUACCGAUGCUUUUCAAAAGUUUAGCACUAGAUGAGGUCUUGACUCUGAGAUAGUAGCCUCCUUUUGUGAAUCAUUUGCUACUCAUGUUGAACUCCCUAUGGAGAGACUAGCAACGAGAGAGAGGGGAUCGUUGUAGAAAUUAAAAAAAAUUCUAUGCAUCACCAAGAUCAUUGUUGGAGAGACUAGCAACGAGAGAGAGGGAAGUGCAUCUUCAUACCCUUGAAGAUCGCGAUGCGGAAGUGUUACAAGAACGCGGAUGAAGGAGUCGUACUCGCAGCGAUUCAAAUCGCGGUUGAUUCUGAUCUAAGCGUCGAACAACGGUGCCUCCGUGUUCAACACACGUACAGCCCGAGGGCGUCUCCUCCUUCUUGACCCAGCAAGGGGAGAGGAGAAGUUGAGGGAAAGCUCCGGCAGCACGACGGCGUGGUGGUGGAGCUUGCAGUUCUCCGGCAGGGCUUUGCCAAGCACUAUUACGGAGGAGAAGGUGUUGGGGAGGGAGAGGGCUGCGCCAGGGGAAGGGGUGCGGCUCCCAUGCGCCUCCCCACUAUAUAUGGGGGUGGAGGGGGCUGGUUUCUUGCCCUCCAAGUCCAUUGGGGCGUUGGCAAAGGUGGGGGAAAGAAAUCCCAUCAUUUCCCUUCCCCACCGAUUGUUAUCCCCCUUUUUUAGGGAUCUUGAUCUUAUCCCUUUGGGAUAUGAUCUUAUUCCUUCUAAGGGGGGAUCUUGGUGCGCCUUGACCAGGGGUGUGGAGCCUUGCCCCCACUACCCACGUUCAUGUGGGUCCCCCAUACAGGUGGGCCCCACUCCAGAACCUUCUAGAACCUUCCCGGUACAAUACCGAAAAAUCCCGAACAUUUUCCGGUGGCCAAAAUAGGACUUCCCAUAUAUAAAUCUUUACCUCCGGACCAUUCCGGAACUCCUCGUGACAUCCGGGACUCCGAACAACAUUCGGUAACUGCACACUAAUUCCCAUAACAACUCUAGCGUCACCGAACCUUAAGUGUGUAGACCCUACGGGUUCGGGAAUCAUGCAGACAUGACCCAGACAGCUCUCUGGCCAAUAACCAACAUCGGGAUCUGGAUACCCAUGUUGGCUCCCACAUGUUCCACGAUGAUCUCAUCGGAUGAACCACGAUGUUGGGGAUUCAAUCAAUCCUGUAUACGAUUCCCUUUGUCAAUCGGUACGUUACUUGCCCGAGAUUCGAUCGUCGGCAUCCCAAUACCUCGUUCAAUCUCGUUACUGGCAAGUCACUUUUACUAGUUCCGUAACACAUCAUCCCGUGAUCAACUCUUUGGUCACAUUGAGCUCAUUAUGAUGAUGUCCUACCGAGUGGGCCCAAAGAUACCUCUCCGUCACACGGAGUGACAAAUCCCAGUCUCGAUUCGUGCCAACCCAACAUACACUUUCGGUGAUACCCGUAGUGUGCCUUUAUAGCCACCCAGUUAUGUUGUGACAUUUGGCACAACCAAAGCAUUCAUACGGUAUCCGGGAUUUGCACAAUCUCAUGGUCUAAGGAAAUGAUACUUGACAUUAGAAAAGCUUUAGCAGACGAACUACACGAUCUUGUGCUAUGCUUAGGAUUGGGUCGUGUCCAUCACAUCAUUCUCCUAAUGAUGUGAUCCCGUUAUCAACGACAUCCAAUGUCCAUGGUCAGGAAACCGUAACCAUCUAUUGAUCAACGAGCUAGUCAACUAGAGGCUUACUAGGGACAUAUUGUGGUCUACGUAUUCACAUAUGUAUUACGGUCUCCGGUUAAUACAAUUAUAGCAUGAACAAUAGACAAUUAUCAUGAACAAGGAAAUAUAAUAAUAACCAUUUUAUUAUUGCCUCUAGGGCAUAUUUCCAACAGUCUCCCACUUGCACUAGAGUCAAUAAUCUAGUUCACAUCACUAUGUGAUUGUAAUGAAUCCAACACCCAUGGGGUUCGAUCAUAUCUCGCUUGUGAGAGAGGUUAUUAGUCAACGGGUCUGAACCUUUCAGAUCCGUGUGUGCUUUACAAAUCUCUAUGUCAUCUUGUAGAUUCAGCUACCAUGCGCUACUUGGAGCUAUUCCAAAUAACUACUCUACUAUACGAAUCUAGUUUACUACUCAGAGUCAUCCGGAUUAGUGUCAAAGUUUGCAUCGACGUAACCCUUUACGACGAACUCUUUUACCACCUCCAUAAUAGAGAAAAUUCCGUAGUCCACUAGUUACUAAGGAUAAGUUUGACCACUGUCAUGUGAUCCAUUCCUGGAUCACUGUUGUACCCCUUGAUUGACUCAUGGCAAGGCACACUUCAGGUGCGGUACACAGCAUAGCAUAUUGUAGAGCCUACGUCUAAAGAAUAGGGGACGACCUUCGUCCUUUCUCUCUCUUCUGCCAUGGUCAGAUCUUGAGUCUUACUCAAUGCUCACACCUUAUAACACAGCCAAGAACUCCUUCUUUGCUGAUCUAUUUGAACUCCUUCAAAAUCUUGUCACGGUAUGUAUUCAUUUGAAAGUACUAUUAAGCGUUUUUGAUCUAUCCUUAUAGAUCUUGAUGCUCAAUGUUCAAGUAGCUUAAUCCAGGUUUUCCAUUGAAAAACACUUUUCAAAUAACCCUAUAUACUUUCCAGAAAUUCUACAUCAUUUCUGAUCAAGAAUAUGUCAACAACAUAUACUCAUCAGAAAUUCUAUAGUGCUCCCGCUCACUUCUUUGGAAAUACAAGUUUCUCAUAAACUUUGUAUAAACCCAAAAUCUUUGAUCAUUUCAUCAAAGCGUAUAUUCCAACUCCAAGAUGCUUACUCCAGUCCUUAGAAGGAUUGCUGGAGCUUUGCAUACUUGUUAGCAUCUUUUAGGAUUGACAAAAACCUUCUGGUUGUAUCACAUACAAUCUUUCCUCAAGAAAACUGUCGAGGAAACAAUGUUUUGACAUCCUAUCUGCAAGAUUUCAUAAAUAAUGCAGUAACCACUAAUACAAUUCCAACAGACUCUUAGCAUCGCUACGAGUGAGAAAGUCUCACCGCAGUCAACUCCUUGAACUUGUUGGAAAACAUCUUAACGACAAGUCGAGCUUUCUUAAUGGUGAUACUUACCAUCAUUGUCCGUCUUCCUUUUUAAAAUCCAUAUAUACCCAAUAGCCUUACGGCCAUCAAGUAGUUCUUCCAAACUCUAUACUUUGUUUUCACACAUGGAUCCUCUCGGAUUUUAUGGCCUCGAGCCAUUUGUCAGAAUCCGGGCCCACCAUCGUUUCUCCAUAGCUCGUAGGUUCAUUGUUGUCUAGCAACAUGACCUCCAAGACAGGAUUAUGUACCGCUCUGAAAUAGUACACAUCCUUGUCGACCUAUGAUGUUUGGUAGUGACUUGAUCCGAAGUUUCAUGAUCACUAUCAUAAGCUUCCACUUCAAUUGGUGUAGGCGCUACAGGAACAACUUCCUGUGCCCUGCUACACACUGGUUGAAGUGACGGUUCAAUAACCUCAUCAAGUCUCCACCAUCCUCCCACCCAAUUCUUUUGAGAGAAACUUUUCCUCGAGAAAGGACCCAUUUCUAGAAACAAUCACUUUUGCUUCCGGAUCCGAAAUAGGAGGUAUACCCAACUGUUUUGGGUGUCCUAUGAAGAUGCAUUUAUCCGCUUUGGGUUCGAGCUUAUCAGGCUGAACCCUUUUCACAUAAGCGUCACAGCCCCAAACUUUUAAGAAAUGACAGCUUAGGUUUCUCUAAACCAUAGUUCAUACGGUGUCAUCUCAACGGAAUUACGUGGUGCCCUAUUUAAAGUGAAUGCGUUUGUCUCUAAUGCCUAACCCUUAAACGAUAGUGGUAAUUCGAUAAGAGACAUCAUGGUAUGCACCACAUCCAAUAGGGUGCAGCUAUGAUGUUCGGACACACCAUCACACUAUGGUGUUCCAGGCGGCAUUAGUUGUGAAACAAUUUCCACAAUGUCUUAAUUGUGUACCAAACACGUAACUCAGAUAUUCAUCUCUAUGAUCAUAUCAUAGACAUUUUAUCCUCUUGUCACGACGAUCUUCAACUUCACUAAGAAAUUACUUGAACCUUUCAAUAAUUCAGACUUGUGUUUCAUCAAGUAAAUAUACUUAGAAUCUACUCAAAUCAUCUGUGAAGUAAGAGCAUAAUGGUAUUCACUGCGUGCCUCAGUACUCAUUGGAUUGCACACAUCAAAUGUAUUACUUCCAACAAGUUGCUCUCUUGUUUCAUCUCGCUGAAAACGAGGCCUUUCAGUCAUCUUGCCCAUGUGGUAUGAUUUGCAUGUCUCAAGUGAUUCAAAAUCAAGUGAGUCCAAACGAUCCAUCUGCAUGGAGUUUCUUCAUGCGUAUAAACCAAUAGACAUGGUUCGCAUGUCUCAAACUUUUCAAAAAACGAGUGAGUCCAAAGAUCCAUCAACAUGGAGCUUCUUCAUGUGUUUUAUACCAAUAUGACUCAAAUGGCAGUGCCACAAGUAUGUGGUACUAUCAUUACUAUCUUAUAUCUUUUGGCAUGAACAUGUGUAUCACUACGAUCGAGAUUCAAUAAACCAUUCAUUUUAGGUGCAAGACCAUUGAAGGUAUUAUUCAAAUAAACAGAGUAACCAUUUAUUCUCCUUAAAUGAAUAACCGUAUUGCGAUAAACAUAAUCCAAUCAUGUCUAUGCUCAACGCAAACACCAAAUAACAAUUAUUUAGGUUUAACACCAAUCUCGAUGGUAGAGGGAGCAUCCGAUGCUUGAUCACAUCAACCUUGGAAACACUUCCAACACAUAUCGUCAUCUCACCUUCAGCUAGUCUCCGUUUAUUCCGUAGCUUUUUAUUUCGAGUUACUAACACUUAGCAACCGAACCGGUAUUUUAAUACCCUGGUGCUACUACGAGUACUAGUAAAGUACACAUUAUAAUGUAUAUCCAAUAUACUUCUAUCGGCCUUGCCAGCCUUCUCAUCUACCAAGUAUCCAGGGUAGUUCUGCUUCGGUGACCGUUCCCCUUAUUUCAGAAGCACUUAGUCUCGGGUUUGGGUUCAACCUUGGGUUUCUUCACUAGAGCAGCAACUGAUUUGCCGUUUCAUGAAGUAUCGCUUUCUUGACCUUGCCCUUCUUGAAACUAGUGGUUUUACUAACCAUCAACAAUUGAUGCUCCUAUUUGAUUUCUACUUUCGCGGUGUCACGAAUAGCUCAAGGAUCAUCAUAUCUAUCCCUGAUAUGUUAUAGUUCAUCAUGAAGCUCUAGUAGCUUGGUGGGAGUGACUUUGGAGAACCAUCACUAUCUCAUCUGGAAGAUUAACUCCCACUCGAUUCAAACGAUUGUAGUACUCAUACAAUCUGAGCACAUGCUCAACGAUUGAGCUUUUCUCCUUAGUUUGCAGGCUUAAGAAACUUGUCAGAGGUCUCAUACCUCUUGACGUGGGCACUAGCCUGAAAUCCCAAUUUCAGUCCUUGGAACAUCUCAUAUGUUCUGCGAUGUUUCAAAAACGUCUUUGGUGCCUCAAUUCUAAACCAUUUAGCAUUACGCACUGAACUAUCAUGUAGUCAUCAAAAUGUGUAUGUCAGAUGUUUGCAACAUCCACAACCGACGCUCGAGGUUCAACACACUGAGUGGUGCAUUAAGGACAUAAUCUUUCUGCGUAGCAAUGAGGACAAUCCUCAGUUUACGGACCCAGUCCGCAUAAUUGCUACUGUCAACUCUCAAUUAAAUUUUCUCUAGGAACAUAUCUAACACAGUAGAACCAAAGCGUGAGCUAUGACAUAAUUUGCAAAGACCUUUUGACUAUGUUCAUGAUAAUUAAGUUCGUCUAAUCAAAUUGUUUGAUGAACUCCCACUCAGAUAGACAUCCCUCUAAUCAUCUAAGUGAUACAUGAUCCGAGUCAACUAGGCCGUGUCCGAUCAUCACGUGAGACGGACUAGUCAUCAUCGGUGAACAUCUUCAUGUUGAUCGUAUCCACUAUACGACUCAUGUUCGACCUUUUGGUCUCUUGUGUUCCGAGGCCAUGUCUGUACAUGCUAGGCUCGUCAAGUCAACCUAAGUGUUUUGCAUGUGUAAAUCUGGCUUACACCCGUUGUAUGUGAACGUUAGAAUCUAUCACACCCGAUCAUCACGUGGUGCUUCGAAACAACGAACUUUCGCAACGGUGCACAGUUAGGGGGAACACUUUCUUGAAAUUUUAUGAGGGAUCAGCUUAUUUAUGCUACCAUCAUUCUAAGCAAAUAAGAUGUAAACAUGACAAACAUCACAUGCAAAUCAUAGAGUGACAUGAUAUGGCUAAUAUCAUUUCGCGCCUUUGAUCUUCAUCUUUGAGGCGCGACAUGAUCACCUUCGUCACCGGCAUGACACCAUGAUGUCCAUCAUCAUGAUAUCCAUCAUCGUGUCUUCAUGAAGUUGUCUCGCCAACUAUUACUUCUACUACUAUGGCUAACGGUUAGCAAUAAAGUAAAGUAAUUACAUGGCGUUUUCAAUGACACGCAGGUCAUACAAUAAAUUAAGACAACUCCUAUGGGUCCUGCCGGUUGUCAUACUCAUCGACAUGCAAGUCGUGAUUCCUAUUACAAGAACAUGAUCAAUCUCAUACAUCACAUAUAUAUAAUUCAUCACAUCCUUUUGGCCAUAUCACAUCACAUAGCAUACCCUGCAAAACAAGUUAGACGUCCUCUAAUUGUUGUUGCAUGUUUUACGUGGCUGCUAUGGGUUUCUAGCAAGAACGUUUCUUACCUAUGCAAAAGCCACAACGGUGAUAUGCCAAUUGCGAUUUACCCUUCAUAAGGACCCUUUUCAUCGAAUCCGAUCCGACUAAAGUGGGAGAGACUGGCACCCGCUAGCCACCUUAUGCAACAAGUGCAUGUCAGUCGGUGGAACCUGUCUCACGUAAGCGUACGUGUAAGGUCGGUCCGGGCCGCCUCAUCCCACGAUGCCGUCGAAUCAAGAUAAGACUAGUAACGGUAAGCAAAUUGAACAAAUCAUCACCCACAACUACUUUGUGUUCUACUCGUGCAUAGAAUCUACGCGUAGACCUAGCUCAUGAUGCCACUGUUGGGGAUCGUUGCAGAAAUUAAAAAAAUUUCUACGCAUCACCAAGAUAAAUCUAUGGAGAGACUAGCAACGAGAGAGAGCGGAGUGCAUCUUCAUACCCUUGAAGAUCGCGAUGCGGAAGCGUUUCAAGAACGCAGAUGAAGGAGUCGUACUCGCAGCGAUUCAGAUCACGGUUGAUUCCGAUCUAAGCGCCGAACAACGGCGCCUCCGCGUUCAACACACGUAUAGCCCGGGGACGUCUCCUCCUUCUUGAUCCAGCAAGGGGAGAGGAGAAGUUGAGGGAGAGCACCGGCAGCAUGACGACGUGGAGGUGGAGCUUGCAAUUCUCCGGCAGGGCUUCGCUAAGCACUACUACUACGGAGGAGGUGUUGGGAGGGAGAGGGCUGCGCCAGGGGAAGGGGUGCGGCUCCCAUGCGCCUCCCCACUAUAUAUAGGGGUGGAGGGGGCUGGUUUCUUGCCCUCCAAGUCCAUUGGGGCAUUGCGAAGUUGGGGGAAAGAAAUCCCAUCAUUUCCCUUCCCCACCGUUUGUUAACCCAUUUUUUAGGGAUCUUGAUCUUAUCCCUUCGGGAUAUGAUCUAACUACUUCUAAGGGAGGAUCUUGGUGCGCCUUGACAAGUGGUGUGGAGCCUUGCCCCCACUACCCACGUUCAUGUGGGUCCCCCAUGCAGGUGGGCUGUCACGACCGGUUUUCCAAUAAAAAUAUUUAUUAAGAAAACGAUCCCUUUUACGGACCAGUAGAGAAGAAUCCUUCUCACUGGUAGACAAAUUCUUGAUCACAGAAGAAAAAAACCAGGAGUACUAAAUAUAAUACAAGGUUGAGUGGAGACUGCUCAACAAUUUAUCACAAGCACGCCAAUAAUACUUAAAGGCGGAUAGGGUGGCAUAACUACUAACUCACAAUAAAAGCGGUGGUGGAAAUAUCACAGUGACGUGGGUGACAUGACUCCUGAAUCUAACAGCUCUUCGAGCGUCGGAGUGAGGCUCGAGGAUACUUAUUGUGGGUGGCGGAAGCGUAUGUGGUACAAGUGACCAAUAUCCAGGAUCGCACGGGACUGACUGGGAUUCCUCUAGGCGUCGGACUCACUAUCAAACUCUUCAUCCAUGAGAUCGCCCUUGUCAACAUCUGGCCAAAUCAACAAGCCAGGUGAGUACUAUGAAAGUACUCGCAAGACAGUUCGGACAUAAGAUAUAACAAAUGUAAACAUGAUGCAUAUGAACAGAUUAAUAGAGCGCACUCAAACAAUGAGAAGACAAGGCAUGGGAAAUAAAAGGGAAGUCGGGCGGUAGUCCUCCCGAAAUCCCAAAGUAAUAAUGACGGCCAAUCGAGUGUCUGAAUUACUCCUCGAAAGGAUACAAAUGAAAUAACAAUGCCGCAGUCGGGCGCCAAGGUGACACCACAUAAAGGGCUUAUAAUAAAAAAAAAUAAGUAACACUGCGUGCCACAGUCGGACGUCCGAAGCGACAUCACAUAAAGGGCUUGUAUUGAUAGUAAAUGACAGGAGUGCCACAGUCGGACGUCUGAGCGACAUCACAUAAAGGGCUUAUAUUGAAAGUAAAUGACAAGAGUGCCACAGUCGGACAUCUGAGCGACAUCACAUAAAGGGCUUAUAUUGAAAGUAAAUGACAAGAGUGCCACAGUCGGACGUCUGAGCGACAUCACAUAAAGNNNNNNNNNNNNNNNNNNNNNNNNNNNNNNNNNNNNNNNNNNNNNNNNNNNNNNNNNNNNNNNNNNNNNNNNNNNNNNNNNNNNNNNNNNNNNNNNNNNNNNNNNNNNNNNNNNNNNNNNNNNNNNNNNNNNNNNNNNNNNNNNNNNNNNNNNNNNNNNNNNNNNNNNNNNNNNNNNNNNNNNNNNNNNNNNNNNNNNNNNNNNNNNNNNNNNNNNNNNNNNNNNNNNNNNNNNNNNNNNNNNGUAAAUGACAGGAGUGCCACAGUCGGACGUCUGAGCGACAUCACAUAAAGGGCUUAUAUUGAAAGUAAAUGACAAGAGUGCCACAGUCGGACGUCUGAGCGACAUCACAUAAAGGGCUUAUAUUGAAAGUAAAUGACAAGAGUGCCACAGUCGGACGUCUGAGCGACAUCACAUAAAGGGCUUAUAUUUCACAACUUAAUAUUUCAGUAGCUCAUGAACUUAAUUCAUUGCAAGGGAAAUUUUCAGGUACAAGAUAAAAUAAAGGUUAGUCCAUCCACAGGAAUAACAAUUUAAACGGGUAUACCACUCAAGCUUGUUCACCGGGGAUUUACCACGAGGACUGACAUAGAUAUGGAUAUACUGGCCAUGGUCCUUGACCAUGGACACGAUGAUUCGGAAGGAUUUGACUAUGCAGAGUUUGUACUUUAACCACAGCCAACGGAUUUCAGUAGUCACAAGGACUAGUUCCGUUUACGGUGUUUUGGAAGAAACACAUCUAACCAGUACACACCCAUUCAACAUUCCGAUGCCAGGAAUCACCCUCGGCAACGUUCAAGAAAAACCUUGAGACGGGGAGGCUACAACCUCGCGUAGCAUGGGAUCAAAUUUAUAUACGCGCGCUCUAAGGGGUGCCCCCCUCUCGGUCCCAACCGUAAACACCCAUGCCCCCUGACCGGAUGACUGGCUUUAAUCCAGGGCCAUGGAACCCUCAUCCCGGCCCCUCUAUUUGGUGUGUACACGGAAAGAGGUUAACAACUUACUAAACCGUAUUCUUUGCAGAAAACAUGUGGCAGCACGAAAGGGAAGAACGAUAACAUGACUCAGUCCACAUUAACGUCGGAGUUUAUCGGAUGACGUAAGACUGGCAUGCUACAACAAUACCAUCAUACUACCUUUCAUGUCACCACAUGAUCAGGUCAUCUCUCAUCAAAGAUCAUGAUAACUUCGAAACACAGGGUCAGUUGCCCCGCAUGCAACGUAAUACUCACCGAUGCUCAUAUGCCAUGCACAAACCUUUCAAGCAAACAUGCGAAACACCUAUCAUACCAAAGGUUCAAACAUGCUUGCCUGGUUCGGAGAAGUCGGAGUCUAGCUCGGCGAAGUUCGCGGCUCCGUCACCUCCUCCGGAACCAAGAGGUUCAGGGUGUUCUUCCGCGUCGGUGGGUGGUGGACUUGGUCGUCGGAGAGCACCACGUCGACGGCGACACUUUCUCCGGCGGACGGUGGUUCGGGCGAUGGUGGAGUACUCCGGUGGGCGGGGGGUGAAUCGAGCUGGACCCCGUGGCGGGUCGAGGCGGCCGGAGUUGGGGAAGAAGGAUCCCUCGGGGCUCUUCCAGUGGCUUGGCGUGGUAUUGGUGGAGUGCAGAGGUGGUGUGGGUUCGAGUCCGAGCUCGGGGCCUCCUUUUAUAGGCGAUUCGAGGGGGUGGCCGUGAACGGGGUAGCUCCGGCGAGCGAUUACGGCGAGGCAGGGGUUGGGAAGGGGGUUUAGGCGGCUAGGCACCAUCAGGGAGGAUCACUGGUGCCGUUCCCCCGCUAAACCUUGGUCGGGCUUGGCGUAAUGCGCCGAUCCUUGACGGGGCGGCCGUACGGGCACGUGUGCGGCAAAGAGCGCGCUCCGCGCCUAGCAGUUCACGACGACGGAUGGCAGCGUGCACGGGUGAGUGGAUGGCCACGCGGCGGCCUCCGGUGGCUUGGGCGGCGCUGGACGGCGCCGUCCAUGCUGCGCCUCUCUCUGGCAGCCGCAAAGCCGCUGCUGCCGUCGCUCACGGGUGGCGCACCUCCUCCUGCUCGUCGCCGACGCCCGCAACCUUCCAGGCGAUCGUGCGGUGCAGGGAUAAGAAGGAGGGGACAGGGAGCAAGGCGCCACCGUGGUACUGGCGAGAUCGACAACGGGCUCUGAAGAAAACGACAGUGUCCACUGAAACUGUUUACUGAACUUCUGAACAUUGACAGCAACAGUGCCCAUCAGGUGUUCGACGAAAUGAUUUGGCAUGAAGAAUUUUUUUUCUGGAGCUGGGACUUGGUGAGGUGACCUCUCAAUGCAUCCAGAGGCUGCGUGAAUUUUCUCAGAUUUUUAGGAGGAGAAAACAAUUGAAUUUCAUCAAAUUUGGCAAAUCUGGUCCAAACUUGCAGCAAGCACAAUUUGAAAUAUUUGAACUGGAGACCAGUGGAUCUUCAUGGAUCUUGGUGGAGGGCUCUAAGGACUAGCUAGGGAAAACGGUUUGGAGGCCAAACUCAAAGUAGAAAUGGUAGCUCCUUUGUAAAUCCAAGAGCCAAAGUAGAGGGCAGAAAUUAUUUUUGAUGGGAAAAAAAGAAAGAAGAAUCAUGGGGAGGUUCAACUUGCUGGAUUUCAAGUAUAUCAUGAUCCAAAGAUGGGGAAAGGCUUUUGGGAGGGGAUUUCCACUUGGGCCAUGGCAAGAGGGAUUUUUGAAAGGGGAAAAGAUCACUCCAAAUGCCAUAGGGUUAUUUAAAAGAUUUUUCAAAAGAAAUUUCCCAAAUGAAAAGCAUUUGGUUUUGAGUCCACAUAAGAUGGAAAAACCUCCAAGACCAAAAAUCAAGUCUUGGGUGAAUCCAAACAAAACACUUGCCAUAAAAGAAAUUUUUUGAGAGGGAGAGUUCUUUUAGAAGAAAAAUUUAAAUACCCUCCUCAAAUCAAAUAAAAGAUUUUGAUAAAACCAAAUAAAAAUUUUGGGUGUCACAACACCUACCCCCUUAGGAAAAAUUUCGUCCUCGAGAUUUCAGCUGAUCCUCAAAUAGAUGUGGGUACUCUUCCUGAAGAAAAUCUUCCCUUUCCCAUGUAGCUUCAUCCUCGGUGUGAUUGCUCCACUGAACCUUGAAAAAUUUAGUUGUUUUCUGGCGGGUCCUCCUUUCAGACUCUUCCAAUAUCUUCACUGGCCGCUCUCUGUAGGUGAGAUCUGGUUGUACAUCAAUGCUCUCAUGAGAUACAUGCUUCUCCGGGUUGUUCACACAUUUUCUCAACUGUGAGAUGUGAAACACGUCGUGGACGUCUGACAGCUCUUUGGGGAGGUCCAGCUGGUAGGCUACUGUGCCUCUUCGUGCAACUAUACAGAAAGGUCCAAUAAAUCUUGGGGCUAGCUUCCCUUUAAUUUUGAACCGUUGUAGGCCUCGCAUAGGAGACACUCGGAGGUAAACGUAAUCACCGGGUUCAAAGCUGACCUCACGAUGUUUUCAAUCGUAAUAGCUCUUUUGUCGGCUUUGAGCUGUCUUGAGUCUGUCCCUGAUCUGUUUAACCUUCUCCUCGGCUUCUUUGAGCAUGUCUGGGCCGAAGAUGCGACUGUCACCUGUUUCUGACCAAUUCAGUGGGGUACGACACCUCCGUCCGUACAGUGCUUCAAAAGGUGCCAUUUGCAGGCUGGCCUGGUAACUGUUGUUGUAAGCAAACUCGGCAUAUGGCAAACUUUCUUCCCAGCUGGAUCCAUAGGUGAGCACACAGGCUCUCAGCAUGUCCUCUAGGAUUUGGUUUACGCGUUCCGUUUGUCCAUCCGUCUGAGGGUGGUACGCUGUACUGAAUGCUAGUUGCGUGCCCAGAGCUUGCUGUAAGUGAUCCCAAAAUUUAGAGACAAAUUGAGUGCCUCGGUCGGAUAUUAUGGUCUUUGGGACUCCAUGUAGACAAACUAUACGGGAGAGAUAAAGCUUGGCUAGCCUUUGAGUGGAGUAGGUCGUCUUCACAGGAAUGAAAUGUGCUACCUUGGUUAGCCUAUCUGUGAUGACCCAUAUGGCAUCAUUUCCGCGUUGUGAUCGAGGUAGUCCGACGAUGAAGUCCAUUCCAAUUUCAUCCCAUUUCCACUCAGGUAUCCUGUUUGGCUGGAGUAGCCCUGCUGGCUUUUGAUGCUCGGCUUUAAUGCGCUGACAUGAAUCGCAACAAGCAAUAAAUGCGGCUAUAUCCCUUUUCAUACCGUGCCACCAAAAUCUUUCCUGAAUGUCUUUGUACAUUUUGGUUCCUCCAGGGUGGAUCGAGUAUGGAGCGGUGUGGCUUUCGGUUAGGAUUUGUUGCUUGAGUUCCUCAAUGUUUGGUACGCAAAGUCUGUCUCCGUACCAUAAUAUUCCUUCAUUGUCUGUGACGAACUCUGAAGCCGUGCCAAGGCUCAUUUUUCUCUUUAUACCUUCGAUGCUGGGAUGUCCCUGCUGAGCCUUCUUAAUUUGUUCCACUAGGGUGGGAUGUAUCACCAGAUUUGAUACAUUGCCCUCACAGACUAACACCAUGUUGAGUCCAGCGAACUCCUGCUGAAACUCAGGCCUCAAGUUCUGUGGACUGUCGUUGCCCGGGCUGGGGUUCCGACUAAGGGCAUCUGCCACUACAUUUGCUUUCCGUGGAUGGUAGUGAAUGCCGACAUCAUAGUCCUUGACCAAUUCCAACCAGCGUCGUUGGCGUAAAUUUAGCUCUGGUUGUGUGAAAAUAUAUUUAAGGCUCUUAUGGUCAGUAUAUAUUUCACAACGAUUUCCCAGCAGAAAUAGCCUCCACUCCUUGAGUGCAUGGAUGACCGCUGCUAGCUCCAAGUCAUGAGUCGGAUAAUUUUCCUCAUGCUUCCGUAGUUGCCUGGAAGCAUACGCGACAACUUUGCCAUCCUGCAUCAGCACGCACCCGAGGCCCUUCCGGGAUGCGUCACGAAACACUUCAAAGCUCUGGUGUAUGUCUGGCACGAUCAAAACUGGUGCUGUUGUUAGUUUCUUCUUGAGUUCUUGGAAGCUUUUCUCGCAUGCUUCUGUCCAUACAAAUAUCUUGUCUUUCUUGAGCAACUGUGUCAUUGGUUUUUCCACAGUGGAGAACCCUUCAAUAAAUCUUCUGUAGUAUCCGGCCAUUCCCAGGAAACUCCACACAUCUGUCAUGUUGGCUGGGGGUUUCCAGUCAAGUAUGGCUUUGACUUUUUCUGGGUCUACGACCACGCCUUCUUGGGUUAAUAUAUGGCCUAGGAAACCAACUUGCCUUAGCCAAAAUUCACACUUGCUAAAUUUGGCGUACAAUUGAUGUUUCCUUAAUUCUCCCAAAACAAUUCUGAGAUGUUCAGCAUGCUCUUCUGGUGUCCUUGAAUAUACCAGAAUAUCGUCAAUGAACACCACAACAAAUUUGUCCAUGAAUUUCAUAAACACUUUGUUCAUGAGGUGGACGAAAAAUGCGGGGGCGUUCGUUAGUCCAAACGGCAUUACUGUGAACUCAUAUAAUCUGUAUCUAGAGGUGAAUGCUGUCUUAGGGAUAUCUUCCGUUCGUACUUUUAAUUGGUGAUAUCCCGAUCUUAAAUCAAUUUUUGAGAACACCUUGGCUUGUGCGAGCUGGUCAAACAAAUCAUUUAUCCGUGGCAUCGGAUAUUUGUUUUUGAUGGUGACCAUAUUGAGAGCUCGAUAGUCUAUACACAAUCUCAGUGUCCCAUCCUUUUUCUUGGUGAAUAAUACUGGCGAACCCCAAGGUGAGGAGCUGGCUCGAAUAAAUCCCUUGUCCAGUAAUUCCUUUAUUUGCUUCUUCAAUUCUACCAACUCUGAGGGUGCCAUUCUAUAAGGUUUCUUAUAGAUGGGAGUGGUGCCAGGUGCUAGUUCAAUGCUGAACUCUAUCUCUCGGUCUGGUGGCAUGCCUGGUAGUUCUUCAGGAAAUACGUCUGGAAACUCGCACACCACUGGAACUUUUCUCAAUUCUGAAAUGUCCACUUUGUUCAAUUUUGGUUGCCGUGACCGUGGUCUCUCUUGAGCUGUAACCUUUAUUGUCUUGCCGUGAUGGUGAGUGAGAAUCACGGUCCGAUUGAAACAGUCAAUAAAUCCUUUGUUGGUGGUCAACCAGUCCAUCCCUAGGAUGACAUCCAGUCCUUUAUUUUCCAACGCGAUGAGAUUAGCCUGAAACUUUAGUCCUUCGAAUUCAAUAAUCACUCCUUGGCAGUAGCUCUAAGUGAUCUGCUUAUUUCCGGGGGACUUGAUGAUCAUAGAUUUUUCCAAAGGAAGUAUCGGAAAACCAUGUUGCAAAACAAAACUCUUCGAAAUGAACGAGUGAGAAGCUCCAGAAUCAAACAAAACCGUGGCAGGUACUGUGUUGACAGGGAACGUACCGAGCACGAUGUCUGGGGCAUUCUGCGCUUCUUCCCUGGUCACAUGGUUCAGGUGACCCUUCCUGUGGUUGUUGUUGGGAUUGAAAUUGUUGCGCUUGGGGGCUGGAUUAUUCCCACCAUUGUUCGGCUUGGGGGCCGAGUUCCUUGGUUUUGGGCACUGUUUGGCAUAGUGCCCCUCUUCACCACAAGCAUAGCAAGUGACCCCUGGACGGUAUGUAAAGUCCUUGUCCCUUGAAUGAAACUGUCUGGUUGGCCUGAGAGCAGUGGUCGUGGACUUCCUCUCUUCAUUCCUCUGAACAUCAGUCUUGCUUCGGUUGUUGCGAGCAAGAGUCGUCUUGUCCCUCUUUCGCUUACGAAUAUCUUCCAGACUGCGGCGCUCAUUCUCCAAAGUAAUGGCCUUGUUAACCAGAGUUUUGAAAUCUGGGGAAGUGUGUACGACCAGUUGGCAUCUUAGUGCUGGCGCCAGGCCGUCCAAGAAUUUUUCCAUCCUCUUGUUCUCAGUCAUAAGCUCAUCGUAGGCAUAACGAGAUAGCUGGGUAAACUGACUAUUGUAUUCCGUCACUGUCAUGCCUCUCUGCUUGAGGUCAUCAAAUUCUCUUUUCUUGAUUUUUAUGAUGCUCCUGGGUAUGUGUGCCCCACGAAAGCCUUCCUUAAACUCCUCCCAGGUGAUGUUAUGUUCACUGGGAUGCAUGUGUAGGAAGUUCUCCCACCAUGCUGCAGCUACUCCAGUGAGAUAGUGGGGUGCAUAAAGCACCUUCUCAUGAUCAGAACAUUGAGCAAUAAUCAACUUUCUUUCGAUGUCUCGAAGCCAAUCAUCGGCUUCAAGUGGCCUAUCAGUGUGAGCAAACAUUGGAGGGCGUGUCUUCUGCAGUUCAGACAACUUGGAGUGUGGUUGGUAAGGCUCACGGUGAUUUCCCAUAUUGAUGACGUGAUUCAUCAUUUCUUGGUGUUGCUGUUGGCUUUGUUCGAAAAGGCGGCAUACUUGUGAUAAGGCUGCCUCGCUGUCCUGUUGACUAGACUGUCCCUGAGUGAAGUUGUUGCUUGUCUGUGUUCCAUAAACUUCUUCUGGUUGAUUGGGCAUGGAACGAGUCCACGGACGAGACAUUUUCCACUCUGGGGUAUUAUUUUGCAAAACUCAUGAGAAAAACUGUGUGGCACAAGGAAAAUCUUGCAAGACAAAAUUUUUAAAAGACCUCAAGAUUUUCAAGAACAUACACGAUUUCGCACGGAGAAGGACCGCUUAGCACAUAUCUUACACGUGACCCGCAAACACACGAUACAUCACUCAGGAUGUGCGUACACAUUCCUGACAUGUUAUUAAGGCUAGCACACUCCUCCGGGAUCCUACAUGAGGCGCACAUAAAUACUACAAACUAACGUACAUAUAAAACAUAUCAUACAUGCAGGCACAUCGCGCGGCGACUAGGCGCACUCAGUCGGAGAUGGUGAAGAUGUCCUUCCCCUUGCCGAGGGUAAGACCCAGCGGUGCAGGAGACUCAACCUCCACCUCCUCCCUAAUAUGCUCCAGGCGCGUAGCACUACGCUGAGGUGAUGGCGCAGGUGCGACAAGCGGUAGCGCGGGUGCGGCAGGCGGUGCAGCUCUAACUGGAGUAGGAGCAAUGACCCGGUCGAACUCCUCAGUGGUAGGAAGACGGCGAGCAGUGGCCAAAAUGGCAGGUGAAUAGGAUGCUGAGGACGAGACGAACGUCAGUGGCGGUGCCAUGUGGAGAAGCUCCUUCCUGCUGGCAGAACCGCCCCGAACUAAGUCCAUGCGGGCCGCCACAAGAUCGUCCACGAGGUUGUCGAAAUCUUCCUCCAGAGCUUUGAGAUACUCAACAAGCAUCUCGAUAGCUUCAUCUCGCUCUCCCCUAUGGUAGGCGAAUGCAUAGUGACAAGUGUAUGGCACAUGGCAUGGGAGGUAGCGGUAGCGACGAGUCUUCAUCGAAGGAAGAAUGUCCCGAAGGCGAGCUAUCGCCUCACGGGCAGCCAUCUGCAUGGCAUGCCUCUCCGUAGGCAUGGCCCUCCCCACAAAACGGAAGUGGCGAGACGCAGAACGUCCUCCCUUGAAUUGCACCACGGCCUGGUGCAUAGACACGUCGUCGCUGAGCUUGUGCUGGUAAAGCGUGAACUCCGGACGAGUCGCUGGCCCGAUCGCGAGCUUGGUGAUGGAGACGAGGAGUUUGACAAACCCCUCGGGCACAUUAGUGAACACCCGAGUCUCGCAGUUGCUGCCAGCCAUCUACAAAAGUAGGCAAAAAUUCUGAGUGGUCAUAUCAUAAAUUUAUGAUGACCAACAGAAAAUAGCUACAUUUGCAAAAUGCUGAAAAGCGCUAAAAACGCUAAUAACCGAUUAGCGAUCGCACCUAGUGGCUUCCUACAGUCAGCCUGGCUCUGAUACCAAGCUUGUCACGACCGGUUUUCCAAUAAACAUAUUUAUUGAGAAAACGAUCCCUUUUACGGACCAGUAGAGAAGAAUCCUUCUCACUGGUAGACAAAUUCUUGAUCACAGAAGAAAAAAACCAGGAGUACUAAAUAUAAUACAAGGUUGAGCGGAGACUGCUCAACAAUUUAUCACAAGCACGCCAAUAAUACUUAAAGGCGGAUAGGGUGGCAUAGCUACUAACUCACAAUAAAAGCGGUGGUGGAAAUAUCACAGUGACGUGGGUGACAUGACUCCUGAAUCUAACAGCUCUUCGAGCGUCGGAGUGAGGCUCGAGGAUACUUAUUGUGGGUGGCGGAAGCGUAUGUGAUACAAGUGACCAAUAUCCAGGAUCGCACGGGACUGACUGGGAUUCCUCUAGGCGUCGGACUCACUAUCAAACUCUUCAUCCAUGAGAUCGCCCUCGUCAACAUCUGGCCAAAUCAACAAGUCAGGUGAGUACUAUGAAAGUACUCGCAAGACAGUUCGGACAUAAGAUAUAACAAAUGUAAACAUGAUGCAUAUGAACAGAUUAAUAGAGCGCACUCAAACAACGAGAAGACAAGGCAUGGGAAAUAAAAGGGAAGUCGGGCGGUAGUCCUCCCGAAAUCCCAAAGUAAUACUGAUGGCCAAUCGAGUGUCUGAAUGACUCCUCGAAAGGAUACAAAUGAAAUAACAAUGCCGCAGUCGGGCGUCAAGGCGACACCACAUAAAGGGCUUAAAAUGAAAAAAAAUAAGUAACAGUGCGUGCCACAGUCGGACGUCCGAAGCGACAUCACAUAAAGGGCUUGUAUUGAAAGUAAAUGACAGGAGUGCCACAGUUGGACGUCUGAGCGACAUCACAUAAAGGGCUUAUAUUGAAAGUAAAUGACAAGAGUGCCACAGUCGGACGUCUGAGCGACAUCACAUAAAGGGCUUAUAUUGAAAGUAAAUGACAAGAGUGCCACAGUCGGACGUCUGAGCGACAUCACAUAAAGGGCUUAUAUUUCACAACUUAAUAUUUCAGUAGCUCAUGAACUUAAUUCAUUGCAAGAGAAAUUUUCAGGUACGAGAUAAAAUAAAGGUUAGUCCAUCCAGAGGAAUAACAAUUUAAACGGGUAUACCACUCAAGCUUGUUCACCGGGGAUUUACCACGAGGACUGACAUAGAUAUGGAUAUACUGGCCAUGGUCCUUGACCAUGGACACGAUGAUUCGGAAGGAUUUGACUCUGCAGAGUUUGUACUUUAACCACAGCCAACGGAUUUCAGUAGUCACAAGGACUAGUUCCGUUUACGGUGUUUUGGAAGAAACACAUCUAACCAGUACACACCCAUUCAACAUUCCGAUGCUAGGAAUCACCCUCGGCAACGUUCAAGAAAAACCUUGAGACGGGGAGGCUACAACCUCGCGUAGCAUGGGAUCAAAUUUAUAUACGCGCGCUCUAAGGGGUGCCCCCCUCUCGGUCCCAACCGGAAACACCCAUGCCCCCUGACCGGAUGACUGGCUUUAAUCCAGGGCCAUGGAACCCUCAUCCCGGCCCCUCUAUUUGGUGUGUACACGGAAAGAGGUUAACAACUUACUAAACCGUAUUCUUUGCAGAAAACAUGUGGCAGCACGAAAGGGAAGAACGAUAACGUGACUCAGUCCACGUUAACGUCGGACUUUAUCGGAUGACGUAAGACUGGCAUGCUACAACAAUACCAUCUUACUACCUUUCAUGUCACCACAUGAUCAGGUCAUCUCUCAUCAAAGAUCAUGAUAACUUCGAAACACACGGUCAGUUGCCCCGCAUGCAACGUAAUACUCACCGAUGCUCAUAUGCCAUGCACAAACCUUUCAAGCAAACAUGCAAAACACCUAUCAUAUCAAAGGUUCAAACAUGCUUGCCUGGUUUGGAGAAGUCAGAGUCUAGCUCGGCGAAGUUCGCGGCUCCGUCACCUCCUCCGGAACCAAGAGGUUCAGGGUGUUCUUCCGCGUCGGUGGGUGGUGAACUUGGUCGUCGGAGAGCACCACGUCGACGGCGACACUUUCUCCGGCGGACGGUGGUUCGGGCGAUGGUGGAGUACUCCGGUGGGCGGGGGGUGAAUCGAGCUGGACCCCGUGGCGGGUCGAGGCGGCCGGAGUUGGGGAAGAAGGCUCCCUCGGGGCUCUUCCAGUGGCUUGGCGUGGUAUUGGUGGAGUGCAGAGGUGGUGUGGGUUCGAGUUCGAGCUCGGGGCCUCCUUUUAUAGGCGAUCCGAGGGGGUGGCCGUGAACGGGGUAGCUCCGGCGAGCGAUUACGGCGAGGCAGGGGUUGGGAAGGGGGUUUAGGCGGCUAGGCACCAUCAGGGAGGAUCACUGGUGCCGUUCCCCCGCUAAACCUUGGUCGGGCUUGGCGUAAUGCGCCGAUCCUCGACGGGGCGGCCGUACGGGCACGGCGGCGGCAGAGAGCGCGCUCCGCGCCUAGCAGUUCACGACGACGGAUGGGAGCAUGCACGGGUGAGUGGAUGGCCACGCGGCGGCCUCCGGUGGCUUGGGCGGUGCUGGACGGCGCCGUCCACGCCGCGCCUCUCUCUGGCAGCCGCAAAGCCGUCGCUGCCGUCGCUCACGGGUGGCGCACCUCCUCCUGCUCGUCGCCGACGCCCGCAACCUUCGAGGUGAUCGUGCGGUGCAGGGAUAAGAAGGAGGGGACAGGGAGCAAGGCGCCACCAUGGUACUGGCGAGAUCGAAAACGGGCUCUGAAGAAAACGACAGUGUCCACUGAAACUGUUUACUGAACUUCUGAACAUUGACAGCAACAGUGCCCAUCAGGUGUUUGACGAAAUGAUUUGGCAUGAAGAAAUUUUUUUCUGGAGCUGGGACUUGGUGAGGUGACCUCUCAAUGCAUCCAGAGGCUGCCUGAAUUUUCUCAGAUUUUUAGGAGGAGAAAACAAUUGAAUUUCAUCAAAUUUGGCAAAUCUGGUCCAAACUUGCAGCAAGCACAAUUUGAAAUAUUUGAACUGGAGACCAGUGGAUCUUCAUGGAUCUUGGUUGAGGGCUCUAAGGACUAGCUACGGAAAAUGGUUUGGAGGCCAAACUCAAAGUAGAAAGGGUAACUCCUUUGUAAAUCUCCAAGAGCCAAAGUAGAGGGCAGAAAUUAAUUUUGAUGGAAAAAAAAGAAAGAAGAAUCAUGGGGAGGUUCAACUUGCUGGAUUUGAAGUAUAUCAUGAUCCAAAGAUGGGGAAAGGCUUUUGGGAGGGGAUUUCCACUUGGGCCAUGGCAAGAGGGAUUUUUGAAAGGGGAAAAGAUCACUCAAAAUGCCAUAGGGUUAUUUAAAAGAUUUUUCAAAAGAAAUUUCCCAAAUGAAAAGCAUUUGGUUUUGAGUCCACAUAAGAUGGAAAAACCUCCAAGACCAAAAAUCAAGUCUUGGGUGAAUCCAAACAAAACACUUGCCAUAAAAGAAAUUUUUUGAGAGGGAGAGUUCUUUUAGAAGAAAAAUUUAAAUACCCUCCUCAAAUCAAAUAAAAGAUUUUGAGAAAACCAAAUAAAAAUUUUGGGUGUCACAUGGGCCCCACUCCAGAACCUUCUAGAACCUUCUCGGUACAAUACCGAAAAAUCCCAAACAUUUCCCGGUGGCCAAAAAUAGGACUUCCCAUAUAUAAAUCUUUACCUCCGGACCAUUCCGGAACUCCUUGUGACGUCCGGGAUCUCAUCCGGGACUCCGAACAACAUUCAGUAACUGCACACUAAUUCCCAUAACAACUCUAGCGUCACCGAACCUUAAGUGUGUAGACCCUACGGGUUCGGGAAUCAUGCAGACAUGACCGAGACAGCUCUCUGGCCAAUAACCAACAGCGGGAUCUGGAUACCCAUGUUGGCUCCCACAUGUUCCACGAUGAUCUCAUCGGAUGAACCACGAUGUCAGGGAUUCAAUCAAUCCUGUAUACAAUUCCCUUUGUCAAUCGGUACAUUACUUGCCCGAGAUUCGAUCGUCGGUAUCCCAAUACCUCGUUCAAUCUCGUUACCGGAAGUCACUUUUACUCGUUCCGUAACACAUCAUCCUGUGAUCAACUCUUUGGUCACAUUGAGCUCAUUAUGAUGAUGUCCUACCGAGUGGGCCCAGAGAUACCUCUCCGUCACACGGAGUGACAAAUCCCAGUCUCGAUUCGUGCAAACCCAACAGACACUUUCGGAGAUACCCAUAGUGUGCCUUUAUAGCCACCCAGUUUCGUUGUGACAUUUGGCACACCCAAAGCAUUCAUACGGUAUCCAGGAGUUGCACAAUCUCAUGGUCUAAGAAAAUGAUACUUGACAUUAGAAAAGCUUUAGCAGACGAACUACACGAUCUUGUGCUAUGCUUAGGAUUGGGUCGUGUCCAUCACAUCAUUCUCCUAAUGAUGUGAUCCCGUUAUCAACGACAUCCAAUGUCCAUGGUCAGGAAACGGUAACCAUCUAUUGAUCAAUGAGCUAGUCAACUAGAGGCUUACUAGGGACAUAUUGUGGUCUACGUAUUCACACAUGUAUUACGGUCUCCGAUUAAUACAAUUAUAGCAUGAACAAUAGAAAAUUAUCAUGAACAAGGAAAUAUAAUAAUAACCAUUUUAAUAUUGCCUCUAGGGCAUAUUUCCAACACCUUCUGCUUAUAUUGAGAAACCACCUUUCCCUGUUAGGAUAAAGGAACAUGCUAAAGUUUCAACCGUGGUUAACAAAAGCUAUAUUAGAACACCUAAACCUGAUGAACAAAUUAAAGUAGAACCUAGCAUUGCUAUGGUUAAAGAUCUCUUGGAAGAAGAUAUAGAUGGGCAUGUUAUUUACUUCUGUGAGAAAGCUGCUAGAAUUGCUAAACCUGAUAGAAAAGAUAAACAUAGACCUGUUGUGGGCAUGCCUGUUAUUUCAGUUAAAAUAGGAGAUCACUGUUAUCAUGGUUUAUGUGACAUGGGUGCUAGUGUGAGUGCUAUUCCUUACACUCUUUAUCAAGAAAUUAUAAAAGACAUAGCACCUGCAGAGUUAGAAGAAAUAGAUGUUACUAUUAAACUUGCUAAUAGAGACACCAUAUCACCAUUUGGGAUUGUUAGAGAUGUUGAAGUCUUGUGUGGGAAAAUAAAAUACCCUAUUGAUUAUCUUGUUCUUGGUUCCCCGCAAUGACUUCUGUCCCAUUAUCUUUGGUAGAACUUUCUUGAACACAGUUAAUGCUAAGAUAGAUUGUAAGAAACAAACUGUCGAUGUUAGCUUUGGUGAUGAGUUUCAUGAGUUUAAAUUUUCCAAGUUUAAUGGAAAUCUUCAUGAAAAAGAAUUGCCUAGUAAGGAUGAAUUAAUUGGUCUUGCUUCUAUUGUUGUGCCACCUACUGAUCCUUUUGUCGGUGUACUAAAGUAGGGGCACUCCUUUGUACCCCUUUACUUGUGCACGGACAGUCAGAGCCGCGCCCACGGCCACACUUAGCAGGGCAGAGGAGGGAGGCCAGGGAGAAGCCGGAGCACAAGACGGUCAAGGAAACGCCAAGACCAGAAACACCAAAGAGCAAGAGGGCGAGGUGGACUCCCCCGGCAAGGCCCUUGCUGGGGCGGCCUCUGCGGCCCCGGCAAGAGCCUUGCCGGGGCAACUUGCCCAGUACCAGCAGAGCGAGCCACCCUCGAGCCCAAGAGUUCCAAAUGCCGCCAACGACUACGUUGGAACCAAGGCUCGGGAGGCACCCCCGUGGUGGCAUGCAGAUCUUUGUCAAGAUCAUAUAUACACAAGCUCAAAUGAGGACUAGAAGACGGCGACCCUCGGCGGGAUCCUAGCCGAGGAGAUCCAUAAGACCCCCGGCAAGCGUCUUGCCGGGGACAACUGCGACGCCACGGCAAGACCCUUGCCGGGCCCCCGGCAAGGCCCUUGCCGAGGGCGCCAGCAGGGCCACUGCCAGACCCGCACCAGCCAAGGCUCCGCCGCCAUUCGCAUGCAGCUGCCCGCCCAACCAGCUGGGCAGGCACCUGCGUGGGAACACGCGGCUUCCAGACCGACUCAGCAAGCACCUGCGUGGUGGCAUGCAGAUCUUCGUGAAGACCCUGCCACCACGCCACCUCAGCAGCCUGCCUGCCUACAUGGCACCACACGCAUCGCUGGCCUGGGCGCGUGUCGAAGCGAGACGGAGUGGCGACGGACGGGACGGGCCUCGUUCCCGUCCCCGAUAAAGCUAAUGGACACCUAAGUAGCGCAUUUAAUGCGCUUUGUCCCGUAAUGCCGGGCGAUAAGCUCGUGCACUGUACGCCUUUCCACCUCCUGUGUGCCACUGUGACAACCCCUUUUCGACUAUAAAAGGAGGACCGAGGCAUACUGGAGAGGGAUUCGGCUCUUUGGAGCUACGCAGCCACCGUAGCUAGUUCGAAAGCUCAAGAACACUGAAUACAUCCACCAAAGCAGGACUAGGGUAUUACGCAUCCUCGCGGCCCGAACCUGGGUAAACGAUCUUUGUGCUGGCUCCUGGACAUGCUCUUCUCACAACCCCGCGCCCGCCGACGUAGAAGGGAUUCCAAUGAUCCCAUAGGUGUCGUUCCCACCGACAUCUUUGGCGCGCCAGGUAGGGGAUGGAGCAAUUGUGAGAAUCUGGUCUAGCGGUUAGCCUAGCAGUUCUUCGUCGCCAUGGCUCUCAAGAAGAAGACGAUCACAGCGAUCGGCUCGUCGGGGGCUGAGCGGCCCGCGCCAGUUCGGGCGAGCAGCGGACCGGUCGCGGAUAGAACCCGAGCCGCGGCCCGCGAGCACCAGCAUCGCCCCGGCAGUCAGAGCCUGCGAGCGGCGUCGUUCGUGCGCCAGACGACGAGCCACACGCCGCCAGAUCCAAAGACGGGGCUGCCCCCCCGCAGGCGACGCGGGGCCCUCCAGGGGCGUCGCUGUGCCCCCUACAGGCGGCGCAACGACCUCCAAGACGCCCACCCCGGCGCCCACAGUGCGCUCUUCCCAUGGUGUGCGCGACGAGCAGCGUCACCAUGCCAGUGACCCUGGACACCGCCGUGGGAAGAGCCCUAUGCAUCGUCCGCGAGACGAAGGAGUCCAGCAUACCCGCCGAAGUGCUGGCGAAAAUGGCACGCAGCCGCUGGGCCGUGAUAGAGCUCCUUCUAACGUGGUUAGAAGUCGAAGCACGCUACAGUCCACGCAGCUGUCGCCACCACCCACGCCAGCAGAAGCUUUGGCGCGCGCACAGCUACUCCUCGACUUCCCUCCUGCCGCGGAGAAGCUCGACGAGUGGAGAGCCACCAUCCGGAGCCUCGUCGCCGUCGCCAAUAAAGAUGAUCCGCGACCGGCGGGGCCCUCGGGCCGGCGCUCCGUCGAGCCACCACAUGUCAGCGGUGGGAGGACCUGUUGGGGAACGUAGUAAUUUCAAAAAAUUUCCUACGCACACGCAAGAUCAUGGUGAUGCAUAGCAACGAGAGGGGAGAGUGUUGUCCACGUACCCUCGUAGACUGACAGCGGAAGCGUUAUCACAACGCGGUUGAUGUAGUCGUACGUCUUCACGAUCCGACCGAUCAAGUACCGAACGUACGGCACCUCCAAGCUCUACACACGUUCAACUCGAUGACGUCCCUCGAACUCCGAUCCAGCCGAGUGUUGAGGGAGAGUUUCGUCAGCACGACGGCGUGGUGACGAUGAUGAUGUUCCACCGACGCAGGGCUUCGCCUAAGCUCUGAAACGGUAUUAUCGAGGUGUAAUAUGGUGGAGGGGGGCACCGCACACGGCUAAAAUAUCGUAUAUCAAGUGUGUCUAGAGGUGCCCCCCUGCCCCCGUAUAUAAAGGAGCAAGGGGGAGGCCGGCUGCCCUUGGCGCGCCAAAGAGAGGGGGGGAGUCCUCCUCCUAGUAGGAGUAGGACUCCCCUUUCCUAGUCCUACUAGGAAAAGAAGGGGGGAAGGAAAGAGAGGGAGAGGGAGAGGGAAAGGGGGCUGCGCCCCCCUCUCCUAGUCCAACUAGGACUCCUCCUGGGAGGGGGCGCGCCACCUCCUGGCUGCUGCCCUCUCUCUCCCCUCAAGGCCCACUAAGGCCCAAUACUUCCCCGGGGGGGUUCCGGUAACCCUCCGGCACUCCGGUUUAAUCCGAAACUUCUCCGGAACACUUCCGGUGUCCGAAUAUAGUCGUCCAAUAUAUCAAUCCUAAUCUUGAAAUAUGCCAACCCAACAAGUACCUUUGGAGACACCUGUAGAGCACCUUUAUAAUCACCCAUUUACGUUGUGACGUUUGGUAGCACACAAAGUGUUCCUCCGGUAAACGGGAGUUGCAUAAUCUCAUAGUCAUAGGAACAUGUAUAAGUCAUGAAGAAAGCAAUAGCAACAUACUAAACGAUCGGGUGCUAAGCUAACGUAAUGGGUCAUGUUAAUCACAUCAUUCUCCUAAUGAGGUGAUCCCGUUAAUCAAAUGACAACUCAUGUCUAUGGCUAGGAAACAUAACCAUCUUUGAUUAACGAGCUAGUCUGGUAGAGGCAUACUAGUGACACUCUGUUUGUCUAUGUAUUCACACAUGUAUUAUGUUUCCGGUUAAUACAAUUCUAGCAUGAAUAAUAAGCAUUUAUCAUGAUAUAAGGAAAUAUAUAAUACUUUAUUAUUGCCUCUAGGGCAUAUUUCCUUCAGUCUCCCACUUGCACUAGAGUCAAUAAUCUAGAUUACAUAGUAAUGAUUCUCACACCCAUGGAGUCUUGGUGUUGAUCAUGUUUUGCUCGUGGAAGAGGCUUAGUCAACGGGUCUGCAACAUUCAGAUCCGUAUGUAUCUUGCAAACUUCUAUGUCUCCAACCUGGACGAAAUCCCGGAUGGAAUUGAAGCGUCUUCUGAUGUGCUUGGUUCUCUUGUGAAAUCUGGAUUCCUUUGCUAAGGCAAUUGCACCAGUAUUGUCACAAAAGAUUUUCAUUGGUCCCGAUGUACUAGGUAUAACACCUAGAUCGGAUAUGAACUCCUUCAUCCAGACUCCUUCAUUUGCUGCUUUCGAAGCAGCUAUGUAUUCCGCUUCACACGUAGAUCCUGCCACGACACUUUGCUUAGAACUGCACCAACUGACAGCUCCACCGUUCAAUGUAAAUACGUAUCCGGUUUCCGAUUUCGAAUCGUCCGGAUCAGUGUCAAAGCUUGCAUCAACGUAACCUCUUACGAUGAGCUCUUUGUCACCUCCAUAAACGAGAAACAUAUCCUUAGUCCUUUUCAGGUAUUUCAGGAUAUUCUUGACCGCUGUCCAGUGAUCCACUCCUGGAUUACUUUGGUACCUUCCUGCUAAACUUAUAGCAAGGGACACAUCAGGUCUGGUACACAGCAUUGCAUACAUGAUAGAGCCUAUGGCUGAAGCAUAGGGAACAUCUUUCAUCUUCUCUCUAUCUUCUGCAGUGGUCGGGCAUUGAGUCUUACUCAAUCUCACACCUUGUAGUACAGGCAAGAACCCUUUCUUUGCUUGAUCAUUUUGAACUUCUUCAAAACUUUGUCAAGGUAUGUGCUUUGUGAAAGUCCAAUUAAGCGUCUUGAUCUAUCUCUAUAGAUCUUAAUGCCUAAUAUAUAUGCAGCUUCACCGAGGUCUUUCAUUGAAAAACUCUUAUUCAAGUAUCCCUUCAUGCUAUCCAGAAAUUCUAUAUCAUUUCCAAUCAGUAAUAUGUCAUCCACAUAUAAUAUCAGAAAUGCUAUCGAGCUCCCACUCACUUUCUUGUAAAUACAGGCUUCUCCAAAAGUCUGUAUAAAACCAAAUGCUUUGAUCACACUAUCAAAGCGUUUAUUCCAACUCCGAGAGGCUUGCACCAGUCCAUAAAUGGAUCGCUGGAGCUUGCACACUUUGUUAGCUCCCUUUGGAUCGACAAAACCUUCCGGUUGCAUCAUAUACAACUCUUCUUCCAGAAAUCCAUUCAGGAAUGCAGUUUUGACAUCCAUUUGCCAAAUUUCAUAAUCAUAAAAUGCGUCAAUUGCUAACAUGAUUCGGACAGACUUAAGCAUCGCUACGGGUGAGAAGGUCUCAUCGUAGUCAAUCCCUUGAACUUGUCGAAAACCUUUCGCAACAAGUCGAGCUUUAUAGACAGUAACAUUACCAUCAGCGUCAGUCUUCUUCUUGAAGAUCCAUUUAUUUUCAAUGGCUUGCCGACCAUCGGGCAAGUCAACCAAAGUCCAUACUUUGUUCUCAUACAUGGAUCCCAUCUCGGAUUUCAUGGCUUCAAGCCAUUUUGCGGAAUCUGGGCUCACCAUCGCUUCUUCAUAGUUCGUAGGUUCGUCAUGGUCUAGUAACAUGACCUCCAGAACAGGAUUACCGUACCACUCUGGUGCGGAUCUUGAUCUAGUUGACCUACGAGGUUCAGUAAUAACUUGAUCUGAAGUUUCAUGAUCAUUAUCAUUAACUUCCUCACUACUUGGUGUAGGUGUCGCAGAAACUGAUUUCUGCGACGAUCUACUUUCCAAUAAGGGAGCAGGUACAGUUACCUCAUCAAGUUCUACUUUCCUCCCACUCACAUCUUUCGAGAGAAACUCCUUCUCUAGAAAGGAUCCAUUCCUAGCAACGAAUAUCUUGCCUUCGGAUCUGUGAUAGAAGGUAUACCCAGCAGUCUCUUUUGGGUAUCCUAUGAAGACACAUUGCUCUGAUUUAGGUUCGAGCUUAUCGGGUUGAAGUUUCUUCACAUAAGCAUCGCAACCCCAAACUUUAAGAUACGACAACUUUGGUUUCUUGCCAAACCAUAGUUCAUAAGGCGUCGUCUCAACGGAUUUCGAUGGUGUCCUAUUUAGAGUGAAUGCAGCCGGCUCUAAAGCAUAACCCCAAAACGAUAGCGGUAAAUCAGUAAGAGACAUCAUAGAUCGCACCAUAUCUAAUAAAGUACGAUUACGACGUUCGGACACACCAUUACGCUGUGGUGUUCCGAGUGGCGUGAGUUGCGAAACUAUUCUGCAUUGUUUCAAAUGUAGACCAAACUCGUAACUCAAAUAUUCUCCUCCACGAUCAGAUCGUAGGAAUUUUAUUUUCUUGUUACGAUGAUUUUCAACUUCACUCUGAAAUUCUUUGAACUUUUCAAAUGUUUCAGACUUAUGUUUCAUUAAGUAGAUAUACCCAUAUCUGCUCAAAUCAUCUGUGAAGGUGAGAAAAUAACGAUAUCCGCCACGAGCCUCAAUAUUCAUCGGACCACAUACAUCUGUAUGAUUUCCAACAAAUCUGUUGCUCUCUCCAUAGUUCCGGAGAACGGUGUUUUAGUCAUCUUGCCCAUGAGGCACGGUUCGCAAGUACCAAGUGAUUCAAAAUCAAGUGAUUCCAAAAUUCCAUCAGUAUGGAGUUUCUUCAUGCGCUUUACACCGAUAUGACCUAAACGGCAGUGCCACAAAUAAGUUGCACUGUCAUUAUUAACUCUGCAUCUUUUGGCUUCGACAUUAUGAAUAUGUGUAUCACUACUAUCGAGAUUCAUUAAAAAUAGACCACUCUUCAAGGGUGCAUGACCAUAAAAGAUAUUAUUCAUAUAAAUAGAACAACCAUUAUUCUCUGAUUUAAAUGAAUAACCGUCUCGCAUUAAACAAGAUCCAGAUAUAAUGUUCAUGCUCAACGCUGGCACCAAAUAACAAUUAUUUAGGUCUAAAACUAAUCCCGAAGGUAGAUGUAGAGGUAGCGUGCCGACGGCGAUCACAUCGACUUUGGAACCAUUUCCCACGCGCAUCGUCACCUCGUCCUUAGCCAAUCUUCGCUUAAUCCGUAGCCCCUGUUUUGAGUUGCAAAUAUUAGCAACAGAACCAGUAUCAAAUACCCAGGUGCUACUGCGAGUAUUAGUAAGGUACACAUCAAUAACAUGUAUAUCACAUAUACCUUUGUUAACCUUGCCAUCCUUCUUAUCCGCCAAAUACUUGGGGCAGUUCCGCUUCCAGUGACCAGUCUGCUUACAGUAGAAGCACUCAGUUUCAGGCUUAGAUCCAGAUUUGGAUUUGUUCUCCUGAACAACAACUUGCUUGCUGUUCUUCUUGAAGUUCCUUUUCUUCUUCCCUUUGCCCUUUUUCUUGAAACUAGUGGUUUUACUGACCAUCAACACUUGAUGCUCCUUUUUGAUUUCUACCUCCACUGCCUUUAGCAUUGAGAAGAGCUCGGGAAUUGUCUUAUCCAUCCCUUGCAUGUUAUAGUUCAUCACGAAGCUCUUGUAGCUUGGUGGCAGUGAUUGAAGAAUUCUGUCAAUGAUGCAAUCAUCCGGAAGUUGAACUCCCAGUUGAAUCAAGUGAUUAUUAUACCCAGACAUUCUGAGUAUAUGCUCACUGAUAGAACUAUUCUCUUCCAUCUUGCAGCUAUAGAACUUAUUGGAGACUUCAUAUCUCUCAAUCCGGGCAUUUGCUUGAAAUAUUAACUUCAACUCCUGGAACAUCUCAUAUGCUCCAUGACGUUCAAAACGUCGUUGAAGACCCGGUUCUAAGCCGUAAAGCAUGGCACACUGAACUAUUGAGUAGUCAUCAGCUUUGCUCUGCCAGACGUUCAUAACUUCUGGCGUCGCUCUUGCAGGAGGCCUGGCACCUAGCGGUGCUUCCAGGACGUAAUUCUUCUGUGCAGCAAUGAGGAUAAUCCUCAAGUUACGGACCCAGUCCGUGUAAUUGUUACCAUCAUCUUUCAACUUAGCUUUCUCAAGGAACGCAUUAAAAUUCAACGGAACAACAGCACGGGCCAUAUAUCUACAAUUAACAUAGACAAGCAAGAUACUAUCAGGUACUAAGUUCAUGAUAAACUUAAGUUCAAUUAAUCAUAUUACUUAAGAACUCCCACUUAGAUAGACAUCCCCCUAAUCAUCUAAGUGAUUACGUGAUCCAAAGCAACUAAACCAUGUCCGAUUAACACGUGAGAUGGAGUUGUUUCAAUGGUGAACAUCACUAUGUUGAUCAUAUCUACUAUAUGAUUCACGCUCGACCUUUCGGUCUCUGUGUUCCGAGGCCAUAUCUGUAUAUGCUAGGCUCGUCAAGUUUAACCUGAGUAUUCCACGUGUGCAACUGUUUUGCACCCGUUGUAUUUGAACGUAGAGCCUAUCACACCCGAUUAACACGUGGUGUCUCAGCACGAAGAACUUUCGCAACGGUGCAUACUCAGGGAGAACACUUUUAUCUUGAAAUUUUAGUGAGAGAUCAUCUUAUAAUGCUACCGUCAAUCAAAGCAAGAUAAGAUGCAUAAAGGAUUAACAUCACAUGCAAUCAAUAUAAGUGAUAUGAUAUGGCCAUCAUCAUCUUGUGCUUGUGAUCUCCAUCUCCGAAGCACCGUGCUUGUGAUCUUCAUCUCCGAAGCACCGUCAUGAUCACCAUCGUUACCGGCGCACCGUGUUCGUGAUCUCCAUCUCCGAAGCACCGUGUUCGUGAUCUCCAUCUCCGAAGCACCGUCAUGAUCACCAUCGUUACCGGCGCGACACCUUGAUCUUCAUCGUAGUAUCAUUGUCGUCUCGCCAACUAAUUGCUUUUACGACUAUCGCUACCGCUUAGUGAUAAAGUAAAACUAUUACAUGGUGAUUGCAUCUCAUACAAUAAAGCGACAACCAUAUGGCUCCUGCCAGUUGCCGAUAACUCGGUUACAAAACAUGAUCAUCUCAUACAACAAAUUAUAUCACAUCAUGUCUGAACCAUAUCACAUCACAACAUGCCCUGCAAAAACAAGUUAGACGUCCUCUACUUUGUUGUUGCAAGUUUUACGUGGCUGCUACGGGCUUAGCAAGAACCGUUCUUACCUACACAUCAAAACCACAACGAUAGUUUGUCAAGUUGGUGCUGUUUUAACCUUCGCAAGGACCGGGCGUAGCCACACUCGGUUCAACUAAAGUGAGAGAGACAGACACCCGCCAGUCACCUUUAAGCAACGAGUGCUCCGAACGGUGAAACCAGUCUCGCGUAAGCGUACGCGUAAUGUCGGUCCGGGCCGCUUCAUCUCACAAUACCGCUGAACCAAAGUUUGACAUGCUGGUAAGCAGUAUGACUUAUAUCGCCCACAACUCACUUGUGUUCUACUCGUGCAUAGCAUCAACGCAUAAAACCUGGCUCGGAUGCCAUUGUUGGGGAACGUAGUAAUUUCAAAAAAUUUCCUACGCACACGCAAGAUCAUGGUGAUGCAUAGGAAUGAGAGGGGAGAGUGUUGUCCACGUACCCUCGUAGACCGACAGCGGAAGCGUUAUCACAACGCGGUUGAUGUAGUCGUACGUCUUCACGAUCCGACCGAUCAAGUACCGAACGUACGGCACCUCCAAGCUCUACACACGUUCAGCUCGAUGACGUCCCUCGAACUCCGAUCCAGCCGAGUGUUGAGGGAGAGUUUCGUCAGCACGACGGCGUGGUGACGAUGAUGAUGUUCCACCGACGCAGGGCUUCGCCUAAGCUCCGCAACGGUAUUAUCGAGGUGUAAUAUGGUGGAGGGGGGCACCGCACACGGCUAAAAUAUCGUAUAUCAAGUGUGUCUAGAGGUGCCCCCUGCCCCCGUAUAUAAAGGAGCAAGGGGGAGGCCGGCUGCCCUUGGCGCGCCAAAGAGAGGGGGGGGAGUCCUCCUCCUAGUAGGAGUAGGACUCCCCUUUCCUAGUCCUACUAGGAAAAGAAGGGGGGAAGGAAAGAGAGGGAGAGGGAGAGGGAAAGGGGGCUGCGCCCCCCUCUCCUAGUCCAACUAGGACUCCUCCUGGGAGGGGGCGCGCCACCUCCUGGCUGCUGCCCUCUCUCUCCCCUCAAGGCCCACUAAGGCCCAAUACUUCCCCGGGGGGUUCCGGUAACCCUCCGGCACUCCGGUUUAAUCCGAAACUUCUCUGGAACACUUCCGGUGUCCGAAUAUAGUCGUCCAAUAUAUCAAUCUUUAUGUCUCGACCAUUUCGAGACUCCUCGUCAUGUCCGUGAUCACAUCCGGGACUCCGAACAACCUUCGGUACAUCAAAACAUAUAAACUCAUAAUAUAACUGUCAUCGUAACUUUAAGCGUGCGGACCCUUCGGGUUCGAGAACUAUGUAGACAUGACCGAGACACCUCUCCGGUCAAUAACCAAUAGCGGGACCUGGAUGCCCAUAUUGGCUCCCACAUAUUCUACGAAGAUCUUUAUCGGUCAGACCGCAUAACAACAUACGUUGUUCCCUUUGUCAUCGGUAUGUUACUUGCCCGAGAUUUGAUCGUCGGUAUCUCGAUACCUAGUUCAAUCUCGUUACCGGCAAGUCUCUUUACUCGUUCCAUAAUACAUCAUCCCGCAACUAACUCAUUAGUCACAAUGCUUGCAAGGCUUAUAGUGAUGUGCAUUAUCGAGUGGGCCCAGAGAUACCUCUCCGACAAUCAGAGUGACAAAUCCUAAUCUCGAAAUACGCCAACCCAACAAGUACCUUUGGAGACACCUGUAGAGCACCUUUAUAAUCACCCAUUUACGUUGUGACGUUUGGUAGCACACAAAGUGUUCCUCCGGUAAACGGGAGUUGCAUAAUCUCAUAGUCAUAGGAACAUGUAUAAGUCAUGAAGAAAGCAAUAGCAACAUACUAAACGAUCGGGUGCUAAGCUAACGUAAUGGGUCAUGUCAAUCACGUCAUUCUCCUAAUGAGGUGAUCCCGUUAAUCAAAUGACAACUCAUGUCUAUGGCUAGGAAACAUAACCAUCUUUGAUUAACGAGCUAGUCUGGUAGAGGCAUACUAGUGACACUCUGUUUGUCUAUGUAUUCACACAUGUAUUAUGUUUCCGGUUAAUACAAUUCUAGCAUGAAUAAUAAGCAUUUAUAAUGAUAUAAGGAAAUAUAUAAUACUUUAUUAUUGCCUCUAGGGCAUAUUUCCUUCAGGACCAGGGGAGCUGCAGCCACAAUACACUCCCCUCCCCCGCGCCAGCUGCCGCCGGUGUCGAUCCGUCGUGACGACGCAUGUGAUAACAUUUCCAUAGCGUCGUCCGACCCACAGACUGUCGGGGAAAACGACACCUAUGGGAUCACAAGAAUCCCUACUACGGGUGCCGGGGCGCAGGAUUAGUAACCAACACAAGGAUCGUUUACCCAGGUUCGGGCCGUGAGGAUGCAUAAAACCCUAGUCCUGCUUUGGUGGGUGUAUUUCAGAGAGUUCUUGAGCUCUCGAACUAGCUGUGGUGAGUGCGUGGUUCCAAAGAGCCAAAUCCUUCUCCAGUAUUCCAUGGGCCUCCUUUUAUAGUCGAAAGGGGUUGCCACAGUGGCACACAGGAGGUGGAAAGGCGCACAGUGCUAUGAGCUUAUCGCUCGUAUUACAGGACAAGAUGCAUUUAAUGUGUAGCUUAGGUGUCCCCUUGCUUUAUUGGGGACGGGGGCGAGGCCCGUCCCGUCUGUUGCCGCUCCUCCUUGCUUCGACACGCGCCCUGGACAGCGACGCAUGCAGCGCCACGUAGGCAGGCAGGCAGCUGAGGUGGCGCCGUGGUGGAGCCUCCACGAAGAUCUGCAUGCCGCCACGCAGGCGCUUGUUGAGUUGGCCUGGGAGCUGCAUGUUGCCACGCAGGUGCCCGCCCAGCUGGUUGGGCCGGCAGCUACAUGUGAACGGCGGUGGAAACUUGGUUGGCGCGGGCCUGGCAGUGGCCCUGCUGUCGUCUUUGGCGAGGGCCUUGCCGGGUGGCCCGGCAAGGGUCUUGCCGUGACGCGCUGUCGUCCCCGGCAAGGAUCUUGCCGGGGGUCUCGUGUCCUUCCUUGGCAAGGAUCUUGCCGAGGAUCGUCGUCUUCUAAUCCUCACCUAAUCUUGGGUGUUCCUUGUCUUCACAAAGAUCCGCAUGCCACCAUGGAGGUGCCUCCCGAGCCCUGGCCCAACGUGAUGUUGGAGACCGUGGGCUCAAGGGUGGCUCGCUCUGUUGGUGUGGGGCGAGCUGCCCCGGCAAGGGUCUUGCCGGUGGAACCUGCUUCGUCCCUCUGCUCUUUGUGGUCUUGGCCUUGGCGUUGCUCUGGUUAUCUUGGGCUUCGGUCUUACCUUGGCUCACCUCCCCUGUUCUGCUUGGUGUGACCGUGGGCGCGGCUCCGACUGCCCGUGCACAGGUCAAGGGGUACAAAAGUGCGCCCCUCCUUUUGUACACCAACAGGAGCCCCCGGGCCUGGGCCACACAUAAGCGCGACAUGUUAUUGGGCCAGGCCCAAAACGGUUCGCAGGCAGGUGGGGCGGUUUUUACCGCGGUAAGACUUUUCGCGUGCUGCGCUUCCCACGACCCGCGCGCGCGGCGCGGCGUGGAGGGGUGCGCGUUACGUGGGCGGCAUGCGUGGGGCGGGUUCCGCAUGUAUACGUCACAUCGCAGUAAAGAGGCGACAAGGAACGAAUCCUUGUUACAAUUUAAGAUAAACAUUUUCACCCGGCAACAGGCCUUGCCGUCCCCCUACUUCGCUCGACCAUUCUCGCGCCCUUGGCGGAGGCAGGGAUGAAGCGGGCUUAGGCUCCUUGUUCUACUUCCUUGCCACCGCGACUACAACCAAAUCCAGGCCCAGGAGAUAAUCCUUGGGUAUAGAAAGGGGAGCACGGUGGCCUAGAAAUAAAACGAGGUUUCACAUAUCCCAGUUCCGUUCCGAAAUGCAUGAUAGAGGAUGAAAGACUUAUCUGGAUCUGCAGCCCCCGACAACCUUGUCUUGCCGCGGUUGGAUCCUUGUGCUUGCAGCCCCCGGCAACUCUGGUUUGCCGGGGUCGGGACGCUGGUCCGUUUCCUUUCUUCCAAGUAGCUCAGCAGAAAUGCUCAUGUGCCCUGCGAACCAAAGGGGGACAGAAAAGAAACAGAUAGACGCGCACUCGACCUCUAGGCUAGGGGUUAGUUGCCGCUAAGCACUAUCAACCCUAACCAAGGAAGAGACUCGACCUAGCAUACAUGCUAUAACUUAGGGCGCCAGCGCUUCAUUUAUUUAUGCUCAGGGUCUGCGCCUGGCUUUGUACAAAGGGUUACAUGCCUUGCGGGCAAAGCUUGUACAAAAGGUGGCUUGCCGGGAGGCCCGGCAAGUCGCGCCUUACGGGUAAAAUUUGCGAAGAUGUUCGAUGUUCCAGGAGUUGCUCACUGGGACAACAUCUUCGGUCUCCAGGCGGACUGCGCCGGGCCUGGUGACUCAUAUUACCCGAUAAGGGCCUUCCCACUUUGGCGUCAACUUGUUGGAAUUCUUGGCCGACUGAACGCGCCGAAGAACAAGGUUGCCUUCCUCAAAGCUUCGGGCAUGAACCUUGCGGCUAUGGUAGCGGUGGUAGCGGCGCAAGGCUUGCUGGUAGCGUGCUGCUCUCACAGCCGCCUGAAGACAAUCUUCCUCAAGGAGCGUCGCGUCAUCUUGAUGCAACUGCUCUUGCUCAAGCUCAUCAUAAGCGAGCACUCGAGGUGACCCGUAUAUGAGUUCCGUGGGGAGAACUGCCUCCGCCCCAUAUACUAGGGCAAAGGAUGUCUGGCUGGUGGCUCAAUUUGGCGUCGUCCUGAUCGACCAAAGAACCGCCAGCAAUUCAUCAAUCCAGCGCCUUAUACUCUUGCGCAGCUUGUCAAAAGUCUUUGUUCUUAGGCCUUGCAACAGUUCAGCAUCUGCCCUCUCCGCUUGGCCGUUGCUCCGUGGGUGUGCCACGGAAGCAAAACAGACCUUGCUGCCGAGGUCUUGAAUGUAUUGCAUGAAGGUGUGGCUUGUGAACUGCGUGCCAUUGUCGGUGAUGACUCUGUUUGGCACACCAAAACGGCAGACCAGUCCCUUGAAAAACUUGACAGCUGACUGAGCAGUCACCUUUCUCACUGCUUCCACCUCCGGCCACUUUGUGAACUUGUCGAUUGCAACGUACAAGUACUCAAAGCCCCUGACAGCACGGGGGAAAGGGCCAAGUAUGUCAAGCCCCCAGACCGAGAAUGGCCAGGAGAGAGGGAUUGUUUGAAGGGCUUGAGAUGGUUGAUGAAGCUUCUUUGAAUGGAACUGACACGCUUACACUUGGUUACUAGUGCCGUCGCAUCCUGGAGGGCGGUGGGCCAGAAGAAACCUUGCCGGAACGCCUUUCCGGCAAGGGCCCUCGACCCUAUCUGGGAGCCACAUAUGCCUCCAUGUAUCUCUGCCAACAGCUCUAGUCCUUACCCCCGGGGGAUGCACUUCAAUUUCACGCCGUUCGGCCUUCUCCUGUACAGGACGUCAUCGACGAACUGGUACAGGGCAGAUCGACGGGCUACUUUCUCCGCUUCUUCCUGCUCCUCAGGAAGCUCCCAUGUUUGGAGGAAGUGGACGGUAUGCUGCGCCCAUGCCGGAGCCUGGGGCUCGACGGCAGGGACCAAAGGCAUCUCUUCCGCCAUGGGAGCGGCUGUCUCUACGGCCAGGGCUUGAUGCCCUGCCGGAGCCAGUUGCUCUUGGGCAGGCUCAGCGUCCGCGGCAGCACCCUUGCCGGCAGCCCCAGGGGGCUCGGUAGGAAAGUACUUGCCGGGACCUGACUUCCUCCGCUUGUUCUGCCCUCAUCUACGCAAGCCUCCAUCAAUGGGCUCUGAUAAUCCUUGUUGACCUGUCUGACAACGAGCUGCGAGUCACCCCUGACGAUGAGCUUCUUAACCCCGAGGUCUGCCGCGAUCCCGAGACCGGCGAGCAAUCCCUUGUACUCAGCAGUGUUGUUGGUGGACAUCUCCCUGGGGAAGUGCAUCUGGAUCACGUACUUGAGGUGCUCUCCGGUGGGUGUGACGAGCAGCACACCGGCACCGGCGCCUUGCAGCGAGAAAGCCCCAUCAAAGUACAUGAUCUAGUCGUGGUCUGCUUGCUUGCCGGGGAGAGUAGUCUCCUGGAUUUCUUCGUCAGGCGUCGAGGUCCAUUCUGCAAUGAACUCCGCCAAGACUCUGCUCUGGAUUGUCGAGGUACUUUCAAACUUCAAACCAGAACUUGAUAACUCCAAGGCCCAUUCCACAAUCCUUCUGGUUGCAUCUGAGUUAUGCAGUAUCCGCUGCAAUGGGAGGCGGGUGACGACAGUGAUCUCGUGGGCUUGGAAGUAAUGACGCAGCUUCCUCGAGGCCAUAAGGAGGCCGAAGAGCAAUUUUUGCACACCGGAAUACCUCGACCUAGCCCCCUGCAAGAGGGAGCUGACAAAGUAAACCGGGUGCUGCAUCAUCUUCUUCUUCCGCACCACCUCACUCGACCGCGCGGGCACUGCCUUGGUGGCAUCAGACUCUGCCGGGGGCCUCGCCUUGCCGGCACUAGGCCCUGCUGGGGGAAUCUUUGGCGUACCAUCUGCUGGUUCUGCCGCCGUCACUGCCUCCUCGUCGACCUCCCUUUGUGCCACCAGUGCGGUGCUGACCACUCGAUUCGUCGCUGCCAGAUACAGCAGCAACGACUCUUGUGGUUUAGGUGCAACCAGUAUUGGCGUGGAGGAAAGGUAUUUCUUCAGAUCCUGUAAUGCUGCCUCGGCUUCUGGGGUCCACUCCAUUGGGCCUGCCUUCUUCAAGACUUUGAAGAAAGGGAGGGCGCGCUCGGCGGACUUGGAGAUGAAUCGUCUCAUGGCGGCGACGCAGCCGGUGAGCCGACGCACAUCCUUGAUCCGCUUGGGCGCCUCAGUCUGCUCAAUAGCCUUGAUUUUGUCUGGGUUUGCCUCGAUCCCGCGCUGUGACACAAAGAACCCGAGAAGCUUGCCGGACGGAAUGCCGAAGACACACUUCUCAGGGUUCAGCUUGAGGUUGAUCUUGCUCAGGUUGGCAAAUGUCUCUUCCAGAUCUUGCACAAGAGUUGGCCCAUUCUUGGUUUUGACCACUAUGUCAUCCAUGUAUGCCUCCAUAUUUCUAUGGAGCCGAGGUUCAAAACCAAUUUGGACUGCUCUUGCAAACAUCGAGCCAGCACUCUUCAACCCGAAAGGCAUCCGUAAAAAGCAAUACGUACCACAUGGGGUGAUGAAUGCUGUCUUUUCUUCAUCCUCUCUUGUCAUGAAGAUUUGGUGGUAGCCCGAGUAGGCGUCGAGGAAUGAUAAUAGAUCACACCCGGCCGCGGAGUCAACAAUCUGGUCGAUGCGCGGCAACGGGAAGGGGUCCUUAGGACAAGCCUUAUUGAUAUCUGUGUAAUCAAUACACAACCUCCACUUCCCAUUCGCCUUGCGCACCACUACCGGAUUGGCCAAACACGUAGGGUGGAGCACUCCUCUCACCAAACCUGCCGCUUCCAACUUCCUGAUCUCCUCUAUGAUGAAUUCCUGCCUCUCUAGAGCCUGCUUUCUGACCUUCUGCUUGACGGGUCGCGCAUGAGGACAGACAGCUAGGUGGUGCUCAAUCACCUCCCUGGGAACACAGGGGAUGUCGGAUGCUUGCCACGCAAACACGUCGACAUUCGCCCACAGGAAGGUGACGAGCGUGCCUUCCUAUUUGCUGUCGAGGGUGGAGCCUAUGGUGAAGGCCCCUCCCGUGCCAUCCUCCCUGACGGGCACCUUCUUGGUCUGCGGUGGCUCAGCUCUGGAUUUCUUGCUCUUGUCGGUAGAGCUCUCUGGCACGUCCUCGCCAGUAGCACAACACUCCGAGGAGGUGCGCUUGCCGGAGUGGGUGCGAGAGGCCCUGCCGGGCUUCUUCUUCCUUCCCAGGCCUUCAGCAGCAGGAGCAGGCGCCUUGACGACAGCUACUGCAACUGCUUCCCAAUAGAGUUAGUCGGCGCAGAUCAGCGCGUCCUUCUUGUCGGAAGGGACGAAGAUGAUGGUCAACAGUCCAGGCAUCUUUAGCAUGUUGUAGGCGUAGUGUGAUGCCGCCAUGAACUUGGCUAGUGCCGGGCGGCCGAGGAUCCCGUUGUAGGGCAAGGGGAUCUCGGCCAUGUCGAAGAUGAUCCUCUCCGUUCUGUAGUUCAACUCUCCUCCAAACGUCACGGGCAGCGUGACCUUCCCCUUCGGCUGGCUCCUCCCUGGAUUGACCCCUUGAAACGUGCCAGUUUCCUCGAGGUCUCCAUCAGGAAUUUGUAGCCUUUUGAUCACGACAGGCGAGAUCAAGUUCAGGCCGGCCCCGCCGACAACCAACAUCUUGUUCACCUUGAGGUUGCGUAUCGUUAGCGAGACCAACAAUGGCAAACACCCAACCGCGGUUGUGCGGUCAGGGUGGUCCUCAGCGUCAAAGAUGAGGGGCGUGCUGGACCACUUCAGCGGCUUCUAAGCGUCGAACGACGGCUCCGCUGCUGUAAUCUCACGCGCCCACUGUUUAAGCUGGCGGUGAGAAGUAUGCAACGAGGCGCCACCAUCGACGCACAUGGCCUCCAUAGCCUUCUGGAACUCUUGCUCACCGGACUUGUCGUCCUCGUCGUGAUCAUCAUUUUCUUGUUUCUUGUCAUGGCCCCGGGAGGGCCUCUCUUGCUGGUUGUCCUUGCCGCGGCGGCCUCCUUGGCCGCCACGCUUCUUGCUAGAUCCCUCGGCACCAUCCUGGUCCUUAUCCUUGUCCCGCCUCUCGUACUCCGCUUUUUGCUUCUCAGCAAGCAGCUCGACUUGUCGGCAGUUCUGGAGGUCGUGGCCCUUGGUGCGGUGGAUCUUGUAGUAUUGCUUGCCGGAGCGUCCUGGCUUGUCGGCAGCUGCUAAGGCCCGGCAAGCGGCGCACCCGGCAAUCUCCUUGCCGGGGCCGUCUUCCCUGACCUUCUUGGCAGCGCCGGUGUCGUCAGACCCCUCGACGGCAAGUACGGCCUUACCCUUGCGUUUCGUGUUGUGACGCCGGCCCUUCUUCGUCGGGGUGGCGGCAUCUUCGUCAGUAGUGUCGGUUUCCGCGCCGGCGUCUUCGCUGGGGUACUUCCUUGCCUCUUCGGCCCGGGCGCACCUAUCGGCCAGAACGUAGAGCUCGGCCACAUCCUUAACCUUGGUCAUCGCCAGCUCUUCGCGCAUCUUGCAGUUGCGCACGUUCUGAUGGAACGCGCUGAUCACAGCGGCGGGAUCAACGUCGGGGAUGUUGUACUGCACCCGGCUGAAUCUCUGGAUGUACUUGCGCAGGUUUUCCCCUUCUUUCCGGGGAAUGAUAUGCAGAUUACUGGCCUGGCCAUGAGCUUGGUGGCCUCCUGUGAAGGCGCCAACAAACUCAUGGCACAGAUCCGACCAAGAAGAAAUGGAAUCCGCCAACAAGUGCAUCAACCAAGACAUAACAUUGGGCUUCAGUGCCAGCGGGAAGUAGUUGUCAAGCACCUUGUCGUUGCGAGCUCCAGCAGCCUGCAUCGCGAUGGUGUAGAUGCUGAGGAACUCGGACGGAUGGGUCUUGCCAGUGUACUUCUCGCCGAUGUCUGGCUUGAACGUGUGGUGGGACGGCCACUGGAACUGCCACAGCUCACGGGUGAAGGCCGGGCAGCCCACCUCAUAAGGUAGGCUGCCGGAGCCCCCGGUGCUGGGUGGUCCAUAGCGGGUCCCGCCCGCUUGUCCGACUGGUGGCGUGUAUCGCACCGGCGCGCGAUGGUGGCCCGAGCAUCUUCGUGAGCUCAUUCUCGAAGAACUUGGCGCUGGUCGCGGUGGGUCCGCGGGUUGGACGACGCUAUAGAGAUGUUAUCACAAGCAUCAUCACGACGGGCAGACGCCCGCGGCGGCUGGCGAGGAGGAGGAGAGUGCACCGUGGCCGCAGCUCCCCCGGUCCUCCCAGCGCCAGCAUGUGGUGGCUUGGUGGAGCGCUGACCCGAGGGCCCUGCUGGUCGCAGAUCGUCUUUGUUGGCGACGACGACGAGGCUCCGGAUGGUGGCCCUCCACUCGUCGAGCUUCUCCGCAGCAGGAGGGAAGUCAAGGAGCAGCUGCGCACGCGCCAAAGCUUCCGCUGGCGUGGGCGGCGACGACAGCUGCGUGGAUCGCGGCGCUUCAACUUCUAACUAUGUUAGAAGGAGCUCCGUUACGAUCCAGCGGCUGCGUGCCAUUUUUGCCAGCACUUCGGCGGGCAUGCUGAACCCCUUCAUCUUGCGGAUGACGCACAGGGCUCUUCCCACGGCGGUGCCCAGGGUCACCAGCGUGGUGACGCUGCUCGGCGCGCACACCAUGGGAAGAGCGCGCAGUGGUCGCCGGUGUGGGCGUCUUGGAGGUCGCUGCUCCGCCCGAAGGUGGCACAACAACACCCCUGGAGGGCUCCGCGCCACCUGCGGGGGGCCCAACUCCGUCUUUGGAUCUGGCGACGUGCGGCCGGUCGUCUGGCGUGCGAACGACGCCGCUCGCAAGGCUCUGACUGCCAGGGCAAUGCUGGUGCUCACGGACCGCGGCCCGGGUCCUGUCCGCGACCGGUCCACUGCUCGUCCGCACUGGCACGGGCCGUUCGGCUCCCAACGAGCCGAUCGCCGUGGCCGUCUUCUUCUUAGGAGCCAUGGCGACAAAGAACUGCUAGGCUAACUACUAGACCAGAUUCUCACAAUUGCGCCCCCUACCUGGCGCACCAAAGAUGUCGGGGAAAACGACACCUAUGGGAUCACAAGAAUCCCUACUACGGUUGCUGGGGCGCAGGGUUGCGAGAAGAGCAGGAUUAGUAACCAGCACAAGGAUCGUUUACCCAGGUUUGGGCCGCGAGGAUGCGUAAAACCCUAGUCCUGCUUUGGUGGGUGUAUUUUAGAGAGUUCUUGAGCUCCCGAACUAGCUGUGGUGAGUGCGUGGUUCCAAAGAGCCGAAUCCUUCUCCAGUAUGCCAUGGGCCUCCUUUUAUAGUCGAAAGGGGUUGCCACAGUGGCACACAGGAGGUGGAAAGGCGCAUAGUGCUAUGAGCUUAUCGCUCGUAUUACAGGACAAGACGCAUUUAAUGCGUAGCUUAGGUGUCCCCUUGCUUUAUUGGGGACGGGGGCGAGGCCCGUCCCGUCCGUCGCCGCUCCUCCUUGCUUCGACAUGCGCCCUGGCCAGCGACGCAUGCGGCGCCACUUAGGCAGGCAGGCAACUGAGGUGGCGCGGUGGUGGAGCCUCCAUGAAGAUCUGCAUGCCGCCACGCAGGUGCUUGUUGAGUUGGCCUGGGAGCUGCAUGUUGCCACGCAGGUGCCCACCCAGCUGGUUGGGCCGGCAGCUGCAUGUGAACGGCGGUGGAAACUUGGUUGGCGCAGGCCUGGCAGUGGCCCUCCUGUCGUCUUUGGUGAGGGCCUUGCCGGGUGGCCCGACAAGGGUCUUGCCGUGGCGCGCUGUCAUCCCCGGCAAGGAUCUUGCCGGGGGUCUCGUGGCCUUCCUCUGCAAGGAUCUUGUCGAGGAUCGUUAUCUUCUAAUCCUCACCUGAUCUCGGGUGUUCCUUGUCUUCACAAAGAUCUGCAUGCCACCAUGGAGGUGCCUCCCGAGCCCUGGCCCAACGUGAUGUUGGAGACCGUGGGCUCAAGGGUGGCUCGCUCUGUUGGUGUGGGGCGAGCUGCCCCGGCAAGGGUCUUGCCGGGGGAACCUGCUUCGUCCCUCUGCUCUUUGUGGUCUUGGCCUUGGCGUUGCUCUGGUUAUCUUGGGCUUUGGUCUUACCUUGGCUCACCUCCCCUGUUCUGCUUGGUGUGACGUGGGCGCAGCUCCGACUGCCCGUGCACAGGUAAAGGGGUAGAAAAGUGCGCCCCUCCUUUUGUACACUGACACGGACCCACCGCGACCAGCACCAAGUUCUUCGAGAACGGGCCCACGAAGAUGCUCGAACCAUUAUCGAGCGCUGGCGCGAUACACGCCACCAGUCGGAUAAGCGGGCGGGACCCGCUAUGGACCACCCAGCACCGGGGGGCUCCGGCGGCCUACCUUACGAGUUGGGUUGCCCAGCCUUUACCCGUGAGCUGCGACAGUUCUAGUGGCCGUCCCACCGCACGUUCAAGCCCGACAUCGGCGAGAAGUACAAUGGCAAGAUCCAUCCAUCAGAGUUCCUCAGCAUCUACACCAUCGCGAUGCAAGUUGCCGGAGCUCGCAACGACAAGGUGCUUGCCAAUUACUUCCCGUUGGCACUGAAGCCCUAUGUCAUGUCUUGGUUGAUGCACUUGCUGGCGGAUUCCAUUUCUUCUUGGUCGGAUCUGUGCCAUGAGUUCGUUGGUGCCUUCACCGGAGGCCACCAAGCUCAUGGCCAGGCCAGUGAUUUGCAUAUCAUUCCCAGAAGGAAGGGGAAACCCUGCGCAAGUACAUCUAGAGGUUCAGCCGGGUGCAGUACAACAUCCCCGAUGUUCAUCCCACCGCCGUGAUUAGCGCGUUCCAUCAGAACAUGCACAAUCGCAAGAUGCGCGAAGAGCUGGCGAUGAACAAGGUUAAGGAUGGGGCCGAACUUUAUGUUAUGGCCGAUAGGUGUGCCCGGGCUGAAGAGGGAAGGAAGUACCCCGACGAGGACGCCAGCGUGGAAACCGACUCUACUGAUGAAGACACUGCCGUCCCGACGAAGAAGGGCCGGCGUCGCAACAGGAAACGCAAGGGCAAGACCGUGCUUGCCGUCGAGGGAUCCGAUAGCAUUGGCGCCGCCAAGAAGGCUAAGGCAGACGACCCCGGCAAGGAAAUUGCCGGGUGCGUCGCUUGCCGGGCCUUGGCGGCUGCCGACAAGCCGGGGGGCUCCGACAAGCAGUAUUGCAAGAUCCAUCGCACCAAGGGCCACGACCUCCAGAACUGCCGACAGGUCGAGCUGCUAGCCGAAAAGCAAAAGGCCGAGUAUGAGAGGCAGGACAAGGAGAAGGGUCAAGACGGCGCCGAAGGAUUCGGCAAGAAGCAUGGCGGCCAAGGAGGCCGCCGCGGCAAGGAUAACCAGCAAGAGAGGCCCGCCCGGGGCCGUGACAAGAAGCAAGAAGACGAUGAUCAUGACGAGGACGACGAGUCCGGCGAGCAAGAGUUUCAGAAGGCUACGGAGGCCAUGUGCGUCGAUGGUGGUGCCUCGCUGCAUACUUCUCACCGCCAGGUCAAGCAGUGGGCGCGUGAGAUCACAGCAGAGCCAUCGUUCGACACUCAAUAGCCGCUGAAGUGGUCCAGCACGCCCAUCAUAUUUGAUGCCGAGGACCACCCUGAUCGCACCAUUGCGGUCGGGUGUUUGCCGUUGUUGGUCUCACCAACGAUACGCAACCUCAAGGUGAACAAGAUGCUGGUUGACGGCGGGGCCGGUCUGAACUUAAUCUCUCCCGUUGUGAUCAAGAGGCUGCAAAUUCCCGACGGAGACCUCGAGGAGACGAGCACGUUUCAAGGGGUCAACCCGGGAAGAAGCCAGCCGAAGGGGAAGAUCACAUUGCCUGUGACGUUCGGAGGCGAGUUGAACUACAGUAUGGAGAGGAUUGUCUUCGAUGUAGCCGAGAUCCCCUUGCCCUACAACGGGAUCCUCGGCCGCCCGACACUAGCCAAGUUCACUGCGCGUCGCAUUACGCCUACAACACGCUGAAGAUGCCUGGGCCGAUGACCAUCAUCACCGUCCCCUGCGAUAAGAAGGAUGCGCUAAUCUGCGCCAACCUACUCUACCGGGAAGCAGUUGCAGCAGCUGCCGCCAAGGCACUUGCUCCUGCCGCUAAAGCCCCGGGAGGGAAGGAGAAGCCCGGCAAGACCUCUUGCACCCACUCCGGCAAGCGCACCUCUUUGGAGUGUUGUGCUACCGUCGAGGACGUGCCAGAGAGCUCCACCGGCAAGAGCAAGAAAUUCAGAGCCGCGCCACCACAGACCAAGAAGGUGUCCGUUAGGGAGUACGGGAGGGGCUUUCACCAUAAGCUCCACCCUCGACAGCAAAUAGGAAGGCGCACUCGUCACCUUCCUGCGGGCGAAUGUCGAUGUGUUUGCAUGGCAAGCAUCCGACAUCCCCGGUGUUCCCAGGGAGGUGAUUGAGCACCACCUAGCUGUCUGUCCUCAUGCGUGGCCCGUCAAGCAGAAGGUCAGGAAGCAGGCUCUGGAAAGGCAAGAGUUUAUCACAGAAGAGAUUAGGAAGUUGGAAGCAACAGGCUUGGUGAGGGGGGUGCUCCAUCCGACGUGGUUGGCCAAUCUGGUGGUAGUGCGCAAGGCGAACGGGAAGUGGAGGCUAUGUAUUGACUACACAGAUAUCAAUAAGGCUUGUCCUAAGGACCCCUUCCUGUUGCCACGCAUCGAACAGAUUGUUGACUCCACGGCCAGGUGUGAUUUGUUAUCCUUCCUCGACGCCUACUCGGGCUACCACCAGAUCUUCAUGACAAGAGAAGACGAAGAGAAGAUAGCAUUCACCACCCCAUGUGGUACGUAUUGCUUUUUACGGAUGCCCUUCGGGUUAAAGAGUGCUGGCUCAACGUUUGCAAGAGCGGUCCAAAUUGGUUUUGAACCCCAGCUACAUAGAAAUAUGGAAGCAUACAUGGAUGACAUAGUGGUCAAAACCAAGGACAAGGCAACUCUUGUACAAGACUUAGAAGAGACGUUUGCCAACCUGCGCAAGAUCAACCUCAAGCUGAACCCUGAGAAGUGUGUCUUCGGCGUUCCGUCCGUCAAAUUUCUCAGGUUCUUUGUGUCGCAGCGCGGGAUCGAGGCAAACCCAAACAAGAUCAAGGCUAUCGAGCAGAUUGAGGCGCCCAAGCGGAUCAAGUAUGUGCGUCGGCUCACUGACUGUGUUGCCGCCAUGAGCCGAUUCAUCUCCAAGUCUGCCGAGCGCGCCCUUCCCUUUUUCAAGAUUUUGAAAAAGGCGGGCCCCAUGGAAUGGACCACGGAGGCCGAAGUAGCACUGCAGGAUCUGAAGAAGUACCUCUCUUCUACACCAGUACUGGUGGCGCCUAAACCGCAAGAGCCAUUGCUGCUGUAUCUGGCGGCGACGAAUCAAGUGGUCAGUGCCACGCUGGUGGCAUAGAGGGAGGUUGACGAAGAGGCAGUGGCAAUGGUAGGACCAGCGGAUGGCACGUCAGAAAUUCCCUCGGCAGGGCCUGGUGCCGGCAAGGCAAGGCCCCCGACGGAGACUGACUCCAUCGGGGCAGGGCCCGCGCAGCCAAAUGAAGUGGUGCAGAAGAAGAAGAUGAUUCAGCACCUGGUUUACUUUGUCAGCUCCCUCUUGCAGGGGGCUAGGUCAAGGUACUCCGGUGUGCCGAAAUUGCUCUUCGGCCUCCUUAUGGCCUCGAGGAAGUUGCGUCAUUACUUCCAAGCCCACGAGAUCACUGCCGUCACCCGCCUCCUGUUGCAACGGAUACUGUACAACCCAGACGCAACCGGAAGGAUUGUGGAGUGGGCCUUAGAGUUGGCAAGCUUUGGGUUGAAGUUUGAAAGUACUUCGACAAUCCAGAGCAGAGUCUUGGCGGAAUUCAUUGCCGAGUGGACCUCAACGCCCGACGAGGAAAUCCAGGAGACCGCUCUCCCCGGUAAGGAAGCAAGUCGCGACUGGAUCAUGUACUUUGAUGGGGCUUUCUCGCUGCAAGGCGCCGGUGCCGGUGUGCUGCUUGUCGCACCCACCGGAGAGCACCUCAAGUAUGUGAUCCAGAUGCACUUUCCCAGGGAGAUGUCCACAAACAACACUGUCGAGUACGAGGGGCUGCUUGCCGGUCUCAGGAUCGCGGCAAUCCUCGGGGUUAAGAAGCUCAUCGUCAGGGGUGAUUCACAGCUCGUCGUCAGACAAGUCAACAAAGAUUAUCAGAGCCCGUUGAUGGAGGCCUACGUAGAUGAGGUGAGGAAGCUGGAGGAGCGCUUCGACGGUAUACAAGCGGAGCACGUUCCUCGAGUGGAAAACGACAUCGCUGAUUACCUGUCAAAGCAUGCUGCGUUCAAGCUACCUGUGGAACAAGGUACCUUUCUGCUUCGGUUAACUCAGCCAUCCGUCGAACCAUCAACGGAGCAGAACAAGCAGAGGAAAUCAGGCCCCGGAAAGUAGUUUCCCGCUGAGACCCCAGGGGCCGCCGGCAAGGGUGUUGCCAUGGAUUCUGAGCCUGCCGAGGGGCAGCUGGCUCCGGCAGGCCGUCAAGCCCUGACCGUGGAGACGACCGCUCCCAUGGCAGAAGAGGUGCCUUUGGUCCUUGCCGUCGAGCCCCAGGCUCCGGCAUGGGCACAGCAUACUGUCGGAUUCCUCCAGACAGGGGAACUUCCUGAGAAGCAGGAAGAAGCAGAAAAAGUAGCCCAUCGGUAUGCUCUGUACUAGUUCGUCGACGACGUCUGUAUAGAAAAAGACCGAACGGUGUGAAAUUGAAGUGCAUCCCCGAGAGGAAGGACUGGGGCUGUUGGCAGAAAUACAUGGAGGCAUAUGUGGCUCCCACAUAGGGUCGAGGGCCCUCGCCGGCAAGGCAUUCCGGCAAGGUUUGUUCUGGCCCACCUCCCUCCAGGAUGCGACAGCACUAGUAACCAGGUGUGAAGCGUGCUAGUUCCAUUCAAAGAAGCUUCAUCAACCAACUCAAUCCCUUCAAACAAUUCCUCUCUCCUGGCCAUUCUCGGUCUGGGCGCUCGACAUCCUGGGCCAUUUCCCCCGCUGUUGGGGGCUUUGAGUACUUGUACGUUGCAAUCGACAAGUUCACAAAAUGGACAGAGGUGGAGGCAGUGAGGAAGGUGACUGCAUAGUCGGCCGUCAAGUUCUUCAAGGGACUAGUGUGCCGCUCUGGUGUGCCAAACAGAGUCAUCACCGACAACGGCACACAGUUCACAAGCCGCACCUUCAUGCAAUACAUCCAAGACCUCGACAGCAAUGUCUGUUUCGCUUCCGUGGCACAUCCAUGGAGCAACGGCCAGGCGGAGAGGGCAAAUGCUGAAGUGUUACGAGGCCUGAGGACGAAGACUUUUGACAGGCUGCACAAGAGUGGAAGGCACUGGAUUGAUGAGUUGCCGGUGGUUCUUUGGUCGAUUAGAACGACGCCAAAUCGAGCCACCGGCCAGACACCCUUUGCCCUGGUUUAUGGGGCAGAAGCAUUUCUCCCCAUAGAACUCACAUACGGGUCACCUCGAGUGCUCUCUUAUGACGAGCUUGAGCAAGAGCGAUUGCGGCAAGAUGACGCAACGCUCCUUGAGGAAGAUCGUCUUUGGGCGGCUGUGAGAGCGGCACGCUACCAGCAAGCCUUGCGCCACUACCAUAGCCGCAAGGUUCAUACCCGAAGCUUUGAGGAAGGCGACCUUGUUCUUUGGCGCGUUCAGUCGGCCAAGAAUUCCAACAAGUUGAUGCCGAAGUGGGAAGGCCCUUAUCGGGUAAUCAUGGUCCCAGGCCCAGCGCAGUCUGCCUGGAGACCGAAGAUGCUGUCCCAGUGAGCAACUCCUGGAACAUCGAGCAUCUUCGCAAAUUUUACCCAUAAGGCGCGGUUUGCCGGGCCUCCCGGCAAGCCACCUUUUGUACAAGCUUUGCCGACAAGGCAUGUAACCCUCUGUGCAAAGCCAGGCGCAGACCCUGAGCAUAAAUAAACGAAGCGCUGGCGCCCUAAGUUAUAGCAUGCAUGCUAGGUUUAAGUCUCUCCCUCGAUUAGGGUUGGUAGUGCUUGGCGGCGACUAACCCCUAGCCUAGAGGUCGAGUUCGCGUCUUUCUGUCUUCUUUGGUUCGCAGAGCACAUGGACACUUCUGCUGAGCCGCUUGGUAGAAAGAAGACGAACCGACGCCCCGGCCCCGGCAAGCCAAGACUGCCGGGAGCUGAAGACACAAGGAUCCAACCGCGGCGAGCCAAGGUUGCCGGGGGCAGCGGAUUCAGAUAAGUCUUUCAUCCCCUCUUAUGCCUUUCCGUAUAGAACUGGGACAUGUGAAACCGCGUUUAUAUUCUUAAACCACCGUGCUCCCCUUUUCCUGUACCCGAGAGCCAUCCCCCUGGGUUGGAACUUGGUCGUAGUCGCGGUGGCAAGAAAGUAAACGAGGGGCCUAACUCCACUCCACCCCUGCCUCCGCCAAAGGCGUGAGAAUGGUCGACUGAAGUGGGGGGAAGGCAAGGCCUGUUGCCGGGCGACAAUGUUUAUCUUAAAAGUAACAAGGAUUCACCCCUUGGCAUGGGCCUCGCCCACGCACAAAGAAACCCGACAAACACCCUUUUUCAUUAAAAACAUCCCAUAUAGGUACAGUUCAUACGGAAUUAAAAACAUGAGCAAGGGGAUUACAAGUCUUAAAAUUAACAAGUGCCCGCAGGCUUACAAACUAAAAAGAGAUAAGGUGCCCAUAAUCCCUUUCUUGUCCCUCUCCUCAGAAGGUGGAACAAGACAGCAGGAGGGCAAAAGGGGCGCCUAGGCGAGGUGCAAGGAGCAGAAGGCACCAAGGGAACAUCUUGGUGCCGGGAAAGGAGCUGGAAGACGAGGCAGCGGGCCGGCAAUACGCGACGAAGGCGUCGGUGCCCGCGUACUCUGACUUGACGGCCGCCACCCGCCUUCUUCGCCUUCUCCGGCCCUCCUAUGCCAGCCGCCCAAGGAGACGACGGGGAGCGCCCCGAUGGAGAGCUUGGCGAGGAAGACCCUCGGCAGGGCACGUGGCCGAGGGAGGAGCGACGCGGUCAGUCGAAGUCGGAGUCGGCAUCCUGCCGCUCGACUCCCUCGUCGUCGCUGUCGCUGUCCUCCUCGUCACUCCCGCUCGAGGAGGAAUCUUCAUCGUCGGAGGAGCUCUCCACGCAGCACUUCAGACGAGUUCCAGGAUCUCCAAAGACCUUGACGUAGAGCAGGCCGCCCUCCAUUAACUUGAUAGAGGACGAGCCCUGCCGUCAGGCUGUGGAUGCGAGCAAACGUCUUCCAUCCACGACAGAGGUACAUGACGUGAGGAGCGGGGAAGUCGACAUCGACCCGUGUGCCACCGUUCCCGCAGCCCCUCAUGUGCAGCUUGAGGGUCUGGGGCAGAUCGAGCUCCAUCUGCCGAGCAAAUGGGGAGGGGAGGCGGAGACGACGACGCAGCCUGAUGAAAAACUCGCGGGGCUGGUCCCUGACGUGGCCUUCCAUCAUGGGGGGCACCGCUGGCGGAGGGAUGGCCAUCGCGCCGCCUCGUCCCCCUCUCCCCCGACCGCCGCGGCGACCUCGGCCUCGCCCCCUCCCCUUCCUCUCGUGGCCGGCUCCGCCACCGCGGGCUCGUAGGAAGGAGGAACACGCUGUCGAGCGGCGACCCUCGCCGCCACCGUCGAAGGCCCAGCACCUCCUCUCCCCAUGGCAGGUGGAGGAGAGGAGCGAAGGUGGAAGAGGAUGGAUACUGAAGGAAUGUGGAGUGACGUCCCCCUCCCCAUCCUUAUAAAGGGGCGGGGUCGAGGCUCUGCCGCCCCACUCGGCCAAUCCAGCCAUCAGGGGCGCAGGGAAUCGGGACCGACCCGCUGCCCCAAUCAGCGACAACCCGGUUUCCCGCCCCCGCCGCCUGCCACUUGCAUGGAGGAUGCGCGGCAAGUGGGCAGGAUCGAAAGGACAGGUGAGGCGACCGUUCCCCGCCCCGUGAUCGUGGGGCAUGGGCGCCUUGAAGACCACGACCCGAGUCCGCUUAGUAAAUGAGCCGCGCCUCCACGCCUCCUUCUUUUUAUGGGGAAGGCGUAAGCCGCUUCUUUACCACGAUGUGAUGCAUGCAUGCGGGAACCGCCCCAUGCAUGACCCCCACGUCACGCUCAACCCUCCACGUCGCGCGUUCGACGCGGGUCGUGGGGAAGCGCAGCGGGCGAAAAAUUACUGUGGAAAAAUCCCGCCCCGACUGCCCGCGCACCGUUCUGGGCCUGGCCCAACAACGUGUCGCGCUUAUGUGUGGCCCAGGCUCGGGGGCUCCUGUCGAUGUACUAAAGUAGGGGCACUCCUUUGUACCCCUUUACUUGUGCAUGGACAGUCAGAGCCGCGCCCACGGCCACACUUAGCAGGGCAGAGGAGGGAGGCCGGGGAGAAGCCGGAGCACAAGACGGUCAAGGUAACGCCAAGACCAGAAACACCAAAGAGCAAGAGGGCGAGGUGGACUCCCCCGGCAAGGCCCUUGCCGGGACAACUUGCCCAGUACCAGCAGAGCGAGCCACCCUCGAGCCCAAGAGUUCCAAACGCCGCCAACGACUACGUUGGAACCAAGGCUCGGGAGGCACCCCCAUGGUGGCAUGCAGAUCUUUGUCAAGAUCAUAAACACACAAGAUCAGAUGAGGACCAGAAGACGACGACCCUCGGUGGGAUCCCAGCCGAGGAGAUCCAUAAGACCCCCGACAAGCGUCUUGCCGGGGACAACUGCGACGCCACGACAAGACCCUUGCCGGGCCCCUGGCAAGGCCCUUGCCGAGGGCGCCAGCAGGGCCACUGCUAGACCCGCACCAGCCAAGGCUCCGCCGCCAUUCGCAUGUAGCUGCCAGCCCAACCACCUGGGCAGGCACCUGCGUGGCAACACGAGCCUUCCAGACCGACUCAGCAAGCACCUGCAUGGUGGCAUGCAAGUCUUCGUGAAGACCCUCGCACCGCGCCACCUCAGCAGCCUGCCUGCCUACAUGGCACCGCACGCAUUGCUGGCCUGGGCGCGUGUCGAAGUGAGACGGAGCAGCGACGGAUGGGACGGGCCUCGUUCCCGUCCCCGAUAAAGCUAAUGGACACCUAAGUAGCGCAUUUAGUGCGCUUUGUCCCGUAAUGCCGAGCGAUAAGAUCGCGCACUAUAUGCCUUUCCACCUCCUGUGUGCCACUGUGACAACCCCUUUUCGACUAUAAAAGGAGGACCGAGGCAUACUGGAGAGGGAUUCGGCUCUUUGGAACUACGCAGCCACCGUAGCUAGUUCGAAAGCUCAAGAACAUUGAAUACAUCCACCAAAGCAGGACUAGGGUAUUACGCAUCCUCGCGCCCCGAACCUGGGUAAACGAUCUUUGUGCUGGCUCCUGGACCUACUCUUCUCACAACCCCGCGCCCGCCGACCAUAGAACGGAUUCCAGUGAUCCCAUAGGUGUCGUUCCUACCGACACCUUUAGAACAAUAUUUGCUAGACCAUGAAAAUGACUUUCAUAUGCACGAGAGAAACAAAAUAGAUAAAAUUUUCUUUGAACAACAUCCUCUUCUUAAACACAAUUUGCCUAUUGAAACUCUAGGAGGUCCUCCUCCACCUAAGGUUGACCCUGUGUUUGAAUUAAAACAAUUGCCAGACACUUUCAAAUAUGCUUAUCUUGAUGAAAAGAAAAUAUAUCCUGUUCUUAUCAGUGCUAACCUUUCAGAACAUGAAGAAGAAAGAUUAUCGAAAGUUCUAAGGAAGCACCGGGCUGCUAUCGAAUAUACUCUUGACGAUUUAAAGGGCAUUAGUUCCACUCUAUGUCAGCACAAAAUUAAUAUGGAACCUGAUGCUAAACCAGUUGUUGAUCCCCAACGUCGGUUAAAUCCGAAGAUGAAAGAGGUGGCAAGAACGGAAAUAUUAAAACUUCUGGAAGCAGUUAUAAUCUAUCCUAUUGCUGAUAGUUGAUGGGUAAGUCCUGUUCAUUGUGUCCCUAAGAAAGGAGGUAUAACUGUUGUUCCUAAUGAUAAGAAUGAACUUAUUCCACAAAGAAUUGUUACAGGCUAUAGAAUGGUAAUUGAUUUUAGAAAAUUAAACAAAGCAACUAGAAAAGAUCAUUACCCUCUGCCUUUUAUUGAUCAAAUGCUUGAAAGAUUAUCUAAGCACACACACUUUUGCUUCCUUGAUGGAUAUUUUGGCUUUCACAAAUACCUGUAUCUCAACCUGAUCAAGAAAAGACCACUUUUACUUGUCCUUUUGAAACCUAUGCUUAUAGACAUAUGCCUUUUGGUUUAUGUAAUGCACCUGCUACCUUUCAAAGAUGCAUGAUGGCUAUAUUUUCUGACUUUUGUGAAAAGAUUGUUGAGGUUUUCAUGGAUGACUUUUCUGUUUAUGGGAAGUCUUUUGAUGAUUGUUUAAGCAAUCUUGAGCGAGUUUUGCAGAGAUGUGAACAAACAAAUCUUGUCUUGAAUUGGGAAAAGUGCCACUUUAUGGUUAAUGAAGGCAUUGUCUUGGGUCAUAAAAUUUCUGAAAAAGGUAUUGAAGUGGAUCAAGCUAAGGUUGAUGCAAUUGAGAAAAUGCCAUGUUCUAAGGACAUCAAAGGUAUUCAUAGUUUCCUAGGUCAUGCUGGUUUCUAUUGGAGAUUUAUCGAAGACUUUUCUAAAAUUUCUAGGCCUCUUACUAAUCUCUUGCAAAAUGAUAUCCCUUUUGUUUUUGAUGAUGAUUGUCUUGAAGCCUUUGAAACACUCAAGAAAGCCUUAAUUACUACACCUAUUGUUCAACCACCUGAUUGGAACUUGCCUUUUGAAAUUAUGUGUGAUGCUAGUGAUUAUGCUAUUGGUGCUAUUCUAGGACAAAGAGUAGGCAAGAAAUUGAAUGUUAUUCAUUAUGCUAGUAAAACUCUAGACAGUGCUCAAAGAAAUUAUGCUACUACUGAAAAAGAAUUCUUAGCAGUGGUGUUUGCUUGUGAUAAAUUUAGACCUUAUAUUGUUGAUUCCAAAGUAACUGUUCACACAUACCAUGCUCCUAUUAAAUAUCUUAUGGACAAGAAAGAUGCUAAACCUAGACUUAUUCGUUGGUUUCUCUUGUUACAAGAAUUUGAUUACAUAUCAUUGAUAGAAAAGGAGCUGAGAACCCCGUAGCUGAUAACUUGUCUAGGCUGGACAAUGUGCUUGAUGGCCCACUACCUAUUGAUGAUAGUUUUCCCGAUGAGAAGUUAGCUGCAAUAAAUGUUGCUAAUAGUACUCCUUGGUAUGCUGACUAUGCUAAUUACAUUGUUGCUAAAUAUUUGCCACCUAGCUUUACUUACCAACAAAAGAAAAAAAAUUCUUCUAUGAUUUAAGACACUACUUUUGGGAUGACCCACAUCUUUAUAAAGAAGUUGUAGAUGGUAUUAUUAGAUGUUGUGUACUUGAGCAUGAACAGGGACAAAUCCUACAAAAAUGGCACUCCGAGGCUUAUGGAGGGCAUCAUGCUGGAGAUAGAACUGCUCAUAAGGUAUUGCAGUCUGGAUUUUAUUGACCUACUCUCUUCAAGGAUGCUCGUAAGUGUGUCUCAUCUUGUGAUGAAUGUCAAUGAAUAGGUAAUAUCGGUAAGCGUCAAGAAAUGCCUAUGAAUUAUUCACUUGCUGUUGAACCAUUUGAUGUUUGGGGAUUUGAUAAUAUGGGACCUUUUCCUUCCUCUAAUGGGUAUACACAUAUUUUGGUUGUUGUUGAUUAUGUUACUAGAUGGGUAGAAGCUAUUCCAACCAGUAGUGCUCAUCAUAACACCUCUAUUAAAAUGCUUAAGGAAGUUAUUUUCCCAAGGUUUGGAGUCCCUAGAUAUUUAAUGACUGAUGGUGGUUCACACUUUAUUCAUGGUGCUUUCCGUAAAAUGCUUGCCAAGUAUGAUGUUAACCAUAGAAUUGCAUCACCUUAUCAUCCUCAGUCUAGUGGUCAAGUUGAACUUGGCAAUAGAGAAAUAAAAUUAAUUUUGUAAAAGACUGUUAAUAGGUCCAGGAAGAAUUGGUGUAAGAAAUUAGAUGAUGCACUUUGGGCUUAUAGAACAACAUAUAAAAAUCCUAUGGGUAUGUCUCCUUAUAAAAUGGUUUAUGGAAAAGCUUGUCAUUUACCUCUUGAGUAAGAACAUAAAGCAUUUUUGGCAGUUAAAGAACUCAAUUAUGACUCCAAACUUGCUGGUGAAAAGAGGUUAUUUGAUAUUAGAUCAUUAGAUGAAUGGAGAACCCAAACAUAUGAAAACGCAAAGUUAUUCAAAGAAAAAGUUAAAAGAUGCCAUGGCAAAAGAAUCCAAAAGCGUGAGUUUAAAGUCGGAGAAUUGUUCUUUUGUACAACUCUCAUUUUAGUUUUUUUGCAGGGAAGCUCCUCUCGAAGUGGGAAGGCCCAUAUGUCAUCGAGGAGGUUUACCGGUCUAGUGCCAUCAAAAUAAAUAAUUCCGAAGGUACUAAACCGAAGGUUUUCAAUGGACAACAAAUAAAGCAUUAUAUAUCAGGUACGCCUAUUAAUGUUGAAAGUAAUAUUAUCCAAACUUUGACACCGGAAGAACACAUAAAAGAGUCCUUCCGGAGCACUCUAGAAUCGUGAUAAUAAGGAGGUACGUGAUACGAUAGGUAAAUGGACUCCGAAAAAUCCGCAAAAAUAAUUUUUAUCAGUUUUGGAAUAUUUUAGAAUUUUGGAAAUAAAAAAACUCCCAGGAAGCGUACCCUGGUGGGCACCUGGCGCGCCCAGGUGGGUUGUGCACACCAGGGACACCUUCCGUACUCCGUUUUUCUUCCAUGUACUUGUCCUCCAAGAUAAAAAAUCUAUAUAUACUUCCCGAACCUGUUAACCACCGUAUCGCGGAGAAAUCCUCUGUCCUCUUUUUCCCUUGCUAUUUUCUACUAGAUCCCAUCUACCAUGGCUGCUUUAAGCUCCUCCAAGGACAAAUUCUUCAAGAACGCUAUCAACCCAUAUCUGCAGGAGGUAGUGAAGCACCCUCAGGUCAUUGAGAUGCAUGAGGGGGUUCUUCACCUUCGCGAUGUGCCCUGUCCCAAGGGGACGAGAACCAUGGAGGCUAGGCUUGAAGCUGUGGAACAAGAUGUCUUCCGGUGCAAGGGGAUGCUGGAGCAUGGACUCCAUGCCAAUCACCUCAUGAUCACGGACCUCUCCCGUGAUCUCAAGGUGGAUGGCAAGCCCAUGAAGGACAUCGUCUUCACCUUCAACGAGCAAAUCAACUUCCUCCAAAGCCAGAUCUAUGACCUCCAGAACCAAGUCUUUGAAUAUGAAGCGAGGUUUAAAGGUAUGAGUUUGGUUGCUAGUUGCACGACCCAUUGGACUCACUCUUCCUCUUAUGAUGGUGGACCACUGCCAUGGAAAUCCAAGGACAAUACCUCUUCUUCUUCACCACCACCAUCUUCUUCACCACCAAAGGAGAACUAAGUAUCAAGUAUGGGCACUCCCCUUGGCUUCCGCCAAGCUUGGGGGAGGUGCCCCGGUAUCGUAUCAUCCCACUAUCUUUUUUCCAUUUACUUAUAUUAGUUCGAUCUUUUUGCUUUGGAUGAAAUAAAGUUUAGUCCGAUCCUUUCUUAUUUGAGAGUUUGCUUAGUGAUCUAUCAUUGUAAUCAUGUGCAAGUUAUGUAAUAAAGUUAGUUUGAGUUUUUGCUUUCUUUAUUUUCAAGUUGCAAAUAAAGAAAAGAAAUAAGAAAGAAAGAAAAAGAGAAAGGAAAUAAAUAAAAGAAAGGAAAUAAAUCAAUAAGAUCAUAUACUAAUCCUAUGGUAGGUGAUAGCACCACAUAAGGAAAAGUAUAAGUAGGAAAUUUUAUUAGAGAUUGACAAACAUAGCAUUAGUCAAUGAUGCAACUCAUGAAAGAAUUAAUAAGGGAAGAGAAUAUUCACAUAUAGAUAUACUAUCCUAGAAAUCUUUUGUGAUUGUGAGUCCUCAUCAAAAUAUUAUAUGCCAAAAUUGUUGAAAUUGGACAAGGAAGACAACUUAAUGGUUUAUGUUUGUUUAUAUUCACAUAGAAGUCAUAUUGGCAUAGAUCCUUUAACAUGUGAUGCUUGCCCCCUAUCUUUGCUAGAAAAAAAUUCCGCACUAAGUAGAGAUACUACUUGUGCAUCCAAAAACCCUUAAACCCAAAUCUUUUUCAAGUGUCCACCAUACCUACCAAGGGAUUGAGCAAGAUCCCUCAAGUAAGUUGUCAUCGGUGCAAAAAGGCAAUCAAAAUUGCUUCUAAAUAUGUGAGAUAAUUUAGUGUAAGAGAAAACUGAGUGUUGUACAAACUUGGAUGACAAAGAAUAAAGGUGGCAGACUGCAUAAUAAAGGUUUUCAUCUUAAGUGGCAAUGCAAUGUGAUGUUCUUUUGCACUAAGGGAUUGAGCAUACAAACAAAUAAGCGCAUGACAACCUCUGCUUCCCUCUGCGAAGGGCCUAUCUUUUACUUUUAUGUAUUUACUUUUAUGCAAAGAGUCAAAGUUUCUUCUCUCUAUUCCUUUUUAUUUUCUCCUAUGUCAAGCAUCAUGUGGUGAGGAAAGAUCUAGGCACAUAUGUCCAGUUGAAUAUAGAUAGCAUGAUUUAUUAUUGUUGACAUCACCCUUGAGGUGAGUAUGUUGGGAGGCGAAACUAUAACCCCUACCUUUCUAUGUGUCCGGUUGAAACGUUUUGUUCAUGGGUACGCGGUGAGUGUUAGCAAUCAUAGAAGACUAUAUGAUGGUUGAGCAUGUGGACUUGCCUAAAAGGUUCCGACACGUGACUCUUCCUGAAAGAUGAUGAAUUGUAGUUGCAAAGUUGACUGAGAACAUAGCUUCUCGGUUUCUAAUAGAGUUUUUGCUUUAUACUUCGAUUAUGUGAUGAACUGUUACUUAUUCAUGAGAAGUAUAUGAUGCAAGUUUUAUGAUAAAAGUCCUAUGUUUAAUUUUGUUGCUGUAAUAAUAAUCAACAUGAUGCUUCUAUGUCUGUAUUUUGUUUUUAUCGACACCUCUCUCUCAAAGCAUGUGGACAUGUUUUUUGAUUUUGGUUUUCGCUUGAGGGCAAGCGAGGUCUAAGCUUGGGGGAGUUGAUACGUCCAUUUUGCAUCAUGUUUUCUUACUGUUAUUUAUAAUGUUUUUAUCCAUACUAAUGCUCUUUGGAGUAAUUCUAAUGCCUUUUCUCCCAUAAUUUGCAAGGAACACACCAAGAGGAAGAAUUCCGACAGGUGGAAAUCUGGACCUGGAAAAGCUACGUCAAGUCACCUAUUCCGCACAACUCCAAAUAAGCUUAAACUUCACGGAGAUUUUUUAUGGAUUAUUUAAGAAAUACUGGAGCCAAUAACCAUCAGAGGGGGGCCACCAUGUGGGCACAACCCACCUGGGCAUGCCAGGCCCCCAGGCGCCCCCUGGUGGGUUGUGGCCUCCUCGGCCCACCUCUGGUGCCCAUCUUCUGGUAUAUAAGUCAUUUUGACCUAGAAAAAUAAGAAGAAGGCUUUCGGGACGAAGCGCCGCCAUCUCGAGGCAGAACUUGGGCAGGAGCACUUUUUCCCUCCGGCGGAGCGAUUCCGCCGGGGGAACUUCCCUCCUGAAGGGGGAAAUCAUCGUCAUCAUCAUCACCAACAACUCUCCCAUCUUGGGGAGGGCAAUCUCCAUCAACAUCUUCAACAGCACCAUCUCAUCUCAAACCCUAGUUCAUCUCUUGUAUUCAAUCUUGUUACCAGAACUAUAGAUUGGUGCCUGCGGGUGACUAGUAGUGUUGUUUCGGGGGAAAUGACACCUACGGGAUCACGAGGAAUCCCUUUUGCUACGCUGGCGGGUGCGGGGCUGUGGAAAGGGCGGGAUUGAGAGAUCAACGCAGGGUGAUUAUCCAGGUUCGGGCCGCAAGUGAUGCGUAAUACCCUACUCCUGCUGGUUUAUGUUUAUCUGGUGUUCUUGGACUAGCUACAAAGCGUGCAGGGUCCAAAAAGUCCGAAUCCUUCCUCAGUACGCCGCGGGCCUCCUUUUAUAGUCAAAGGGGCUGCCACAGUGGCACACAGGAGGUGGAAAGCUAUACAGUGGUCGAAUCUAUCCUCUGGCACCAUAGGACAAACACAUUUAAUUCGCUGCCGACGUGCCCUUCUUGCUUUAUCAGGGACGGCAAGGAAGCUCGUCCCAGCUGUCGCUGCCUCGCCUGGCUUCGACGCGCGGCCAAACUGACGAGGCGUGUAGUGUCACGCUGGCUGGCUGCUGAGUUGGUGUGGUGGCAGAGUCUUCACGAAGAUCUGCAUGCCACCAUGCAGGUGCUUGCUGGGUUGGCCUAGAGGCCGCAUGUCUCCACGCAAGUGCUCGCCUAGUUGGUGGGCUGGCAGCUGCAUGGGAACGGCAGUGGAGUCUUGGCAGAUGUGGGCCUGGCUGCGGCCCCGCUGACGUCUUCAGCAAGAGUCUUGCCGGGCCCCCGGCAAGGGUCUUGCCGUGGCAUCGUGGUCGUCCCCGGCAAGGGUCUUGCCGGGGGUCUCGUGGGUAUCCUUGGCAAGGAUCUUGUCGAGGAUCUUCGUCUUCUGGUUUAUCAUGUAGUCUUGUAUGCUUCUGGUCUUCACAAAGAUCUGCAUGCCACCAUGGAGGCGUUUCCCGAGCCUUGGUCCCAAUGUGGUUGAGGGCGUUGGAACUCUCAGGCUCAAGGGUGGCAGCCCUGCUAGUGUUGGGCAAGCUGACCCUGCAAGGUUCUUGCCGGGGCUGUGGAGGCCGCCCCGGCAAGGGCCUUGCCGGGGGAGUUCUCCUCGCCCUUCUACUCUUUGUGUUUCUGGCUUGUCGUUGCUCUGGUCGUCUUGCGUCUUCACUUCCUCUGCCCCGCCAAUCGUGGCCAGGGGCGUGGGGCUGCGACUGCCCGUGCAGAAGUAAAGGGGUACAAAAAGGGGCCCCUACUUUUCUACACCGAUAGGAGCCCCCGGGCCUGGGCCACAUAUUAGCGCGGGGCGUUAUUGGGCCAGGCCCAGAACGGUGCACGGGCGCGUGUGCGGCAGAGUUUUUGCUGCAGUAACUCCCUCGCUCGUUGCGCCUCCCCAUGACCCGCAUUGAAUGCGUGACGUGGGGGUAGCGCGUGGAAUGAUCGCAUCAUGCUUGCGUCAUCCCGUGGUGAACAGUGAAGAGGCGGCUUGCGCGUCCCUUCAAAACUGCAGGGCCGCUGCUCAUUUACUCUCUCCGCCUUGGAACUGUCGUUCCAUGUUUCCCACUACGCCUGCCCCUUGCGCCACGUACACCGCAUGCACGACGUGGGGUAGGUGACAGACGCAUGGAAUAUAGGAAGGCGCGCGGGGGCCGAUACUCACGUGCCUUUGAUUGGGCGGGGAGGGCGGCUGAUGGCCUUGCUUGCUGCCACUUAAUGAGCCGGAUUUGAGCGGGCUCUUCAGAGGCGUAGAGCUAGUCUUUCGGCCUUCCCCGCCCAACCAUAAAAAGGGAACUCAGGGGUAGGAGGAAGAGCAUCUCCCUGCGUCUCCCCUCUGUCUCCAUCCUUCACCCACGGUCAUGGCGAGAGGCCGUGGGCCGUUUUUCCGUGGAAGCGACCAGGUCCUCCUCCUGCCAGAGAGCUGCGGCGGUCAAGGAAGAGCCAGACGCCCAGGGCGAAGGCCAUGCUCGAGGCGGGGGUGCGAGACGGGGCCGCGGUCGGCGAGGCAGCCGAGGCAGAGGUGGCCGCGGAAGGGGGACGCCUGCGUCAUCUCCGUCUCCGUCGCCAUCUCCCCCGCCAACUCCUCCUGCUUCGCCGAGUGGUCACGUCGGGGACAUGGUGCUUGAGUUCAUCCUGUAGCUGCGUGGGCCGCUGCGCAGCCGCCUUUGUCUUCCCUGGGCAUUCUUGAGGGUGCUGGAGAUCGAACAGCCACCGCGGCUGAGGCUUCACAUGAAGGGGUGUUGCCAUGGCGACAUGUGGGUGAACACGAGGUUUCCCGCCCCUCAAGUGAUGCUCCUUCGCCGGGGCUGGAAAACCUUUGCACGCGCCCAUUGCUUGAUGGAUGGGCACGUCCUCUGCUUCAAGCUAGCGGAGAGCGACCUGCUCUCCAUUAAGGUCUUCGGGCGCUCGGGACACAGGCUAGGGUGCUGUGCAGAGAGCUCAACCGAUGACGAGAGCUCCUCCUCAGGCGACAACGACGAGGAGGACAUCGACGGCGACGACGAGGGUAGCGGGCUGGAGGAUGACGGGUCCGACUAAGUGUGGGACACACCGUCCCCGGGCGGCGCCGGCAGCACCACUAGCUCCUUGAACUUCUCGGGCCGCUGCUCCUGGUGGCUGGCGCUGGAGGGCUCGAGAAGGCAAAGAAGGCGGGUGGUGGGACGUCAACUCGGAGUACGAUGGCACCGACGCCUUCGUUGCGUAUUGCCGGCCCGCUGUCUCUUCUUUCGGCCUCUUCCCUGGCACCGUCAUCACCAGCCUUCUCUUGGUGUCUUCUGCUGCUCGUACCUCGCCUAGGCGCCCCUUUUGCCCUCCCGCUUAUCCUGAUCCGCUUCCUGAGGAGAGGGACAAGAAAGGGAUUAUGGGCAUCUUAUCCUUUUUUAGUUUUUAAGCCUGCGGGCACUUGUUAGAUUUAAACCUUGUAAUUCCCUUGCUCAUGUUUACAUUUCGUAUGAACUGUACCUGUUUGGAACGUAUUAAUGAAAAAGAGUGCUUGACGGGUUCUUUGUGCGUGAGCGAGGCCCAUGCCAAGGAAUGAAUCCUUGUUAUUUAAAAUAAACAUUGUCGCCCGGCAACAGGCCUUGCCAUCCCCUCACUUCAUUCACGACCAUACCCACGCUCUCGGCGGAGGCAGGGGCGAAGUAGGGUUAGGCCCUUCGUUUGCGUCCUUGCCACUGCAACUACAACCAAGUUUCGGCCCAGGGAAUAGUUCUUGGGCACAGGAAAGGGGGAGCACGGUGGCCCAGGAAUAAACGAGGCUUCAUACGUCUCUAUUCCAUACGGAAAUGCAUAACAGGGGAUAAAGGACUUAUCUGGAUCUGCAGCCCCCGGUAACCUUGGCUUGCCGUGGUCGGGUGCUUGAAUCUGCAGCCCCCCGGCAAUGGCUUGCCGGGGUCGGGGAUGUUGAUCCGUCUCCCUGCCCUUAAAUGGCUUAGCAGAAACACCUGUGCAGCCUAUGAACCAAAGAAAAGACUGGAAAGGACGGAAAGACACACACCCGACCUCUAUGCUAGGGGUUAGUUGCCGCCGGGCACUAUCAACCCUACCAAAGAGAGACUUAACCUAGCAUGCAUGCUAAAACUUAGGGCGCCAGCGCUUCAUUUAUUUAUGUUCAGGGUCUGCACCUGGCUUUGUACAAAGGGUUACAUGCCUUGUCGGCAAGGCUUGUACAAAAGGUGGCUUGCCGGGAGGCCCGACAACCGCGCCUCAUGGGUAAAACUUACGAAGACGUUCGAUGUUCCAGGAGUUGCUCACUGGGAUACCAUCUUCGGUCUCCAGGCGGACUGCGCCAGGCCUGGUGAUUCUUAUUACCCGGUAAGGGCCUUCCCACUUCGGCGUCAACUUGUUGGAAUUCUUGGCCGACUGAACGCGCCGAAGAACAAGGUCGCCUUCCUCAAGACUUCGGGCAUGAACCUUGCGGCUAUGGCAGCGGCGCAAGGCUUGCUGGUAGCGUGCAGCUCACACAGCCGCCCGAAGACGAUCUUCCUCAAGGAGCGUCACGUCAUCUUGCCGCAACUGCUCUUGCUCAAGCUCGUCAUAAGCGAGCACUCGAGGUGACCCGUAUGUGAGUUCCGUGGGGGAGAACUGCUUUUGCCCCGUAUACCAGGGCAAAGGGUGUCUGGCCGGUGGCUUGAUUUGGCGUCUUUCUGAUCGACCAAAGAACUGUCAGCAACUCAUCAAUCCAGCGCCUUCCACACUUGUGUAGCCUGUCAAAAGUCUUUGUCCCCAGGCCUCGCAGUACUUCAGCAUUUGCCCUCUCCGCCUGGCCGUUGCUCCAUGGGUGUGCCACUGAAGCGAAAUAGACCUUGCUGCCGAGGUCCUGGAUGUAUUGCAUGAAGGUGCGGCUUGUGAACUGCGUGCCGUUGUCGGUGAUGACCCUGUUCGGCACACCAAAACGGCAAACUAGCCCCUUGAAGAACUUGAUGGCUGACUGUGCUGUCACCUUCCUCACCGCCUCCACUUCGGGCCACUUUGUGAACUUGUCGAUUGCGACGUACAAGUACUCAAAGCCCCCGACAGCACGGGGGAAGGGGCCCAGUAUGUCGAGCCCCUAGACCGAAAAUGGCCAGGAGAGAGGGAUUGUUUGAAGGGCUUGAGCUGGUUGAUGAAGCUUCUUCGAAUGGAACUGACACGCUUCACAUGGUUACUAGCGCAGCUACAUCCUGGAGGGCCGUGGGCCAGAAGAAACCUUGCCGGAAUGCCUUGCCGGCAAGGGCCCUUGACCCUAUGUGGGAGCCACACACACCUCCAUGUAUCUCUGCCAACAUCUCUAGUCCGUCCUCUUGAGGAAUGCACUUUAGCCUGACUCUGUUUGGCCUCCUUCUGUACAGGGUAUCAUCCACAAACUGGUACAUGUUGGAUUGACAUGCUACUUUCUCUGCUUCUUCCUGCUCCUCGGGGAGCUCUCCUGUUUGGAGGAAACGGAUUGUGGGCUGCGAUAAGGACCAGAGGCUCAUCUUCGACCGUAGGUGUAACGCCCACGAUGCGGCUAUAUCUCCCACGUGUCGAGGCACGACUUAGAGGCAUAACCGCAUUGUGGUAUUGUCGCAAGAAGGGUUAUCUUCACACAAUCCCAUGUAAUGAACAAGAAUGGGAUAACGAGAGUUGGCUUACAAUCGCCACUUCACACAAUACAUAAUUUAAUUCAUACAUCAUCCAAAAUCCACACAUGGACCGACUACAGUCAAAAUCCAAAUGAAAAUAAGAUAACCCCAAAUGCUAGAUCCCCGAUCGUCCCAACUGGGCUCCACUACCGAUCAUCAGGAAAAGAAACAUAGUAACGACCACGUUCCUCAUCGAACUCCCACUUGAUCUCGGUUGCGUCAUCUGCACUGGCAUCGUCGGCACCUGCAACUGUUUGGUAGAAUCUGUGAGUCACGAGGACUCAGCAAUCUCACACCCGCGAGAUCAAAACUAUUUAAGCUUAUAGGAAAGGAUGGUGUAAUGAGGUGGAGCUGCAGCAGUCACCAAGCACAUAUGGUGGCUAACAUACGCAAAUGAGAGCGAGAAGAGAAGCAACGCAACGGUUGCGAAGCUAGAAAUGAUCAAGAAGUGAUCCUGAAACUACUUGCGUUCAUGCAUAACUCAAACCGUGUUCACUUCCCGGACUCCGCCGAGAAGAGACCAUCACGACUACACACACGGUUGAUGUAUUUUAAUUAAGUCAAGUGUCAAGUUCUCUACAACCGGACAUUAACAAAUUCCCAUCUGCCUCAUAACCGCGGGCACGGCUUUCAAAAGAUAAGACCCUACAGGGGUGUCCCAACUUAGCCCAUUAUAAGCUCUCACGGUCAACGAAGGAUAAACCUUCUCCCAGGAAGACCCGAUCAGUCUCGGAAUCGCGGUUUACAAGACAUUUCGACAAUGGUAAAUCAAGACCAUCAAAGCCGCCCGAAUGUGCCGACAAAUCCCGAUAGGAGCUGCACAUAUCUCGUUCUCAGGGCACACCGGAUGAGCAGUCCGUAAAACUAAAACCAGGCCUCAAGUUUCCCCGAGGUGGCGCUACAAAGGGCUCUAGUUUGGACCAGCACUCAGAGGAACACUGGCCCGGGGGUUUAAAUAAAGAUGACCCUCGGGCUCAUGAAAACCCAAGGGAAAAGGCUUAGGUGGCAAAUGGUAAAACCAAGGUUGGGCCUUGCUGGAGGAGUUUUAUUCAAGGCGAACUGUCAAGGGGGUCCCAUAAAUCACCCAACCGCGUAAGGAACGCAAACUCAAGGAACAUAAUACCGGUAUGACGGAAACUAGGGUGGCAAGAGUGGAACAAAACACCAGGCAUAAGGCCGAGCCUUCCACCCUUUACCAGAUAUAUAGAUGCAUUAAUUAAAUAAGAGAUAUUGUGAUAUUCCAAAAAUAUCCAUGUUCCAACAUGGAACCAACUUCAACUUCACCUGCAACUAGCAACGUUAUAAGAAGGCUGAGCAAAAGCGGUAACUUAGCCAAACAACGGUUUGCUAGGAAAGGAUGGUUAGAAGCUUGACAUGGCAAUAUGGGAGGCAUGAUAUAGCAAGUGGUAGGUAGCGCAUCACAGCAAUAGAACGAACAACUAGCAAAGCAAAGAUAGAAGUGAUUUCGAGGGUAUGGUCAUCUUGCCUGCAAGGUUCUCAGAGUUGUCGAAAGCUUGAUCCUCGUAAGCGUACUCAACAGGUUCCUCGUUCAUGAACUCGUCUCCAGGCUCUACCCACAGAAAAAACACAAGCAAUGGAACCACAAUCAAUCACGGGAAAUGCACAAGCAACAUGAUGCAAAACAUGAAUGAUAUGCGAUGCAUAUGCGUGCUCCGGAAGAAAAAGAAUGAACAAGGCAGUAACUUGGAAAACCAAGUAUGCCACUGGAAAGAUGAGAUGAUUUCGGUUGAAAUCGAUAUAAAGAUCACCGGAAACGGAUGCACGGUUUGCAAAUGGCAAGCAAAACAAGAAUGACACGAUUCUGCGAUUAACAGCAUGAUAGCACUUAGAAUACAACAAGUAACUAUGCUACAGCACUCCAACAUAGCAACAAAGCAUAUGGAAGUAAUCUACAGGAGAUUCUUGAGAAAAGAUGAACACUGAGCUACGGCUAGAUCACACCACAACAGGUUCAAACAAGCAUGGCAAAAGUGCAAAAGAUAUCAGGUUCACAGACUUGGUGAAAUUACUGGACAUGGCUGAAACAGCAUCAGGUAGCAAUGUUCAGAGCAAGCAAUCAACAUGCUACAGGAACUGAAUAUAUAAAAACAAGGCAUGGCAUGAAUCUACUAAAUGCAUAGAACAAAAGUCCCUUACUGACCAUAAGUGAACAAGGACAAGAAGAUAUGAUGGCACUCAUGUAAACAUAGCAAGUUUCGUUAACAGGUUUCAGACAGCAGAAAACAGAGCAUGGCAGGAACAGGGACUAUGAAGGCAUCUUAGUGAGCUUGACUCACUCACCACAAAGCAAUGCAUGAAAAAACAAGCAUACCUACAGCAAGAUGGCAUGUUUAUGAAGCUAUCCAUGGCAAGAGAAAAUACAUAGCAUGAAAGGAUCAACUACAACAAGCUUGGCAAAAUUGAAUAACAUGUAAACAAUCUGCCAGGAACAUUUUAUAGCAAAAGUAGAGCAAGAUUAAGACAUGCUAUGGCACUCCAUAAUUGCAAAAAGGGGCAUGGAUGGAUAGAGCACAACUAUAUCUACAAAACAUCCUUACUGAACAUACUCAAAAUAAGCAUGGAUCUCUGUAGCCACAUGGAUCACUCAUCACAAGGCAAUGCAUGACAAAACAAGCAUGCCUACAGAAAGAUGGCAUGUUUGUGAAGCUAUCCGUGGCAAGAGCAAAUACAUAGCAUGUAUGAAACAACUACAACAACCUUGGCAAAAUUGAAUAACAUGUAAACAAUCUGCUAGGAACAUUUUAUAGCAAACGUAGAGCAAGAUUAAGACAUGCUAUGGCACUCCAUAAUUGCAAAAAGGGGCAUGGAUGGAUAGAGCACAACUAUAUCUACAAAACAUGCUUACUGAACAUACUCAAAAUAAGCAUGGAUCUCUCUGUAGCCACAUGGAUACAUAGCAACAAAAUAACAGCAGUCACAGACUUAGCAAAAUUCUAAGUCCCUGAAAACAGAAACAUCACGAAGCCUAGUUUGCAUUCUUGUGCUAGUCACCACAUAGAUCAAAAAAAUACAUGGCAUACACCUCUGUAAAGAUGGCAUGGAAAAAAUCAAAACACAUGUAGAGCUCAUGCCCAUAAGAUGCACACAAUAAAUGUAACAAAAAUAACAAAACACCAAGUUCUGCUAAGUAACAGCAGGUAACAACAUAUAGCACUCUUGCACCAGAGAUUUUGGCAUCAAGAUGGACUCAAAUGAACAUGGCACAAUGGAAAAAAAAGAAGAGCAUCUCGAGACGAACAUUUCGAUAUAUUACACGCAUGAAACGGAGUAGUAUGCAGAGAGUUAUGAUGCGAUGAACAGGAGCAUAUAAAGUGAAAAAUAUGGGACUUAGAAGAANNNNNNNNNNNNNNNNNNNNNNNNNNNNNNNNNNNNNNNNNNNNNNNNNNNNNNNNNNNNNNNNNNNNNNNNNNNNNNNNNNNNNNNNNNNNNNNNNNNNNNNNNNNNNNNNNNNNNNNNNNNNNNNNNNNNNNNNNNNNNNNNNNNNNNNNNNNNNNNNNNNNNNNNNNNNNNNNNNNNNNNNNNNNNNNNNNNNNNNNNNNNNNNNNNNNNNNNNNNNNNNNNNNNNNNNNNNNNNNNNNNNNNNNNNNNNNNNNNNNNNNNNNNNNNNNNNNNNNNNNNNNNNNNNNNNNNNNNNNNNNNNNNNNNNNNNNNNNNNNNNNNNNNNNNNNNNNNNNNNNNNNNNNNNNNNNNNNNNNNNNNNNNNNNNNNNNNNNNNNNNNNNNNNNNNNNNNNNNNNNNNNNNNNNNNNNNNNNNNNNNNNNNNNNNNNNNNNNNNNNNNNNNNNNNNNNNNNNNNNNNNNNNNNNNNNNNNNNNNNNNNNNNNNNNNNNNNNNNNNNNNNNNNNNNNNNNNNNNNNNNNNNNNNNNNNNNNNNNNNNNNNNNNNNNNNNNNNNNNNNNNNNNNNNNNNNNNNNNNNNNNNNNNNNNNNNNNNNNNNNNNNNNNNNNNNNNNNNNNNNNNNNNNNNNNNNNNNNNNNNNNNNNNNNNNNNNNNNNNNNNNNNNNNNNNNNNNNNNNNNNNNNNNNNNNNNNNNNNNNNNNNNNNNNNNNNNNNNNNNNNNNNNNNNNNNNNNNNNNNNNNNNNNNNNNNNNNNNNNNNNNNNNNNNNNNNNNNNNNNNNNNNNNNNNNNNNNNNNNNNNNNNNNNNNNNNNNNNNNNNNNNNNNNNNNNNNNNGCGGCGGCAUAUGGGCCGCGGGGGCCGGAUCUGGGCCCCGCGGGCCCUGGCGGCGGAGGAGAGAGAGGGGGCCGGCGGCGGUGACGUGGCACCCUCUGGUUGGCCAGGCGCGGCGGCGGGUUUCGUCCGGCGUGUCCGGCGGCGCGGGGUGGAGGAAGACUAGGGUUAGGGUGGAAUUGAUCUGGAAUUUCGGGGGAGGGGACUAAUUUAUAGGUAGAGGGAGCUAGGAGACUCCAAAUGAAGUGCGAUUUUCGCCCACACGAUCGUGAUCGAACGACCUAGCGCAUGGAAGUGACUUAGAUGGGUUUUGGGCUGUUUGGAGGGGGGUUUAGCUGCAACACACAAAAGGACUUUGCGGUUACCCGGUUAACCGUUGGAGCAUCAAACGACCUCCAAAUGGAACGAAACUUGACAGGUGGUCUACCGGUGGUAUACCAAGGCCACUUGACAAGACUCGGUCCAUUCCAAGAACGUUCAACACCCGCUCAUGAUAAGAAACAAGCGGGGUGCGCCGGUGCAUGUGGGAGUGUCGGAUUGCAAAACGGACAACGGGGAAAAUGCUCGGAUGCAUGAGACGGACACGUAUGCAAAUGAGAUGCACAUGAUGACAUGCUAUGAGAUGCAUGACAUGAACAAAAUGCAAAACGAAAAACAAAACCCGACCACGAAGGAAAUAUCAUAACACAUAGCUGAAAAUGGCAAGAGUUGGAGUUACAAAUAUGGAAAGUUACAUCCGGGGUGUUACAGUAGGGGCAGCUGCCUCUACGGUCAGGGCCUGGGGCCCCGUCGGAGGUAGUUGCCCCUCGGCAGGCUUAUGAUGUAAAAAACAUGCAGAAAACAGCAACUGGCACAUGACACUAUGCCAAUAGGUUAGUACCAAAAAAUGAUAUAAAAUGGCUAUAAAAUGAUUAUAAAACAUCCAAGAUUGAUAAUAAAACAACAUGGAACAAUAAAAAAUUGGGAUAAUUAGAUUUAUGCCCCUAGUUGUGUCCCACUCGUCUGUUUUACCCCUAAUUCCCAAAAGUCACUGGUUCUGUCCAAGUCACUUUGCUCCUAUUAUGCUUUUGCCCUUUGACCGUUUGACCAUCAGUUUGAAAACAUCAUAACUAAUUCAUACUAAAUCAGAAAAACGCAAAUAAGAUACCAAAAUGUUCAGAAAAACAUCACCUAUAUGUUAGUGUCAUUUGCAUUCAUGAAAAAAGUGUUGGAAAGUGCCCAUCCGAGUUUUAGCUCUUAUGCUACCACCAUGAAUAGUAAAAUCUAAAAAAGUUCAAAAAAAAUAAAAAAAUUGGUGGUAAAGAAUGAAAAAUGUUUUAAGUGCCUGCCAAGUUUCAUGAGGGAAUAACAUUCGUGGGUGCCGUGGCAAAAAAACAUUCAGCACUCCAAAAUAGAUUAUUUUUUUGCCACGACUUCCACGAAUGUCGUUCCCUAAUGAAACUUGGCAAGCACUUAGAACAUUUGUUGUUCUUCGCCACCAUAUUGUUUUUGAAUUUUUUUAGAGUUCACUAUUCAUGGUGGUAUCAAAAGAGAUAAAACUCGGAUGUGCACUUUCCAACACUUUUUUCAUGAAUGCAAAUGACACUGACAUAUAGGUGAUGUUUUUCUGAACAUUUUGGUAUCUUAUUUGCAUUUUUCUGAUUCAGUAUGAAUUAGUUAUGAAGUUUUCAAACUGACGGUCAAACGGUCAAAGGGCAAAAGCAUAAGAGGAGUAUAGUGACUUGGACAGAACCGGUGACUUUUGGGAAUUAGGGGUAAAACAGACAAGUGGGACACAACUAGGGGCAUAAAUCUAAUUAUCCCUAAAAAAUUAUAGAUACGUUGGAGACGUAUCAACCAACAACAAUAGAGGGGUUGUACGACCAAGGUGGAUUAUUCUUGGUCCGUUUUACGAUCCAUCUUGGUGAGAUGCCUCUCUGGCCCGCCGACUAAAAGUGGGUGUGUGUGUGGGGNNNNNNNNNNNNNNNNNNNNNNNNNNNNNNNNNNNNNNNNNNNNNNNNNNNNNNNNNNNNNNNNNNNNNNNNNNNNNNNNNNNNNNNNNNNNNNNNNNNNNNNNNNNNNNNNNNNNNNNNNNNNNNNNNNNNNNNNNNNNNNNNNNNNNNNNNNNNNNNNNNNNNNNNNNNNNNNNNNNNNNNNNNNNCACGAGGGGGAGCAAGCAAUACCGUGCGCUUUGCGAGAUAGGUGCCACAUCGAAGUUGCAUUUGGUAUUUGAACAUCAAACCACCCCUUUUCACACAUAUAUUUGGUCCACAUGCAUGUGUGUUCGUGUUCUGACCCUCUCCCGCGUCAUUUUUCACCAAAUUUAUGAACAUUAGACAAGUCGGAUGACGCAACAGACACGGUUCACUCACAGUAACCGUGUGCCAUGCCGGUGCUCCUGUCAUGCACAUCCGCACAGUACAUUGGGCUCCACGAGGCUUCACCUCUCAAAAAUAUCUACCCGCCUGCAGCUUUUUUCUGUUUGAUAACACACGGUUAUUAUGUUUCGACCGUGUGUGAUGUUUCUUGUUCCCGCUCCCGCCUGCAUCCCUCAAAAAUAUUUGCCCACCUCGAGGGUUUUUCUGUUUCAUAACACACAGUUGUUAUCUCCGGACCAUGUGCGAUGCACCAUCUAAAUUUUCAAUAGCUCCAGCAUUUCACUCCCGCGUAGUAAAAUUUUCAGUAGCCGCGUCAUUUCUCAAACACACCCCCCGCCCCUCCACACACACACACACACACACACCAAAACCUCCUCGGGCGCGCGUGCACGCACACAAACACACACCCUCUCCUUCGCUCGAAACCCUAGCAAGGUCGUCGCCGCCGCCCCAAGGCCUCCAUUGUCAACAUCUGCCAGUUUGCCCGUGCAGCUUACCCACCAUUCCCCAUACCCAGGCUGCCCUGAGUUUCUUAGAUGAUGCCUGCCAAACGCCCCCUUUCCCAUAGAUCCCUAUCCCCAUCCCCAUCCCCCACUCCAGAGCAUCGCAGCCUAAGCCCGGCUAUGCUUCCAGUGGAGCUCGAGGAGUGACUGGCCCAAAAGAGGUGUAUCGCGGUCUCUUCGCCCCACGUCGCCAAGGAAGCUGACGACCAUUACUGGCCGCAGGCACUCAAUCAGCGGGCUAGAGUAUGCGGGUAUGUCGCGGACGCCGGCUACGACAUCGAGGUCGUCGACAGCGACGGCCUGAGGCGGGCUAUGUCGCAGGUUAAGUGGCCCACCCCCAACCCCUCGGGUUCAACCAAUCGUCGAUCUAAUCCAUGGCCCCGCCGCUGAUCUCCUCUGACUCGCUAUCAAGAAAUUGCCAUCCUACAUCGCCAUCGAGCCCCUUUUGUCAUUUCUGAAGGACACGUUCUGCGACGCUGGCUUGGGAUCCACGGCUUCCAAGACAGACCUCAUCGACGGCGACCACGAGGAUGGCACCCUCUCCGGCUCUUCCAAGGGGAAAGAGCCCAUCUGCUCUUCCAAGGGGAAAAAGCCCGUUUGCGACAUCAGGGAGGGCACCCUACAACCGUGCUCUUCUAUGGGGAAGGAGCCCAUCUGCGACAACAUGGAGCGCAUCCAGGGUCCAUGCUCUUCCCACAGGAACGAGCCCAUCUAUGAAAAGUGAGGAAACCCAUGAUUUGUUUUGCCAUGCCUCUUCAUAGGGGGGAACCCAUGAUUUGUUUUGUCGAGUCCCUUUUGUAGUGUAGUGAGAAUAUGUCCAGUUUUAAUUGCUAUAUUUGGUUGUUUGCAGUAUGCCUUGUUUAUUUCAGUUGUUCAUAAUGUGAUGCUCUAUAUGUGCAAUUAUUCACUGUGCAGUACAUUUCAUCAAUCCAGUUUUAAACAUACCGAUAGGAAUGCAUAUAUUUGCUUUCUGUUAAGCCUGUUAUAGAUAGCAUAUGCCUCUUUUAAAGUUGUUGAUUGUUUGGUUGUUUGUAGUUAGCAUAUGUCCAGUUUCAAAUGCUAUCUUUGGUUGUUCGUAGUAUGCCUUGUUUAUUCCAGUUAUUCACAACGUGAUAUCCUAUAUGUGCAAGUAUGUGAUGACCCACAAUUAUAGGGGAUCAAUUGUAGCUCUUUUCGAUAAGUAAGAGUGUCGAACCGAACGAGGAGCAGAAGGAAAUGACAAGUGGUUUUCAGUAAGGUAAUGUCUGCAAGUGCUGAAAUUGUAAGUAGCAGAGUAGUUUGAUAGCAAGAUAAUUUGUAACGAGCAAGUAACGAUAGUAGUAACAAAAGUGCAGCAAGGUAGGUAGCCCAAUCCUUUUGAGGCAAAGGACAGGCCAAAACGGUCUCUUAUGAUAAGCAAAGCGUUCUUGAGGGUACACGGGAAUUUUAUCUAGUCACUUUCACCACGUUGGUUCGAUUUGUGUUCGCUACUUUGAUAAUUUGAUAUCUGGGUGGACCGGUGCUUAGGUGCUGUUCUUACUUGAACAAACCUCCUACUUAUGAUUAACCCUCCCGCAAGCAUCCGCAAGUACGAGAAAAGUAUUAAGAAUAAAUUCUAACCAUAGCAUGAAACUUUUGGAUCCAAUCGGUCCCUUACGGAAUAGCACAUAAACUGGGGUUUAAGCUUCUGUCACUCUCGCAACCCAUCAUCUAAUUGCUACUCCACAAUGCAUUCCCAUAGGCCCAAAUAUGGUGAAGUGUCAUGUAGUUGACAUUCACAUGACACCACUAAGGAAAUCACAACAUACAUACUAUCAAAAUAUCAAACACCUAUCAAGUUCACAUGAUUACUUGCAACAUGAUUUCUCCCAUGACCUCAAAAACAAAAGUAACUACUCACAAAUGAUAACCAUGCUCAAGAUCAGAGGGGUAUUAAAUAGCAUAUUGGAUCUGAACAUAUAAUCUUCCACCAAAUAAACCAUAUAGUAAUCAACUACAAGAUGUAAUCAACACUACUAGUCACCCACAAGCACCAAUCUAUAGUUUCGGUAACAAGAUUGAACACAAGAGAUGAACUAGGGUUUGAGAUGAGAUGGUGCUGUUGAAGAUGUUGAUGGCGAUUGACCUCCCCAAGAUGGGAGAGUUGUUGGUGAUGAUGAUGAUGAUGAUUUCCCCCUAUGGGAGGGAAGUUCCCCCGGCGGAAUCGUUCCACCUGAGGGCAAAAGUGCUCCUGCCCAAGUUCUGCCUCGAGACGGCGGCGCUCCAUCCAAAAAGUCCUCUCCUUAUUUUUUCUAGGUCAAAAUGACCUAUAUACUAGAAGAUGGGCACCGGAGGUGGGCCUCGGUGAGCACAACCCACCAGGGCGCGCAUGUGCUCCCUGGCGCGCCUAGGUGGGUUGUGCCUACCUAGUGGGCCCCCUCUGGUAUUUAUUUGCUCCAAUAUUCUUCAUAUAUUCCAUAAAAAUUCUUCAUGAAGUUUCAGCUUGUUUGGGGUUGUGCAGAAUAGGUAGCCUGACGUAGCUUUUUCAGGUCCAGAUUUCCAGCUGCCGGAAUUCUCCCUCCUUGUGUAUACCUUGCAUAUCAUGAGAGAAAAGGCAUUCAAAUUACUCCAAAAUGCAUUAUUAUGGAUAAAAACAUCUUAAAUAACAGUAGGAAAGCAUGAUGCAAAAUGGACGUAUCAACUCCCCCAAGCUUAGACCUCGCUUGUCCUCAAGCAAAAACUGAAAUCGAAAAACAUGUCCACAUGCUUUGAGAGAGAGGUGUUGAUAAAAACAAAAUACGGACAUAGAAGCAUCAUGUUUAUUAUUAUAGCAGCAACAAAAUUAAACAUAAGGCUUUUAUCAUAUACUUCUCAUGAAUAAGUAACAGUUCACCACACAAUCGAAGUAUAAAGCAGAAACUCUAUUAGAAACCAACAAACUAUGUUCUCAGUCAACUUUGCAACUACAACUCAUCAUCUUUUCAGGAUGGGUCACGUAUUGGAGCCUUUAGGCAAGUCCACAUACUCAACCAUCAUAUAGUCUUCUAUGAUUGCUAACACUCGCCUCAUACACAUGAGCAAAACAUUUCAACCAGACACAUAAAAAGAGAGGGGCUUAUAGUUUUGCCUCCCAAUGUAUUCACCUCAAGGGUGAUGUCAACAAUAAUAACUCAUGCAACCCAUAUUCAAUUGGACAUAUGUGCCUAGAUCUUUCCUCACCACAUGAUGCUUGCCAAAGGAGAAAAAUAAAAAGGAAUAGAGAGAAGAAACUUUGACUCUUUGCAUAAAAGUAAAUACAUAAAAGUAAAAGAUAGGCCCUUCACAUAGGGAAGCAGAGGUUUCCAUGCGCUUAUUUGUUUGUAUGCUCAAUCCCUUAGUGCAAAAGAACGUCACGUUGCAUUGCCCCUUGUGAUAGCGACCUUUAUUAUGCGGUCAGUCACUUUUAUUAUUCACCAUCACAAGUUCGUGCAACGCUCAAUUUUCUCUUACACUAAAUGAUCUCACACAUUUAGAAGCAAUUUUUAUUGCCUUUUUGCACCGAUGACAACUUACUUGAGGGAUCUUCCUCAAUACCUAGGUAGGUAUGGUGGACACUUGAAAAUAAGAUUUGAGUUUAAGGGUUUUUGGAUGCACAAGUAGUAUCUCUACUUAGUGCGGAAUUUUUGGCUAGCAAAGAUAGGGGGCAAGCACCACAUGUUAAAGGAUCUACGACAAUAUGGCGUCUAUGUGAAGAUGCACAAACAUAAAUCAUUAAGUUGUCUUCCUUGUCCAACGUCAACAAUUUUGGCAUAUAAUAUUUUGAUGGGUGCUCACAAUCACAAAAGAUUUCUAGGAUAGUGUAUUUAUAUGUGAAUCUUCUCUUCCCUUAUUAAUUCUUUCAUGAGUUGCAUCAUUGACUAAUGCUAUGGUCAAUCUCUAAUAAAUUUUUGUACUUAUACUUUUCCUUAUGUGGUGUCAUCACCUACCAUAAGAUUAGCAUAUGAUCUUUUAAUUGCAGCAAGAAAGUAAAGAAAGCAGAAACUCAAACUAAACUUUAUUAUAUAUCUUGCACACGAUUACAAGGAUAAAUCACUAAGCAAACUCUCAAAGAAGACAGGAUCGAACUAAACUUUUAUUCAUCUAAAGCAGAAGAUCGAACUAAAAUAGUAAAAGCGAAAAGAUAGUGGGAAUGAUACGAUACCGGGGCACCUCCCCCAAGCUUGGCGAAAGCCAAGGGGAGUGCCCACACUCGAUACUCAAUGUUCCUUUGGUGGUGAAGAUGAGGGUGGUGGUGAUGAAGAAGAGAUCUUGUCCUCGGAUUUCCACGGCAGAGGUCCACCAUCGUAAGAGGAAGAAUGAGUCUCACGGGUCCUGCAACUAGCAACCAAACUCAUACCUUUAAACCUCGCCUCAUAUUCAAAGACUUGGCUUUGAGAUCAUAGAUCUGGCUUUGGAGAAAGUUGAUUUGCUCGUUGAGGGUGAAGAUGAUGUCCUUCAUGGGCUUGCCACCCCCUUGAGAUCACGGGAAAGGUCCGUGAUCAUGAGAUGAUUGGCAUUGAGCCCACGCUCCACUAUCCCCUUGCACCGGAAGACUUCCUGCUCCAUAGCUUCAAGCCUGGCCUCCAAAGUUCCCGUCCCCUUGGGUCCUUGCACAUCGCGGAUGUGCAGCACCCCCUCAUGCAUCUGGAUGGUUUGAGGGUGCUGCACCACCUCCCGCAAAUAUGGGUUGAUGACGUUCUUGAAGAACUUGUCCUUGGAGGAUCUUGAAGCGGCCAUGGUAUAUGGGAUCUGACAGAAAACAGCAAGAAAAGAGAACAGAGGAUUUCUACGCGAUACGGUGGUCAAUAGGUUCGGGGAGUAUAUAAAGAAUUUUUAUCUUGGGGAACAAGCAUACAGAAGAAAAAUGGAGUCCAGAAGGUGCCCCAGGUGGGCAGAACCCACCUGGGCGUGCCAGGCAAGCCUGGCGCGCCCUGGUGCCUUGUGCCCACCAGGGUACGCUUCCUGGAAGUUUCUUAUUUUCCUAUUUUUCUAAAUAUUCCAAAACUGACAGAAAAUAUUUUUGCCGAUUUUUCGGAGUCCGUUUACUUACCGGAUCACGUACCUCCUAAUUUUCACGAUUCUGGAGUGUUCCGGAAGGACUCUUUUAUGUGUUCUUCCGGUGUCAAAGUUUGGAUAAUAUUAUUUUUAACAUUAAUGGGCGUACGUGAGAUAUAAUGUUUUAUUCAUUGCCCAUUGACAACCUUCGGGUUAGUACCUUCGACAUUAUUUAUUUUGAUGGCUCCAGAGCGAUAAACCUCCUUGAUAACAUUUGGGCCUUCCCAUUUUGAGAGGAGUUUUCUCGCAAAGAAUCUGAAACGAGAGUUGUACAAAAGAACAUAUUCUCCGACUUUAAACUCACGAUUUUGGAUUCUCUUGUCAUGCCAUCUUUAAACCUUUUCUUCGAAUAAUUUUGCAUUUUCAUAAGCUUGGGUUCUCCAUUCGUCUAAUGAACUAAUAUCAAAUAAUCUCUUUUCACCGGCAAGUUUGAAAUCAUAGUUGAGUUCUUUGACUGCCCAAUAUGCUUUAUGUUCUAACUCAAGAGGCAAAUGAUAUGCUUUUCCAUAAACCAUUUUAUAAGGAGACAUACCCAUAGGAUUUUUAUAUGCUGUUCUAUAAGCCCAAAGUGCAUCAUCUAAUUUCUUAGACCAAUUCUUUCUGGACCUAUUUACAGUCUUUUGCAAAAUUAAUUUUGUUUCUCUAUUACUAAGCUCAACUUGACCACUAGACCGAGGAUGAUAGUGUGAUGCAAUUCUAUGGUUAACAUCAUGCUUGGCAAGCAUUUUACGGAAAAUACCAUGAAUAAAGUGUGAACCACCAUCAGUCAUUAAAUAUCAAGGGACUCCAAACCUUGGGAAAAUAACUUCCUUAAGCAUUUUAAUAGAGGUGUUGUGAUCAACACUACUGGUAUACCCAUUUAGUAACAUAAUCAACAGCAACCAAAAUAUGUGUAUACCCAUUAGAGGAAGUAAAAGGUCCCAUGUAAUCAAAUCCCCAAAUAUCAAAUGGUUCAACAGCUAGUGAAUAAUUCAUAUGCAUUUCUUGACGCUUACUGAUAUUACCUAUUCUUUGACAUUCAUCACAAGAUAAGACAAACUUACGGGCAUCCUUGAAGAGAGUAGGCCAAUAAAAUCCAGAUUGCAAUACCUUGUGAGCAGUUCUAUCUCCAGCAUGGUGCCCUCCAUAAGCUUCGGAGUGACAUUUCCGAAGGAUUUGUCCCUGUUCAUGCUCAGGUACACAACGUCUAAUAUACCAACUACUCCUUUAUAAAGAUGUGGGUCAUCCCAAAAGUAGUGUCUUAAAUCAUAGAAGAAUUUUUUCUUUUGUUGGUAUGUAAAGCUAGGUGGUAAAUAUUUAGCAAUAAUAUAAUUAGCAUAGUCAACAUACCAAGGAGUGUUAUGAGAAACAUUUAUUGCAGCUAACUGUUCAUCAGGAAAACUAUCAUCAAUAGGUAGUGGGUCAUCUGGCACAUUUUCAAGCCUAGACAAGUUAUCAGCUACUUGGUUCUCAGCUCCUUUUCUAUCAGUGAUAUGCAAAUCAAAUUCUUGUAGCAAGAGAACCCAUCGAAUAAGUCUAGGUUUAGCAUCUUUCUUUUCCAUAAGAUAUUUAAUAGCAGCAUGAUCGGUGUGAACAAUUACUUUUGAAUCAACAAUAUACGGUCUAAAUUUAUCACAACCAAACACCAUGGCUAAGAAUUCUUUUUUAGUAGUUGCAUAAUUUCUUUGAGCACUGUCUAGAUUUUACUAACAUAAUGAAUAACAUUCAGUUUCUUAUCAACUCUUUGUCCUAGAACAACACCAACAGCAUAAUCACUAGCAUCACACAUAAUUUCAAAAGGCAAAUUCCAAUCAGGUGGUUGAACAAUAGGUGCAGAAAUUAAGGCUUUCUUGGGUGUUCCAUCGCUUCUAAACAAUCAUCAUCAAAAACAAAAGGAAUAUCCUUUGCAAAAGACUCGUAAGAGGCCUAGAAAUUUUAGGAAAGUCUUUGAUAAAUCUCCUAUAGAAACUAGCAUGACCAAGGAAACUAUGAAUACCUUUGAUAUCUUUAGGACAUGGCAUUUUCUCAAUUGCAUCAACCUUAGCUUUGUCCACUUCAAUACCUCUUUCAGAAAUUUUAUGACCCAAGACAAUACCUUCAUUAACCAUAAAGUGGCACUUCUCCCAAUUCAAGACAAGAUUUGUUUGCUCGCAUCUCUGCAAAACUCGAUCAAGAUUUCUUAAACAAUCAUCAAAAGACUUCCUGUAAACAGAGAAGUCAUCCAUGAAAACCUCAACAUUCUUUUCUCAAAAGUGAGAGAAUAUAGCAGUCAUCUUUUAAAGGUGGCAGGUGCAUGGCAUAAACCAAAAGGCAUACGUGUAUAAGCAUAAGUUCCAAAGGGACAAGUAAAAGUGGUCCUUUCUUGAUCAGGUUGAGAAAUAGGUAUGUGUGAAAAACCAGAAUAUCCAUCAAGGAAGCAAAAGUGUGUGUGCUUAGAUAAUCUUUCUAGCAUUUGAUCAAUAAAAGGCAAAGGGUAAUGAUCUUUUCUAGUUGCUUUGUUUAAUUUUCUUAAAUCAAUUACCAUUCUAUAGCCUGUAACAAUUCUUUAUGGAAUAAUCUCAUUCUUAUUAUUAGGAACAACAGUAAUACCUCCUUUCUUAGGAACACAAUGAACAAGACUUACCCAUCUACUAUUAGCUAUGUGAUAGAUUAUACACUACUGGAAUCAGGAUCUUUGCCGUCAGCCAGUUCUUUGCCAUCCGCUGGCUGACGGCAAAGGAGGUCUUUGCCAUCAACAUACAGAAAGCCGACGGUAAAGAAAGAGCGGACGACAAUGAUGGUGUUUGCCGUUCGCUAGCAGACGGCAUCGAAGCUUUGUUGUCUGCUAGCGGACGGCAAAGAGGGAGGGUGGCGUAAUAGCGAGGGCCUCCUAACGACCACUUUCUUUGCCGUCAGCUAACGGACGACAAAGAAAGUGGCCAACUAAUGUCCGUUAGCUAUGCUCUUCGCCGUCCGCUAGCAGACGGCAAAGAGCUGUGACCUAAACUAAAAAGCGGCCAGCCCCACGUCCUUCUGUCUCCCCUCUCUCUCCCUCCCUCAUCAGACCCGCGCCGCUGCCCCAUGCCCGAGCCGCCCCCACCGCUCCACCAUCCCACCUCGCCGCCCCCGCCGCCCCACCUCGGUGCCCCGCUGCCCCGGCCGCCCCGCCCCGGCCACCCCGCCGCGCAGCUCUGGCGCCCCCUCCUCCAUCCCCCUGCCGCGCAUGAAGGUGAGACAUCCCUCUUUUUUAUUCUUCUGUUUUUUAGAUUUAGUUUAAGGUUUGUUUAAUUUAUUUUAGGUUUUGUUUCUGUUUUUUAGGUUUAGAUUUAGUUUAGUUUAGGUUAAGUUUAUUAGGUUUAGUUUAGAUUAAGAAGAAAUAAGAAAGAUGAAAAGAAGAAGAAGAAGAAGAAGAAGAGGAAGAAGAAGAAAAGGAGGAAGAAAAAGAGGAGGAGGAGGAGGAGGAGGAAGAAGAAGAUUAGGGGUGCAUCACCGACGAAACCGGGUCGAGCGGGUUAGGGGGUCCUCGGUGUCGAUGGAACCCUAAAUGGCAUGUAUCGUCGGUGCGAGAUACAUGUGGCCAUCGGUGUCAAACACUACAUCCACGUCCCACAAGUGACGCCGGCGUCCGGCGUCCCACAACAACAGUUCUCGGCGUCGAUGGCGGUCGAACACCAUUGCGAAUUUGUCUUGUAGCCUCUGCGGUGACGAUUAAAAGGCAGGUGUUGAAACUUGAAACACCCAAACUGACUCAAGUCGGUUUGGUUGUUUGAAAUUUCAAAACUUGGCUUUCAUCCUCAUUGCAAAGGCUGCCAGACAAUUUCGCCAAGGUGUUCGACCGUCAUCGGCCACCAGAACUAUUGUUGUAGGACGCGGGGCGCCGGCUUCACUUGUGGAAUGUGGAGCGCCACAUGUAUCUCACACCGAUGAUACUUGCUAUUUAGGGUUCCAUCGACGCCAAGGAACCCCCUAACCCGCUCGUCCUAUUGUAAAUAUUUAGUUAGGUCGACGGAAAAAACAAAAUUGCUAUGUUACUCAUCUUUUGAUUUAAAUGUGCAGUUUUUUCGUCGUUGUCAGGGUCUAGUGUUCGACGAGCUCUGCCCCUGCGUUCGUGGGUGAGCACAAGUGACAUCUCCUCCUCCCCCCUUCAUUUGCUCUGUUCCGGUCUUCAUGCCGAUGAAACUUGCUAGCGAUAGGUGUCUUCAAUCAUCAGUAUGCAUGACCACUAUGUGUCUCCCAUCCGAAAGGGUUACAUCUAUAAAUAUGCAUGAAUUUGCAUAUUUAUAACCGUGAUUCUUUCGAAUUGUCCAACGUUAUCCAUGGACAGCCUGAGUAUGUGUAGAUUGGGUUUGUUUUCCCAUAUGCUCUGCUCCGGAUCCAAUGCAGAAUUUCGUCAGUGCCUCCCUGUUGUUCUCCGGGUACACAUCCUCUCUGCUUAUUGCCGAGACGUGUAUCAGGAGAACAGCGGGGAGGUGUUGCAGAAAUUUUGCGUCAGAUCCAGAGAAAAGUAUGGGAAAACGAACCCAAUAUACACAUACUUGGGUGGGAUUAUGACCUAUCUUUACAUAUUAGCGUCUAGGUUGCAUGGACGUAAUAAAAGUGACAAACUCCAUUAACUGAUGAAUAUAUACAUGCUGAUAUAUAUAUAUAUAUAUUUUCUUAUGUGUCCAGUAGCUAGGCAAGAUGACUGAUCGUGCGUGGAUGUACACCGGUCACACUAGUCAGGAAGACAUGACCAUUGAAUGGUUAACAAAAACCAAGGGGUUUCUGAGAGCCGCAUUUGCAAAUGGCCAGAGGACAUCGUGGUGCCCCUGUGCCAGGUGCAACAAUUGGCACAAGAGGACAGAGGAUGAAAUGGGCGAACACCUGCAGAAGAGGGGUUUUACGCCAGAUUAUACGGUGUGGACAUUUCAUGGCGAGUCUGCCCAACGUGCCAGAGCUGAGGUGCUUCAUCGUCGCAUUGACGAGCAUGGUACCGGAUGCAAGACAUGGUGCAAGACUUUGAUGAUGCUCGGGACUCAGACGAUGAGAUGGAGGAAUCUGCAAAGGCCUUCAAUGAAAUGUUGGAGUCUUCAAAAUGUCCUCUCCACGAGCACACUGAGCUUUAUCAGCUGGAUGCCAUCUCACAAAUAAUGGCUCUGAAGGCUCAAUUCAACUUGGGCGGAGAAUGCUACGAUGCAAUGAUGAUAGUUUUUGGACGUUUUCUACCCAAAGGCCACGUACUACGUGCAAACCUGUACCAGUCAGACAAAAUCCUCCGUGCUCCUAAGAGCCCUAUGAGAAGAUACAUGCCUGUGAGAAAGGAUGUGCCUUUUUUAGGCUUCAGUAUGCGGACUUGAACUAUUGUCCCAUUUGCAAGUCAUCCAGGUAUGUUGUGGUAGACAACGGUAUGGGUGAGAAGACGCAGACCAAAAUUCCCGUUAAUGUGCUUUGGUAUAUGCCAAUCGUACCAAGACUUUAACGUCUUUUCAUGGUCGAAGAGACGGCCAGACAGAUGACAUGGCACAAAAUGGGCAAAAGAACCCAACUAGAUGCAGAUGGGAAGCUGAUGAUGGUGCACACAUCGGACGGUGAAGCAUGGAAGAUCUUCGAUGCAUUACAUGAUGACAAAGCGGCAGAUCCGAGGCAUCCUCGAGUUGGCAUCAGCACAGAUGGGUUCAGUGUGUUUGGUCUGACAGUAGCCCAAUACAGUUGUUGGCCCGUAUUUGUCUUUCCACUCAAUCUCCCCCCGGAUAGAUUAUGCAAAAAAAGAACAUUUUCCUGACGUUGGUAAUUCCAGGGCCCAACUAUCUGGGGAAGAAUAUGAAUGUGUACAUGCAGCCGCUGAAGGACGAAUUGCAAGAAGCCCGGGAUAAUGGGUUCAAGACAUACGACGCCUUUAGCAAAUGAAACUUCAUAAUGCGUGUCUGGUACAUGUACUCGACGCAUGACUUGCCGGCGUAUGCGCUAUUCAUUGGCUGGUGUGUGCAUGGAAGGUUCCCGUGCCCCACAUGCAAGGGAGCUCUUGAGUUUCGUUGGCUUCAGGCCGGUCGCAAGUUUUCUUUCUUCGACAUGCAUAGACAGUUCCUGGAUCCUCGCGAUAAGUUUAGGAAAGACAAGAAGAACUUCAUCAGAGGCAGAGUUGUCAAAAACUCUGCACCACCUGCGUUCACAGGCCAAGAGACCCCGGAUCAGUUAAACGCUCUCGAGCUAGAUCCAGAGUGUCCAAGGUAUUUCAAGGGGUAUAAUUCGAAACACGCCUGGACUCACAAGACAUGCUUGUGGGAUCUGCCUUACUUCAAAGACCUCCUUUGCCCACACAACAUCGACGUGAUGCACACUGAGAAGAAUAUUGCCGAGGCACUUUUUUCGUACAUUGUUCGAAAUAGAUGGGAAGUCAAAGGAUAAUACUAAGGCUAGAGUUGAUCUGGAGGCGCUAUGUGAUAGGCCGUUACAAAACAUGAAAGAAACAAAAGGAAAGCAGAACUGGACGAAGCCAAAGGCAUGGUUUAAUCUUUGAAGGCCAACUAUGAGGGAAAUUAUCUUGUGGGUGCAACAACAGUUGAUCUUCCCUGUUGGGUAUGCAGCGAAUCUAAAGAGGGGAGCGAGUCUUGAUAAACUGAAGAUAUUUGAUCUCAAGAGUCAUGAUUGGCACAUAUGGAUUGAGCGGGUAAUGCCGGUGAUGUUGCGUGGCUUCAUCCCUGAGGAUGAAUGGCUAGUACUGGCAGAGCUGAGCUAUUUCUUCCGUGUUCUUUGUGCAAAAGAACUAUUGCCUGGCCUGCUAGAAGAAAUGGAAGAGUUGGCGCCGGAGUUGAUCUGCAAGUUAGAGAAGAUCUUUCUGCCGUGCUUCUUUAAUCCAAUACAGCACUUGAUUUUGCAUCUCCCAACUGGGGCAAGAUUGGGGGGGCUAGUGCAAAAUCGUUGGUGCUACACCACUGAGAGGAUGCAGAAGAUGCUAUGAGCAAAAUGUAAAAAUAAACGUAGAAUUGAAGCAUCGAUGGCUGAGGCAUUCAUUACUAAGGAGGCGACAAACUUCGUGACAGCACACUACGAAGCCAAAAAUCGUCAUUUGCAUAAUCCGAAGCCUCAGUGCAAUGCUGACGAACCUAAAAAGGGUGGAUCCAACCUCAGCCUAUUCAAAGGGGAUCUCGCACCAGCCGGUGCUUCUAAUUCCCUAAUGUUGGAUUUCGAAGAAUGGUAGAUCAUUUCGUUGUAUAUCUUCACCAACCUAAUAGAAGUGCGGCCGUACAUCGAGUAAGUUCUCGGUACAUUGUUUCACAACUUCUAAUUCCUUUGAAUUGCUCUUAUUCCCGGAUAAAUUUGAUAGAAUCGAUACGUCGCCAAAUUCUUGUAUGGAGCGGUGAUCCAAAAGGAUUCCGUCGAAGAGUAUGAGCUUCUGGCAAAGCAUGGAGGCGGCUAUCCCGGUUUCAUCUCUUGGUUCAAACAAACGGUAAUUUCCAUUUGACCAUUUCAUUUCUUCGUCUAAUUUGUGGCUAAUGCAACAAUCCCUUUCGUAUUAAACUUGUAGGCUAACUCAGAGUUAAUGGACGCCGAAUUGAGACAAGUUGCUAAUGGUUUUGACUUUAAGGUCCGUUUAUCUGACAAAUACGACAUCAACGGGUAUCGGUUUCGUACCUAUGGCAAAGAGCUAUCUAUGGCCGACCGGAAGUCUAAAAAUUGUUGUGUCUCUGCCAUCGGCGAAGGAGAUACCGAGUAUUACGGAAGAGUUGAAGCAAUUUAUGAACUUCAAUUCUAUGGUGCAAACCCACCAAACGUCGUAGUCUUCAAAUGUUAUUGGUUCCAGCCGAAGGAGACUAGAAGGACUCAUGAACACUUAGGGCUAGUGGAAAUCAAACAAAGCACCCAUUUGGAUGUUCCUGAUGUCUAUAUUAUGGCUCAACAGGCAACCCGAGUUUUCUAUCUACCAUGGGCCUGUCAAAGUGAUCCAAAUCUCAAUGGUUGGGAUGUCAUUUAUGAAGUGCCGCCAUGUGUUAGACCACCUCCCCCCCAAUGAAGAGGAUUAUGAACCUCACACUAACCCAGACACAUAUGAAGGAGAAUUCUUCCAAGAAACACGUCUUUCCAAAAAACGUUUCAAGAACCGCUCUACUUCACCCCAGAACAUUGAAGUAGACAGCGACAGUGAACCCGACUUCACCCCUGAGCCGGAACAACAAGAGCCUGAACUAGAAGUGGUUACUGCUGCGGAUGACCUGUCAAUGCUUGAUCGAUUACUUAAAGGUGGCCUUCCACAUGAUGAUGCAUUUAUUAAUGAUGAUGAUGAUGAGCAUGUCAUUACCGAUAGUGAUGAUGAUGAUGCAUUUAUUGAUCGCGGAACAUUUAUUGAAGCCGACGAUCCAUAUUAUUAUUAGGUAUUCAAUUUUUAUGUUGUACUUGAUUUAUAUAGUUACUUGUAUGAUUGUAUGAUUUAUAUAGUUACUUGUAUGAUUGUAUGAUUUAUAUAGUUACCUAUAUAAUUUUCUUACUUUGUAUGUUUGUUUCUUAUACAUAGUGUCAUGGUCUUGAUGUCCGUCCCUGUCGGCCCUCGCCUGCUUUAUGAUCCAAAUGUGGUAAAUUCUCUUUCGUAACUAUUUGUUGCAUUUUGCAUUGAUGACAAUUAUGGCCAUCAAGUUGACAUAGAGAUAUUUCAAUCUAGGAGUUAUGUGAACCGGAAUUUGAAAUCGACCCUCUUGUCGAGAAGUUAAAUUUAGUUGAAAAAGAAAAUGAGUAUUUGAAAUAAAAAAUUAAAAGAAAUGAAGAAGAGAAGAUGACAUUGGAGUUGUAUGUUGCCGAUGUCAUCGAUGAUCACAAGAUGAAGAUGAAUGCAAUGCGCUUGAAGAUGGAUGCAAUGCGCCUGAAGCUUAAGAAGAUUAGAAAAUAUGCCAUUGAUAAUGAGGCUUGGUAUCAUUAUGCUGUUGGAUUAAUUGUUACCUUAGUUGCGAUCUUCAUCACAUUUGUUGUGAUGAGGGUAAGUUUUCUCUAGUGUUUUGCUUUACAAAUGGAUACUUAGCUCAUUUUCCUCCUAAAUGGCAUAAUUACCUAAGUUAGAUAAAAAAUGAGCUAUACUUAGCUUCUUCAUCUCAUUUAUGACAUACUUAGCAUACUUAGGUAAAAAAUGGCAUGAUAAUCUUUGUUACCUCCAAAAUGAUAUAGUCUUAGCUUAUUUUCCUCGAAAAUGACAUAAUAACCUUACUAAGCUCCAAAAUGACCUAUUUACCUAGCUUAGCUCUAAAAUAACCUACACUUAGCAUUUUUACCUAGCUUAGCAAUAAAAUGGCAUUUUUACCUACCUUAGUUAGAAGAAGAAGAUAAAGAAGAGGAGAGGAGAAAAAGAAAGAGAAGAAAAAAAUGACAUAAUAAUAAUCUUCUUCUUCUUCUUCUUCUUCUUCUUCUUCUUCUUCUUCUUCUUCUUCUUCUUCUUCUUCUUCUUCUUCUUCUUCUUCUUCUUCUUCUUCUUCUUCUUCUUCUUCUUCUUCUUCUUCUUCUUCUUCUUCUUCUUCUUCUUCUUCUUCUUCUUCUUCUUCUUCUUCUUCUUCUUCUUCUUCUUCUUCUUCGUCUUCUUCGUCUUCUUCGUCUUCUUCUUCUUCUUCUUCUUCUUCUUCUUCUUCUUCUUCUUCUUCUUCUUCUUCUUCUUCUUCUUCUUCUUCUUCUUCUUCUUCUUCUUCUUCUUCUUCUUCUUCUUCUUCUUCUUCUUCUUCUUCUUCUUCUUCNNNNNNNNNNNNNNNNNNNNNNNNNNNNNNNNNNNNNNNNNNNNNNNNNNNNNNNNNNNNNNNNNNNNNNNNNNNNNNNNNNNNNNNNNNNNNNNNNNNNNNNNNNNNNNNNNNNNNNNNNNNNNNNNNNNNNNNNNNNNNNNNNNNNNNNNNNNNNNNNNNNNNNNNNNNNNNNNNNNNNNNNNNNNNNNNNNNNNNNNNNNNCUUCUUCUUAUUCUUAUUCUUCUUCUUCUUCUUCUUCUUCUUCUUCUUCUUCUUCUUCUUCUUCUUCUAACUUUCUUCUUUCCCAAUUUGCAGAUUUUCUUAAGAUGAGGAAGCUUGCAUUGAUGGAGUAUACUCUUCUCUUUAUGCUUCCUUCUUGUUUUGAUUUUGUAGGAUGAACAAUGUGAAACUUUCUACCUAGAUAUGUAUGUAUGGAUGAAACCAUUGUAUGCUUGUUGUUGGAUAUGUUGGCUAGCUAUAUACGUUGCAUAUGGACUUUUGAUUUGCUAUGUAUAGGUGUUGGAUGAUCAUAUCCAUAUGGCAGGGAUAUGAUUUGGUAUGUAUAUGUGUUGGUAUGCUUGUCGAAAGUAUUUUCAUAUGUAUAUGUAUAUAUCUGUGAAAUUGAAUGAAUUUAAGAAAAAUCAGGGAAAACAGGGGCUAUACAGGCUUUUUGCCGUCAGCUGGCGGACGGCAAAGAGCUUUGCCAUCAGCCAGCCGACGGCAAAUAUGCCACGUGUUAGCUACCUGUGCAACCUGGGGCAAUAGGCUGGCUAUUUGGAUGCUUUGCCGUCUGCUGGCAGACGACAAAGACUAGUGCAUCUUUGCCGCCAGCCAGCAGACGACAAAGAAAUCAAAUAGGCCAGCCCCCCAGGUGCUGCCACAUGGACAACUAUGCCGCCUGCUGGCGGACGGCAACUAUGCAAAGGUCUUUGCCUUCUGCCAGUGGACGGCAAAUAUGCAAAGGUCUUUGCCGUCUGCCAGCAGAUGACAAAGCACGCUGUUAACCCACUAACAGCCUGUAGCUGACACGUCUGCCGUCCAGCUCCUUUGCCGUCUGCUGGAGGACAACAAAGACCAUUUCAUCUUUGCCGUCCGCUAGCUGACGACAAAGAUGCCUUUGUUGUAGCUUGUUCAGCCGGACCUGUUGCCGUUUGCUGGCGGACGGCCUUUGACGUCCGCCGGGCAUGCCUUUGCCGUCCGCCAUGGAAAACGGCAAAGUUCCUGAUUCCUGUAGUGUUACCUGCUUCCAGAAGUUUUAAUAUUUCCGUUCUUACCAGUUCUUUCAUCUUUGGAUUUAACCGAAGUUUGUGAUCAACAACGGCUUUAGCAUCAGGUUCCAUAUUAAUUUUGUGCUGACAUAGAGUGGGACUAAUGCCCUUUAAAUCACCAAGAGUAUAUCCAAUAGCAGCUCGGUGCUUCCUUAGAACUUUCAAUAAUCUUUCUUCCUCAUGUUCUGAAAGGUUAGCACUAAUAAUAACAUGAUAUAUCUUCUUUUCAUCAAGAUAAGCAUAUUUCAAAGUGUCUAGCAAUUGUUUUACUUCAAACACCGGAUCACCUUUAGGUGGAGGAGGACCUCCUAGAGUUUCAAUAGGCAAAUUGUGUUUAAGCAGAGGACGUUGUUCAAAGAAAAUCUUAUCUAUUUCAUUUCUUUCAUGCAUAUGUAAAUCAUUUUCAUGAUCUAGCAAAUAUUGGUCUAAAGGAUCGGUAGGUGGCACAGCAAUGGAAGCAAUACCAAUUAUUUCAUCCUUACUAGGCAAUUCUUUUUCAUGAAGCUUUCUACUAAACUUGGAGAAAUUAAACUCAUGAGACUCAUCACCAAAACUAACACCGAUAGUUUGUUUCUCACAAUCUAUCUUAGCAAUAACGGUGUUCAGGAAAGGUCUACCAAAGGUAAUGGGACAGAAGUCGUCUUGUGGGGAACAAAGAAUAAGUAAAUCAGUAGGGUAUUUUAUUUUCCCACACUAGACUUCAACAUCUCUAACAAUCCCAAUUGGUGAUAUAGUGUCUUUAUUAGCAAGUUUAAUAGUAACAUCUAUGUCUUCUAUCUCUGCGGGUGCUAUGUCAUUUCUUAAUUUCUUGAUAUAAGGUGUAAGGAAUAGCACUCACACUAGCACCUAUGUCACAUAAACCAUGAUAACAGUGAUCUCCUAUUUUAACUGAGACAACGGGCAUGCCAACAACAGGUCUAUGUUUAUCCUUUUUACCAGGUUUGGCAAUUCUAGCAGCUUCUUCGCAGAAGUAAAUAACAUGCCCAUCCAUAUAUUCUUCCAAGAGAUCUUUAACCAUAGAAAUACUAGGUUCUACUUUGAUUUGUUCAUCAGGUCUAGGUGUUCUAUAUAGCUUUUGUUAACCACAACAGGGAAAGGUCAUUUCUCAAUAUAAGCAGAAGGAACAACUCGAUCAACAUUGUAAAUUAUGGUUUCUUAUUUAAUUGGUAGCGGUUCUUUAAUUUCUUCUUUAAUAGGUGGGUGAUAUUUAAACCAGUUCUCUUUAGGGAGAUCAACAUGAGUAGCAAAUGAUUCACAAAAGGAGGCUACUAUCUCAGAGUCAAGUCCAUAUUUAGUGCUAAACUUUUGAAAAGCAGCGGUAUUCAUAAAAGAUUUAACACAAUCAUACUUAAGUUAAUACCUGACUCUUUACCCUCUCGAGUUCCCUAUCUUCAGAGUUGCGUUUAAUUCUUUCCAAAAGAUCCCACUGGAAUUCAAUAGUCUUCUUCAUGAAGGAACCAUCAUAAGAAGUAUCAAGCAUAGUUUGACCAUUACGAGAAAGCCGAGCAAAAAAAUUCUGGAUAUUAAUUUCUCUUGAGAGCUCAUGAUUGGGGCAUGAAUAUAACAUUGACUUAAGCCUCCCCAAGCUAGAGCGAUACUUUCUCCUUCAUGAGGCCAAAAAUUAUAUAUAAUUCCGAUCACGAUGAACUAGAUGCAUAGGAUAAUUUUUUGGUGAAACUCCAAUUUCAAUCGAUUCCAAUUCCAAGAUCCAAUAUCAUCGCAUAACCUAUACCAUGCCAAUGGUUUUCCCUUCAAAUAUAAAUGGAAAACCUUUUUCAUAACUUCAUCUCCGGGUAAACCUGCAAGCUUAAACAAUCCACAAAUUUGUUCCACAUAUAUCAAGUGCAUAUCAGGAUGUUCGGUUCCAUCUCCUGCAUAAGGAUUAGCAAGCAGUUGUUCUAUCAUACCCAAAGGAAUUUCAUAUUCAAUAUUUUCAGUAGGUGCAGUAGGUUGAGGGGUAGCUAAUUGUGGUUCCGGUCGGGGUGAAGAUACCCCGAACAAACCCCUCAAAGGAUUGUUCUCCAUAGUAACAAGUGACAAUAAAUUUCAGCACACUAUAUAAUUGUUUCCUUACCAAAUUCCACUUACCAAAGGCGCUUCACUCCCCGGCAACGGCGCCAGAAAAUAGACUUGAUGACCCACAAGUAUAGGGGAUCAAUUGUAGCUCUUUUCUAUAAGUAAGAGUGUCGAACCCAACGAGGAGCAGAAGGAAAUGACAAGUGAUUUUCAGUAAGGUAAUGUCUGCAAGUGCUGAAAUUGUAAGUAGCAGAGUAGGUUUGGUAGCAAGAUAAUUUGUAACAAGCAAGUAAUGAUAGUAUUAACAGAAGUGCAGCAAGUUAGCCCCAUCCUUUUUAGGCAAAGGACAGGCCAAAACGGUCUCUUAUGAUAAGCAAAGCGUUCUUUUGGGUACACGGGAAUUUCAUCUAGUCACUUUCACCAUGUUGGUUCGAUUUGUGUUCGCUACUUUGAUAAUUUGAUAUGUGGGUGGACUAGUGCUUAGGUGUUGUUCUUACUUUAACAAACCUCCUACUUAUGAUUAACCCUCCGGCAAGCAUCCACAACUACGAGAAAAGUAUUAGGAAUAAAUUCUAACCAUAGCAUGAAACUUUUGGAUCCAAUCGGUCCCUUACGGAAUAGCGCAUAAACUGGGGUUUAAGCUUCUGUCACUCUCGCAACCCAUCAUCUAAUUGCUACUCCACAAUGCAUUCCCUUAGGACCAAAUAUUGUGAAGUGUCAUGUAGUCGACUUCACAUGACACCACUAAGGGAAUCACAACAUACAUACUAUCAAAAUAUCGAACAUAUAUCAAGUUCACAUGAUUACUUGCAACAUGAUUUCUCCCGUGACCUAAAAAACAAAAGUAACUACUCACAAAUGAUAACCAUGAUCAAGAUCAUAGGGGUAUUAAAUAGCAUAUUGUAUCUGAACAUAUAAUCUUCCACCAAAUAAACCAUAUAGUAAUCAACUACAAGAUGUAAUCAACACUACUAGUCACCCACAAGCACCAAUCUAUAGUUCUGGUAACAAGAUUGAACACAAGAGAUGAACUAGGGUUUGAGAUGAGAUGGUGAUGUUGAAGAUGUUGAUGGAGAUUGCCCUCCCCAAGAUGGGAGAGUUGUUGGUGAUGAUGAUGACGAUGAUUUCCCCCUCUGGGAGGGAAGUUCCCCCGGCGGAAUCGCUCCGCCUGAGGGCAAAAGUGCUCCUGCCCAAGUUCUGCCUCGAGACGGCGGCGCUCCAUCCGAAAAGUCCUCUCCUUAUUUUUUCUAGGUCAAAAUGACCUAUAUACUAGAAGAUGGGCACCGGAGGUGGGCCUCGGUGAGCACAACCCACCAGGGCGCGCCUGUGCUCCCUGGCGCACCCAGGUGGGUUGUGCCUACCUGGUGGGCCCCCUCUGGUAGUUAUUUGCUCCAAUAUUCUUCAUAUAUUCCAUAAAAAUUCUUCAUGAAGUUUCAGCUUGUUUGGGGCUGUGCAGAAUAGGUAGCCUGACGUAGCUUUUUCAGGUCCAGAUUUCCAGCUGCCGGAAUUCUCCCUCCUUGUGUAUACCUUGCAUAUUAUGAGAGAAAAGGCAUUAUAAUUACUCCAAAAAGCAUUAUUAUGGAUAAAAACAUCUUAAAUAACAAUAGGAAAACAUGAUGCAAAAUGGACAUAUCAGUGUGAACUGCGCAGUUCAAUUUCAUUAAGACCAGUUUCAACAAUACCACUAUGAAUGAGUACAUUGGGUUGCAACAUCUUGUAGUUAACACACCUUUCCAUUUUUAUUUAACAAUAAACAGUGUACUUAGACCGGCACAAUACCAGUUUGAAUGACUAUGUUUGCUUGUUGUUAAAUGUUAGGCCUGUUGCAGUUAACACACCUUUCCACUUGUUUUGCUUUACUAGCGUGCUUAAACCUGCACACUGAAGCUAUCUUUUGGAGAUUAUUUUGUGUGCCAUGGAUACAUUUGGCAGAUGUUUAGCCUGUUGUGCUUAACGUGCCUCUCGAUGUACCUACACAUGACAAUUUUGGGAACGACUGCUAUUUUCCAUCGAGGUUAGUUUCAUCCCAUGGCUUAUAUAUACUCAUUGUUCAGGAUAUCGGUAGCUGGUACCAUAUAGGACGGGGGCUGAUAAGGGCUUUAUCGGUGAAUCAGACUUUUAACUGAAUAUAUCUGUAACCCAUUUAUCGUUAGGUUCACUAGGGCCAUAUGUAAUAUAUCUGAGGCUACAUAGCAACAUGCACUAUACUUAAUGUCUAAAUAUGCAAUCCUAGGCUACAUAGCAACAAGGAAGAGUGUUACCUUAAUGUUCUGAUAAUGUCUAGAUAUACGUAGAAGAGCAGCAGCAACAACAACACCAACACAACCCUGUUUGGAUACUCAACUUAGCUAGAGGUUAGAGUUAGUUUCUAGCUCAUGCCUAACCCUGAACUAACUCCAUCCAAAGAGGUGUUUGGAUGACAGGGUUAGAUUGACAAUAAAUGCACUAGGAGAACUAGCUCCAAUUAGCAUCUCUUUGGUUGGAUAGUUUUUUGGGUGGGUUCGAUGCAACUAGCUCAAACUAGCCCUCAUGUUUGGAUAUACUUUAGAGCUAUUUGAGCCCGAACUAGCUCAAACUAACUCUAACCCAUGGAUACAUCAGCAGUUAAUCAGCCGGUAAUUUGUAAGAAUGCAAUGAACUCCUUCCGGCCCAUAAUAGAAGAUGUUAAUUCAUCUAAUAUGUGAGUGAUGACCAACAAGUAUAGGGGAUCUAUCAUAGUCCUUUCGAUAAGUAAGAGUGUCGAACCCAAUGAGGAGCAGAAGGAAAUGACAAGCAGUUUUCAGUAAGGUAUUCUCUGCAAGCACUGAAAUUAUCGGUAACAGAUAGUUUUGUGAUAAGGUAAUUUGUAAUGGGUAACAAGUAAUAAAGGUAAACAAGGUGCAGCAAGGUGGCACAAUCCUUUUUGUAGCAAAGGACAAGCCUGGACAAACUCUUAUAUAAAGGAAAGCGCUCCCGAGGACACAUGGGAGUUAUCGUCAAGCUAUUUUUCAUCAUGCUCAUAUGAUUCGCGUUCGUUACUUUGAUAAUUUGAUAUUUGGGUGGACCGGUGCUUGGGCACUGCCCUUCCUUGGAAAAGCAUCCCACUUAUGAUUAACCCCUCUUGCAAGCAUCCACAGCUACAAAAGAAGUAUUAAAGUAAACCUAACCAUAGCAUGAAACAUAUGGAUCCAAAUCAGCCCCUUACGAAGCAACACAUAAACUAGGGUUUAAGCUUCUGUCACUCUAGCAACCCAUCAUCUACUUAUUACUUCCCAAUGCCUUCCCCUAGGCCCAAACAAUGGUGAAGUGUCAUGUAGUCGACGUUCACAUAACACCACUAGAGGAGAGACAACAUACAUCUCAUCAAAAUAUCGAACGAAUACCAAAUUCAUAUGACUACUAAUAGCAAGACUUCUCCCAUGCCCUCAGGAACAAACAUAACUACUCACAAAGCAUAUUCAUGUUCAUAAUCAGAGGAGUAUUAAUAUGCAUAUAGGAUCUGAACAUAUGAUCUUCCACCAAAUAAACCAACUAGCAUCAACUACAAGGAGUAAUCAACACUAUUAGCAACCUACAGGUAGCAAUCCCAGGCUUAGAGACAAGAAUUGGAUACAAGAGAUGAACUAGGGUUUGAGAGGAGAUGGUGCUGGUGAAGAUGUUGAUGGAGAUUGUCCCCCUCCCGAUGAGAGGAGCGUUGGUGAUGACGAUGGCGAUGAUUUCCCCCUCCCGGAGGGAAGUGUCCCCGGCAGAACAGCUCCGCCAGAGCCCUAGAUUGGUUCCUCCAGGGUUCCGCCUCGUGGCGGCGGAGUAUCGUCCCGAAAGAUUACUUAUGAUUUUUCUUCGGACGAAAGACUUCAUAUAGCAGAAGAUGGGCACCGGAGGGCCAACAGGGGGCCCACGAGGCAGGGGGCGCGCCCAGAGGGUAGGGCGCGCCCCCACCCUCGUGGACAGGGUGUGGCCCCCCUCUGGUGCUUUCUUCGCCCAAUAUUUUUAAUAUAUUCCAAAACUGACUUUCGUGGAGUUUCAGGACUUUCGGAGUUGUGCAUAAUAGGUCUCUAAUAUUUGCUCCUUUUCCAGCCCAGAAUUUCAGCUACCGGCAUUCUCCCUCUUCAUGUAAACCUUGUAAAAUAAGAGAGAAUAGGCAUAAGUAUUGUGACAUAAUGUGUAAUAACAACCCAUAAUGUAAUAAAUAUCUAUAUAAAAGCAUGAUGCAAAAUGGACGUAUCAACUCGCCCAAGCUUAGACCUCGCUUGUCCUUAAGCAAAAGCCGAUAUCAAAAAAUAUGUCCACAUGUUUAGAGAUAGAGGUGUCGAUAAAAUAAAAUACGGACAUGAGGGCAUCAUGAUCAUUCUUAUAACACCAAUAUAUAUAUAUAUAUAUAUAUAUAUAUAUAUAUUGUCAUAUGAUUUCUUAUGCUAAAGUAACAAUUUAUUCACAAUGUAAAUUGUGAAUCAGAAACUUCAUUGAAAACUAACAAACUAUGAUCUCGGUCAUUGAAGCAAUUGCAAUUUAUCAUAACAUCAGAAAGAGUCAAUAUAAGAGCCUUUCAGCAAGUCCACAUACUCAACUAUCAUUUAGUCUUUCACGAUUGCUAACACUCAUGCAGUACAUAUGGGUAUGAAGUUUUAAUCGGACACAGAGAAAGAUAGGGGCUUUAGUGUUGCCUCCCAACCUUUUACCUUUAGGGCAAUGUCAACAAUAAUAGUUUAUGAUAACUUACAUCCAAUUGGAUAUACAUAUCAUGAUCUUCCCAACACAAUGUGCUUGCCAAAGGAUAAAGUGUAAAAAAGGAAAGGUGAAGAUCACCAUGACUCUUGCAUAAGACAUAAAGCAAAAAUAAAAGAUAGGCCCUUCGCAGAGGGAAGCAGAGGUUGUCAUGUGCUUUUAUGGUUGGAUGCACGAAAUCUUAAUGCAAAAGAACGUCACUUUAUAUUGCCACUUGUGAUAGGGACCUUUAUUAUGCAGUCUGUCGCUUUUAUUUCUUCCAUAUCACAAGAUCGUAUAAAGCUUAUUUUCUCCACGCUAAUAGAUCAUACAUAUUUAGAAAGCAAUUUUUAUUGCAUGCAACAAUGACAACUUACUUGAAGGAUCUUACUCAAUCCAUAGGUAGGUAUGGUGGACACUCAUGGCAAAACUGGGUUUAAGGAUAUUCGGAAGCAGAAGUAGUAUCUCUACUUGGUGCAGAGAAUUUGGCUAGCAUGAGGGGGAAAGGCAAGCUCAACAUGUUGGAUGAUCCAUGACAAUAUACUUUAUUUCAGAUAUAAGAAAACAUAACCCAUUACGUUGUCUUCCUUGUCCAACAUCAAAUUUUUAGCAUGUCAUAUUUUAAUGAGUGCUCAUAAUCAUAAAAGAUGUCCAAGAUAGUAUAUUUAUAUGUGAAAACUUCUCUUUCUUUAUUACUUCCUAUUAAUUGCAACGAUGACCAAAAAUAUGUUUGUCAACUCUCAACAACUUUUAUUCAUCAUACUCUUUAUAUGUGAAGUCAUUACUCUCCAUAAGAUCAAUAUGAUCUCUUUAAUUCUUUUUAUUCUUUCUUUUAUUCCCUCAAGUUCAUAGCAAGAUAGCAAAGCCCUUAACUCAAAACUAAUCUUUAUUAUAUAUAUAGCUCACGGACUUGAUUACAUAGAAGAACCAUAAAGAAAAACUCAAAACUAGAUCAUACUAAAACUUUAUUCUACUAGAUCAAGAUAUUACCAAAAGGAUCGAACUAAGAAAAAGGUAAAGAUAGGAGCAUGAUGGUGAUACGAUACCGGGGCACCUCCCCCAAGCUUGGCAAUUGCCAAGGGGAGUGCCCAUACCCAAUACUCAGUUCUCCUUUGGUGGUGACGAAGAUGGUGGUGGUGAUGACAACUGUGCGUUCAGAUUUUUCAUAUUGUAGUUGAGGAGAGCAAUUUCCUCCUUUAAAUCAUCGACCUCCAACUCCAGCUUCAAGAUUUUGUCGCAUAAAUCUCCUUUGCUUUUUUGCCGAAAACGAGAAGGAAUAGAUCGGCUAUUAGACCGGUUAGCCAUCUUAGGGAGACUAGACUUCUUGAACUUCACGUGCAUAUCCCUAGGUUGAGGUAGAGAAACAUCCUCCUCCUUCGAAAUUGAAUCAUCGAUCCUCAUCAAAUGAGCAUCCUCCUCAUCAUCCGUAGUUCGACCAUAAGGAGAUAGGUCCCCAUAGGUCUUUGGGUCAGCAAUGAGAUGUGAGACAUAGCUCUCCCCGUCAGAGGCUUGAGAUGACAUCUUGCUCUAAAUCUGCUGCAGGAACAACUCAAAACAAAAACAAAUGAUCGUGUCAUGGUACGGUGGUCAAAACCUUCGGGAGAUUAUAUAAUGAUUUUUUACCAACCAAAAGAAGUAUUGUGCAAGAAAACAAAGUCCGGAGAGCACACGAGGUGCCCACGAGGCAGGGGGCGCGCCCAGGGGGGUAGGGUGCGCCCUCCACCCUCGUGGAUGUCUCAUGUCCUUUUCAGACUACUUCUUAUUUUCCUAUUUUCUUAAAUAUUCCAAAAUGGAGAAAAAUUGCUAUUAGAACUGUUUUGGAGUCGGUUUACUUACCGUACCACAUACCUAUUCCUUUUCGAAGUCUGAAACGUUCUGGAAAGUAUCCUUAUGUACUCCUCCAGGGUUACGGUAUCAAUAACAUUGGUUUCAACAUUUAUGGGAUUGCCUGAGACAUAAUGUUUGAUUCUUUGACCGUUCACCACCUUCAGAUUUGUGCCUUCGAAGUUGUUAAUUUUUAUGGCACCGAAACGAUAGACCUCCUCGAUAACGUAAGGACCUUCCCAUUUAGAGAGGAGUUUUCCUACAAAAAAUCCUAAACGAGAGUUGUAUAACAAGACAUAAUCACCUACAUUAAACUCACGCUUUUGUAUCCUUUUGUCAUGCCAUCUUUUAACCUUUUCUUUAAACAGUUUGGCAUUCUCAUAGGCCUGGGUUCUCCACUCAUCAAGUGAGCUAAUCUCAAAUAGUCUCUUCUCACCAGCAAGUUUGAAAUCAUAAUUGAUCUCUUUAAUGGCCCAAUAUUCCUUAUGUUCUAGUUCGAGAGGUAAAUGACAUGCUUUUCCAUAAACCAUUUUAUACGGAGACAUACCCAUAGGAGUUUUAUAUGCAGUUCUAUAGGCCCAUAAUGCAUCAUCAAGUUUCUUGGACCAAUUCUUUCUAGAUCUAUUAACAAUCUUUUGCAAAAUUAAUUUGAUCUCUCUAUUACUCAGUUCUACUUGACCACUAGACCGUGGGUGGUAUGGAGAUGCAAUUCUAUGAUUAACAUCAUACUUAGCAAGCCUUUUACGAAAAGCACCAUGAAUAAAAUGCGAACUACCAUCAGUAAUUAAGUAUCUAGGGACUCCAAACCUCGGAAAAAUAACUUCUUUAAGCAUCUUAAUAGAGGUGUUAUGAUCAGCACUACUAGUUGGAAUAGCUUCUACCCACUUAGUAACGUAAUCAACAGCAACCAAAAUAUGUGUAUACCCAUUAGAGAAAGGAAACGGUCCCAUAUAAUCAAAGCCCCAAACAUCAAAUGGUUCAAUAACAAGUGAAUAAUUCAUAGGCAUUUCUUGACGUCUACUAAUAUUACCAAUUCUUUGACAUUCAUCACAAGACGAGACAAACUUACGGGCGCCCUUGAAAAGAGCAGGCCAAUAAAAACCGGAUUGCAAUACCUUAUGUGCAGUUCUAUCUCCAGCGUGGUGUCCUCCAUAAGCCUCAAAGUGACACUUGCGUAGGAUCUGUUCCUGUUCAUGCUCAGGUAUACAACGUCUAAUGACACCAUCUACUCCUUCUUUAUAAAGGUGUGGGUCAUCCCAGAAGUAAUGUCUUAAAUCAUAGAAAAACUCUUUCUUUUGCUGGUAUGUGAACCUAGGUGGUAUAAAUUUAGCAACAAUGUAAUUAGCAUAAUUAGCAUACCAUGGAGCAGUACGAGAAGCAUUUAUGAGAGCUAAUUGUUCAUCAGGAAAGCUAUCAUCAAUAGGUAGUGGGUCAUCAAGGUCAUUCUCUAACCUAGAUAAGUUGUCUACAACGGGGUUCUUAGCUCCCUUUCUAUCAAUAAUAUGCAAAUCAAAUUCUUGUAGUAGGAGAACCCAUCUAAUAAGUCUAGGUUUAGCAUCUUUCUUUUCCAUAAGAUAUUUAAUAGCAGCAUGAUCGGUGUGAACAGUUACUUUAGAAUCAACAAUAUAAGGUCUGAACUUAUCACAAGCAAAUACAACUGCUAAAAAUUCUUUUUCAGUAGUAGCAUAAUUUCUCUGGGCACUGUCUAGAGUAUUACUAGCAUAUUGGAUAACAUUUAAUUUCUUAUCAACUCUUUGUCCUAGAACAACACCUAUAGCAUAAUCACUAGCAUCACACAUAAUUUCAAAGGGUAAAUUCCAAUUGGGUGGCUGAACAAUAGGUGCAGAAAUCAAAGCUUUCUUAAGUAUUUCAAAUGCUUCUACACAAUCAUCAUCAAAGACAAAAGGAACAUAUUUUUGUAAAAGAUUAGUCAGAGGCCUAGAAAUUUUCGAGAAGUGUUUAAUGAACCUCCUAUAAAAACCGGCAUGACCAAGGAAACUUCUUAUACCUUUAAUGUCCUUAGGACACGACAGCUUUUCAAUAGCAUCAACUUUAGCUUUAUCAACUUCAAUCCCUCUUUCAGAAAUUUUAUGCCCCAAGACAAUACCUUCAUUAACCAUAAAGUGGCACUUCUCCCAAUUCAAGACAAGAUUUGUUUCUUCACAUCUCUGCAAAAUUCUAUCAAGGUUGCUUAAGCAAUCAUCAAGAGAAGUUCCAUAUACGAAAAAAUCAUCCAUGAAAACCUCAACAAUCUUUUCACAAAAGUCGGAGAAUAUAGUAGUCAUACAUCUUUGAAAGGUAGCAGGAGCAUUGCAUAAACCAAAAGGCAUACGUAUAUAAGCAAAGUUACCGAAAGGGCAAGUAAAGGUGGUCUUUUCUUGAUCCUCUUUUGACACAGGUAUUUGAGAGAAACCAGAAUAACCGUCUAGAAAGCAAAAAUGUGUAUGUUUAGAUAAUCUUUCUAGCAUUUGAUCAGUAAAAGGUAAAGGGUAAUGAUCCUUUUUAGUAGCUUUAUUUAGUUUGCGAAAAUCAAUUACCAUUCUAUAACCUGCAACAAUUCUUUGUGGGAUCAAUUCAUCUUUAUCAUUAGGAACAACAGUAAAACCUCCCUUCUUAGGGACACAAUGGACAGGACUUACCCACUGACUAUUAGCGACAGGAUAAUUUAUACCUUCCUCCAGAAGCUUUAGUAUUUCUUUUCUUACCACUUCUUUCAUCUUAGGAUUUAACCGUCGUUGGUGAUCAACAACCGGUUUAGCGUCUUUCUCCAAUUUUAUUUUGUGCUGGCAUAGAGUGGGACUAAAGCCCUUAAGAUCAUCAAGAGUAUAUCCGAUAGCAGCACGGUGCUUCUUCAGAGUUUUCAAUAAUUUCUCUUCUUCCUGCUCUGAAAGGUUAGCACUAAUAAUAACAGGAUAUAUCUUCUUUUCAUCAAGAUAAUAAGCAUAUUUAAGAGUAUCAAGUAAUGGUUUAAGCUCAAACACGGGGUCACCCUUGGGUGGAGGAGGAUCCCCUUGAAUUUCAACAGGCAAAUUGUGUUUCAAAAUAGGUCCGUGUUUAAAGAAUACUUCAUCUCUUUCCCUUCUUUCAUUCAUAAACAUAUCAUUUUCAUGGUCUAGCCAAUAUUGUUCUAAAGGAUCAUUAGGAGGCACAGCAAUAGAAGCAAGACCAAUAAUUUCAUCUUUACUAGGCAAUUCUUUAUCAUGGGGUUGUCUAUGAAAUUUAGCAAAAUUAAAAUCAUGAGACAUAUCCCCUAAACCAAUAGUUACAACAUCCUUUUUGCAAUCUAUCUUAGCAUUAACAGUAUUCAAGAAGGGUCUGCCAAAUAUAAUGGGACAAAAGUCAUCUUGUGGGGAAGCAAGAACAAGAAAAUGAGUAGGAUAUUUAACUUUCCCACACAAGAGUUCCACAUCUCUAACAAUCCCAACUGGUGAAAUAGUAUCUCUAUUGGCAAGCUUAAUUGUAACAUCAAUACCUACUAAUUCAGCAGGUGCAAUAUCAUGCAUAAUUUCUUCGUAUAAAGAAUGAGGUAUUGCACUCGGACUAGCACCCAUAUCACAUAAGCCAUGAUAACAAUGAUCUCCUAUUUUAACAGAAAUAACAGGCAUGCCUACCACAAGUCUAUGUUUAUUUUUAGUAUUGGGUCUAGCAAUUCUAGCAGCUUCAUCACAGAAGUAAAUAACAUGCCCAUCAAUUCUAGCAGCUUCAUCUCAGGGGUUGUAGAUGUUCUAGUAUUACUCUUAUGAACCACAGUUGAAGCUUUAGCAUGAUCCUUUAUUCUAGCAGGGAAAGGUGGUUUCUCAAUAUAAGCGGUAGGAACAAUAGGAUCAACAUUAUAAGUGAUAGUCUUUUCUUCAACUUUAAUAGGUUCAACUACUUUUACUUCAAUGGGAGGAUGAUAUUUAAACCACUUCUCCUUAGGGAGAUCAACAUGAGUAGCAAAGGAUUCACAAAAAGAAGCUACUAUCUCAGAGUCAAGUUCAUAUUUAGUGCUAAAUUCACGAAAAGCAUCGGUAUCCAUAAACGAUUUAACACAAUCAAACUUAGGUGUUAUACCUGACUCCUUACCUUCGUCGAGUUCCCAAUCUUCAGAGUUGCGUUUAAUUCUUUGCAAUAAAUCCCAUCUGAAUUCAAUAGUCUUCAUCAUAAAGGAACCAGUACAAGAAGUAUCGAGCAUGUAGCGAUUAUUGAGAGAAAGCCGAGCAUAAAAAUUAUGAAUAAUAAUUUCUCUUUAGAGCUCAUGAUUGGGGCAUGAAUAUGACAUUGACUUAAGCCUCCCCCAAGCUUGAGAAAUACUUUCUCCUUCGCGGGCUAGAAAUUAUAUAUAUAAUUAUGAUCACGAUGGACCAGAUGCGUAGGAUAAAACUUCUGAUGGAAUUCCAAUUUCAAUCGGUUGUAGUGCCGUGAUCCAAUAUCAUCACAUAGCCUAAACCAUGUCAAUGCCUUUCCCUUCAAAGAUAAAGGGAAGACCUUCUUCUUGAUAACAUCCUCGGGCAUACCUGCAAGCUUAAAUAAUCCACAAACUUCAUCCACAUAGAUUAGGUGCAUAUCGGGAUGUAAUGUUCCAUCUCGUGUAAAAGGAUUAGCUAGCAGCUUCUCUAUCAUACCCGAAGGAAUUUCAAAGUAAACAUUUUCAGUAGGUUCAGUAGGUUAAGGAGCAACUCCUUGCUCUACUGGUCGGGGUGAAGAUACCCCGAGCAAGCCCCUCAAAGGAUUAUUUUCCAUAGUUACAAGUGACAGUAAAUUUCAGCACACUAUAUACAUUUUUCCUUACCAAAUUCCACUUACCAAAGGCGCUUCACUCCCCGGCAACGGCGCCAGAAAAGAGUCUUCAUGAACAUCAAGUAUAGGGUAUCUAUCGUAGUCCUUUCGAUAAGUAAGAGUGUCGAACCCAACGAGGAGCAGAAGGAAAUGACAAGCGGUUUUCAGUAAGGUAUUCUCUGCAAGCACUAAAAUUAUCGGUAACAGAUAGUUUUGUGAUAAGGUAAUUUGUAACGGGUAACAAGUAAUAAAGGUAAACAAGGUGCAGCAAGGUGGCCCAAUCCUUUCUGUAACAAAGGUAAGCCUGGACAAACUCUUAUAUAAAGGAAAGCGCUCCCGAGGACACAUGGGAAUUAUCGUCAAGCUAGUUUUCAUCAUGCUCAUAUGAUUCGCAUUCGUUACAUUGAUAAUUUGAUAUGUGGGUGGACCACUGCUUGGGUACUGCCCAUCCUUGGACAAGCAUCCCACUUAUGAUUAACCCCUCUUGCAAGCAUCCGCAACUACAAAAGAAGUAUUAAGGUAAACCUAACCAUAACAUGAAACAUAUGGAUCCAAAUCAGCCCCUUACAAAGCAACACAUAAACUAGGGUUUAAGCUUCUGUCACUCUAGCAACCCAUCAUCUACUUAUUACUUCCCAAUGCCUUCCCCUAGGCCCAAACAAUGGUGAAGUGUCAUGUAGUCGACGAUAACAUAACACCACUAGAGGAAAGACAACAUACAUCUCAUCAAAAUAUCGAACGAAUACCAAAUUCACACGACUACUUAUAGCAAGACUUCUCCCAUGUCCUCAGGAACAAAUGUAACUACUCACAAAUCAUAUUCAUGUUCAUAAUCAGAGGGAUAUUAAUAUGCAUAAAGGAUCUGAACAUAUGAUCUUCUACCAAAUAAACCAACUAGCAUCAACUACAAGGAGUAAUCAACAGUACUAGCAACCCACAUGUACCAAUCUGAGGUUUUGAGACAAAGAUUGGAUACAAGAGAUGAACUAGGGUUUGAGAUGAGAUGGUGCUGGUAAAGAUGUUGAUGGAGAUUGACCCCCUACCGAUGAGAGGAUCGAUGGUGAUGACGAUGGUGAUGAUUUCCCCCUCCCGGAGGGAUGUUUCCCCGGCAGACAGCUCCGCCGGAGCCCUAGAUUUGUUUCGCCAAGUUCCGCCUUGAGAUGGCGGCGCUUCAUCCCGAAAGCUUCUUCCUUCUUUUUUCCAGGGCAAAAAACUUCAUAUAGCAAAAGAUGGGCACCGGAGGGCUGCCAGGGGGCCCACGAGGCAGGGGGCGCGCCCAGGGGGUAGGGCGCGCCCCCACCCUCGUGGAUAGGGUGUGGCCCCCCUCUGGUGCUUUCUUCGCCCAAUAUUUUUAAUAUAUUCCAAAACUGACUUUCUUGGAGUUUCAGGACUUUUGGAGUCGUGCAGAAUAGGUCUCUAAUAUGUGCUCCUUUUCCAGCCCAGAAUUCCAGCUGCCGGCAUUCUCCCUCUUCGUGUAAACCUUGUAAAAUAAGAGAGAAUAGGCAUAAGUAUUGUGACAUAAUGUGUAAUAACAGCCCACAAUGUAAUAAAUAUCGAUAUAAAAGCAUGAUGCAAAAUGGACGUAUCAGUGAGUAUAUUGGAUGUUAUAAGAUAUUAUAAAAGAGUGUUGUACUACAUCAUUGUGCAAUUGUUGUUUAGCUUCUAAUAUUAACUUGGUGCUUUUAGGUACAAAUGUCAUUGGUAAAUAUCCGCGCUUCGACCCUUUCUACGCAUGGGGCAAUGAGAUAUCGAUGAACCAGCAUCAAGUGAGGAAGCUGAUAAAGAUUGUUAGUAAAAUGGGUCAAAAGAUGGCAAUUAAACUAUUUGUUUACACUUUAUCCAAGACAACAGCGAACUGCAGGAUGGUAAGUAAGAACUCCGCAACCUUCUUUUUACUGCCCAUAAUGAGUUGUGUUUGAUGACAAUGUCUGAAUCUUUUUCCUUUGUAGUGUUUCCCAAAGCAGUUUACUCAAGAUUACCUCUCAAACUACAUGAUUGGUGGGCAUGCAAAGGUUAAAGUAUUUCUACCAGAACACGAUGAUUAUCUAGAUGUUUUCAUGAAGACCGUGAAGGAUGGGCGGUCGGCCAUCACAAGAGGUUGGACUAGAGUCGUGCGUGCCUUCUGCAUGGAGGAGGGCCUAAUAUGGGCAUUCCGCUUCACCUUGUUCAGCAACCAAAAUGUAUUUCGCCUCUUUCUUUACCGUCUUUAAUAGUACAAGUAUACAACUAUGGUUCAUCAUUCUUUAUUUGGUUCUAAUGUAAUUCUUGAACAUAUGUACCUAUGAAUCGAAUAAUGCAUUGCAUGUUUGAACCUGCUGGAUAUGAAUAAAGCUAUAACAUACAUUCAAAUUCAAAUCCGGUACAAUUUGAAAUAGCAGCAAUUAAAUUAUGGUGAAAUUACGCACUCCAGGUCGUUACAGCACACACGGUUGGUAAAACACAAACGUUUGCGAUAUACACCAUAAUCCGACAUGGUUCACGGAGAGGAAACGUGUGCAAGCAUGCACACAGUCGCGUUUUGCAAAGCGUGUGCGAUGUCAGACAAUAUCACAAAUGGUGCGGGCAAACUAAACGUUUGCGAUAGGGUCCUUAUCAUAUACGAUUCACAACCAUGAACUAUUUCAGAUGUGGUAUGCAUCGUAAACGUUGCACCAUAGAAUAGCGUGUGCGAUAGUUGUCGUGUACGACGAUGUUACGACGGUCCAACGUUUCGUAAUCCUAUCCGACACUUGUACAACGAUUAGCUAAUCUUCUUAAUUAGUUAUCGCAUACGGUUUGGGAAAAGUGAAUGUGUGUGAUUGUCUGCUUAUCAUACGCGUUCUAUAAUAGUGAACUGUUUGUGAUGGGUCACGCAUCAUAGACGUAGCUCCAUACAAUACCGACCGCAAUGGCAGUGCAAGCACAAACGAGUAGCGAGUACUGUAUAUGCAUCAAGGCUCCCUAUCCCCGAUGAUUUCUGGGUCGUGUGGGAAGGACCUCCCUAUCGCAGUCACUCACUUGGCGAAGAUUCCAAAUGCCGUCGCGGAAAGGGGUUAAAAACCGUUUGUAUAGCACCUUGCUGUACCACUGCAUAGACCCUCAGAUUGGCAACAUAAUGGGAGAUAUAACUCUCUCCAUCCGAAUCUUGCAACGACAUGGUGUCAGAUCUGCAAGAAAAAUAGCCCGAAACAAGAAUAGAGGAGAAUCUUCCGAUAGAGAGGUCAAAGCAGUGAGAAGUAUAUAUAAUGAAUUUCCCCCUUGCAGGACAAGUCUUCGAGAUAUGAUACUAUUCCUUUUAAGGGAGGAUCUUGGUGCGCCUAGACCAGGGGUUGUGGGGACUUUCCGCACUACCCACGUUCAUGUGGGUCCCCCAUGCAGGUGGGCCCCACUCUGAUACCUUCUAGGACUUUCCCGGUACAAUACCAAAAAACCGGAACUUUUUUUGGAACCCCGAGAAUAACUUUCCAUAUAUGAAUAUUUACUUCCGGACCAUUCUAGAGCUUCUAGGACUUUCCACUAUUAAUAUCUCAACACUACCCUAGCGCUACCGAAUGGUAAGCGUGCGACCCUACGGGUUCGGGAACAUGUAGACAUGUUCGAGACUCCUCUCCGAUCAAUAAUCAAUAGCAGGACCUAGAUGCCCAUAUUGAUUCCUACAUAUUCAAUGAAGAUCUUUAUCGAUUGAACCACGAUGUCAAGGAUUCAGUCAAUCCCGUAUGCAAUUCCCUUUGUCCGGCGAUAUGUACUUGCCCGAGGUUCAGUCGUCGGUAUGUCCAUACCUAGUUCAAUCUAAUUAUCGGCAAGUCUCUUUACUCGUUCUGUAAUACAAGAUCCUGUGACUAAACUCAUUAGUCACAUGAAGCUUAUUUUGAUGUUGUACUACCGAGAGGGUCCAGAGAUAUCUGUCCAUCACACGGAGCGACAAAUCCCAGUGUCGAUCCAUGCAACCCAACAGACACCUUCGGAGCUACAUGUAGAGCACCUUUAUGAUCACCCAGUUACGAAGUGACACUUGAUAGCACACAAGGCAUUCCUCCGGUAUCCGGGAGUGGCAUGAUCUCAUGGUCAAAGGAACAAAUACUUGACAUGAAGAAAGCUAUAGCAAAUAACUAAAUGAUCUGAUGCUAAACUUACGGUUGGGUGUGUCCAUCACAUCAUUCUCCUAAUGAUGUGAUCCCGGUAUCAAAUGAUAACUCAUGUCCAUGGUUAGGAAACCAUAACAAUCUUCGAUCAACGAGCUAGUCUAGUAGAGGCUUACUAGGGACACGAUGUAGUUUAUGUAUUCACACAUGCAUUUAAGUUUCCGAUCAGUACAAUUCUAGCAUGAAUAAUAAACAUCGCUUGGAAUGUCAAUCAUGAAUAGGAAAUAUGAUAAUAACCAUUUUAUUAUUGCCUCUAGGGCAUAUUUCCAACAUCGCUUGGAAUCUCAAUCUUGUAGGCGUUAUUGUUGUAGCGUGCUAGCACCUUGAAGGGUCCGUCAACUCAAGGUAGUAGCUUGGAUUUGUGUUCUUAAGGAAGUGAUCCUUUAGAAGGUAUAACCACACAAGCUCUCCAAUGUUGAAUAUCAAGGGUUGCUUGUUGGUGUAAAUCUUGGUUGCGAGUCGUUGUACUUGGCGCUCAAUAGUGUGCCUUGUAUCUUCAUGCAUCUUCUUGAGAUAGCUCGCUCGAGCACCCGUGUCCAUGUUGAUGCGCUCUUGUAGAGGUAGCGGUAGAAUGUCUAAUGGGGAUAACAGGUUCAAACCGUAGAUGACCUGGAAGGAGGACUUGCUGGUAGUCGAAUGUCUUUCUCUAUUGUAGGCAUACUCGGUGAUGGGUAAGCAUUCCUCCCACUCCUUGAUGUUCUUCUUAAUCAACACGCGUAGGAGAGUAGAUAGUGUCCGGUUCGUGACAUCUGUUUGGCCGUCGGUUUGUGGAUGGUAUGUCGAAGAGAAUAAGAUCCUGAUUCCGAGCUUGGUGCAUAGCGUCUUCUAAAAGUAGCUAGGAACUUGACGUCGCGGUCCGACAGAUAGUCUUGGCACUCCAUGUAGACGCAAUAUUUCCCUACAAAAGAGAUUCACAACAUGUGAAGCAUCGCCUAUCUUGUUGCAUGGAAUAAAAUGUGCCAUCUUGGAGAAAUGGUCCACAACAACAAAUGCAAAAUCUUUGCCAUUUUGUGUUCUUGGCAAACCAAGCACAAAUUCCAUACUAAUAUCGUCACAUGGGUGAUACGGAAUAGGAAGUGGCAUAUAGAGACCAUGUGAUUGAGUUUUAGACUUAGCUUUGCGACAUGUAGAGCAUCGGUUGGUGUAGCGGGAGAUGUCACAAAACAUCUUUGGCCAAAAGCAAAUGUUGGAGAGUGUGACAUACGUCUUGAUUUAGCCAAAAUGUCCCAUAAGUCCACCAUGUGCUUCCUGCAAAUGCAACAUACGAAGAGGUGACUCGUGUAUGCAAAGCUUGUCAGUCCGCAUUAAAUAGCCAUCUUUGCGAUAAUAUCGAUCCAAAAUGUUUUGCUUGGCACUUAGCAUAAGGUGUAGCAAAGGAGACAUCAUGCGCAUACAAGUCUUUUAUGUGCUCAAAUCCUAUGAAAUUGAAUUCAAGUUGAUUUACAAGCAUGCAUUUGCGGGAAAGAGCGCCCGCCACAACAUUUUCCUUACCCUUGAUAUACUUGAUAACAUAUGGAAAUGACUCAGUGAACUCACUCCAUUUGGCAUGUCACUUAUUCAAUUUGGUUUGACCUUUAAGGUGUUUAAGCGUCUCAUGAUCUGUAUGGAAGACAAAUUCAUGAGGGUGAAGAUAAUGUUCCCACACACGCAAUACUCGCACUAAAGAAUAGAGCUCCAUGUCAUAAAUGUGAUAAUUAAGUUGCACUUCGGAAAGUUUCUCACUAAAGUAAGCAAUUGGCCGCUUCUCUUGCAUUAACACACCUCCUAUGCCAUUACCACUAGCGUCGCAAUGUACUUCAAUUUUUUAUCAAAGUUGGGUAAUGCAAGUAAUGGAUCAUGUGUAAGCAGAUUCUUAUGCGCAUGAAAUGUGGGAUCUUGUGAUGGUCCCCAAACAAAUGGUGCAUUCUUCUUACUCAAGGCACGCAAUGGUGAUGCAAUAGUGCUAAAGUCCUUAACGAAACGACGACAGAAUCCGGCUAAGCCAAGGAAGCCACGCACUUGUUGCAAGUUGGUUGGUUGUGGCCAAGUUUUAGUAGCAUCAAUUUUAGCUUCAUCUACAUGAACACCCUUAGAUGACACAACAAAACCCAAGAAAAGAAGCUUGUCAACACCAAAUAUGCAUUUCCCCAUAUUAGCAUAAAGGCGCUCGUUUCUAGGAGUUUGCAAAACGGCUCUAACAUGGGUGACAUGAUCUUCUAGAGAUCCUCUAAACACCAGUAUAUCAUCAAAGUAUACCACAAAAAAAAUAUGCCAAUCUAUUUGCGAAAAACAUAAUGCAUCACACGCAUAAAAGUGUCGGGUGCUUCGGAUAAGCCCACAGGCAUGACCAACCACUCAUACAAGCCAAACUUGGUUUUAAAAGUGGUUUUCCAUUCAUCACCUUCUUGAAUGCGGAUUUGGUAAUAGCAACUUUUAAGAACAAUUUUUGAGAAAAUGGUGGCUCCGCUAAGCUCAUCUAGCAUAUAGUCAAGGCAUGGAAUGGCAUGCCUAUAGGGAACGGUGAUAGCUUUUAUUGGACGACAAUCGGAACACAUGCGAAAACUACCAUCCGUCUUAGGCACAAGAAUAACCGGAACGACACAAGAACUUAAGCUUUCACGUACAUGCCCAUUGUUAAUGAGGUGUUGUACUAGACUUUGUAUUUCCUUGGUUUCUUCGGGGUUGACGCAGUAGGGUGCCUUGUUUGGUAAAGGUGCGCCGAGGAUGGGGUCAUGCGAUGUUCGAUGCCUCGUAGUGGAGGUAGACCCGGAGGUUGCUCAUCGGGAAAAACGCCCAUGAACUGCUGCAAUAGACUAGUAAGUUUGCAUGUGCAACACACGUCUCAAUCAAACCCUGUCAAAUUUUGCGGGUAUAAAAUCUUGCAUUCAAACUUUAGGAUGACACAAAUCAAUGGCAAUAGACUGGCUGAACAACUUCUCCACAAAUAAUGUAAGGGAGUAGUCUAUUUAUUCUAUUCCUACAAAGAUUUCAGAAUGUUUAUUUCCUUGGGUGAAAAUCAAAGUAACAUAUGAAAAUUGUCCAAGUGGACAUGGCGUCAAUGCAAAGUUGGGACAAAGAUACACAAAAAAUAGGAGUCUUGGCUGAACUAAAUUAGUUUUCUUCUUGGAUUAGAGCUGCUUGUUAUCUUCAAAGUUUGAAGGCUCAGCGGCUGCGGUAAAGCCACCACUACUGCAGGAUGCUGCUAACGCGACACUACGAUCAGAGACCCUUCGAGAAACUGUGUGCGAUCCAAUAAUCGCAAACGGUGGUGUAUGAAAACAGUCAAAAAAGGUGAAAACGUUUGCGAUGGAGGAUGCAUCAAACACGGUUUAGAUUUUAGUUGUGUGUGCGAUGAAGGGCAUACGGUUUAGUUCAAUUAACUGUUUGCGAUGAGGAGGAACAAAAGAAACAGGCAGCCCGAUGAAGGCAUGUGCGAUACACAGCAUACGGUUCACUCGGAUGAACUGUUUGUGGUUAGGCAACACAAAAGAAACAGGCAGCCAGAUGAAGGUCUGUGCGAUAUACAGCAUAUGGUUCACUCGGAUGAACUGUUUGUGAUUAGGCAACACAAAAGAAACGGUUAGCCAGAUCAAGGUGUGUGCGAUAUACGACAUGCGGUUCACUCGGAUGAAUUGUUUGCACUGACACAAGAGAACAGCAACGGUUCAACUUAACAAGACGUGUGUGUUGUGCGAUGGGAUUGCAUGCGGUUCACUCGGCCCUUGUGAUCAGUGUGUGACCGCUGUGGCAACCAUUCACUCCCCAGGCGUCUCUUCGUGUAUCGUGGCAACCGUCCACCGACUCUUCGCCUUUCCCUCUCGAUUUGGAACUGCUGUCGCACGCUAGCUCUUCCUCCCUCCUCCAUUUGCCUUCACCCGUCCUUCUGCCAUUGUUUGAUUGUCUUCUCCAUGAGGGAACAAGCCGGAAACGACCCCGUUAUUCUUGCCCCGAUCUGAAUGAUGACGUGGUGGAGGAACUCAUUGAUCGGUGCGACGUCAUCACCUCGGCUAGCAUGGUAGGUUCGUUCAAGACCAUUCUCAACUCAACUAAUAACAUCAUUACAAGGAACCCAAGGGUCCAGGAGCGGUUUGAUCUCCCCUAUCUUCUUCGCCGUGACCCUGCUGACUGGCGCGGGGACGAGGGAAGCCUCGCCUUGUGUAAGUUGAUUCUGCUUGAUAAUGAUACAUAUGAUGUUAAGAUGCCAUCGCUUGAGGGCAAGGCUUGGGCAGGUGCAAAUGGAGAUUGGGUUGUUUAUAUUGGGUACAACUGCGAGUGGGAACUUGUGGAUGUGUACACUCGUCACCGGGUUCCACUUCGAAAAAUCUCAGACGGCUGCCCAGAGGUUGAGUACAGCGGUAUUAUACGUGAGUUCAAAUACGAUCAUGCUGACUGUCAUCUACGGAAGAUAGCAAUUUGUCGAGUUCCCAACCGCUCUUGGGGUUAUAGGAAUGCUUAUGUUGUCGCUAUCUUCGACAAGCUUGUUGUCGUCCUUCAUGGUUCGACUUGAUGGAUAUUGCUCAAAAAUCAGUUUCUAUACACGGAUGAGUACUGUGAUGCAAUUUAAUACGAGGGUCUUGUGUUUGCUGCCACAACUUGUGGCACUGUUUUUGCAUGGAAUCCUUAUGAUUUCGGUACGUUUGUCUUCCACCGUAAUUAUAAUUGUUUCAUCCACAUGCAUGCGGGUUAGCUAGUUUCCCUUUACUAACUAACCUUCUUGUGUUUCCAAGGUCCUGUGAACAUUCCACCACCUAUACUUGAAAAUUUUAUUCAUGAGCAUGAGGACGAGCAAGACCCAUAUACUCAGUGGCGCCUGGCAACUUAUUCCGAUGGAUCACCUCUUCUUGUCUUUAUACGGGGCACUACUGAUGUUACUAAGGAAGCAGGUGUUGUCUCGUAUGGUCGCACUCUCCGGACCUAUUCCAACAUCCUUUGCAGGGUAUUCGGGAUGGAUACUAGUGUACUAGCGCCAACACCUUCUCCCUGGUUCAGUAUUGAAAGUCUUGGAGGAAACUCGCUCUUCCUUGGACAAGACUAUCCAAUGAUGGUGGAAGGCGAUCCAGCUGCUGUUGACACAACAUUACUACCAUUUAUGAGAAGCAACUGUAUCUAUACCUCGGACAUUACUAUGCUUCCCUACCGUCCCAAUAUGGGUCAUGACAUAGGCCGCUUCAGCCUCGAUGAUCAGUCCUGCGUUGGUCUCGAGAUUGACAGUAGCUGGCCCUUCCCAGAGAAUCACUUCUGGUUCAAAUCAAGCGUUUCCAACGCCGACGAGUGGUUGAGCUAAAGUUCAUUUCACCGCUUUGUUAUUUGUUGUGUGAGAAAAACUUUACUAGAAUGUUUUGUUGGAAAUGAUCUAUAAUCCAACGUGUAUCCUCGUAGUCGUUGUGGGUUGAUGACUUGUUGUAUGUAAUCAAUGGUACAUUUGCAUAUGCGUCCAUGAACUCACGCCUGCUAGUGGUGUCCAUAUGAACCGUGCUAGUGAUUUUAGUUGCAAAAAUUAGAUAGUGCUAGUGAUUUGUAGCUGCAUAUUUUGACAAAUCGCAGUGUUACAAGGUUGACAAAUGGCAAUGUUACUAGAUAAACAAAUGUCAAUCUUUCUAGUUUGAGAAAUGGCAACAUACCCAAAAUGACAGAUAUGCAAAUCUUACCCAACUAUUUGUACGUGGUUGCACACGGGUCAUGCAAAAUAACCGUUUGCAUUGAAGGGAUGCAGAAAUCUUGCUCGACACAUUUUCCCUUGGCUUCCUGGGGAAGCUGUCGGUUUGCAUACGGGUGUUCUUACUAAAACGUUUGCGAUGAGUGUUUUAUAUUUAAAAACCGUUGAUUUUUUUUUUCAAAAGAAAAUCGUUUGAUAAGUCUGUACAUUAAGAGAGAAAAAUGCAAGUUCGUUCAAACCAUAUCUUUCAUUCAGUCACACUGCAAAUUUAUAUUCAUAUGAUCGAGAAUUCGAGAUACAGUAUUAAACCCCAAAAAAACUAUUUCCGGUGGCGGCGGAGGCGGCGUGCCACACCGUCGUUGUCCUUGUCGUCCUCUGGGACGCCGUUGUUGAAGUCUUCAAGGCAGCACAAAAUGUUCUUCACUUGUAAAUCAGACAUCAUGUCGUCACGCGAUCGACGGGCGGGGCGCGGGAGGACGGCAACUAGCGCCGCUAAGAGGUAGCGGUCGAUGGCAGCGUCCCAUNNNNNNNNNNNNNNNNNNNNNNNNNNNNNNNNNNNNNNNNNNNNNNNNNNNNNNNNNNNNNNNNNNNNNNNNNNNNNNNNNNNNNNNNNNNNNNNNNNNNNNNNNNNNNNNNNNNNNNNNNNNNNNNNNNNNNNNNNNNNNNNNNNNNNNNNNNNNNNNNNNNNNNNNNNNNNNNNNNNNNNNNNNNNNNNNNNNNNNNNNNNNNNNNNNNNNNNNNNNNNNNNNNNNNNNNNNNNNNNNNNNNNNNNNNNNNNNNNNNNNNNNNNNNNNNNNNNNNNNNNNNNNNNNNNNNNNNNNNNNNNNNNNNNNNNNNNNNNNNNNNNNNNNNNNNNNNNNNNNNNNNNNNNNNNNNNNNNNNNNNNNNNNNNNNNNNNNNNNNNNNNNNNNNNNNNNNNNNNNNNNNNNNNNAUGAUCAUUCUGCGCCAUGGCGGUGGAGGUCUGCGCGGGGUGGGGGGGGGGAGGGGAAUGGGAGGCGAACAGUAAGGCCGCCCAUAUUAAACAGUGGCUCGGGUGCCAUUAAUGGAGAGGAAGGCGGGCGGCCAUGGAAGUCAAAGGGCUCGCUUCCCAGUGAGCCUGCGCAAUGUACAGCUCGCACGCUUCCCGAUGAGCAUGCGCAUUGGAGGAUAGCUUGCACGCCUCUCGGUCAGCCUGCACACCGGACUGCGCUCGCACACCUCCCGUUCAGUCAAGGUCAAGCAGAUGUCCGCAUGGCCCCUCCUACAACCAUUAAAACCAAGACACGUGGCGUCACGUGAAUGGUUAACAGAACGCACACGGUUUGAAUUAUACAAAUGUUUGAGAUAUUAAAGUGGCAACUAUUUUUUCAAAAUGCCUUUGUUGGCUGUCAUUAUUCGAGCGCGCCUUCUCUCAAAAUGGACACGAAAAAUACCACAUCAUGUCGGGUGCCAUUCCAUGAUAGCAUGCCAAGUUUCAUGAAUUUCCAAUGAGAUUUGGAUUUACUAGAAUUUAAAACCAGGCAUCUCAAUGUUUUGUCGGCAAUCAACGGUGCCCUGGUGUUUGAAAUUCAUUCCCAUUUCUUGCAUUGGACCUAAGCAUGCACCAAAGGACACAUAUUUGAUUUUAAACCAAUUUAUAUGCAUUGAGCAUGUGCAUGUAGUUCAAAUUUGAAUUAUGCACAUAAAUGCAUUGAAAACUCAGUUAAUGCAUAAAAAUGUCCAAAUGAACCCCAAAAAAUCACAAAAAUUGACACAACACUCCUGUUCUUCUACGUUGACACGAGAAAUUUUUUGGAAGCAACAAUAGGCAGUGGAUACCGUUUCGUCCCCAAAGGUGGGACGUUCCCUACCGAAACCAUGAUGCUUGUUGUGAGAAGCUCUGGUUUGUGAGAAGCAUAUACCAAACUUGCCCCAAACGGGGUUUUUUUUACCAUGACAUGUUGAUGCCGCUCCAUGAAAGCAUGCCAAGUUUCAUGAAUUUCAGAUGAGUUUUGGAUUUACUAGAAUUUAAAAACGAGGCAUCUCAAUGUUUUGCCGGCAAUCAAUGGUGCCUUGGUGUUUGAAAUUCAUUCCCAUUUCUUGCAUGGGACCUAAGCAUGCACCCAAGGACACAGAUUUGAUUUUUCAACCAAUUUAUAUGCACUGGAGCAUGUGCAUGUAGUUCAAAUUUGAAUUAUGCACAUAAAUGCAUUGAAAACUCAGUUAAUGCAUAAAAAUGUCGAAACGAACCCCGAAAAAUCCCAAAAAUUGACACAACACUCCUGUUGUUCUAUGUUGACACGAGAAUUUUUUUGAAAGCAAUAAGAGGCAACGGAUAUCGUCCCGUCACCGAAGGUGGUACGUUCCCUAUCGAGACCAUCAUGCUUGUUGUGAGAAGCUCUGGUUUGUGAGAAGCUUAUACCUGAACCUGCCCCAAAUGGGACAAAAUUUUCACCACGGCAUGUUCAUGCCGCUCCAUGAUAGCAUGCCAAGUUUCAUGAAUUACAGACGAGUUUUGGAUUUACUAGAAUUUAAAAACCAGGCAUCUCAACAUUUUGCCGGCAAUCAACAAUGCCAUGGUGCUUGAAUUUCACUCCCAUCUCUUCAAUGGGACCUAGAAAUUCACCCAAGGACACACAUGUGAUUUUUCAACCAACUUUCGUGCAUUGGAGCAUGUGCUUGUAGUUCAAAUUUGAAUUAUGCACAUAAAAUGCCUAGAAAACCCAGUUAAUGCAUAAAAAUGUCCAAACGAACCCCGAAAAUUCCCAAAAAUUGACACAACACUCAUGUUGUUCUAUGUUGACACGAGAAUUUUUUUGAAAGCAAUAAGAGGCAAUGGAUAUCGUUUCAUCCCCAAAGGUGGGACGUUCCCUACCAAAACCAUCAUGCUUGUUGUGAGAAGCUUUGGUUUGUGAGAAGCAUAUACCCGAACCUGCCCCAAAUGGGACAAAUUUUUUAACACGACAUGUUGAUGCCACUCCAUGAUAGCAUGCCAAGUUUCAUGAAUUUCAGACGAGUUUUCGAUUUACUAAUUUAAAAACCAGGCAUCUCAACGUUUUGUCGGCAAUCAACAGUGCCCUGGUGUUUGAAUUUCAUUCCCAUCUCUUGCAUGGGACAUAGAAAUUCACCCAAGGACACACAUGUGAUUUUUCAACCAACCUUAGUGCAUUGGAGCAUGUGCUUGUAGUUCAAAUUUGAAUUAUGCACAUAAAAUGCCUAGAAAACCAAGUUAAUGUAUAAAAAAGGCCAAACGAACCCUGAAAAAUUCCAAGAUUGAACACAACACUCCUGCUGUUCUAUGUUGACACUAGAAAUUUUUUGAAAGCAAUAAGAGGCAACGAAUAUCGUCCCGUCACCAAAGGUGGUACGUUCCCUAUCGAAACCAUCAUGAUUGUUGUGAGAACCUCUGGUUUGUGAGAAGCUUAUACCCAAACCUGCCCCAAAUGGGACAAAAUUUUCACCACGACAUGUUCAUGCCGCUCCAUGAUAGCAUGCCAAGUUUCAUGAAUUUCAGACGAGUUUUGGAUUUACUAGAAUUUAAAAACCAGGCAUCUCAACAUUUUGCCGGCAAUCAACAGUGCCAUGGUGUUUGAAUUUAACUCCCAUCUCUUGCAUGGGACCUAGAAAUUCACCCAAGGACACACAUGCGAUUUUUCAACCAACUUUGGUGCAUUGGAGCAUGUUCUUGUAGUUCAAAUUUGAAUUAUGCACAUAAAAUGCCUAGAAAACCCAGUUAAUGUAUAAAAAAGGCCAAACGAACCCCGAAUAAUUCCAAGAUUGAACACAACACUCCUGUUGUUCUAUGUUGACACUAGAAACUUUUUUCAAGCAAUAAGAGGCACCGGAUAUCGUCCCGUCCCCAAAGGUGGUACGUUCCCUAUCGAAACCAUCAUGCUUGUUGUGAGAAGCUCUGGUCAUCAUGCUUGCUGUGAGAAGCUCUGGUUUGUGAGAAGCUUAUACCCAAACCUGACCCAAAUGGGAUAAAAUUUGCACCACGGCAUGUUGAUGCCGCUCCUUGAUAGCAUGCCAAGUUUCAUGAAUUUCAGACGAGUUUUCGAUUUACUAGAAUUUAAAAACCAGGUAUGUCAACGUUUUGCCGGCAAUCAACAGUGCCCUAGUAUUUGAAAUUCACUCCCAUCUCUUGCAUGGGACCUAGAAAUUCACCAAAGGACACACAUGUGAUUUUUCAACCAACUUUGGUGCAUUGGAGCAUGUGCUUGUAGUUCAAAUUUGAAUUAUGCACAUAAAAUGCCUAGAAAACCCAGUUAAUGCAUAAAAAUGUCCAAACGAACCCUGAAAAAUCCCACAAAUUGACACAACACUCCUGUUGUUCUAUGUUGACAUGAGAAAUUUUUUGAAAGCAAUAAGAGGCAAUGGAUAUCGUUUCGUCGCCAAAGGUGGGCCGUUCCCUACCGAAACCAUCAUGCUUGUUGUGAGAAGCUCUGGUUUGUGAGAAGCAUAUACCCGAACCUGCCCCAAAUGGGACAAAUUUUUUAACACGACAUGUUGAUGCCGCUCCAUGAUAGCAUGCCAAGUUUCAUAAAUUUCAGACGAGGUUUGGAUUUACUAGAAUUUAAAAACCAGGCAUCUCAACAUUUUGUCGGCAAUCAACAGUGCCCUGGUGUUUGAAUUUCAUUCCCAUCUCUUGCAUGGGACCUAGAAAUUCACCCAAGGACACACAUGUGAUUUUUCAAACUACCUUAGUGCAUUGGAGCAUGUGCUUGUAGUUCAAAUUUGAAUUAUGCACAUAAAAUGCCUAGAAAACCCAGUUAAUGUAUAAAAAAGGCCAAACGAGCCCUGAAAAAUUCCAAGAAUGAACACAACACUCCUGCUGUUCUAUGUUGACACUAGAAUUUUUUUGAAAGCAAUAAGAGGCAACGAAUAUCGUCCCGUCACCAAAGGUGGUACGUUCCCUAUCGAAACCAUCAUGAUUGUUGUGAGAAGCUCUGGUUUGUGAGAAGCUUAUACCCAAACCUGCCCCAAAUGGGAAAAAAAAUUCACCAAGACAUGUUCAUGCCGCUCCAUGAUAGCAUGCCAAGUUUCAUGAAUUUCAGACGAGUUUUGGAUUUACUAGAAUUUAAAAACCAGGCAUCUCAACAUUUUGCCGGCAAUCAACAGUGCCAUGGUGUUUGAAUUUAAUUCCCAUCUCUUGCAUGGGACCUAGAAAUUCACGCAAGGACACACAUGUGAUUUUUCAACCAACUUUGGUGCAUUGGAGCAUGUGCUUGUAGUUCAAAUUUGAAUUAUGCACAUAAAAUGCCUAGAAAACCCAGUUAAUGUAUAAAAAAGGCCAAACGAACCCCGAAUAAUUCCAAGAUUGAACACAACUUUCUGUUGUUCUAUGUUGACACUAGAAACUUUUUGAAAGCAAUAAGAGGCAACGGAUAUCGUCCCGUCCCCAAAGGUGGUAUGUUCCCUAUCGAAACCAUCAUGCUUGUUGUGAGAAGCUCUGGUCAUCAUGCUUGCUGUGAGAAGCUCUGGUUUGUGAGAAGCUUAUACCCAAACCUGCCCCAAAUGGGAUAAAAUUUGCACCACGGCAUGUUGAUGCCGCUCCUUGAUAGCAUGCCAAGUUUCAUGAAUUUCAGACGAGUUUUCGAUUUACUAGAAUUUAAAAACCAGGUAUGUCAACGUUUUGCCGGCAAUCAACAGUGCCCUAGUAUUUGAAAUUCACUCCCAUCUCUUGCAUGGGACCUAGAAAUUCACCAAAGGACACACAUGUGAUUUUUCAACCAACUUUAGUGCAUUGGAACAUGUGCUUGUAGUUCAAAUUUGAAUUAUGCACAUAAAAUGCCUAGAAAACCCAGUUAAUGUAUAAAAAAGGCUAAAUGAACCCCGAAAAAUUCAUUCGCAUUUCUUUCAUGGGACCUAAGCAUGCACUGAAGGACACAUAUUUGAUUUUUAACCAAUUUGUAUGCACCGAAGCAUGUGCAUGUAGUUUAAUUUUGAAUUGUGCACCUGAAAUGUCUAGAAAACCAGUUUAAUGUAUGAAAUGUCCAAUCGAACCCUGAAUAAUUCCAAUUCUUUUACGACACCCAUAUAGUUGCAUGUUCACUUCAAUAAAAGGUCUAGCAAUUCAAACACUAUCCAAUGCCGCUGUGACCCCAUUUUGUAAUUCAAAUCAAGUAGAUCCCACAUAGUUUAUUCUCACCAACCAUGUGAGAUGUAGUGCAAAAUAUCUUGGAGCACCGUCAGUGUAUAGUACGCCUAUGGCUUACGCGAGAAGGUGCGUCGGUUAUAGUCCACAGCCGGCGUGUCAAGCACACUAGCUCACUCCCCCAAAACUCCCGCCUCUGCAUCCUUCACAAUCUCAAAAAUAUCUAUCACCUGGAAGGUUUUAAUGCUUGAUAGCACACGAUUAGUAUGUGCGGACCAUGUGCGAUGUCUGUUACUCCCGCCCUGCUUCAGUCCCUUGAUUCAAAUUUUCAGUAGCCCCGACAUUUUACUCCCCCCUCUCCAUCCCUCACAAUCUCAAAAAUAUCCGCUCGCCCUUGAUCCAAAUUUUCAGUAGCCCCGCCUUGUUACUCCCGCCUAGUAAAAUUUUCAGUUGCUGCAGUAUUUCCUCAAACACAACCUCCGCUCACGAAGACACACACAACCCUCGAAACCAUUGGUAGGUCGCCGCCAUCGCCGGCGCCUCCAUCCUCAACCUCUGCCUGUGCGCCGGGGAGCUCGAGUAGCCAAUGGCCAAAAAGAGGAUUAUCGCGGCCUUUUCGCCCGACGCCGGCGAGGUGGCCGCCGAGGUGUACCUGUCAUCCUCCGCGGGCCCAAUCCGCCGUCGCUGAUCCCCCGAUCUACCCGCCGCCGAUCCCCCUACGUCGGUUCGAGGACUUCCCCAUCCUGCCCCGGAUCCGGCAGCCGACGAAGUCCUACCUCAGGGUCCGGCAGCGGCGGCGGGGGACGUGGGUCGCCGAUAUUAUAGAUCGAGAGACCCACACCCGCCGGUGGCUCGGUAGCUUCCACACGGCCGAGCUCGCGGCCAUGGAGUGCGACCGCUAGCAGCUCCGCUACCACGGCGCGGCGGCUAGGCUCAAUUUCCCCUUCGGCACACGUCCGGUCCACCUCGUUCCGCCGGAGCUAGGGGUGGUGAGCUCGGCUAUGGCGCGGGAGGACCGCGAGGCGUGGGAGGGCCUUGAGGCCGAGGCCGCCGACGAGGCCUACAUUCAAGGGCUCCGCCGGCAGCACCCGGAGCUCAUGGAGGCGGAGCGGGCGAUCUUUGCCGGCGCAGAGGGCGGCGAGGUUAUGGAGCUCUCCUUCGAUGACGAGGUCGAAGGCGGCGAGGACGGCGGCGCGGAGGGCGGUGAGGUUAUCGAGCUCUCCUCCGAUGAUGAGGUCGAAGGUGGCGAGGACGGCGGCGCGGAGGGUAGCGAGGUUAUCGCGCUCUCCUCUGAUGACGAGGUCGAAGGCGGCGGCGAUGGCGGCGCGGAGGGAAUCGAGGUGGGCCCCGAGGACAAGGAGAUCGACGUCGAUGAGUGGAGGAGUGCCUUCCACAACGACCCCGACGACGGUACUGGCCCGGACCCGGCACGCGGCACACCGUACAUGACAAGGAAGGAUUGGCACGACCUCUACUUCGGCCGAAAGUAGUUUAGAUUAGUUUAAAUUUAUGUUUUAUGUUAGGUUAUGCAAAACUAUCUAUGUUUAUGUUUGAAUGCAUUCUACUUUCGGUUGAACCUGCUUUGAACUUGAUCAAAUUGAAGUUUCCAACCUUAAGUUUAGGGGAUCGACUAGAAAAGGCCAAAAAUUGCUGGAGUAUAUAUGUAUCCACUAAGGGUUUUAGUCCUUUAAUUUUUUGAGGAUCGCCUAGAGAUGUCCCUAUGACUUGUUUAUUUCAGUUCUUCACAAUGUGAUGCUCUAUAUGUGCAACUAUUUGUCGUGCAGUUCAAUUUCAUCAAUAACAGUUUCAACAAUACCACUAUGAAUUACGACAUUUGGGUGCUGUUAAGGAUAUUGCAGUUAACAUGCCUUUUCAUUUUUCAAUUGUUGUUUAGCAACAUGCAUUGUACUGAAUGAGUAAAUAUGCAAUCCCAGGCUACGUAGCAACAAGGAAGAGUGUUACCUUAAUGUUCUGAUGAUGUCUAGAUAUACAUGUAAUAAAAUCUUAUAUAAUGGGAUGGAUGGAGUGUUGUACUACAUCAUUUUUCAAUUGUUGUUUAGCUUCUAAUAUUAACUUGGUGCUUUCAGGUACAUAUAUCAUUGCCAAAGAUCCACACUUCGACCCUUUCUGCGUAUGGGGCAAUGAGAUAUUCAUGAACCAGCAUCAAGUGAGGAAACUGAUAAAGAUUGUUACUAAAAUGGGUCAAAAGAUGUCAAUCGAACUAUUUGUUUACACUUUAUGCAAAACAAUAGUGAACUGCAGGAUGGUAAGUAAGAACCCUGUGGCCUUGUUUUUACUGCCCGUAAUGAGUUGUGUUAGAUGACAAUAUCUGAAUCUUUUUUCUUUUGCAGUGGAUCCUGAAGCAGUUUACUCAAGAUUACCUCUCAAACUACAUGAUUGGUGGCCGGCCAUCACAAGGGGUUGGACUAGAGUCCUGCAUGCCUUCUGUAUCCAGGAGAGCACAAUAGGGCCAUUCCCUUCACCUUGUUCAGCAACUGGAAUGUCUGUCGCCUCUUUCUUUACCAUCUGUAAUAGUACAAGUAUAGAACCUUGGUACAUCAUUCUUUAUUUGGUGCUUCUGUAAUUUUUAAACAUAUGUACCUGUGAAUCAAAUAAUGCAUUGGUUAUUUGAACCUGAUGGAUAUGAAUAAAGCUAUAGCCUACUUUCAAGUUUAAAUUAGGUACAAUUUUAAAUAGCAUCAAUUAAAUUAGGGCAAAAUUACGUUGUGCAGGUCAUUAUGGCACACACGAUUGGUAAAACACAAACGUUUGUGAUAUACACCAUAAUCUGAGAUAGUUCACAGAGAGGAAACGUGUGCAAGCAUGCACACAGUUGCCGUUUGCAAAGCGUGUGUGAUGUCAGACACUAUCACAUACGGUGCGGGAAAACUAAAUGUGUGUGAUUGUCUACCUAUCGUACACAGUUUAUAAUCAUGAACUGUUUGUGAUGUGCCAGGCAUCAUAAAUCUCCCGUGCCUGGAAUCUGCCUGGAAUGCUCCCGUGCCUAGAAUCUGCCUGGUUUUAGGUAAAACCACAAAACUCCGACUGCGAUGGCAAUGCGUGCACAAAUGAGUAGCAAGGAUGAAGCGUUUGGGAUAUUCGAGAUAUCAGAAACGAUUAUAUAGGGACAACUGUAUGCAUCAAGGCUCCCUAUCCUCGACGGUUUCUGGGUCGUGUGGGAAGGACCCCCCUAUCGCCCACACUCACUUGGCGACGGUUCCAAAUGCCGCCGCGGAAAGGGGUUAAAAACCGUUUGUUUAGGACCGACCCACACCAGUGCACCCAUGCCAUAGUGGGCACUGCCUACGAGCAGGAAGAGUCAGAUUUUUUGCCCCAUUCUUAGUUUAUCUCAGCUUCUCAUGGAGUGGAACUAUAGUUUAAACAAACAGUAUAUAUUGUGUAUAUAGAUGCAGAACAUCUAGAAGUUAAAAAUAGAUCAAUAAACCGUUGGUUCAUGGUAAGGAAUUGGAAAGAGGGAAUUUAACAUUUUCGCUAUGACAUGGAUGGCAUGAAAGCAACUCUUUCUCUACCAUAUGCUUAGUUUUGACAAUAUUAAACAUGAGUUAAAAAUGUCAUGGUGCUUCAACAUCUUAGCACAGCAGAAAGGCUACUAUUCUAGAAUGGGAAACUAUACAGUAUAAAGAAAUUGGGCAUGCGCAGAUCGAGGAGUAUAAUAAUUAUUGUUUCGUAAAGCUAACAAGGACUGAAAAAAUAACCCACACAAAAUUUAGGAUGACCAAAGCCACCCUUCCUAACUAAGAUGAAUAUACAAGAAAUGAUACUAAAUUAACACCGUAUUCAUAAGUAAGUUUGAUGGCUAAAACAAAGGAAAUGCGUAAUGUCAUGGCGCUUUUAGUUAUUCAUGUGCAAAUUCAAAGCAUGAUCUGAUGAAAGACACAAAGAUUCAAAGUAAUCAAUUGAUAGAAAAUGUGCUAAAAAAUAUUGACUAUGCGAAAAAGAAAUUAAUACAAUGUAGCCUUUCUGCACAAUUGAUCAACAAGCAUGAUGCACCUUAUUAGAAGAAAAGGAACUACAUAAAAUCCUGGCAAAUUUAAGAAGAGAGAGAUGUCGCUAAGAUCUGUUGAAAGAUCUUACCACUACUUGGAAAGGAGUCAAUUGUAGUAGCAGUUGCAUAAGAGAUGAUGCACUGAUCUCUUCAGAAGCUUUCUUGCUUAUUCACACUUCUUGAGUUCAGCAUAAAACACAUCAGGAUUUAACAAUCUGGUUGGUUGUAGCCAAUUUCCAUGUGAGGUUUUACCAAAAUGAUGAAGCUCGGUAAUGUUGUUUCAUGGUUCAAUAGGUCAGUGUAAAAUAAUUAUGGGGUGGUCAAGUCUCCAUCCCAUGUUAUUUACAAUCUCAAACGAUGAAAGACUUCUUUCUACAGUUCACCAAAGGUUCUAAGUUACUACUUUUUACUCAAAGAUCUGAUGUCUACUGAUCUCUCUCAACUUUAUGGCUGAGAUUAACAUAAUUGCAGAAAGCAACAUCAACUCAAAUUUUAGUCUGCAUUGGAAACCAUCAAACAAUUUCUAGCAAGAUGUUUUUUGAAGGAUAGAGGGAGUAUAUGACUUCCAUUUGUCUUGGAAUAAUGCAGGUAAACCCAUACAAAGAGCACGCAUAUAUACAUCCAUACAUGUUAAUUUCUAACUGCUCAUGAUGUGAAACCAGAGGUAUACAAGGUAGAAUUCCCAUAUACGAAUGAACUUCUCAUCGAAGUCUAGUUUCAAAAGUUGUCUACAAGAAAAAGGAAGCGAUAGGAAAUUAAUACUAACUAAGCAACCAAGUGGAACAUAAAUGUAUAUAAUCGUCACAGGAGUAUUCUUCCUGUAGUGAGUGUGAAGUGAUCCUUACUCUUUGUUGCCAUGAGUUAAACAUGACAAGUGAUACUUAAUCUUACCCCCACCUGCACCUCAUUCGCAUUGUUGCUCGUCGGACAUGGCUAUGCAGCCGCUGCCGCUGCAUGCUACACAUGUGUGUUGUUGUCCGCCGAUGUGCCACUGCUCCCUGCCGCAAUCGCCACCCCGGGCGACCCCACAAGUCACAACCAUUCAUAUCCUCUGAAACAUCAUUUAGUUUAUUCCCAAAUUGUACUUCAGAAAAUAUUUAAGAAUAAAAUGGUGCUUCAUCUUUUGAGAAAAUGAAAUAUCUGUAAAUAUAACUUCAUGGACUGUAGUGUUAAUAUAAAAGUUACAUCGCAAUAACUUCUUGAAACACAUAACUACACUGGAAAAAAAAUCCUUCCAGCUAGGAAGGAGAUCUUCGUGCCCUUCUUCCACCCCGGCUUGACAUCGAUAGUCAGGAUCUCCUCCAUCGGGAUGGUCUUUCUACAAAUAGUCGCCAUGAGAAAUUGGCGUUUAGUGUUUAUUUUAGCACCUAAAAUCAGUGUGUUGUUCUAUUAAAGACAUGCACCCAAAAUUGAAACUAAUCCAAAAGGACCGAGUAGGCUAAAAAUUGAAGGCGGCUUAAAUAUUAGUAAGAACCGACCAGGCUAAACUAUUUGAUUGAACCAACAGAGAUGUUGCACUGCUAAUAAUUUAUCUUUAGAAUAGAUCAUGAACGAUGGUGGUUGUUGCUGCAUCAGAAAUCAAACAUACCCAAGUGGUCAACUACACAUUUCUCAGGUUUAAUCUUGGGAGCACAUGUACCUCAUACUAACAUUAAAUAAUUCAGAAUUAUUGAGGAAGCUAAAAUCCAAAGAUGGCUUAAAAUUCUUGAAAACUGUCAAAAAUCAAUAAUACAAUUGAAUUAUCAGGUCAACUACACAGUUUUAGUAUUCAAGGAUAAAGUGGCUCUUGAGUCUACACCCGUUUGUUUGUAUCCGCUGAGACUUAUGAGGUAUAUAUAUCAGUUUUACGUUAUUUAUACAUGUGAUUGCACUUUGAUAUAUACAUUGAUGUAGUGUGUGUGCCAACAUACUGAUCCAAGGAUGGCACAGAUACACAAAGGCUUGACCGUUUGAGGUCGGGUCGCUACAUUAUAAACUAAACAUUCUUAUAUUACUUUACGGAGGGAGUACAUAUUACGCGUACAUACUCUCCGAUGCGAUAGAUACUACCUAGAACAUACCAAACAAAAGUAAGAGUAACUACACCCGGUCAUAGGAAAUGUUUGUCCUAUAUAUAUAGUAAUUAUAAAACGGUGUACAAAAUAUAGUAAUUAUAAAAUUAUUUUUUACUAUACAAGUUCAUAAUUUACUACUUUUUAGAUAAAUUACUAUAUUUUCAAUACAUAACUAUAUUAUGUGUAGAGCACUAUUGAGGUGUAGAAUAAGCUAUUCUAUACUCUCUUUUUUUUAGCCCGAGACCGUAGAACAAUUGUUCUACGGUACUUUAAUUUAUAUAAAAGUAUAUUUACAAAAGAACAGUACAUAAGGUAAACUACCCAAUACCAGCCCUAGGUAUCAUUAGAUCAAAUUAUAGGUUCAGUUCAAUCCAAUUAUCAAUCUGUACUGCUUUGUGUUGCUUUGGUCUGAGCUUGACAUUCUGCAGCCCAUCGUUGUGAUAGUAUUUCCAUGAGAUUACAUUAGGUGGUGCCAAUCUGAAGAUUUUAUCAUUUCUGACCAUCCAAGUACUCUAGCAGCCCAUAAUUAUGAUCUCCAUUGCAAUUUCUUUAGGUAGCUUGAUCAUGGUCAGAACAAUUUCAUCAAAAGCAGAAAUCCCUCUUUGCUUGGUAGGGAUCAGGUUUGUCCAAUAGCUGAGUGAGAAAGGGCAAUUCUAGAAGAGGUGAAUAAGAGUCUCCUCUGUUGAAUCAGCACAUAGAGCAGAAUUAUAAUCAGGUAAAAAUAUAUUCCUGCGUUGUAGUAAAUUCCUUGUGUUAACGCCGUCAUGUAGUAGGAGCCAGAAGAUCUUGUGUCUGAGUCUGCUGGCAGUUUUCCAUAGCUGUUUAAAUAUGAUGUGAGCUUCAGUCUUUCCACAAAGAUAUUCUAUACUCAUGCUUAGUUUAGCAUUACUAUAUAUAUAACGUUGGAUAAGAGUUUUGUUUAGUGUGAACUAGGGUCUACACAAAGAAACUUCUCAAGCACAGAUUUGCAGUGAUCAUCAUUAGUGUAGCUGGUUCCUACAGUUGAAGCCCAAGCAGGAGUAACUGUAGUGACUACCAUCAUAAGAGAAUCUCUUCUGCUCAAAGCAUCUGCAACCUUGUUUUCUUUUUUCUGUAUUCAAUCUUGUAAGUGAAUUAAAGCAAUUAUAUAUAUAACGCUGGAUAAGAGUUUUGUUUGGUGUGAACUAGGGUCUACACGAAGAAACUUCACACGUAGAAUGGUCGACCAAGUUUGAUUUUCCAAAACUGUAGAAUAUUUAAAUUCAUUUAUCAUGCGCCCUUUAUAUUUUCGCUGGAAGCCCGAUAAAGCAAGACCAUUUUUGCAUUUGAGCAACUUUCCAUCAGUGCCUCGCAUUGACAAAAAAAUGAUGGAUGAGAAUUUAUUUACUGUUAUUUCAUUGUAGGACAGAGAUGAUAAAAAGAGGGGUAGAGGUAUUGUAGAGUUGCAAAACUCCAUAAACUAAUCAGAAAUGGUGGCGAAAGUACACACACACUUAAUGGUGGUAAUACGGAGGUGGUUGGCCAGUUCCAGGGGCACCACUUGCCGGUCUCUGCUGAUUUCCAUGAUGAGCAGGUGGCAUCGGGUGUGAAGGAUGCAUCUCAUGAGGCGGCGGUGGCGGAGGGGC